rnacentral:lncRNA from 1 species
CCGCAUAACGCAUGCCACUCAUCAACUAAAACUGUUCAAAUUAAUACUAAUAAUUAAACUGUUCAAACCCUAGAAAUUAAACCCGCAGCUCUGCCGCUGUUCAAAUAGUGUUCUUGCUGUCGUUAGAACACUGACGACGACUACGACGACGAUGCACGCGCAAAUUUUCCGUUCAAAUGGUGUUCAAAGCCAGGCCAAGCCGCUGCUGCAUUGCUUUUCAUAAUAGAAGAUCGAGUGAAUUCAUUUUCAUAUAUGUUGAUUUUUGUUUUGAGAUUGUGCUAGCGAUUUCCAUUUUGGUGGAUUUGAAUUUAGAUUCUCAGAGAAAUACGUGAGAUUGCAAAUAGAUUUUAAAUUGAUUAAGUUGUUAGGUCUUCUAAAUUUUGUCAAUUUUUUUCCUUUUUCUGAUUUUUGGGCUGGAUUCAUGGUUGUUUCUCAAAUUAUCUCUACUGACGUGCUAAAGCUUAAGCUAUUAAAUGUUCAUGUACAUUCAAGUGCUUAUGUCUAUGCCGAAUGCAUCUUGAACGUAUGAACUUUGCAUUUUGAUGAUAUUAUUCAGCAGUUUUUUUCUUUUUUGGGGCUAAUAUUGGUAUUUUCUGGACUAAAAAAAAAUUAGACGAAAUAAUAGUUUCUAACGAAGCCCACUAGGUGUUUGAUGGAAUGAUUAAAGAAAAAGAAUUGCCUUAGUUUUUAUUUUGUGGCAUAUUCUGUUGAAUCUUUCAUUUUAAUUUUUAAUUUUUGUAGGUUGAAACUACAUCUUUGAUAAAGUGACUACAUGAAAAAGUUUUUAAUUAACACUUUCAUAAGUGGAUUGUAAUUGUCAUGUUAUCUAUGCAACAUGUCCGGAGAUUAACUUUGUUAUUUGGCCCCAAAACUGCAAGGAAUUAGAAUACGGCAACCAACAUUUGUAAGGUAAUGUAAUGUCUGUGUUUAUACCUGGAGCUCAUAUUAUAAGUACGCUAGUUGAUUUGUUUGGUGUCUUAUUAUUCUUGUAUUCUAUAUUCGAUAUAUGUAGUUAUUGCAGGAACUUAUUAACUUGGAUUUGGCUUUGGAUUUUUAUAUGGAAUAAAUUUUUAUUUUUUACUCUUUGGCUUUCUGUUUUUAGUGCCUCUAUGAUUCUGUUAGUUUCUUCAAUGUGGGACAGUGUUUGUUUAAGAAAUGAGGUGCUGAAUGGUGAUGCUACUCUAUUGAUAAUCAAUGUGCAUGCAAUCCUAAUUCCCAACUUUUUGUCCUCUUUAUUUCACUUCUUUAAACACCUGUCUCUUCCUUUUGCAUAUAUGUUUAACACUCUUUUCUAUUCAAUGAUACCCAAAAAUAAUUGAUAUUAUCUAAGUAUUUGAAAUUUUAUCUCAAGAAUUAUAAUUGUACUAGAAAUUAAAAAUUGAGUAGCUUUUUUAAGCAAAGUUGUUGAUAGUGUUUGUUUUAGCCAAAAGAAUAAUCAGUGCUUUGGAAGAAAGAGGAAAAACAUUGUUUCUGUGGUUGAUAUUUUCUAGAGCGUAUUUACAAAAACUUGCUAAUGGUAAUGACAUUCGCUGGAGUUGUUUUUGGGUUCUUUGUAGGAGUAUUACAAAGGUAUUCACUGAAAAAGCAUAUAAUAGACAGUUAAGCUGUUGUAAAAAGGUAUUCACUGAAUAAGAUACGAGACCCCGCUUUCUGUCUUGUUCUUGCAUCUCAGUUUUCCGACAAUUGUAAACUAUUUUCUGUAACUCCCUGGUCUUCAUUGUGCCUUUGGGUAACUCUUUUCUAAUUUGUGGCAUUAAAUAUUCUGGGUUCACUUAAUCAUUUAAAUUUAGUAGUUUAUGAGUUAUGUUAGGUGACAUAGAAAACAAGUGUGGUUUCUUAAGCUAUUUGGAAUAUUUUAACUGUUACUGCUUCACUGUUAUUGUAAAGAUGUUUACCUUAAUUCUUCAUUGGGUGCAUCAUAUUCAUGACCCCUUAUUCUCUUUUGAAACUGCAAAAUGAUUCAAGCUGCCAAAGAUUUUUAAGUAUUUUGAGAAUGAACUUGGAGCAACUGUGAUCUUUGGAUUAUUUGCAAUAUCUUGGGUCAUUCUACGAUUAAUAUUCUUCCUCUUUUGGGUCAUCAAAUGUACAAGGUUUGCCUGCAUGAUAAAUGAUUUGAUGCCACCUUAUUUGGUCGUCUAGCAGUUUCUUUGGCUUAUUUGCAUUUUUGAUUUGCAUUUUCCAACUAUGAUCUUUAGUUCUACUUGAACUUAUCAGAGAUACUUUCAUUUACUACUUGUUCAAUACAAUGUUGGCGAUGCUCUUUGUGGUCCAGAUAUGCUGGUGGGUUCUCAUAUCCUCAAUGAUCUGGAGACAGCUGAAAAGUGGUCAACUUAGGGAAGAUAUAAGAUAUGGUAAGCAUUUUGAUGCUUCCAUUAUCAGUUUGAUUCAUUUAGUGUCAUCAAUUAUUCGCAGUAGUCUUUCUCCCUCUGUGGAAAUAAUCAUUGUUUUUGCUUUGAUAGUUUGCAGGAAACCUGAUCCCAUAUAAUAGUUUUGCUAGAACUUAAUUAGUUAUAUUCACAUGUGCCUAAGCCCUAGCCAUAUUUAAGUUCUUUUUUCAAAACCUAGAUAAAAUGAACUUAUAAUUGGAUAUUAAUUGUAAAUCAAACAAAAGGGUAAAGGAAUUAAUUAGUUAUAUUCACAUAUGCUUAAGCUUUGAAGGAAAGUUAACUGCCUUUAUGGGUACCCUUUUGGUUCCACAUUUUAUUGCCGCAAAGAAUUAAUUAAAGUUACAUCAGAAACUUGAAAAUUUUACUUUAAUAGAUAAUUCUUUAAAAUGAUACUAUUGGCUAUAGUCAAUUGGUGUUGCACCUGCAGGUUGAGAGAAACUGCUGGACUUAGGAGUUUUGCUGGGUAUUUGUGGAGAAUAGGAAUUUAUCUACUGGAAUUUCACUGAGAAUAUGGGAGAAGUCUUGCACUACAAGAUUUGACGGCUUCAUAGCUUGUAAAAUUUAAAGCAUUUGCUGGAGUUAACUUUUUUUUUAUUACUUUGGUUGUGUUAAUUGUUGGAUACAAGUGUUUUUGGGGUGUUAUUAAUAUAAAGUGUUUUUAGACUUGAUAGAAUGUAUAAUUUAACUUUUGGUUUAUAUUGAAUUUGUGAUUAAAUUCAUAUGCAGGAAUGCAUAAAUUUAAAUAAAAUAAUUUAGAAUUUCUUUUAAUAUAAAUUUAGAUCCUGUGACAAAAAAAAUCAGUCAUAAAUUAUGUCGCAAACAAAAUAAUUAAUGAUAAAAAAUUUCAAUUAUUAAUUCCAUCACAAACAAAAUAGUUUACCCACUAAAAUUAAUUGGAUAAUAAUCUACGUGUAAAAGAUAAUUUUCCUGCCAAAAUUUAAGAUAAAAUUUAAUUUUUGCGCCAAAAAAUUAAUUAAAAUAUUCAUUUUUUAAGAUGACUGACAUAUGACUUCGAAACAUUAUUGUUAAUGAUAUUUUUUCUUUUAUCAUAGAAGAGUGACAGAUACUUAAAUGAUAGAUAAAUUCAUUGUCAUCUACCUCCAUUUAUGAUAGUUUUUUUCAGUUAUUUAUUGCCAUUUUUUUUGUAGUGAUUAUUAUUGUUAUUGUUAUUUGUUACUACUACAAACAAUUAGUAUCAGUAUUGAUACUAUAUUGGCACUUGUACUUAUUGGUAGUUGGGCCUAAUUUUUGCGAAGCCCAUUUUAGUCAUUUUUAUCCAACCCAUUAACUAAUAGCAGGCAUAAAAUAGAGAUUGACGAUAAAAUAAGAGCUAACUUUUUCUUCCACCUUAGGUCGGCCAUGAAUGUUCAAGUUAGAGUAUAAACUUAAGAGUUAUUGUGUUUUAUCUAUGUGAUUAAGGAUUGGAAAGUUUUGAUUCUUGAGCUUAUUGUAUGAGUUUUAUGCGUACUAUGUGUUGGGGGGUUGUUGAUUAAAUGAAAAUCAAGAGUAUUAGGGGGAUGUGCUGAAUUUUUUGUAACAGUCACCCAUUCUGAAAAUUAUGUAAAUCUAUUUUUUUGAGUUAUAAUUUUUUUUUUUAUAUCUAUCGAAACUAGACAUCUUGAGGGUUAUAUAAAAUUUUGUUUCAACUAAAAAUGAUUUCUAUUCCAUUUUUAAUGAAUUUUUGAAUUAGGACUUGUGGUUCAAGAAAAUGACAUUUCUAUAGUGCUGUAAGAUGGAAAAAAAAUGUUUAAAUUGAUCAAACCGUCUCAAAAAAUUAUGAAACUUCUCAAAUUUACUCUUUUGAUGUCUAUUACAUCAUAUCCAAGAUUGGGAUGCUAAUUCAUUGUAUUUGAAUUUUUGUGAAUUAAUGAGUAAAGGCAUAUCCAAAAUUGGGCUCCUAAUUCCUUGUAUUUUAAUUUUCUGUGAAUUAACGAAUAAAAGUCCUCAAUUUUAGAUUCUAGAUUUCAGGACAUAAUAGUCUUGGAAAAAAAAAAUUAUUUAGAAUAAUUUUGAUAUAUAUUUAAAAAAAGUAUUAUUUUAAAAUUUUCUAAUGUUUCUCCUAAUUUGCUCUGUUAUAAUUAUUAUGUUGAUACAAAAUCAGGAUAAUCAAACAAACAAACAAACAAACAUUAGUUAGCCUAGUUAUCAAUAGAAGAAAUCAUAUUAAAUAAAAUUGUCAUUUUCAACAAACAAUAUUAAUAUAUAUAUAUAUGAUAAAAAAGAAUAAUUAUAUCACUCUAACCGAUAUUUACGGGAAAAAAAAUCUCACAUGAUACAUAUUGCGGUGAAACCUUUGUUAUUUGUGUGUGAAUAUUUGGCGGCAACUAUUAAGGCAAAAGCAAAUCCAAUAUUAAGACAAAUAAAUAAUUAUUUAAAUGUAACAUUUGCAAAUUCACGGGUUUUUUUUUUGGGAUAUUAUCAUUUUACUACUAAAGUUUUUCUGACAUAUCAAGUCAGUAUCAUAAUUUGAUAAAAACUGUAUUUUACUACCAAACAUUUAAUUUAUUAUCAAUUUACUACUUUUCUGUUAAAAAUAAGUUAAUAUUUAACGGAAUAUGAGUUAAAAGACUAUUUUGGCCAUGAAAAUGAAAGAAAUAACAAAAAAGAAAACUAUAAAUUACUGUAGCAAGUAUCCAUUAAUUAAAAGGAUCUAGUUACGGUGCAACUGUGUGUUUUUUGUCCUUAUUGUAAAGUGUCGUUAGAUGUAAAACGAUUGAAUCCAACGAUCAAAAUCGCUUAAUAGAUUAUUGAGGCAUGAACUGUCAACCGUUGAAUCCAGUUAUCAUCAGAACCUUUCUCCAACUCUUGAUCUUAAUUCUCCUCUCCCUGACCAUCAACUUUUUCUCCAGACCUCUCCUCUGACCUGGUCUCACCCUCAUUGCUAUCAGAUUUCUUCUUACCAUCAUCCGAAUCAGAUUUGUUGCAUGCAAUUAAUUUAUUCCCACAACUGGCUUUUGAGUGCGAAGUGGAAGAAAGCUAAGUACAAACACACUCACAAGGCAAGCAUUUCUUCAAACUGAAUUAUUUCCCACAUCACACAUCCAAUGACAGAGUCCCCUGGUUUCUCUAUACGGCUUUCCCCUUAAUCAUUUUAACAAACAGCUUCAAUACACAAAGAUUAGAGCAAAAAAAGGAAAAACAAUGGCUAUGUCAACGCUAAGUGAUGACGAAUUAAUGAAAACUAGUUGCCGAGGCAACUCCUGAGAGUCAAGAGUCGCCACGCAAACACAAUCGUGGUCCCUUUUUGCUGUAUAUGUAGAAAAAAAGAAGAAGCAAGCAGCAAGUGGUGGGAGAAAAGAAAAGGUGGGAGAAAUCUUUUAUAAAAAAAAAGGAGAAAAGAAAAGUUAGAGAUUUGGCUUUGCAAAGAUGCGGCUCCUGUGUGUGUUUGUGUUUUGUUUGUUGCUUCUUGUGCUUGGUUGACCGUGAGAGAGAGAGGGGCCGUGAGAGAGAGAGAGCGAUCAGAGAUGGAGGGUUACAAUUUUUUUACUUUUUUUAAUUAUUUACCUUGCAAGACUAAGAUGGCGUUUGUUUUUUUGUCUGAAAUCUGAAUAGACUUGAAUUAGUCUGAAUUCUGAAUAGGUCUGAAUGUCUGAAUCUGAAUAAUAUGUUUGUUUUUUCGUCUGAAUCUCGGAAAAUAAGUAUUAAGUUGUUUGUUUUUUUCAACUUAAAAAGCUGAAAAUAUAUACUUUUACAUUUGUAUCCUUAUUAAAUUUGAAUGUCAAAUAAAUAAUAUAUUAAAUACCAUAAUAUUUUAACAUUUAUAAGUAAAACUAUAUUUAAGUGAAUACAUAAUUAUUUUAGAAUUUUAAUAUAUAAAAUACCAUAAAUUUCAAAUUUUAUUGUAUAUAAUAUAAGAAAGAAAAAAUAGGGAUAUUUUUAUGUGAGGUAAAUAUCUAUGGGUGAGUUUUGGGAUAGACAUGAAAAAUAAAUUAUAAAACAAGGAUAUUUUUGACAUUAGCAAGCAAUUGACUUAAUUCAUAUUUCUCCAUUAAGUAAAAAGCCAAAAAAAUUAGCUUAUUUUAUUAAGUCAAAAUUAUCUAAAAAGUCUCAUUAAGUUAUAAAAACAAACACCUCUAAUUAACUUAAUUAAUUAAGUUAAGUCACUUUAAGUCAUUAAGUUAAAAAACAAACACCACCUAAAUGUUUAUUUUCCAAUUGCAAAUGCAGCGUUUUGACUUCAGGCGGAAAUAUCUUAAAAGUCCUUGUGACAUAAGUAAAUGUUUAACUGUGAUAACGGAAUGGUAGUAAAAUGAUAAUAAAUUAAAUGUUUGGUGGUAAAAUGUAGUUUUUAUCAAAGCAUGGCACUGACUUGAUUUGUCAGAAAAACUUUAGUAGGAAAAUGAUAAUAUCCUUUUUUUUUUUUUAAUCAAAGGAUGUGUAUUAAUUACAAAUGAGAAGAACUUGGAAAAACAAUAUAUUUAAAUACAAAUCAACUUUAAUAAGUCUCUUUGACGUAAUGCAUUAUUUAAUUAUUUAAUUUGUUUUCAUCGACUUUGGUGCUCAAAUCAAUUGAGAGAUUCAUUCUGGAACCAACUUUUGGCCAUGGCUACUCGUCCUGCAAAAAUAGAACAAAUUGCAGAAACAUUACUGGACCGAAACUGUUACAGAGCAUAAUCAGAGCGGUGAGGAUGAGCACACUUGAUUAUCUUCUAGCUGACGUGUAACAGUUAGUUAGCCGAGUCAGCAUUAUUGUUAACAAACUCAUUAAGCGUGCAUAGGCGUUAUAACAAACUCUAGUCAGCUUCUUUACAAUGUAUAAAUACCGAGCUUAAAACAUUUUUGUAUAAUACAGUUUUAAUUCUAAUAAAUUCCAGAUUCUUCUUUAUUUUCUCGUUGAUUUUCUUACUUACCAAACACACAUUUACAUAAUCUUCCAGAAACCAUGCAGCAAAAUUGACAUGGAAGGAAUUUAAUAGAGAAAGAGAUAUGCGUAUUGAAAGUUACCUGAGAUGAGUUGCUGCAUUAUUUAUAUUCUAGAGCGCCACAAACUUACAGUAAGGAUUAAGGACAUCUUUAGCAUUCGGUUGAUCCCACUCCAAUGAUUCCCACAAUUCUUUCUCUGUUUCAAUAACUUCAAGCGCAGGGGGUGGAGAUGGUUGCCCAUUAUCAAGCAGAGGAAGCGAAAGAGAAAGCCGCUUCAAUUUGGGGCAGUCGUAUACUUCAAUUUCUUGGAGAGAAUUACAAACCAAUACCCCAUUAUUGCUGCAGAAGCUCUUAAAUUCUGGCAAGUUAGAAAAACGCAACUUCUUCAAUCUAGGAAGUGUAAUGAUGGUAUUUGUUGCUAAUUCUUUCUUAGUUUCUUUAUCCUCGACCGCUACUAUCUCCUCGAUUGAAUAGCACUCUUCGACUUUGAGAACUUCCAAGUUUUGGAGGGCAGGCAAUAACCGAAGUGAGAACAAAUUCCUUAAAUUAUCACAACUGUAAAACCGAAGAACUUUAAGAUCGUGUGAAAACUUGCCAAUGUUAACUAAUCCUUGUUCCCUUGGUAAAACAUCAUUUAAGCUUGCAACGUCGUCGACCACAAACAUUUCUAAAUAUUGAACAUCUUCUGGGAGCACAAUGGUUUCUUCUCUUUCAAAGAUUUUGCAAUCGAGUAACCAUACUGAUUUAUCUACUUCGAGAUCAGUAAUCAGAAAUCCCCCCAUCCAAUAUUCCGACAGCACAAGACAAUAAUUUUUCGAUCCUCGACCAUCUGUAGACUUAACAUAUAUGUUGAAAUCUUUGAGUUUAGAAAAACAGCCUUCAAAAUAGUCCAAUCUAUCGCUCAAUCUAGCUGCCUCUUCCACUGUUUCUCGUAAAGCUUCCCUCCCAAAAAGUAAUUUCAAUUUGUAGAGAUUACGUAGUCUAAGUAAUAUACCAGUCGGGAACUUCUUCAGCCACAGUGACCAGAGAUAAAGAUGACUAAGGUUUUCCAACAUUUCCAUACCUUCUGGGACUUCUUCUAUCCGUGUUCCUUCGAGGUCCAAGUACUGGAGAGCCAACAGCUUUGCCAAAGAAGGAACUCGCUCUAAUCUUCCACACCAUCGAAGCAACAAUGAUCUGAGAUUCGUCAAGUCAGAGACGGAACUUGGCAAGACUUCAAUGUUGGUGCGAGAAAGAUUCAGAACCUUCAAACCAUGCAUGUGCACAAAGAAACAUUCAGGAAUCCUCUGUAAAUUUUCAUUGCGUUGUAGCAACAAAGUUGAAAGAAUGUCACAAUGUGGGGACAUAUUUGAAGGGAUUUCCUCAAUGUUAUUCCUCAUCAGCGAAACUCUCUCGAGAUUCUCUUCCCAUUCUUGUUCACCUGGAAAUUUUAGCAAACGUAGGCCAGCUUUCACCAUGAAUAAAGGGCUCUCGCUUGUUAAGCGCAACACCAUGUCUCUUAUAAGAUCAUGCAUCUUCACACAACUACCAUCUUCAGCGCUCUCCAAUAAGCAGCAAUUUACAAGCCUGUUCAAUAUAGUAUGGCCUCUAUCAUAUUUUGCUUGGACAUCUUUCACUUCCUCGAUAAACCCUUCUGCAAUCCAGUAUUCUAUCAGCUCAUCCUUUAAGAUGGGAAAGUCUUCAGGAUACAAUGCACAAUCCAAGAAGCAUUGUCGGAGCUUUUCAUCUUUCAAGCGAUGGUAACUGAAUUCUAAUCGCCCCAGCACUUUAGCAUCUACGUCAUUCAAGCUUCUCAGACGUCCACGCAAUUCAUUGAGCGCAUUUUGCCAUUCAUAAAUUUCUUCUUCGCCACUCAUGGAAGCAGCUACAGUGACAAUUGCGAGCGGUAAACGACCACAUUCCUCAACAACUUCGUUUAUGAUUUCUUUAUUCAAAGCUGGAACUUGCAAAAUGCUGCUGCCAACUCCGUCUAUGAACAAAUUAAAUGCCUCCUGUUUAGAAAGCAAUUCAACUGCGACUUGUUUACACUUCAUAGAACGACAGACCCUAUGUGAACGUGUAGUUAUCACCAAUUUGCAUCCGUUCUCUUCAUUAGGCUCAGGGAUUCCUACUUCCUCGAGAGGAAAUGCUUCCCACAUAUCAUCUAGUAUCAACACAAACUUCUCUUUAGCUUUCAACAUUCCUAGCAACCUCCCUGCACGUCUUACUUUAUCUUCAUUUUCUGAAAGACUUUGUUUCAAUGCAGUUGCAAUCUCAGUUUGCAGUUUAAAAAGAUCAAGUGGUUGAGACACAGUGACCCAAAUCACAUCAUUGAACUUAUUGGGCUUUUCCUGGAGUUUGUUGUUGAUAUGACUCAUAAUAGUGGUUUUACCAAUACCUCCCAUACCCCAAACUCCUAUCUUUGACACCUUAUCACCCAUGAGAUCCUCCCAAAUUUCCUCCACAAUCUUCCCUGUCCUUUCCCCCACUAAAUUGCUUGUUGUUGACAACGUCAUUCCGCUGGUUGAAGGGGCAUCACUCACAUAACUAGUAAAAGCACAACCCUUUUGAAUAUACUCUUUCACUUCUUCAAUCUUCUUCUCAACAUCUUUUCCAAGACACGCACGUGAGAAGCAAUUUCCUUUCUCCACCUCCUGUUUGAAACUCUCUGCUUUCGUAUUGAUCCUUUGUACGUUUUUCAGCCAAUCACUGACUUCAUUACUUGGUUUUUUUCCUUGCUCACGCUCCGCCCUCGACAAUGUCCCUUCGAUAUCUUUUAUCUUGUUUUCUAACUCCCGUAAUACUCUGUCAAGUUCUUCCAUAUUUUCAUCGAGCUUUCUGUAAUACUCAAAAUAUUCGCGUAUAGGAGAACAUACACACUUGAAUAUUUCACUGAUUGGUCCGAUAAGAUCCAUUGGCUGGUCCUAGAAGAUAUUUAGUACAACAUUAGUAUAAGGUUUCUUCCAAGUGCAAUUUUUGUUCAAAAUUGCGUCAAAUAUUUACAUUAAAUAUUAUAACUACUAAUAAUAAAGAUAAUAUUUCAUCUGACUUAUUUAUCAACUUAAAUUUUUUUACUUAUGUGGAACAUAUAUGCUUACAUGAGAUUUAUAAAAAUAUGUAGAGCAAAAUCCGUCAAAGAUAUGAUUUGAACACAUAUUUUGAGUUACGGAUCCCAUGCAAUCCAGUAAGAAUUUGGUAAUAAUUAAUAAUAUUUUUUGCCUAGAAAUUUCAACUUACAUAGAUCAAUUAAUGAAUGAAAAUAUGUGUCUCAAUUUGACAUGGCCAAACAACUAAUAGCAUGCAAGAAAAAAUAAAUCAAUAGUGCAAUAUAAUCUAAAAGAAAGUAUAACUUACCUGAAUAAACCGGCUUGCUGUAGCUUCUUCAAAUGUUUGUCAAGGGGAAGAAAGCAUCAAGGCUGAAUCCAAAAGAAUAUAACCUUUUGCGGAAUGGCAAUACUCUUCGUGAUUUCUUGAGUAAAAAAAAAAAUAAUUAAAAAAAAAAAGAAAAAAGAAGGGUCAAGAAUCAUAAUGAAUGCUAGCUAUAUAUGCAACAAUGGAAACAGAGAAUGUAAUCAAUAAUAGAUGCAUUUUAUCACAUUACAAUCAUAUAUGCAUAUGAUAACGGACAAAGAAAGCGAGCAAUCCCACCAAAAUUUAUUCUCAAAAGCAACGAAAAAAAUACACGUGUAACAAUGAGAAUCGAAGAGAAACAAUCUCAACAAAUUAUUCCAAAAGCAACCGGUAAAUUUAAAAAGAUAAUAAAAAGAGAGAUUUGGAAGAAAAAUACCUGUAGUUGAGUUGAGAGGAUAGAGAAUAGUUGGAGCCUAAAGGUAAGUUAGAGAGAUAAAUAAAAGAGUUAAAUGAACAUUAGCGUUAAAAUGAUUGAAUAAGAUAAACUAAAAAAAUGUGAAAAAGCGACAUUACCCACCCCUCUUAACUUAUGUGACCGCCUUAUCAAAAAAAAAAAAAAAAAAAACUUAUGUGGCCACAAUUUUUAAUUUUUUAAAAUUAUUUUGUACAGUUAUGGUUUUCGUUUAGAAAAUAAUUGAGUUUGAUGAACUGAACCGAACCGAACCGAAGCUGCGGUGGAAGACUCUUUGUUGUACUGGGCAUUAAUUAACUUUCGUACUGCAUUGGUUAUUAACUUUCAACUUGAUAUUAUGUUAGUCAAUUUUUUUUUUCAUAAUUUAUAAUUUAUUAUUAAAUAAAUUUAAUCAUUAAGGGUAUAUAAAUCAUUUGAACUUAAUUUCAAAUAUAAGAGAGAUUUCGUUUAAUUUUUUCAAACAAUAAGAGCAGUCCUCAUUUUUCCUUUUUAACGAGUGUCUUUUGUGAACGUGCGGUCUUUUGAAAAAUUGAAAUUGUAAUCCGUAAUUUAAGAUAAGCAAUGAAAGUUUGAAAAAAAAAAAAAAAAAAUAUAUAUAUAUAUAUAUAUAUAUAUAUAUAACAGAGAAUGAUUGCAAUUUUUUUAGAUUGUGGCCCCAAUUUGAAAUAGAAAUAUUGUCUAAUUGCUUGUCGGAUUUGAAAAGUGCAGGCAGCCAACAGCUACUUGUCUUCAAUAAUUCAUAAGAUGAAAGGGAUGAUUAAUCACUUAGCCGGCCUGCCAAUGAGAGGAAAGUCAUCUUGCAAAAAAUUAAAAUAUUGAAUUCCUCUAAUUGGAAUUGGAGCCAUAUAUGGUUUAUAAAAUAGCAUUGAUUCCCUUACAAAUAUAUGUAAAACAACAAACACAGACAAAAAUUAAUGCUAAUUUAUACAUUAGUUGCGUCUUAAUUUGACAUUUGGUAAUGACAGGCAAUGACCAACUUGUCUUCAAUAAUUAACAAGAUGAAAGGGAAUCCAAACGCACGAUGAACGAUAUGUUGCUCAGCCAUUAUAUGAAUGGCCGACUUUUUCUCUGCAGUUAAAUUUCCAAGUGGCCACUAGUCCCCUACUAACUUAUAAAAAAUCUGAAGAGUUAUGAGUUUUUUAAUGAGAUAUUUUUUUUUAAAAAAAUUUUUUGGGCUACUCGUGAUAUUAUGUUUUAAGCUUAAGCUUCUUCAAAUGCAAAAUUGCGGACAACACAACCUAAGACUUUAAAUUUUUUCGGACUGCGCUUACAGUUAUACCCUUGCAAACAGAAAUUUAAAGGGAGAAAAUUUUUCAUGGUCAUUAAUCCCAGGAAAAUGACGUUUGCCCCGGGUCAAACCCUAAAGCGACUAAAACGGCGUCGUUUCAGUACUUUUAUUUUUUGUCCUGCUUUGCUGUGAAACGAUAUCGUUUUGGCUUGUAUAAAGUUAAAAAAUAUGAACCUUGCUUCGUCCUUCCUCUUCGUUCUCUUAACCCAGCUGCUUCUUCCUCUUCGUUGCUGCGGAAAACUUAAUCACGCAAACAUCAGUGGCUUCAACUUAGACGAGUUUCGACAUUGUCCCUGAAAGAUUGAUUUUCGACAUCGUCCCUGACAAAAGUGAUUGGAGUGACCAGUGAUCAAAUCCCAAAAGUUUCGCAUUCAAAUGAUGCUAUCAUCUCCCUAUCAAGUAAUCAAUAAAUUACUUAAACUUUGCUAAUAAUGGCCAUUAAUUUCCUCAAAUUCAAUAUUUAACAAACUAGAAAUCAUCUAAUUAACUUGUAUAUUUACAGAGUAAGAGAAGAUAGAAGAUCAAACUUUGUGCAACAACAAUAUUCUCUUGAAGCAAAUUUCUCAAGAUUCUUUGCUGAUAAUUGUAAUAAUUGACACAAACCACCCUUUUGGAAGGAUAAAAAGAAAUGGGUGGCAUUGUGGAGUCCAAAAAAAAAACAAAAUGCCUGCCAGUUUUCCAGGGAAAGUGGGCCAGACUCCAGGGCUUGGUAAAUGGUAAUGAUGCAGAGGCUGCGACAAGACGAUCUGCAGUUGGGUUGUGGUUGCACAGUUGAGUUGCUGGUGAAACGUGGCUGUCUCGUGAAAUGAGGAGAACGAAGAAGAAGAAGUUGCUGGUGAAACAAUGCCUUUGCGAUUUAUCCUGGUGAAACGUCGUCGUUCAUAACAAAUGAAAACAAAAAAAAAAAUUAAUAGACAAAACGGCGUCGUUCCAGUCAGUUUCGAAGUUUGACCCGGGGCAAUUAUCAGCGCUGUUAAUCCUAACUCUCUCUACACGUGACCUUAAUAUUUCGUUUUCACAUUUUCUCUCUGCGCAUGCAAAUCUCAACUCUCUUUUUCCGUUAGAUUCUAAUAAAAUCGAUAAUAAAUUGUUGAUAGUAUCCAUCUCAAGCUUAACUAAACUUCAAGGACCAAUUCUGUCAUCGGACAAGCAUUAACAAAAUAAAUCUAAUUCGGUUAAAUAAUUAUAAAUUAAUUAUUUUAAAGAAUAAAAAGGAAUUAAAUUUAUUUAUAGUGAAGUAUAAUUUGAAAUUUUUUAUUUUUUAUUGUCUAUUUAUUAAUUUAAUUGCAGAUUAAAUUCAUUUAAAAUUUAUAUUUUGAAUUAUAUUUUGUAAUAAAUAUUGAAAGUUUAACACUAAAGAGAGAAUUUAUCCUAAUAAAAAAAAAAUCAUUUGUCUCUAAAAUUCUAUAUCAAACCUAUGGCUGUCAAGAAAGCCCAUAUCGACAUUGACUUGGCUUCGGCUUAGGCAAUGCGAACCAGGCGCUACAAGAGCUUGGGAGUGAGGUGGGAUAGAUUCGAACCUCACUUGAUAAGCCUCAGUCUGGGAGACCUAUAGUUUAUGAAAAAAAUCUAAAAUAUAUAUUAUACAUUGAAUAAUUAUAUUUAGUUAGCCACCAAUUACAUACAUUUGGAGGUUUAAGCCAUUAGCUUCAACUUUAUUAUACUAAUUUUAUUAAAAUUUAUAAAUUUUUCAAAAAAAAAAAUUAUAAGAUACAAAAUUGGCUUUUUAAGCUCGGAUAAAACAGUCCCUAAUCAUUACACUCCCCUCGCCUCCCAAUUCCUCUCCACAAUUCUUCUUUUCUUUACUCUUUUUUCUUCUCAUUUUUUGAAACCAAACACUACGGUCCGAAAUUUGGUAAAAUUUUAGUAUACCACCCAACACUCAACAACCAUAAUUAGUAUGAUAGGUAGUGUAGAGGAAAUAAAUUCAAUAUCAGACAAAAUUGAAAAAUUAAAAACUAAUAAAAAUAAAUUCUCAUUUCUGCAUGGAUUUGUGCACGGUAGCGACCACCUUCUCAAUUGCUUCCAGCUUUUUCAUUAGAAAGAUCCUCGAGCAGCAUCCGAGUGUUCACUCCUUUGGUAGAAUAUAUUAUUAAUACGCCAAAUAAAAAUCCAUGGGACAAAAAUUUGGUUAUAGAUAGACAAAACCAAGAAGCUUUCAAGGCAAAACAAAUAAUUAAAGUUCUUUAAUUUGCAAGAUGAAAACUGUCAUUAUGGAUAACGGAAACGAAACCAAAAUAAGAACUAAUCAUGGUUGAAAUGCUUGAUACACAAACACACAAACGCGCACACACACAGAACAAAAGAAGUGGAGAAUUAAAUCAUUAAUGUAGCCAAACCUACAAUAUUUGAUGAAGCAAGGAGUCAAAUGGGUAUGCAAGCAAGAUAAUGAAUCAAGAAAAUUAAGGAAAAAAUGUAGCUAGUUGAAGUAUUAAUUGAGCAAGAUUAAUAUACCUAUAUGUAUGUUAAAAAAACAAAUUAUAGUUAGUUACUUAUUGAGGUUGAAAAGUAUAAAUUCUUCUAUUGUGAUUUCUUUUCUAUACAAAAUCACAUUUUUCCUCUUUACUUUUUUAUUCAUUUUCAAAUUAUUUUUUAGUGAUAUAAAACCCACUCCUUCAUCGAGUGGUGAGCACCUCUUCGUCUUAUUUUUUAGGAUGAGAGUUUAAAUCUUCUUGUGUGCAUUGUGAAUGUUAAUUUAGAUAUUCAUAAUAAGAUAUAAAUUAGAUAUUUUUAAAAUUGGGGAUUCAAGUCUUCUCUUGUGGUAUCAUCAUACAUAAUAAGAAAUAAAUUGGACAAUAGCACAAAAAUGUAAAAGUAUUUCUUUUGUUGGGAGAAUAAUAAAGACUUCUAUUGGGCUUUGGACUGAUAAGAAACUAGCUAUUGUGUUAUGUCCAGCCGAAAAAGCCCAUUUUUGAUUGUGACAUUUUUUGCUGGUUCGACACGUAUUGGAAGAAUACACCUAGAGUGAUCUGAAGUUACAAAAGUCUCCUCAACCGGACAAUAAGAAACACUUUGAAAAAUUAACACUCAGUCGCACACGCCUUCCCUGAGAAUGGAAACGCAGAAGCGUGCUUUUUUUAUUAUAGAGCACUUCCUUGAUUAAAAAUAAAAAAAGAGUUCAAGACAAGUGGACGCGGGCGCCGCCGCCGACGGCAAUGCCGUCGCCCAUUAAUCAAAUAAUCAAAGCAUGUAAACAGACGCAAGUUUUACCUUUUAAAAAUAAUCAGUUGCCGUUUAAUUUCCGCUGCUUGGAAACAAAAUUGAAUUUGACUUUUGACUUGGCUUUACCCUUUAUCCUGUACGCUAUGGAAACGGUGACGUGGCUGGUAGUGUUGUAUUGGAUUUCACUAUUUAACUUACGGUAAGGACAGUCACAAUUACCAUUUGCAAAUGCAAAUUUUCAUUUCUAUGUAAAAUGUAAUCAUCUUUUAUGAAUAGCCGGACUAAAAUUUUGUAAUUUUUUGCAAUGUGUCUCUAAUAUGAAAAAGAGAAAAGAAAAGAAAAAUGAAAAUACAACAUAUUUUAAACCGAAUAUGUGAAUAUAAAGAAAAUUAAUAAUUUUUUUUUUGGGAAAUAUGACAAGUUAUCACAUACAGUGACAACUACAAGGAAGGUAGAUUCGGAAUAGAAGAAAUCAAUAUAAAAGAAACAUUUUUUUUUGACUGAACAUAAAAGAGAGCUUAAACAGACAUAAACAAUACUAAUCAGUGUUGUAAAGGCAACUUUUGUAAAUUUACCAGGCUUUUAUGGAAUGAAUUACACAUAUGGGAAGAAAUUUGAAAGUUCUCUCUCUCUCUCUCUCUCUCUCUAUAUAUAUGAGAUAUUAUCAUUCGUAUACCUUAUAAAUAUUAUGUUAUAAAAAAUACGACAAUACUUUGAGAGUGUAUCAAUCGUCCACCCUAAAUUAACAAAAGUUAUCUGCCGACCACCAAACCGUUAGCUGCCGUUUGAAAGUUAACAGAAUAAUAGUAAAUUGACGAUUUUAUCCUUACAAAUUAUCUUUUAUAUACCCUUAAAUUCUUUUAUUAUCACUUGUAUCUCCUUAAAUUAUCACUUGUAUCAUAUGAAAAGACUAAAUUACCCCUAUGGUGUUAUCCUAUUUAAACGGCAAGUAACGGUUUGGUGGACGACAUAUACAUUUUGCCAACUUAAGUGGACGAUUGAUACACCCUCAAAGUAUUGUAGUAUUUUUGAUAAUAGAGCAUUUAUAGGAUAUAUGAAUGAUAAUUUCCUGAUAUAUAUAUAUGUUGAUUACAAGAUUUUGGGUAUGCUCGUUACUGACCAGAAUCUCUCCUCAACACCUGAACUUGUAGUUGAUUGGGGAUAACUUCACACUGCUCUUUUUAGAUUAGCAAGACUCUAAGGCUUGCUGCUUUUCCUCUACGAAUUCCUGCACACACCAAAACUAGUUAGAGAACACCAGAGGUUUUCCCGGUGUAAACCCUUCGACGCUCAAGUCAGCGGUCUGGGCUUAUUUUGGAAAACUUGGCCACUAAUCUCGUGGCUCUCUAACAAUUUCUUAGCACUGAAAUCUCUUAGAAUUCUCCCUAGGUCUCAGACAAGAAUGCUCCCCUAGAUUUCUUUUAGAUUAAUUUUUAGUUUUUUAGUGUCUAAUCCCUUUACCUUCUUUGGAGGCCCCUUUUAUAGCCCUCCUGAAUUCAGUCUCCAUGAUCCACGUUCGCCACUUUACCCUAGUCCUCGAUUGUGGAUGCUCGAGUAUUGUGAUUGUGGCUGAGUGGGCCUCGUGUCUGGAUUAUCGGAGAGGAGCACACGUUCUAACAAUUGCCAUAGGCUAUGUCUUCCGAGCUUGGCCCCAACAAAAUAUGUUCUCAAUGUCUAGCAGAAGAUUCCUGCUCAUGCCAUGGCCCCAACAGAAGAUCUUCUCGGUGUCGAAUAGAAGACUCUUGUUCGUGGAUACUGUACAGCCCCUCACCCAUGAGAAAGAGAUCCUCGUUCGAGUGCAACUGGCUGUGUUGUUACAUACCCCAAACACCGGUCCCCUAGUUUCUGGUGUUGGUCAUGCAAUGGAUUAAUACUAGAAACAUAGUAGUCUUACCUUGCUCAGGACACACUUUGGCUUCUUGGCGUCGAAAGGAAGAGUUGUUCACUUUGUCCAUUCGACCCUUUGUGCUACUAACAGCUGUUUACUCGAAAAGUCGCGUCAUAAUUAAAUGCAGGUGAUGUGGCAGGAAUCUAUCCAUUCAUUCAAAUUUCAAAUUGAUGGUUGUGAAACCCUCGGAGUUGUUAAAUGACAAUAAAUCAUGAGUCUCCACUUCUUUUGGGAACCAUAAACUUUAAAAGAAAAUUCCUUUUCCAACUUUCUUCUCGCCCUUCGGUGACCCAGCUAUUUCCUCCAUCAAAGAUAAAGUCACUUCCACCUUUUUAAUUCUAGUGUGCCAUUGCUUUAGGUACUGUCUUCUUCACACCCGUCUUAGAUACUUGUCAUUUUUUCUGGGGUUAGGAGUUAUUUAGUUGCAUAUUCUUGGAUAUCGCUUGGAAAAUGUCAAAAGACAAGGAAAAAGUAAUUGAGAUUGAUGAUGACGAACUGGAUUUCCUUCCUGGUUUGCUCACGGAGCCCAUUUUCAACCCAGUAUCCCCUUAGAACCAGUAGGCCAUCCUAGUGUUAGGAGUAGUACUAGGAUGAUGUCUCCUGAGGUUUCUACCACAUGUAGCAAAAGUAACAACAACGAAUUUUUUAGCUCAGAAGAGACCUUAAUUGGGUACCCAGAUGAAGAGUCUGGUGAAGCAUCCUCACCAGAGGUAGCUCGACCAGAAAAGAAGAAGAAAUUAGGUGGUAGGACUCUGGCCGAAAACUACCCUAUUGACCUCAUGACUUGUAAGACCACAAUAGAUGACCUUAGAGAGCUCCAAAAUACCUACAAGAUUCCUAAUGACAUAGACCUUAAGGUUCCCAAGAAAAAGAAUACCCCUAGUCGGCCUCCCAGGGGGUUUGUUACUUUAUUUUUAGAGAGUUUUAAACAAGGGAUGAGGCUUCCCUUGCAGCCUUACUUCAUCCAGAUGCUUGGUAGGUUAUACUUAGCUCCCGACCAAUGACACAACUUAAAAGUAAUUUUUAACUCUCAAGUAUAAGACUGUCUUGUUGUAUUAUAACUCGGUGAGUCCGAGAUCGAUCCACAGAGAAAAGAUUUAAUUUGUUUAUUUUAUUUUAACUAAAAAUUAAAAUUAAAACUUAAAUAUAAACAACUUAAUUUAAAUAAAACUAUGAAAUUGAACUAGUUAGGGUUAUGGAUCCACUCUUAGAAGUAAAUAAAACUUAAUAAAUUCUUUUUGCCCUUUUUUUACAUUUAUUGCCUAAAAGAUUAAUUAUAUAAAUUAUUAUUAUUUUCCCUUUAAUUUUAUGAUGGAUUAAGUAUUUAUUGUGCCAAAAUUUAAUUUGUCUACAAUAAGUCAAAAUUCCAUUUUAUCAUACUUUAUAUUAAGAUAUUAAGAAUUUAUUGUGCCAAAUUCAUUUGUGUGUCUACAAUAAAUCAAAAUUUCAAAAUAUAAAAUAUGUAUAAAAUUAAAUAGAAAAUAAUUUAAUUUAUAAAAUUAAAAAUAGAAUUUUCUUAAAUCAUAUUUAUUUCCUAAGAGUUUCACCUUCCCCUAACUAAUAUUAUUUAGUUAAGCAUAAUUAAAAUAAAAAGAAGCAGUAAAAUUGAAUUACUUAUAAUUAAAAGAAAUAAAAACAACUAAAAUUAAAAAUAAAACUAAUUUUAUUUAUAAAAAUAAUUAUACAAAAUAUUAAAAACACACCUGGAAAUCAAGAUUACAAGGUGAUGGAGAGAAUUUGAGAAGAAGAGAGUUGUAGAGAGAUGAUUAAAAACAUAAAAAUGAGGCUCUAUUUAUAAAAAAAUAAAUUCAUAAUCCAGUGCUUUGCGGUCCAUCAUAAGCUUCAUGCAUGUGCUCCUCACAACCUUUAGAUCAAGAUCCAAUGGCUGGUCAAACUUCAAAAGUCAACAUCACACGUGGCAUCGUUUGACUCGUUCGAUUUGCCCAAAGAACGGUUGAGAUUUGGCGGGUUAAUGGGUGGAUCGGGUCGACCCGAAUACGAAGAUUCGGAUCCUCCAACUUGCUUCACCAACCAUUGCCACGUGGCACAAUCAUGGCCAUUGAAUCAUGAACGAUUGAGAUUUAGUCAAGAUUGCCAACUAUCCCAUGCACUCAUAUCUAUUGUAAGCUCAUUUCAUCAUCUAAUCAGUGAUUGGUCAACAGGAAAAGUCAACUUUUUUUUACACAAGCCCAAUUUUAAGCCGAUCUUGACUGAUCUUAAGUUUUUUCGGACCUCCGGAAUCCAAAUUUGACCUCCGUUUAUAUGUUUGGAGCCUCGAAGUACGUGAAAUUAAUAUUUUUCCUAAUAAACACAUAAAAAUACACAAAAUUAAAUAUAUUGAAAACAUAAUUAACAAUUCAUAAUAUAUUACAUAAACACAAAUAUAAAUUAUAACAUAAGCAUAAAAUAACAUAUUAUCGCUUGAUAAUUAAACAAUUUUUAAUACUAAUCAGCCAACUAAACCCUAAUGGAUGAAGGGUGCUUUCUAGUUUGUUUGUACUAUGGGACAUAUGUGGUCAGAGUGAGCUUACAAUUGAUGAGGUUAAACACCUGUACCAGUUAAAGAGCAGCCUUAAAGACACCGGAUGGUAUUAUUUUAUGCCAAGUACCAAGACCAGGAAACCUAUAACUGACCUCCCAAUAGGUAGUGGGAAUUGGAAGAGCAUGUUCUUUUUUGCUGGGGGUCUUUGGGGUCAGGUGGCGCCGACUGAUGGUGGGAAUGUCUAUGUCCCAUUUCGUUUCUCAAUCCUAGAUCAUCUGCUCAUUUAAGAUGCAUUAUACCACCAGAUGAUUAAAUAACUGAGUUAUUUCUGUUUAUGCUGCAGGUUCCUGAAGUGUCCAUUACUGCAUUAAAGGUGAAUUACUCAAGCGAGUUGAGACUGCGUUAGCAAAUUCUUGCUCCUAUAGAGACCUGUUGUCCACUCGUAGCUUAGUUAAUUCUCACUUAGGACCUGACACCGAAGCUAUGAAGGAUGCUGUGAUUGAGGCUUUGAACAUAAAACACACUCGCUUUGGUGGUGCAAAGGGGGAUCGCAGUGAAGAGGCUGCCCUUGAGAAGUGGGUCGAUACUGUAAGGAAAACUUCCCCUUUGAAGACGCUGCCACCUCCCUCUCCUAAAGCAGGUGAAGCUAGUAGAGCUGCGAACGACGCUAGCCCUGAUACCUCUCCUCCUUCAACAGGAUCCAAACCUCGAUGUCCUGAGGAUCGACCAGAGCAUCUGGCCCCUCAUAUCAGCGAGUUUUCUAGGCUCAUGAACAUUUGGAGGACUUUGGCAACAAUACCCUUGGCGAGCUGGUUGGGGCUAUGCAAUUCAGGACUUUCCACUUAGGCUGCAUGGCUAUUACUACAAGGCGAAGGUCGGGCGUUAUGACCAUAAGAUGAAGGACGACAUUCAGUCAGCUAAAAACAAAGUUGAUGCUAUUGAAAAGAAAGCAGAAGACCUCAACCUCGAGAACUUAAAAUUAGUGGAGCAGGCAUCUCUUGCACAGGCCAAGGCGAUCACCCUUGAGAAGUAGCUGAGCAAGGUCAAGGAGGAUUUAAAGACACAAAGAGCUUCAUACGAGUCUCAGCUGGAAUCACUUUGUGUUUCACACCAGACUCAGAUCGAGAACUUAGAGAAGGAGGUCGAUGACAAUUCCAACGAAGGGCUCAGGCACUCCUAUCAGCGUAUCAUGGCCGUUCUCGAAUGGCAACACCUCGAUUUGAAGAUGGACGAGCUUAUUGCUGGUGUAACUGAAUACAUGAACGAGGAGGUAGCCAAAGAGGGCAAUGAGGAAACAAGGCCAAACGCAACUGAAAAGGCGACUUCCCUUCCUCCUCCUGCCCCUAUUGAUGUUGCCGAAGCAAGCACUCCCCCAGGCGCAACUGGUGAAACUCGUCCUACUCCUCUAGCGGACAAUUCAACAGAAGCAACUCUUUUCACAGAUCCUCCAUCCUCAUGAAUGUAUUGCAAGUUUGUUUUGUGAACGUUGUAAAUUUGCAUGUCUAGGGUUAAUUUUUCAUUAAAUUUGGGGUUAUUAGGAAAUGAGUGAAGUAGCAGUACUUUGUUUUGUAAAAAAUUUAUACUUAGAACCUAAUUUAGCUUCUGAUGCAAAAUUGCAUUUUAAUUUAUUGAAAAGGGUAUAUUUCCUAAUGUAAUAAUUGACUCUGUGUUUUUGUUGGAGUAGCUUGUUGCCACCUCUUUUGUUGCAGAGUUUGCUACAUCUCUUUUGCUGGAACAAUUUGCUGUAGACGUAUUAAUUUUAUUUGGUAAAUAAAUUGCACUUAUUUAUUUUUAGAGUUUUGUGUUCGUUAGUUAAUUAAUAGUUGCACAAUAAUAAUUAUUUUAAUAUUAUGGUUCUUUAUAUGAUAGCAUGACUUGAGUUACAUGGGGCUUGAUUUUUAUGUUAUGUUGUGGCUAUUGUAAUGUGUCUAUUUACGUAUACCAAGUUUUGUGACUGUUUGCCAUUGUCACUAGAUUAUUAAUAAAUAACCUUAGUUUGUUUGCUUUAUAAUUUUUUUUAUUGCUGUUGGAGAACUCCAAUCUUUUAUCCUGCAUCGAGCAGGAUCAAUAAUUUUGUCAGAAGAGUACUUAUUUAGCUUUGAAACUUUUCUGAAUGUCUAAUCAUUUGCUCGGCAUCGCUUGGUCGAGCAAAGUCAUUCAAACUUGGCUUCUGGUCUCACCAUCGAGCAGACUUUGAGACUUUGAAGCCUUUAUUUGCCUUAGAAAAUUUUUGAAAUAUUUGAUCGUCUGCUCACAAUCGCUUGGUCGAGCAGAGUCUUGUAAAUUUGGCUUUUGGUCUCCCAAUUGAGUAGGCUUUUAGACUUUGAAGCCUUUAUUUCCCUUAGAAAAUUUUUAAAAUAUUUGAUCUUCUGCUCACCAUUGCUUGGUCUAGCAGAGUCUGGCAAACUUGGCUUCUGUUCUCGCCAUCGAGCAGACUUUGAGACUUUGAAGCCUUUAUUUGCCUUAAAUUUUUUUUUGACUGGUUGAAUGAACUUCCUCCAAACUUCAUUAAUCAUUGCAUAAACAUACAAGAAAUUAACUGAACAUAAAGUUUAAAUAGCAAGAGAAAUGAACGGAAAUAACCCUAACUCACUUCUAUUGGGCCUUACUAGAAGUAUUUUUUGAGAUGUGUUGUGUUCUAUGGUCGCUUCACCUCAUUUCAUACCCGCAAGAUUCUGUAUGGCCCUUCCCAGUUAGGAUCGAGCACACCUUGGGUCGAAUCUUUAGUACUCUGGUUUGAGCACUCAAUCACCCACCCUGAACUGCCUCACACCCACUUUUUUUUUUUUUUAUUGUAAUAGCGAGCUACUCUAUGCCAAGUUUCUGACAAAACUCCCUGAUGUUAUGAUUGUCGAAUUGUGUACCGUUGUCCACUAUCAAGGUGUAUGGGAUUCCAUAUCGGCAGACAAUGUUUCUCCACAGGAAGUCGGUAAUCUUUUUCUCUGUGAUCCUGCUCAGUGCUUCCACCUCGACCUAUUUUGUGAAAUAAUCUACCAUCACUAUAGCAUGUGUAGCCGCUCUCGUCCUUUUGGCGAAGGCUCGAUCAGGUGGAUUCCUCAAUGAGUAAACGACCACGAUGAAGUUAUAGUAGUGAGCUUUUCUGGUGGCUGUGCGGGGAAACUAGUAAAGUUCUGGCAACUUUUGCAACUUCUAGUUUUCUUCUGGGCAUCCUAGUGUAUCAUUAGGCAAAAGUACCCUUGCUUUAAGGCCUUCUAUGCAAGAGAUCUAGCUCCAGAGUGAUUUCCACAAACCCCUUCAUGCACUUCUCUUAGGACGUAGUCUGGGUCGUCUUCGUCCAGAUACCACAGGAAGGGCAGGGUGUACCCUAGUCGAUAUAAUACCCCGUUAAUUAGUGUGUACCUAGACGCUUGGCACCUAACUUUUCGUGCUCGCAUAUUGUUUGUUGGUAACACUCCAUCCUGUUUGCACGAGAUUAUUAGGUCCAUCCAUGAUCUUUUUUGAUAUAUUCGCAUCAUCUUUAUAUUCUACUUAAGGCAGGGGCCGGACUUGACUUCCAUAGGGACUAACUUUGACAUUUUUGGGUUCGCUGUAGUAGUCAUUUUGGUCAGGAUGUCUGCUCGGUAAUUUUCAAUCCUUAGAAUUUGCACUAUAUCUGCUGACUCGAACUUCUCGAUCAUUUGUUUGACUUUCCUUAGGUACUAUUCCAUCUUCUCAUCUUUGGGCUGGAACUUUUCACUGAUAAGGUUGGCGAUUAGCUGUGAGUCUGUCUGGAUUUUCACCUUACUUGCCCGCCUGAGCUAACUCUGACCUUGUAAUUAGAGCCUCAUAUUCAGCCUGAUUGUUUGUGGCCUUGAAUUCCAAUCUAACGACAUAAGAGUUUCUUCCCCAUCUGGGCUCUCCAAAACAACCCUUGAUCUAGCACCUUGCUCGCUUGAGGACCCAUCUACUGUCACUUGCCAAACUUGACCAUCGUUGCCGCUUGCAGCAAUAUUAGUGUGGCGAAGGUCCACUUUAGGUUAUGCAAAUUCUACCAUUUUUGUAGCUUAUAUCAAACUCGUUCAGACUUGACCGGAGGCUUUUGGUUUGAGCAAUGUUUGUCGCAGUGGUUGGUCUGUCACUACAGCAACUGGAAACGCUGGAAGUAUGGCCUCAGUUUUCGAGCACCACAACUAAGGCAAGCGCCCAUUUUUCUAGUGGCCGGCAUCUAAUCUCAGCAUCGGGCAGGGCUUUACUAGUGUAGUACACUGGGUACUGGACUCAUUCUUCUUUUUGCACCAAAACUGAGCUCGUUGCGUGAUCAGAUAUAACUAGAUAUAGAAGCAGUACAUCCCCCUCCCGUGGUGUAGAUAAUGAGGGUGCUUAUUGUAGGUACUGUUUCAAAUUCUGAAAGGCAUCCUCGCACUCGGGGGUCUAUUAUAUUUUCUUUCCCUUCCUCACCUCUUGGAAAAAGGCAUGACAUUUAUCUGUUGCCUUAGAUAUGAAUUGACUCAGCGUUGUCAAUUUUCCUGUAAGGCUCUGUAUCUCCUUUAGGUUACGAGGAGAUCUCAUUUCCACGAUUCCAUGAAUCUUUUCUAGAUUCGCCUCGAUCCCCCUAUGACUCAUAAUGAACCCAAGGAAUUUGCCCGAUCCAACCUUAAAAGCACAUUUCUCCGAGUUGAGCUUCAUAUUAUAUUUCCUGAAAAUCCCAAAUGUCUCAUCGAGGUGCUUUGUGUACUUAGCUGGGUUUUUUUUACCUUGGUUAUCAUGUCGUCUACGUAAACUUCCAUCAUAUGCCCGAUUAACGGCUUGAAAAUCUUGUUUACCAACAUCUGAUAUGUCGCAUCCGUAUUUUUAAGGUUGAAUGACAUCACCCUGUAACAGAACAAAUCCUAGUUCGUGAUAAACGCAUUGUUCACCUCAUCCUGCUCGUAUAUUGGAAUUUGGUUGUAUUAUAAGAAUGCGCCAAUGAAGCUGAGCAAACUAUGCCUGGCUAUUGAGUCAACCAGCUGGUCGAACUUAGGUAGGGGAAAGCUGUCAUUUGGGCAUGCCUUGUUGAGGUCGAUGAAAUCGACGUAUAUUCUUCAUUUAUCGUUGGCCUUUCUUACUUAGACGACGUUUGAUAUCCAUUCAGGGUAACUCACUUCUCUAAUGAAACCCGCCUUCAGGAGUUUCUCCACUGUUUAUGGUCUAAUAUCUCUCCUGGUUGAAGCAUCUCUUAUUUUGCCUUGUAGGUCGGGCACUAUUCUUUAUCGCCAGCUUAUGGCCGGCCAUCUCAGGAUCGAUUCCUGGCAUGUCAUUGUGUGUCCAAACAAACACAUCAGAGUGAGUUACAGGCAAUGCAUCAGCUUCUGCUUCAACUCUUCUUUCAGUUUCGAUCCAAUCUUGACUGGUCUCUCUGAGCCACCUUGUUCUAAGUUGAUAUUUUCCUCAACCGGCUCCUGUAUUCCUCUCAUGAGUUCUGCUCAGGCAUCAAGUGAGGUAAUUUGCAUUGCCUCUUUUGCUGUUGUAGAGUAACAGCCUCGAGUGAUUCUAUGGUCGCAUCGUACCACGCCAACUACCCUAUUCACCUGGUACUUGAGAGCCAAGUAAUGAUUGGACAGUACUUCUUUGCUCACUCUUAAAAAGGGUCAACCUAAAAUCAUGUGGUAUGAGCUCUCCUCAUCGACGAAAAAAAAUUCCAGAAUCAUCGCCUUUUCAAAUGUAGCAGAGCCUGUUGUGAUUGGCAACUCAACUACGCUGAGGGGAGUUAGCCCUCAUCCACCGAACCCCUUUAAGGAUGUAUUGGCAUGUUCCAUCCUUAGAUCUGCUCUACUAAUUUCCUCCAGAGUCGACUUGAAUAGGACAUUGACUGAACUUCCUGUAUCUACCAAGAUUCGGUCAAAUUUCUUGUUGGCGACAGUAGCCUUAAUGAUGAGAGCAUCUUCAUGUUGGCACAACACUCAUUCUUCAUCUUUAUUCGUCCACAUGAUGGGUACCUGCCUUGUCUUUGCUUGUUUGGCUACUGGAGUGUUGAAGAAUAUUUCUUUACUAGUCAUAGCAUACAUUGCAUAGUUUUUUUUGGAUCUAUUAGAAUCCCCAGCCAUCAUCGGGUCUUCAACGAUAACUCUGACAACGGGCUGCUCAUGACCCGCGUUUCUAGCAUUUUGGUCUGCUCCACAUGGUGAGUCUGCAAUCAUGAGGGCUCCGUCAAUGAACUCAUCCAAAUAGCGAUUCCUUACUAAAUCUUCCACCUAAUUUUUGAGAUCUUGGCAUUGGGCUAUGGUGUGACCAUGGUGCCAUGAAACUCGCAAAACCGAUCUCAGUCUUGUUUGCUGUGUAGUUUUUUUAUUGGGUCAAGGGAAUACAGCAGACCACGAUUCUUUAUUGCGUGGUACAACUCAUCCAAGGAUACCUUAAAAGGAGUAUACCGCCUACGAUUGGCAAAAUCUGGAUCCGGAUCUAGAUGUAGGUACAUUCAGAUUCGGAUCGCAUUUAAAUAUCUAUAUUCGGAUCUCCAUCUGGAUUCGCAAAAAGUUAUGCGGAUCCAGAUGCGGGUAAUAUCCGCAAUGGAUGCGGGUGAAUAUUCCGGAUAUUCGGAUCCGCAAAAAUUAAAAUUAAAUAAUUUAAAAUAUAAUUUAAAAAUUCAAUAAUUUAAAUAAUAAUAGCAAAUAAAAUUCAAUUAUAAUCCAACAAUUAACAAUUCAACAUGAAUUACAUACAAUAACAUCACAAAUCUACAAAUAAAAAUAUCACAACAUAAAUCAAACAUAAAAAAUAACAUAAAUUCAAUUACACCACCAUUAAAAUUCACAAAUAAAAUUAAUGCAUUUGAUUUAAGUAAUUAAACCAAAACCCUAAUUAAAAUAAUUAAAGUAAAUAUGAAAUUAAAGUAAUUAAGGAAGAUGACAAACUACAUUUAUCCAUAAUGACAAUAAUUAAUUUAAAAGCUAAAAUAAUAAAUACUAAUGCUAAUAAUAAUGGAAGAUGAUGAUAUAUAACAAUUAUGAGAAGGACACCUCCACGACCAAAUGAUGUGAUUGAAUGGUUCUGUAAACGCUUUCCAUGAAAGCACAAAACGACACCAAAAAUGCCUAGCCUUGCUCACUGAAAAUCUGAAAUUGAUUUGCUUGAAAUUCGUGUGCCCACCUUGUGCAUUGGUCGGUCAACCUUAUGCUUCGACGUUGAGAUCUAAUGCCGCGAACCAACCUUCUCUGAGAUUAGAUGAGUAUUCCCUUCUGGAAACAACGGCUAAGGACAGAAAGAAUAUAUAAGGCAGCCGUGUGUUGUGUGUUUUGUGACAGCAAAAUGCAGUGGGUUGCUGGCUUUCGAUGACAGCAAAAUGCACUGAGCAAGGUGAGGCAAGGCAGCCAGUGUUCGACGACAACAACUUGUGCUCAGCUCAGGCGAGGCAUCCAGCUUUUGAUGACAGUGAUUGCGAUGAGGACGACGUUCAACGGUUACGGAUUUUAAGUAGUUUUUGAUUUUAGCCGCUUGUGAGUGGUGGGUAGCAGGGGAGGCGUGAAUGGUUUAGGGUUACUGGAUUUGUUGUUUUUUUAUUUAUUUUAACUUAUAUAUAUUUUUAAUGCAAAUUUAUUAAAUUAAUAAUAUAUAUAAUUUCAACACAAUAGAUCUCAUGGGGGAGACCUAACCAGAGGUACAGUCAUCCUUAUCACCAUGCCCCAAUAACACACCACUCGCAGAAUAUAAGAGCCAGCGGGCCAAAUCCAUUAAUUCUCGCUCCCAUUCAAACAAUGUCCCCAAAGAAAUAGCAAUGCACAUGAUUGACUAGAGCCAGAGUUAUAGGCGAUAUUAGGGAUGGCAAAAUAAUUUGGGUCUGGCCCGGAUCCACAAAGAUCCAAAAGAUCCGGAUCUAAAGUCUAAAAAUCAUUAUCUGAUUUUUCGGAUACACUUGCAUUUGGAUCUAGAUCCGCACAGAUAAUGAUUUUUAGACUUUAGAUCCGGAUCUUUUGGAUCUUUGUGGAUCCGGGCCAGACCCAAAUUAUUUUGCCAUCCCUAAUAUCGCCUAUAACUAUGGCUCUAGUCAAUCAUGUGCAUUGCUAUUUUUUUGGGGACAUUGUUUGAAUGUGAGCGAGAAUUAAUGGAUUUGGCCCGCUGGCUCUUAUAUUUUGCGAGUGGUGUGUUAUUGGGGCAUGGUGAUAAGGAUGACUGUACCUCUGGUUAGGUCUCCCCCAUGAGUCCCUAGUUGGGGAACGAGGAGGCUGUAUUCUAUUGUGUUGAAAUUGAGAUGGCCUCUGGUGAAUUUGGUAAGAGGUGAUUCGGUUUCCCGCACUGAUACCCUGGGCAUGGUGAUCCUUCCGCUUAAUUGGCUUACUUCCUCCUGGGACUUUCUUUUCCUUCCUCCUCAGUCCUUGUAGCUGCUUGCUCUUAAUCCUCGCCAUUUUUUCCUCUUCAAUUUCUAUGUCCUUAUUAGCCUUCUCGUAGGCUACGAAAUAUGAUUGUACUGCAGUACUCCUAAAGAUGUACCAAAGGCGCCCUAUCCUUACUCUUUCUUUCAGCCCCUUCAAGGCUUGAGGAUGGUUGAAGGUUCUAAGGUCAAGGACGACAUGAUGGUACUUUUUGAUGAACUCCUGGAGAGUCUCGUUUUCUUCUUGAUUCAUACUCAUUAGCUCAAUCAUAUCAUCUUUUGGUGCAUUGCUCCCAUAAACUGCUCUGUAAAGUUCUGGCACAUCUGCUCGAAUGCCCUGAUGCUUUCUCGAGGCAGCCUCCGAUACCACUCACAUGCUCGUCCAUCUAAAGUUAGCGGGAACACCUUGCAUCUCUGGGCUUGGGAUAACCUCUGUUCUUCGGUUAUGUCAUUGAAGUGCUCUAUGUACACCAAGGGGUCAGUUCGUCCAGCAUAUUUAAGGUUAGGGAAGCAGAACUCCUACAGAAUAAUGGCACUCAUGAUCCUUGCUGAGAGGGGAGAUUCGCUACCUAACAUUAUUCUCCAACCUGGUGUUCUAUUACACCCGUUCAUGUCGUCUAUGAUCUGUGCCAAUCUCCGCACUUCUCUCUCCAGCUUCAUGGCUCGACCAUGUUCAUGUGCAGCAACUUGGUCUCGCUCUUACUCUACGUGAUGUAAAUGCUACUGAAGCUCCCUUUCUUUAACGUUUGUCAUUUUAUAAUUAUUACCCAUAUUCUGCCUGCCCCGAGGUUGAUCCCUCACUUCAUAACUUCCCCUCUUUAAAGAUUAGUCACCGGCACCACCACCAGACCUCUCGGUGGUUCGACCUCUCAUCGGGGCAGUCUCUUCAUUGUUGUUCUUUCUGUUAGCAAGCCUUGGUGUAAUUCAGUCACUUCUCAUCUUUCCUAUUUGAAUUCCUCUUUGCUCAUUCUUUAGCUCGUGCAAGAUGGUGUUAAAGUCUCCAUCUGUUUCUCCAGUUGCUCAAUCCGUCCAUGCAUUGCCCUCUCUCGUGCUUCAUUCACUAUCUCCCUUAGUGUCACGGACUCGCUGAGUCCUAGAUCCACUCCUUGAGCAUUACUCCGCCCUACGUUUGUAAUUACCCUCUUUCUCCUUCCAUUAUUUCUCUCUGUUGAUGGUAGUUUUUUGUUCAGCUCCCUAGAGAUGGCGCCAAAAUGUUGAUACAAGAUUUUGGGUCUACUCGUUACCGACCAAAACCUCUCCUCAACACCUAAAUAUGUAGUUUAUUGAGAAUAACUUCACGCUGCUCUCUUUAGACGAGCAAGAUUCUAAGGCUUGAUGCUUUUCCUCUACGAAUUCCUGCACACACCAAUACCAGUCAGAGAAUGCUGGGGAUUUUUCCGGCGUAAACCCUUCAACGCUCAAGUCAGCAGUCUGGGUUUACUUUGGAAAACUUAGCCAUUGAUCUGGUAGCUCUCUAACAAUUUCUUAGCACUGAAAUCCCUUAGAAUUCUCCCUAGGUCCUAGACAAGAAUUCCCCCCAGGUUUCUUUUAGAUUAAUUUUUAGUUUUUCAGUGUCUAACCCCUUUACGUUCUUUGGAGGCUCUUUUUAUAGCCCUCAUGAGAAUUCGAUCUCCAUGAUCCACGUUCAACACUUUACCUCAGUCCUUGGUCGUGGAUGCUCAAGUGUCGUGAUUGUGGCUGAGUGGGCAUUGUGCUUGGAUUCUCGGAGAGUAGCACAUGUUCUAACAACUACCAUAGACUGUGUCUUCCGGCCUUGGCCCUAACAGAAUAUGUUCUUGGUGUCAACAGAAGAUUCCUGCUCAUGCCAUUGCCCCAACAGAAGAUCUUCUCGAUGUCGAGCAUAAGACUCCUGUUCGUGGAUGCUGUACAAUCCCACACCCACGAGAAAGAGAUCCUCAUUCGAGUGCAAUUGGCUGCGUUAUUACAUACCCCAAACAAUAUAUAUAUAUAUAUAUAUAUAUAUAUAUAUAAUAAGUCACUUUGACACAAUGAAUAAUCCAUAAUUUUCAUCUACUACUUUGGUGCUCAAUUGAGAGAUUUAUUCUGGAACCAGUUUUGGGCCUUGGCUAUUGGCUUUGCUACUUAUCUUGCAAAAGCAUAGUAGAAGAAGCUGCAAAACAUUACUAAACCAAGAUCCAAACAAAAAUAGAUAUCUUCGGCCUAAGUAGAGAAGAAGAAGGCUGUUUGAGUGUUAUUUUUUGUCUUAACAACUUGAGAAUGACAGAAUUAGCAAGUCAGUCGGAGGAUACCAAAAUUGGCUGAUUAUAAGCAAAAUUUAUCAUUUUUCCAUUUAGUUGGGUUUAUAUAGAAUUGGUUGAUUAUGCUGGAAACGACACAAUUUCCAUUGUAAAUGCAACUUUAUUGCUUUCCCAUUUAGUUGGGUUUAACUUAGAAUUGAAGGACAAUCACAAUUACCAUUUGCAAAUGCAAAUUUUUAUCUCUGUGUAAAAUGUAAUAAUUUUUUGUGAAUAGCCAGAAAUUUUUUGUAAUUUUUGCAACGUGUCUCUAAUAUGAAAAAAAAAGAAAACUGAAAAUAUAAUAUAUUUUAAACCGUAUAUGUAAAUAUAUAGAAAAUUAAUAAUUUUUUUAGGUGAAAUAUGACAAGUUAACACAUACAGUGACAACUAUAAGGUAGGCAAAUUCAUAAUAGAAGAAACCAAUAUAAAAGAAAUUUUACUUUUUUUUAUGGAAUAUAAAUAAAAGAGAGCUUAAACUGCUACAAACAAUGCAAAUUAUUUUUGUGAAGAUAACUUUUGUAAAUUUAUCAGGCCUUUAAGGAAUGAAUUUGACACAUGGGAAGAAAAUUUAAAUACGUGUGUGUGUGUGUGUGUGUGUUUAUAUAUAGAGUGCUUUUCUGAUCCAGGAUCCUGGAUCAUAAUAAUAAUCCAGGAGAGUGUUUGUGGCCGUUGGAUUUGAUCCAACAGUCACUUUAUAUUUUCUUUAUACAACACUGCUUUUCGAAAUAUGGACCCACACUGCAGAGUUUCUAUAAUUUUUGAAAACUGAAAAAAUAAAAGAGGAAGCUCAAUAGUCGCAGUUCUAGAGAGAGAAAACUAAAAAAAAACUUUUACACAACACCAUUUAAGAAACAUGCAGCUGGAAAUAAAAAAUUCCAAAUUAAACAAAUUAAAUUUAGUUUUGAAAAUGCAGCGAUUGUUUGUUAUCAAAUUGAACCACUCGUUUGGAAUUUGUAGCUACCGGAGCUUCGUCAUUGCAGCUUCUCCAUUGAGUCUUUUUUUUUUCAAGUGAGUUGCAUGCUGAUACAUAUUCACCUUCUUUAAUUAUUUAUUUUAGCUCCCUAAAUUUGUGUUUUUUCUUCUUUUUUUCCCCUUAUUUCAGUUGUAGUAAAAUGAAUGCUCAGAAUGUGGCUGGCCAGUCAAACUGUGAGGAUAGUCUCUACGUACCAGAAGUAGCGCUCGACCGUAAGCCACAUAGAGGUCAAGAAUUUGACACUUUAGAUGACACUUAUAAAUUUUACAACAAAUAUACUAAAGAGGGUGGUUUUAGUAUCCGAAUUAAUUCGAGUAAGAUAUGCAAAGACAGUAAUGACAUAAUAAGGAAGGAAUAUGUGUGCUUUAAAGAAGGACAAGCAAGACAAUCCAAAGUUGUUAAUCGUAAGAGGCGACGCGGUAUAAUAUGAGGUGGUUGUAGUGCAAAAUUAGUAGUGGUUAAAUCUGAAUUCAGUAAAUAUAAGGUUUGUAUAUUUGUUGAAGAGCAUAAUCACGCAUUAUCUUCACCUCGAAGGGUUCAUCUAUUGAGGUCUCAUCGUUCAAUGUCAACUGUUCAGAAAAACUUAAGUCAACAAUUAACUGCAGUGAACAUACCAACAUGUCAGCAAAUCAAUCUUUUUGAAUUGCAGGCAGGGGGCUUGCAAAAUAUGGGAUGUGUACAGAGAGACUUUUAUAAUAAUAAUAGAAAUUUACGGAAUGAAUUGAAGGGUCAUGAUGCAGAUAUGUUGUACGAGCAUUUUCAGUAUGAGAAGGAAAAGAACUCAUCAUUCUUUUACAAUAUCAAAGCUGGAUGUGAUGAUCGAAUUACACAUUGUUUUUGGGCUGACGCAGUUUGCAGGCGGGUAUACAAGUUUUACGGUGAUGUGAUUGUGCUUGAUACUACGUACAACACCAAUCGAUAUAGUAUGAUUUUUGCACCUUUUGUUGGGGUUAAUAACCAUGGUCAAGCUAUUGUUUUUGGUUGUGGUUUUUUAAGUGAUGAGACAACAAAUCAUUUCUUUGGUUGUUUGAACAAUUUAAGGAGGCCAUGCCUGGUGAUGAUCCAAAAAUGAUUAUUACUGACCGGGAUCCAGCAAUGGUAAAAGCUAUAUCUCUAGCCUUUCCAUUCAUUUUUCAUAGAUUUUGCAUUUGGAAUAUAUUGAACAAAUUUUCGGAGAGACUAAGCAAAACAAUCCAUAUGGAAAAUUAUAGACAUUUUCAAAAAUGCAUUUGGGAAUCAAAUACUGUAGAAGAGUUUGAUGCACUGUGGAAAGAUGUUAUAGAUAAGGCAAAAUUAAUAGAGAAUGAGUGGCUACAAGGGGUGUAUGAAAUCAGAUCAAAAUGGGUGCCUGCGUAUGUGAACCAUGUGUUUUGAGCUGGGAUGUCAAGUAGCCAAUGAGCUGAAAGUAAUCAUGCAAUCUUUAAGAGGUAUGUAUCAAAAACAAAUUUGCUUCUUGACUUUGUUUUUUGAGUUAAUAGAGCACUUUCACAACAACGUCAUGAAGAGUUGAUUGCCGAUAACAAAGAUUUGAAUGAAUUGAGAUUACCAUUACAAAUUGAAAAGCAAAUGUCUGAAAUUUAUACAUGUGAGAUUUUUUAUAUGUUUCAAGAUGAAUUAUGGAAUAGCCUGUUACAUGCAAUUGAGCUUGUUAGAGAAAAUGAAGAUUGUUUGGUGUACAAUGUUGUGAAUCAAGAAGAUGGUGUUUCAAAAGUCUUUGAAGUAGUUUAUAACAAAAAAUUAGAUUUUGUUUCAUGUAUUUGCGAGAAAUUUGAAAGUGAAGGUAUCCCGUGUACACAUAUGCUAGCUUUGUUUAUGAAAUUGCAAAUUUCUUUUAUGCCUAAUAUUUAUAUUCUAAAAAGAUGGACUAAAGCUGCCAAACUUGAGAGGGUUAUUGAUGGAGAUGGUGUUGAAAUAAAUGAUUGUUCAGACAAAUCAAUUUUAUUAAGGAGGACCAAGUUAUUUCAGCUUGCUUCAAAUGUGAUUGAUAAAGCUGUUUUGAGUGAAGUAGCAUCUAAACUUGUCAUUGAGAUCUUAGAAGAUGCCCUGGAAAAGGUUAAGUUAGUCAUGCAAAGUUGCAGAAGUGAGGGAGUAUUAGAAAAGAAUAGUGGUAUGCAACAACCACACUUUAAUAACCACUUCAAGUUAGGGCUAAAGGGUGUGGGAAAAGACUUAAAGGCGGAAAGGAAAAAGCAAAAGAGAAAGCGAAAGGGAAAGACAAAGGAAGACGCUGCAAUGGAUGUGGUCUAGUUGGCCAGUCACACGAUAAAAGAAACUGCCCCUUGCUCAUCAAGAGGUAAAUGUGUCUUUUCAUAUUUAUUUUGUAUUAAGUUUAUCACGACUUUCACUUUUUUCAGUUUUUUUAAUAAGAUGUUGUAUUAUAUGAUUUAGAUUAGAGCUGAAUACAGUAAGAAACAUAAAUUCGUCUGAUUCAAGUGAUGGAAGCUAUGCUUCCACAGGUAAUUUGAUUUCAUUCAAGCGUGCCUUCAUUAUACAAUUUAAUUUUUUAAUAUUAAAAGUAAUUGAAUAAAUCUAUCAUUAACUUUUUUUAACUUAUUGUAACAGAUUACCCAUGACCUUUUGUUUUCCGGAUAGGUGUUCGUCCCUCUUUUUUCUUAUUCCUCUUCUCCGAGAUUGCUCCUUAUAAAGUAAAGAGCCUGGCCAAGAUCUCUACAUCUAUGUCACUUUUGGAACUGUCAAAAUAAUUGGGGGUCAAAAUGAAUCGAGAGUAGUAAUGUUGUUUCAAUUGUUGUAGCAAUUUGCGUAUUUUUUAUGUUAUAUUAUGUAGUACUCUCGUUUGUCAAAUAUGAGAUUUUUUUCAAUUUAACUUUUUAAAGAUGUAAUUUGAUGUUAAAGCCUGUAAUAUAUGCAUGAGAACUCAUUGGCUUUACCUUUUUUAUUUAUGUAAAUUUUGAUGUCAAAGCUUGUGAUAUAUACUCUAGUUUGAUAAGAUAGGAACUUCUUGGUAGAUGCCACUACACAGCACUGGUGCUUUGGCAAAAGUGACCAAACUGCGAACAAAUAUCAAUCCAAAUUGUGUUUUAAUUUCCAUUACAAGCCUAAAAGACGUGGAACUGUGGAAGCACCUACUGUAGAAGCCAUAAAAUUAUGCACUCAUCAUAAAAGCCAAAUGCACAACGGAAAGUACAAUAUAUGCACCAACAAUUCGAUUUGCAACCAGCAUGAAGGAAAUCCCAUUAAAAAAUGCCACACAUUUGAACUGAUACAAAUUUCUAGGAUAAAGUUAAAAAUCAAUAAACAUGAAAACUUGAAAAUCAAAUUCAUUGACAAUAUUGACUAAUAUUUUAACUAUAUUUGCACUUCAAUGAAGAAACUCGACUGCGGCGCUGCUAUGACGGAGCUUCAUUUCUCUCUUGCUGAUCAAAAAGCUAUAUUUUCGCUUUAGUUCUGGGUUAAGUAGUUUAGUUUAGGAUUUAAGUUGUUGCAUUUGCCAAACUAAAUUUGAUUUGUUCAAUUUGGAAUUUUUUAUUUCCAGCUGCAUGUUUCUUAAAUGGUGUUGUGUAAAAGUUUUUUUUUAGUUUUCUCUCUCUAGAACUGUGACUAUUGAGCUUCCUCUUUUAUUUUUUCAGUUUUCAAAAAUUAUAGAAACUCUACAGUGUGGGUCCAUAUGUCGGAAAGCAGUGUUGUAUAAAGAAAAUAUAAAGUGACCGUUGGAUCAAAUCCAACGGCCACAAACACUCUCCCGGAUUAUUAUUAUGAUCCAAGAUCUUGGAUAAGAAAAGCACUCUAUAUAUAUAUAUUCAAUAAGUCACUUUGUGAUGUACAUUAGCCUUAGUCAUAGUAGGAGUAUGAAUUUAAUUUUCUUUUUUUUAGUUUGAUUAUGAUUUAUUUUUUUAUUUAAGUUACAUUCAUUUUCUUAUAAGGAAUCAUAAUUUUAUUAGGAAUAUGAUAUACUUAAUUAGUAUAAAUAGUCUUGUUAUGCUUGUUUCUUGACAUAAGCUUUUCGUUAAUAAUAUUCAUAUUCUGAAUUAAGAUAUUUUCUCUUUUGUGAGAGCUCUCCUUCUUGAGUUUUUUAAGGACAUACGCUAAAACGAAAUUUAGUAUCGCUUUCACACUACUUCAAGUGGUAUCAGAACCUUCCUCUGUAUCAGACAUAGCUUUCUUAACCAUUAACCACCUUUCAUACGCAAAUCCUUCCCCCAUUAUCCAUUAAUUCCAUCAACUAAAAAAAAAAAAUUAGCAAAAGAACAAAUCCAAACCAAGCCACUUUAACAGCCACCUCAAUCGACUGUUGCCACCAUUCUUCUUCUUUCCGAUUGAUCCUCUCUCUCAUUUGAACACUCAUAAGUUGGCCAUUAAAACCCAACCUAUCUCACUAUCGAACCACUACUAAAACACCACCAAAAACCUGUAAACCGCUGCAUCUAAAGCCACUCAAAUCGUUGCCCUUUGUCGCGAUUUACCAGUCUUUACUACUACCAAUCUGUUCACCAUCAAUAACCUAUUCUUUCCAACUAGUUCCUCUCGUCAUCUGUUGCUCAUUCACUAUAAAGCAAAACUAACCUCCAACCGCCAGUUCAAUUCAAUUUUUUGGUGAAUCCAGAACAAUUUGAGACAAACCGCCAUUGCCAUCACACUCAUCGUCAUCAACUCUUCUAAAUCCACCUAUCGUAAUCCAAACAAUCAAUUUAACAACUCAUGCUGAGGAAAAUGAAGAGCCUGAAAACAAACCAUUUAAAGACAAUGAAGACAUGGAAGAGGAGGAAGAGUGAACACAUCCAGAUGAAGGAGUAUCACUAGUAAUAAAACAUUUGCUACACACUUCAAACAUUAGCAUAUUCAAAAUAAGGUGUACAGUCAAUGAGAGGGUAUGCGAUCUAAUUAUUGAUGAUGGUAAUUAUAAGAAUAGAGUUUCCAAGAUAGUGGUUGACAAGUUACGACUUAAAACUCACAAACAUCCUUCUCUUUAUCAUAUUAGAUGGGUAAAAGAUGUUGGAGAGACUAAAGUUACUGAACAAUGCCAUGUGUUUUUCUCCAUUGGAAGAUAUAAAGAUGAAGUAAUCUACAAUGUUGUCGACGUGAAUGCUUGCCAUAUGUUACUUGGAAGACCCUAGUGGUCUGAUCUUAAUAUAGUACAUCAUGGGAAGGAUAAUACAUAUUGGUUUUAUAAAGACAACAUGAAGGUUAUCCUUGCUCCAAUGAAGUCAAAAGUCAAGAAAACCUAUUUUUUACUACCAAAAGAGGUAGUUGAAGUAGAAUUAGUGCCUAAACAAGUUAACUCUUAUGAGGAAUAUCCCACAUCAAAUUGAUAUUGUCCCUGGAGCUAACCUACCCAACUUACCUUAUCGUAUGAACCCAAAAGAGUAUGAUAUACUACAAGAGCAAGUUAAAGAAUUACUCUGCAAGGGGCUAACUGUGAAAGUAUGAGCCCAUGUGCUGUUCCCGCUUUACUAACUCCAAAGAAAGACAGAAGUUGGAGAAUGUGUGUAAAUAACAGAGCUAUCACAGUGAAGUAUCGAUUCUCAAUUCCUCAACUAGGUAAUAUGCUUGAUAAAUUGGGAGGGUAAAAAAUAUUUUCAAAGAUUGUUUUAAAGAGCGGAUAUCAUCAGAUUUGUAUCCACUUUGGUGAUGAAUAGAAGACAGCUUUUAGGACUGACGAAGGUUUAUAUGAGUAGUUAGUCAUGCCUUUUGGAUUAUCUAAUGCAUGACAUGAGGUUGAUGAACCAAGUAUUACAGCAUUUGCGAGACGUCUUCACAGCCUUACAGUGAUACAAACCCCACAAUGAAACCUGCACUUAAUUUGAAGUUUCAAAUUCCUUAAAAAGUUCUGAACAGAUUUAAGCAAAAUAAAAACCUUGACCCAAUAUUUAAGAAAACAUGAACUAGAGGUAUUGAGAAGGAUAUUGACGCCACACUCAAGAUUUAGAUGAGAAGGUGAGUGAUAAGUCUAUUUUGGAAUGCCACAAGAAUGCAAAUUCUUGAUAAGUUCACUAGUUCUCAAAAGAACCAAAGAAAGAAUGAUAUUUCAAAUUCAAAAUAAUAUUCAUCUCUAAUUGUCUUACAUAGCAAGGUUGCUGAGUUUAAAUAGGAUAAUAGAAACUCAAGAUCCCAAAAAUACAAAUGAAAACAUUGGAACAACCCUCCAAGCAUAGGUUUGUCAAAGGAUGCUUUAAAAGUCUUUACCAAUCCACCAUUAUUAAUACUAGUCAUUGACAAAUUUAAUGCUAGCCUACUAUAAUUAAUGCUAGUUAUUGACAAACUUAAUGUUAGCCUACUAUAAUUAAUGCUAGUUAUUGACAAACUUAAUGCUAGCCCACCAUUAUUGAUGGUAGUCAUUAACAAACUUAAUGUUGGUCCACCAUCAUUGAUGGUAGACUUACCUAACACAUUGACAAACUUAAAACAAAAUAAAUAAAUGAAGUUGAAUAAACAAAGGAUUAAUUGGAAUUCCCAAGCCUGAACAAGCUGUAAUAAAUUGAUCAUAACACCUUCUAGAGAACUUCAAAUCCCGACUUGUAAAUUGCAUUGGAAAUUUAACUUAAUUAUCUUUCCAACGGUAUAUAACUUGCACAUUAGUUCUGGCUAAAUCAAUACUAGUUUUAUUUUGAAUUUUCCCUUUCUGCAUUUGAUCCAAAUUAUGUAUUUGGUUGCCAAAUAGCUUGAAUAAUGCCUACAAUGUCUUGCCUUCUCUCUAAGCCCAAUUCUUGAUUUCUUGCAUCUUGAAUUGCAUUUUUAGUCUACAUUUUCUUAAUUAAUCUAUUUAAAGCAGCCUGCAUCUUUUUGGCUCUAGCUCUUGUAAUUGAGCCUCUAUGAAUGUGAAAAGGAUCACUUGAAGCUUUAAUGGUACUCUCUUGAUGGUUUUCAUCAUACAGGAGAACAACCUAUAUAUCAAUUUGCAAAAGUGUAGUUUUUUACUGAUAUUAUGAUAUUCCUAGACUAUGUUGUGAGUGUUGAAGGUAUCAAAGUAGACGAAGGGAAAGUGAAAACUAUAAGAGAAUGGACAACACCUAUAAGUAUCAGAGAAGUACGAAGUUUCCAUGGACUUGCUACAUUUUAUAGGCGCUUUGUUAAAGAGUUUAGUACUAUUACUGCUCCUUUCACUGAUUGCCUUUAAAAAAUGUAACUAGUUUGGAUAGAUAAGACAAAGCAGAACUUUUUGAAGUUAAAUAAAAGCUUAAAUUGGAAUCAGUCCUUGCACUCCCAUAAUUUAGUAAGUUAUUUGAAGUUGAUUGUGAUGAUUCUAAGAUUGGAAUCAGAGCUAUCCUAUCUUAAGAAGGCCACCCUAUAGUAUUCUUUAGUGAUAAGCUUAACGAGGCCAGAAAGAAGUGGUUUACUUAUGAACAAUAGUUAUAUAUUGUUGUUCUUACUUUACAACAAAGGAGCCCUAUUUAAUUAAGAAGGAAUUUGUUUUAAAUAGUGAUCAUGAAGCUCUGAAAUUCUUCAACAAUUCAUAAAAGCCAGAUCGUAUGCAUGAUCGAUGGAUUGCCUAUAUUCAAAGGUUUACCUUUUCUCUUAAGCAUAAGUUAGGGAAACUGAACAAAGUAGCAGAUGCUUUGAGUCACCAAACAAUUUUCUUACUUAAGUAAAAAGUGAAAUUAUUGGCUUUGAAUACCUAAAGGAUCUCUAUGCAGAUGAUGAAGAUUUUAAAGAAGAAUGGAAGAACUGUACCUUAGGAGCUUCAAGCAAGUAUCAGAUAUAUGAUGGAUUCCUAUUCUUUGGAGACUGUCUAUGCCUUAAGGAUCUUUAAGGGAACAUAUAAUUCGAGAGCUAUAUAACAGAGGAUUAAGAGGACAUAUAGGUUGAAAUAAAAGCAUUGCAUUAGUAAAAGCACAAUACUACUGGCUGCAUCUUAAAAGAGAUGUUGAAAAGUUUAUUAAACACUGUUACACGUGCCAAACAACUAAAGGCCACGCACAAAAUAUGGGUUUAUACACUCUUCUCCCUAUUUUUAAGGCUCUUUGGGAAGAUUUGUCUCUGAAUUUUAUCUUGGGACUUCCACGAAUUCAACAAGGAAUAAAUUCUAUCUUGAUGGUUGUUGAUUGAUUUUCUAAAAUGGCAUAUUCCUUUCUGUGCAAGAAGACGUUAGACGUAAGAAAUAUUUCUGAACUAUUCUUUUGAGAGGUUGUUUGAUUACAUGGAUUAUCUAAGACUACUGUCUUUGAUUGAGAUAGUAAAUUCCUAAGCUACUUUUGGAAGACCUUAUGGAGGAGACCUACUGACAGAAGGACAAACUAAAGUUGUUAAUCAUACAUUAGGCAAUAUUCUACGAACCUUGGUUCAAGAAAAUCCCUGCCAAUGGGACCAAGUUUUACCUCAAGCACAGUUUCGUUAUAAUAACGUGCCCAAUCAAUCAAAUAGGAGUCAUCUUUUGAGAUAAUAUAUAUUGGGCCUCCUUUACAUAUCUUAGGUUUGGUUCCUUUACCUAAACUACUUGGAAUAAACAUCAUUGUUGAUGAUGUGGUAGACAAAGUUAUCAAUGUUCAUGAGGAUGUCAAGAAGAAAUUAGAAGAAUCUGCUGCUAAGUACAAGGCAAAUGCAGAUAAGGAUAUGUGCUUCAAAUCCUUUCCUGUAGGAGAUCAAGUGAUGGUUAAUCUACGAAAGGACAUAUUUACUUUUGGGAAUACAACAAGCUCAAGCAAAAGAAGAUUGAACCAUUUCGCAUCCUUUAGAAAAUCAAUGACAAUGCUUCUAUCGUGGACGUAUUGGUAAACUACAAUAUUUCCAAAACUUACAACAUUCAAGACUUAUUUAAGUAUCAUGAUCCUGUUAACAUAAAUAAUUCCUUAUUGAUUUUGAUGAUAACAAACAUGAUUAAGUUUGAUUAAUCUUUUAAAAGCUCAACAUAAUUUUUCAUCUAUUUUUGACAAAGUUUCAUAAAGUAUUUUUAUAAAGAUUUGGAGACAAAAUAGUUAUCUUGCAAAAUAGUUUACUACAACAAUUUUUGUGGAAAAUGGCGAUCCGACAAGUUUAAUAAAUGGCUCGCCGAUAUCAAGCAGAAAUAAAGAUUAGUCUCUGGACCUAAACGGCAAACCGAUAAUUUUGAUAAACGGCUCACCGAGAUCAAUCAGAACUGAAGGUUAGUCUCUGGACUUAAACGGCGAACUGACAAUUUUGAUAAAUAGCUUGCCGAGAUCAAUCAGAACUGAAGAUUGGUCUCUGGACCUAAACGGCGAACCGAUAAUUUUGAUAAACGGCUCGCCGAGAUCAAUAAGAACUAAAUGUUAGUCUCUGGACCUAAACGGCGAACCGAAAUUUUUGAUAAACGGCUCGCCGAGAUCAAUCAGAACUAAAGGUUAGCCUCUAGACCUAAACGGUGAUCCGACAAUUUGAAAAAUCAGCCCUACGGUCAUAUUGACCAGUCAAACGGCGAUCCGACAGUGUGCAAAAAGUCAAUAACGGCUAGUUUUCAGCUGAAGCUAUAAAUAAGCUCAUUCAAAUUCAAAGAAGAGUUGAUCACAACACGACUACUGAGCUUCUACUUGAGAAUACAAUCUUCAUUGAGCUUUAAAUACAUUCUUACUUCAUCUAUUCACAUAUUGGGUAUUAUUUUGUAAUCUUAAAUAUUGAGUGAGGCAAAACAAGUUUAUAAUCUUUUAUCUUUGAGUGAUUGUAAGUGUGGGGAUACACUUGGGGUUAAGAGAUUGGGAUAAUCUCUUGUUGUAAAGGUUAUUGACACCUUGGAAGUCAAGUGUAAGCAUUUGAGGCCUUGGAGGCUUGCUUAGUGGAAUCCUCAAGCUCAGAAAGCUUGGAGGCAUGGACGUAGGCAAGGUUGGUCGAACCACGUAAAAAUCUCAGUGUUUGAAUCUCUCUUCCUUUAUCCUUUUUAUUGUGGUUAACUUAUUUGUUAUUGCUUUGAAUUUGUUUCAUAUUUGCACUGAGUUUUUAAUUAUAAAUUGAAUAAUUUUUUAUAAUUCCAAUUCACCCCCCUCUUGGGUUGCAUAACUAGUAUUUCAUUUGGUAUCAGAGCCUUGUUCUCUUGUUAAGACUUAAUCGUCUAGAGUAAAAGAUCCAUGGCAACCCUAAAUGACUCAACCUUUAGAGAAAGGCAAUCUACAACUAGACCAUAUUUCUUUGAUGGUAAUGACUAUGCUUAUUGGAAAACUAGAAUAAGAAUCUAUUUGCAAGCCUUAGACUAUGAAAUUUGGGAAGUUGUUUGUGAUGGUCCAUUCAUGCUUAUGUUUAAAGAUGAAGUAGGAGAUGAUAUUCCAAAACCAUUAAGUCAAUGGAAUGAGUCAGAAAAGAGAAAAAUGUCUCUAAACUCCAAGGCUAUGAAUGCUUUGUUUUGUGCACUUGAUAAGAAAGAAUUCCAUAGAGUAUCUAGUUGUGAAAGUGCACAAGAAAUAUGGAACAAACUUGAAGUUGUCUAUGAAUGGACAAAUCAAGUUAAAGAGUCUAAAAUUAGUAGAUACACUCGUCAAUAUGAGUUGUUCCAAAUGGAACAAAAUGAAAAUGUGUAUUCAAUAUUUACUAGAUUCACAGACAUAGUGAACACCCUAGGUGCCUUAGGGAAAACCUUCUCAAAUAGUGAGAAAGUUAAGAAAAUCAUUAGGUCACUUCCAAAAGAAUGGAGACCUAAAAGAACCGCCAUUGAAGAGGCCAAAAUUUAAAUACUUUACCUCUUGAUGAUUUAAUUGGUUCUCUUAUUUCUCUCAUUUCAUAUGAAGAAGACUUGGCAGCAGAAAAAAAAGAUGAGGAGAAGAAGAAAAACAUUGCUCUCAAAGCUUCAAAAUAUGAGAGUGAUGGAGGUAGUGAACUGGAUGAUGAAUAGUUAGCCAUGCUAGCAAGGAGAUUCAGAAAGUUUUUUAAGAAAACUGGAGAGCGAAGAAAAUUCAGAAACUUCAAGAACCAAAGGGAGAAGAAAGAAGUGAUCACAUGCAAUGAGUGCAAGAAGCCAGACCAUAUAAGAUCGGAGUGCUCACUUAUCAACAAACUCAAGAACAAAGCCAUGGUUGCAAUAUGGGAUGAUAGCGAGGAAGAUUCAAGUGAUGAAGAAGGAUUGCAAGAAGAAUCAAACCUGGCACUUAUGGCAAUGGGAGAGGAUGAUAAUCUCAAUGAGGUAAGCGAUCCCACCUAUGAUGAGUUGUAUGAUGCUUUUAAAGAAGUGCAUGAUGAGUUGAUGAAGAUUGGUAAAAAAAAUGUAUGUCUUAAAAAGGAAAUGGAAAAAGUUAAAAAUGAAAAUGAAUCUUUAAAUACAAAAAUUGUAUGCCUAGAAGUAGAGAACAAAACAUCGCAUGAUGAACUUGCAUUAUCAAAUAAGAAACCUAGUAUCUCACAUGAGCAUUUAGAAUCACACAUAGAUGAUUUGAAAAAUGAAAACGAAAUGCUCAAGAAAAAGGGCAAUGAGUUGAAUGAAAUUGUUUUGAAAUUUACAAAUGGGCAAAAGAUGUUGGAUAAUAUGCUUAACUCACAAAAAUGUGUUUUGACAAUGGAGGACUUGGAUAUAAGCCUAACUUGAAGCAAAAGUAUUAUAAGAAUUAUUUUGUUAAAGCUACCUCCACAAGUGAUCAUAAGAUUGUUUGUCAUUAUUGUAAUCAAAAUGGUCACAUGAAAUAUAGAUGUCCCAUGAAAAGGAAUGCAUAUUAUGAUGUCAAAUGUAUUUGGUUUCCAAAAGGAACCAUUGCUAACUCUCAAGGACCCAAAAAGCUUUGGGUACCUAAAACUUGAGAUUUUCUUUAUAGGGCUUAAAGAAGAAGAAAAAUAAAUGGUAUUUGGACAGUGGUUGUUCAAGGCACAUAACCAGAAACUAUGCAUGGUUCUCAAACUUCACCAAAAUUGAAAAUGGUGGAGACGUAUCAUUUGGAGACAACUCAAAAGGAAAAAUUCUUGGAAUUGGAAAUGUUGGUAAAGUCUCUUCAACUCUAAUUGAGAAUGUAUGUUUGGUUGAGAACUUGAAACACAACUUAAUUAGCAUUAGUCAAUUAUGUGACAAAGGUUAUAAAGUUAUCUUUGAUAAAUUUAGUUGUGUUAUUGAGAACUCAUGUGAUGGCAAAAUCUUGUUUGUUGGUAAUAGAUGUGGUAAUGUUUAUAUCAUUGACAUAGAAUUUGCAUCCACUCUUGAUAAAUGUUUUUCCGCAUUAGAUGAUGAUAGUUGGCUAUGGCAUAGAAGGUUAGGACAUGCUAGUAUGGAUUUGAUUUCGAAAAUUUUGAAAAAUGAUUUAGUUAAAGGUCUUCCGAAAAUUAGUUUUCAAAAGGAUAAGAUUUGUGAAGCUUGUCAAUUUGGAAAACAAAUCAAAACUUCUUUAAAAAAUAAAAACCAUAUUUCUACUUCAAAGCCACUUGAACUUCUUCACAUAGAUCUAUUUGGGCCAUCUAGAUAUGCUAGUCUAAAUGGCAAAUAUUAUGCAUUUGUGAUAGUGGAUGAUUAUUCUAGAUAUACAUGGGUACUAUUCUUAGCAAAUAAGGAUAAUGCUCUUGAUGCUUUUAAAGUACUUUAUAAGAAAUUACAAAAUGAAAAAGGGCAUGGUAUUAUAUGCAUUAUGAGUGAUCAUGGAGGAGAAUUUGAAAAUCAUGCAUUUGAGAAUUUUUGCAAUAAUCUUGGCAUUGAGCAUCAAUUUUCAUCACCUAGAACUCCACAACAAAAUGGAGUUGUUGAGAGAAAGAAUAGGUCUAUUCAAGAAAUGGCUAGGACCAUGUUAAAUGAAAAUGCAUUACUUAAAUAUUUUUGGGUCGAAGCCGUCAACACCGCUUGCUAUGUUUUAAAUCAGGUGUUGAUUAGACCUCAUCUCAAUAAAACUCCCUAUGAGCUUUGGAAAUAUAGAAAACCCAACAUUGGUUAUUUCAAAGUUUUUGGAUGCAAAUGUUUUAUUUUAAACACAAAAGAUAAUCUUGGUAAAUUUGAUCCAAAAUCUGAUGUUGGCAUCUUUCUUGGGUAUUCAAACUCAAGCAAAGCUUAUAGAGUUUAUAAUAAAAGAACUUUAGUUGUGGAAGAAUCCAUGCAUGUUACGUUUGAUGAAUCUAACCCCUCUUCUGCGGAGAAAGGAGUUGCUAAUGAUGAUGCAGAUGGAAAGUUACAAGAAGAAUUAUCAAAAGAAAUUCAAGAGAAUGCACCACAAGAAAAUCAAGAGGAUAGACAAGAAGAACAAACAAAUACGGAGCUGGAGCAACAAUAAGGUAUUUCUCAAAUACUCCCUAAGGAGUGAAGGUAUGUCUCUUCUCAUCUUAAAGAUGUAAUUUUAGGAGAUCCCUCACGAGGUGUUGCAACUAAAUCAUCUCUUAAGAAUACUUGUGAGCAUAAUGCAUUUAUCUCUCAAAUUGAACCCAAAUCCUUUGCGGAUGCAGAAAAUGAUGAAUCUUGGAUUAUGGCAAUGCAAGAGGAGUUAAAUCAAUUUGAAAGAAACAAUGUGUGGGAAUUAGUUCCUAAACCGGAACAUCAAUCUAUCAUAGGUAUUAAAUGGGUGUUUAGAAAUAAGAUGGAUGAAUCCAGUGUGGUUGUAAGAAAUAAAGCUAGAUUAGUGGCUCAAGGUUACAACCAAGAAGAAGGAAUUGAUUUUGAUGAAACUUUUGCACCUGUAGCUAGACUAGAAUCAAUUAGAAUGUUGUUGGCAUUUGCUUGUCAUAAAGAUUUCAUUUUAUUUCAAAUGGAUGUGAAAAGUGCUUUCUUAAAUGGUUAUAUUAUGGAAGAAGUGUAUGUAAAACAACCCCCUAGUUUUGAAAAUGAAAAAUUUCCAAAUCAUGUGUAUAAGUUGUUUAAAGCUUUGUAUGGAUUAAAACAAACACCUAGAGCAUAAUAUGAUAGACUUAAAAAUUUCCUAUUAGAAAAUGAUUUUUCCAUGGGUAAAGCAGAUACCACUCUCUUUGUUAAACAUAAGAAUAAAGACAUACUUGUUGUUCAAAUUUAUGUUGAUGAUAUUAUUUUUGGUUCUACUAAUGAAUUGUUGUGCAAAGAGUUUUCGUCUCGUAUGAGCAAUGAAUUUGAAAUGAGCAUGAUGGGAGAGCUAAAGUACUUCCUUAGGCUGCAAAUAAAACAAAAUGAGGAAGGAAUAUUCAUAAAUCAAGCCAAGUAUGUAAGAGAUCUACUCAAACGAUUCGGCAUUGAUGACUCAAAGACUAAAACUACACCAAUGAGCACAACAACCAAGCUUGACAAAAAUGAAAAGGGUAAAGAAGUGGAUAUCAAAAUGUAUCGAGGUAUGAUCGGAUCUUUACUUUAUUUGACUGCAAGUAGACCCGAUAUUAUGUUUAGUGUAUGUUUGUGUGCAAGAUUUCAAUAAUGUCCCAAGGAAUCCCAUUUGCUUGCUGUUAAAAGAAUUUUUCGUUAUUUGAGUGGAACCAUAGAUAUUGGCCUUUGGUAUCCUAGAGGAACUCAUAUAGAUUUAACAUGUUAUUCGGAUGCGGACUUUGCUGGUUAUAAAUUUGAUAGAAAAAGCACUAGUGGAACUUGCCAUAUCCUAGGUCACUCACUUGUUUCAUGGUUUAGUAAAAAACAAAAUUUUGUUGCACUCUCAACUACCGAGGCUGAGUAUAUAGUGCAGUAAGCUGUUGUGCACAAGCUCUUUGGAUGAAACAAACACUUAGAGACUAUGGUAUUAACCUAGAACAAAUUCCUAUUAAGUGUGAUAAUACUAGUGCUAUAAAUCUCUCAAAGAAUCACAUUCAACACUCUCGAACCAAGCAUAUAUAAAUAAGACAUCAUUUCUUGAGAGAUCAUGUUCAAAAGAGAGAUAUUGCACUAGAGUUUAUUUCUAUGGAAAAUAACUUGCCGAUAUUUUUACAAAACCUCUUUGCGAAGAACAAUUUUCAAAAAUUCGGCAUGAACUUAGGAUGAUGAAAUUUUCACAUUAACAUCUUUAUUCAUGCUAUUGAGUCUAUUAACAUUGAUUGAUUUAUGACUUGAUACUUUAAUAUCUAUGAAACGCUCAAUCGUAAUAUACAUGUGGUGUGUAUGUAUGUUUCAAAAUGUAUGAAUUAAUUGUUGCAAUACAUAUAUAUGUUCAUGAAUUAUGCAUUGAACUGACACUUAAAUCAUUUUGGAUUAAUAAAAUGAUCUUGAAAUGUAUUAAUAGGUAGCCAAAUAUCAAAAUAAAUUUGCGAAAUCAUAGGUUAUAGAAAACGAAUUGCCGUUAUUUCAAUAAACGACCAACCGUUUUGGGGCAAAAAUAAUGGAAAGUUUUCUGGGCGCUAUCGGUUUGCCGAUAACUAUCUAUCGGCUCGCCGUCCUGAUACAAAAUUUUGAGGGGACUCUCUGGACCCUAUCGGCUCGCCGUUAUGUCUAUAAAUGGCUUGCUGUUUUGAUGAAAAUUUUUGGAGGACUUUCUGGACUUUGUCGGAUCGUCGUUUUCUCUAUAACAGCUCGCCGUUAUCACGCGUUAAUUGAACAGUCCUUCGUCUUCCUCCUCAUUUUGUUCUCUCUCUCUCUCUCUCUCUCACUCCAACCUGCGACUGCACCAGUUCUCCCUUAUUAAAUCUAUCACUUUUCUUGUCAUUUUUCACCAAAUUGAAGCAUUACAAACCAUUUUUAUCAUCUCUAGCACCUUUUAACCGAUUAAAAUCCUUCUUUUUCUUCAAAAUUUGAAAAAUCUCUUUUUGAAACCCUAGAACCAGCUGAACCUCAUUUGCUUAAUUUGACCCAAAUUUAUUCCUUUUCCAACCACAUUUCCACCCACAAUCACUCUCUCAUCUCUCAAACUUCAUUUCCACCGAUCUAUUUUUCCUCCCAACUCAUCCAUGGCGGAACGACCACAAAGGCGUGCUCGAACCAAGCACACUGUUCCACGCCGUUCUAGUCCCCCUAGGUCUCCUCCCCAAGACUUCGAAAGUCUCCAUUUUUCUGAUGACACCUCUGCUCAGCGAUUUCGUGAAAAAUUCAUGGGUAAACCCGUAACUCCCUUUUUUUCUUUUAGCAUUUUGGAGUUUUUGGAUAUUACUAUUUGUGGUCAUUCUAUUACUCAAAUGCUUAGUCAUUGGAAGCAAGCAUUAAGUAUUGAAGAACAAAUUUAUGAAAAUCUAGUUUGAGUCUUUUAUUCAAACAUAGAAUUCUCCUCUACUCGUCGUGUCGAGCUUUAUACAUCUGUAGGAGGAAUUCACAUUGCCUUUAAUGAAUCUGAAUUGUGUAGUAUUCUGCGUAUCACUUAUGGAGGGUUAGAUCUGUACACCGCUAGGAAAGAACUCUCAUUUAGUGAAUUCCAUCAUGUGGAUGGUGUACGAAACAUUUGUCAUCAUCGGGAUCUUUCCGAUGACAUCUGUUCUCUGUCCUUUAGGUCUCAACUCCUCCCUUUUCAGGUUCGAAUACUUCACAUCAUUCUCCAACACAUGGUCACUCCUAGACAGGGUCACACUGAUGAGGUAACUAGACUUGAUAUUGGUCUAUUAGACUCCCUCAUCCGUAGACGGCAUGUGAGCUUAUCCUACACCCACUUGUGUCAUAUGCUGUCCACCUCUAAAGUCUCCAACCGAUCCCUUCCUUAUGGCAGCAUCAUCACUAGGAUCUUGAAAUACUUUCGAGUUCCUAUCGUCGAGCCUGUUUAUCUCGAGACCCGUAAGCUCGGACGCGAAAUUAUUUCUGCAAUCGGAUUCUUUAAGAAGCUGGGAAAUGGGAAAAGACCACAUCCUCUAAGAACGAAGACACACUGCUUGCACCAGAGGAUGAUCGUAUGUUGAAUGACGUCUACUCCGAGGAUGGGUUACCUGAUUUUCGCCUUGAGGCUAGACCGUGUGUUCCUCGGCGAGCAGCAGCACCAACAGCAGCUUCAUCUCAGGAUGACGAGCCUACCGAGACUGCCAUCCCUCCUGCAGCUUCGACUGUUCCUGAGGAUCGCUUUCAGCAGCUUCUCCACCGAGUGGAUGCUCUGUCCCAGCAGCAGCAGCAGCUUCAAUACGAUUUUGCAACCUUUCGGGAGUAAAUUUCAGAUCAGCAGAUGGAGUUACUUGCGGGCCAGUGUCGCAUUCUCGGCUACUUUGGCUAUGACCCCGACAACUCGUCUUCACAUCCCCCAUCUUAGUUUUUCAGCUUCUCUGAUCUUCGCACAGACAUUUCUCAUUUCAUGUUUUGUUUAUGCUUAUGAUGUUAUUUGUCUUUUGUUUAUGCUUAUGGUGUUAUUUGUCUUUUUCUUAUGCUUAUGAUAUUUCAUGUUGGAAAUGUGCACUUGAUUUAUGCUUGAGUUGGCUUUGGUACUAUAUUGUUUAUCUUGCUCAUUAUGGAAGUGUGUAAUUAUUGGUAUGGAGGUUGGUUGAUAUCGUGGCAUAUUUAUAUGGAAGUGUUUUUCUUUUUAACUCUGUGUAUUGUUGAGGAUAUGCUCAUAUUUCGGGGGAGAUUCUGCCAAAAUUUUUCCAAACAUAAGUCAUUCCUCGUGCUUAUUUCUUUUUUAUGAUGAAAGGGGAGAUAAUUGGUAUUGGCAUAAAUUAUUUAUCCAAUCAAUUUGCUGUGUUUAAAAUUUUGUUUUGAGAUUAAAAUUAAAUGAACUCUUAUUUAAGGGAAGUUAACAAGUCUUUCAAAAGGGGGAGAUUGUUAAUAUAAAUAAUUCCUUAUUGAUUUUGAUGAUAACAAACAUGAUUAAGUUUGAUUAAUCUUUUAAAAGCUCAACAUAAUUUUUCAUCUAUUUUUGACAAAGUUUCAUAAAUUAUUUUUAUAAAGAUUUGGAGACAAAACGGUUAUCUUGCAAAAUAGUUCACUGCAGCAGUUUUUGUGGAAAACGGUGAUCCAAAAAGUUUAAUAAACGGCUCACCGAUAUCAAGCAGAAAUAAAGAUUAGUCUCUGGACCUAAACGGCGAACCGACAAUUUUGAUAAACGGCUCGCCGAGAUCAAUCAGAACUGAAGGUUAGUCUCUGGACCUAAACGGCGAACCGACAAUUUUGAUAAACGGUUCGCCGAGAUCAAUCAGAACUGAAGGUUAGUCUCUGAACCUAAACGGCGAACCGAAAAUUUUGAUGAAUGGCUCGUCGAGAUCAAUCAGAUCUGAAGGUUAGUCUCUGGACCUAAACGGUGAACCGAAAUUUUUGAUAAACGGCUCGCCGAGAUCAAUCAAAACUGAAGGUUAGCAUAUGGACCUAAACGGUGAUCUGACAUCCAGAUAACGGCGAUCCGACAAUUUGAAAAUCAGCCCAACGGUCAUAUUGACCAGUCAAACGGCGAUCCGACAUCUUGCUAACGACGAUCCGACAGUGUGCAAAAAGUCAAUAACGGCUAGUUUUCAGCUGAAGCUAUAAAUAAGCUCAUUCAAAUUCAAAGAAGAGUUGAUCACAACACGACUACUGAGCUUAUACCUGAGAAUACAAUCUUCAUUGAGCUUUAAAUACAUUCUUGCUUCAUCUAUUCACAUAUUGGGUAUUAUUUUGUAAUCUUAAAUAUUGAGUGAGGCAAAAUAAGUUUAUAAUCUUUUAUCUUUGAGUGAUUGUAAGUGUGGGGAUACACUUGGGUUAAGAGAUUGGGAUAAUCUCUUAUUGUAAAGGUUAUUGACACCUUGGAAGUCAAGUGUAAGCAUUUGAGGCCUUGGAGGCUUGCUUAGUGGAAUCCUCAAGCUCGGAAAGCUUGGAGGCGUGGACGUAGGCAAGGUUGGUCGAACCACGUAAAAAUCUCAGUGUUUGAAUCUCUCUUCCUUUAUCCUUUUUAUUGUGGUUAACUUAUUUGUUAUUGCUUUGAAUUUGUUUCAUAUUUGCACUGAGUUUUUAAUUAUAAAUUGAAUAAUUUUUUAGAAUUCCAAUUCACCUCCCUCUUGAGUUGCAUAACUAGUAUUUCAGAUCCUUCACUAUUACUAUAUGAUUGAAUCAACUUGAGGAAAAAUUCUUCUAAGGGGAGGAGAUUGAUGUAGGACUACCUUAGUAAAGGUAGGAGUAUAAAUUUAAUUUAUAUUUUUUCCUAGUUUGAUUAGGAUUUAUUUUCUUAUUUAAGUUAUAUUUCUUUCCUUAUAAGGAACCAUAAUUUUAUUAGAAAAAAGAUAAUCUUGUUUAGUAUAAAUAAGCUUGUUACACUUGUUUCUUUACACGAGCUUUUCAUUAAUAAUAUUCAAUAUUUCGCAAUUAAGAUAUUUUGUCCUUUGUCAGAUCUCUCCUUCUUGAGUUUUUAAGGACAUACACUAGAACAAAAUCUAGUAUUCUUUCAGCACUGCAUCACUUCAGCACAAUGAAUAAUCUAUAAUUUUCAUCUUCUACUUUGGUGGUCAAUUGAGAGAUUUAUUUGGAGCCAGCUUUGGGCCUUUAGCAAUUGGCUUUGCUACUUAUCCUGCAAACAUAUGGUAAAACAAGUUGCAAAACAUUACUGAACCAUGAUCUAAGCAUAAAUAGAUAUCUUCAGCCUAAGUAAAGAAGAAGAAGGUUGUUUAAGUGUUAUAUUUUGUCUUAACAACUUGAGAAUAGUAGAAUUAGCAAACCCGUCAAAGGACACCAAAAUUUAUCAUUUUCCCAUUUAGUUGGGUUUAUAUAAAAUAGUCUUUGAAAAAAACCCCAACAUCAACAUUAUGUUUUUUCUCUUAACCUUUAUAUAUAAUUUCAAAUUAUUCUUUAGAAUAUGAAAAUCAAUACUUCAUCAAAUUGCAAAUACAUCCUUGCCUUAGAAAUAAAUUGGACGUAUAAUAAUAUUCAAAAGUAUAGUCCUUUUAUAGUGGGGAUGUCCUCCUUUUUUUCAUGCGAACAUGUUGUUAACCCAUAUGAUUUAAUAGAGUUAAUUUUUAAUACUAUUAAACUACAGGGUUUUAUAAUGUGUUGAAAAUUAACUUUAUUAAGUCACACUGAUUAACAAUGUGUCCGCAAUAAAAAAAAAUGAAGGCGCCCCAACCUAAGAAUGAUUAUACAUAAGGGUGCAGAUAUUUCCACCCCACUAUUUUUAUAAAUCCACCACACCUCAUAAAGUAAUUACAAUAAAUUCACAUUAUUUGUAAAGUAAAAAAUUAAUAAUAAAUUUGAACAAUUAAUUAAUUAAAUCAUUCUUAUCAUUUUUCUAGUCUUUUAACAAUUUUACCUAUUUAAGUUGCUUUAAGAUAAAUUUAAUUUCAUUAUUUUGCCCUUGUAAAAUAACCAAUUACCUUAAGAAACAUAUAUUGUUGUAAUUAAUUGUCUACGCAUUUAGUUUUAUGUCUUAUAUAAAAUUUAAUAAUUUUCAAUACUCUACAUGUCGUAAUUAUACCUUAUUAGUUUAGUAGAAUAUUAAUAACCACACUAGUAAAAUACUACUGUACAUCGUUAAAAUAUAAAACAAAUUCGUAUAAAAAAUUAUCAUAGUUAAAUUAAAUUUUUAGAUAUUUUGGUACUUUUACCAUAUUAGGUUAAAGUACUUAUAUUAAUUUAUGUCAAAGCAACCUUAUUGAUCAAAUAAAAAAAAAAUAGUCCCAUAAAAAAAAUAAAUGAAUAUGGAUUUAAUUGAUUAAAUUUCUAAAUUUCUUCUUAAUUUGAAUUUUAAAAAAAAUAGACGUGAAAGCUUGCCAGCAUUAACUAGUCCUUGUUCCUUUGACAAAACAUCAUUUAAGCUUGUAACAUCUUCGAUAUCACACAUCAUUAGUCCUUGAACAUCUUUUGGGAGCAUGAUGGUAACAUCUUCUCUUUCGCAGAUUUUGCACCCGUAGAAGCACACUGAUUUAUUUACUUCGCUUGUCCGAAGGAAGUGAUAAAAUCUAGGAUUUGUGACAGAACCAUUGUAGACUGUCGGCACUUGAAAAUGAAAAUUUUUUUACCUUCGACCACUUGAAAUCAUCGAGUUUAGAAAAAUAGCCAACAAAAAUAUCCAAUCUAUCACUCAAUCUGGCUGCCUCUAGCACUGUUUCUCGUGAAGUUUUCGAUCCCCAAUUUAAUCUUAAACUAUAGAGAUUACAUGGUUUCGGUAAUAUAUUGGCUAGAACCUUGAUUAGCAUCUUUGAAUAAAGGGUAAGAUGGACAAGGUUUUCCAACAUUUCCAUACCUUCAAUGACUUCCUUUAUAGUCGUAUAUUCAAGGUCCAAACAUUGAAGUGCCAACAGCUUCACCAAAGAAGGAACAUGCUCCAAUCUUCUACAAUAUCGAAGCAACAACCAUAUGAGAUUCCUCAACUCAGAGACGAAAUUUGGCAAGACUUCAAUGUCGGAGUAAAAAAGAUUGAGAAUCUUCAACCCAUGCAUGUGUGCAAAGAAACAUACAUGAAUCCUUUGUAAAUUUCUAUUUCUUUGUAGCAACAAAGUUGAAAGAAUUUCACAAUGUGGGGACAUAUUUGAAGGGAUUUCUUGCAUGUCAUUUUUUAUCAAGGAAACUUUCUCAAGAUCCUUUUUCCAUUUUUGUUCACCUGGAAAUCUCUAUAAAUGUAUGCAACGUCCAUUUUUAGCGCUUUGCAAUAAACAAUAAUAUAUAAGCCUGUUUAAUGUAAUAUGACCUUUAUCAUAUUUAUCUUGGACAUUUUUCACUUCCUCGAUUAAUCCUUCUACAAUCUAGUAACCUAUCAGCUCAUACUUUGAGAUUACGAAGUCUUCAGGAUACAAUGCACAUUGCAAGAAGCAAUGUUGGACCUUUUUAUACUUUAGGCGACGACAACUGAGUUCUAAUCGCCCAAGCACAUCAGCAUUUAUGCCAUUGAAACUUCUAACAAGUCCACGCAAUUCAUUGAGUGCAUUUCUCUAUUCAUGAAUUUCAUCUACGCUUCUCAUGCAGCCAGCUACAGUGACAAUUGCUAGCGGUAAACCAGCACAUUCCUUAGCAACAGAGUUUAUGAUUUCUUCAUUCAAAUUUGGAACAUGCAAAAUGUUUCUUCCAACUUUGUCUAAGAACAAAUUCAAUGCCUCUUCUAUAGAGAGAGGUGGCACUAUGACUUCUUCGCAUCCCAUAGAACGACAGACCCCAACAGAACGUGUGGUUAUCACCAAUUUGCAUCCGUUCUGUUUAUUAAGCUUAGGGAUCCCUACUUCUUUAAGAGGAAAUGCUUCCCACAUAUCAUCUAGUAUCAAUACAAACUUCUUUUUAGCUUUCAACUUUCCUAAUAACCUCCCUACAUGUCUUACUUUAUCUUCAUCUUUUGUAAGACUUAAUUUCAAAGCCGUUGCAAUUUCAGUUUGCAGUUUAAUAAGAUCAAGUGGUUGAGACACUGUGAUCCAAAUCACAUCAUUGAACUCAUUGGUCGUUUAUAUGUCUCAUAAUGGCCGUUUUGCCAAUACCACCCAAACCCCAAACUCUUAUCUUUCUAACCUUACCACCCAUCAAAUCCUCCCAAAAUUUUUUGACAAUUUUCUUUGUGUUUUCGCCUACUAGUGUAGUUAUUGGCAAUAUCAAUCCACUAGCUAGAGGUGCAUCAAUCACCAAAGUAGUGAAAUAUAUUUGAGAUAUAUUAUUGUAAGUCAAUAUUGUUGAGAAUCUUGAUGUUGUUAGCCUCUAGUGUUAUCUGGAGAAGAAUUUGUGUUGUAAUCCCAUUAAUAUAGUGGAAGUUUAUAUCGAACUUCAGUCUCAUGGUUUUUUCCGAUUUGGGUUUUUCACGUGAAAAUCAGUCUCUUGUGGUUGGUUUUUGCUUUGAAUUUAUUGGUUUAUUUUUCUGCCUAUUUUUUUGUGGCGCACAUCUUAUUUUAAUCACACACAGAGGGAAAAGUUUUAUUUCCACUUAAUUUAUAACUGGUUUGGUAGUCUAUUUCCUAACAGAGUGGUAUGAGAGCGAGGUUGUGUGUUUUUAUUACUUGUGUGAUUGAGAUGGAAGAGUCUUCGUCUUUCAAGAUUAAAUUGAAGUCAUGGAAUUAUGGUAUUUGGAAGUUUAGAAUGGAAGAUCUGUUCUACAUGAACGACUUACAUGAACCUAUUAAAGGUGACGAAGGUAAACUUGCUAAUAUAAAUAAUAAGAAAUGGGCUCUAUUAAACUAGAAGGUCAUGGGCACUAUUAAGUCAUGGAUUGAUCAGAGUGUAUACCAUCAUGUCGCGAAGGAAUCCAAGGCUGAUGUUCUUUGGAGAAAAUUAGAAAUAAUUUAUGAGCAGUCGACAGCACAAAAUAAAGUCAAUCUGAUGAAAAGGCUUGUUAACUUGAAAUAUAAGGAGGGUCGCAGUAUAACUGAAUACACAAGUGAGUUUUAGGGCUUGGUUGAUCUUUGACUACUAUAAAGAUCAUUCUAGAUGAUGAGUUACAAGCAUUGUUGUUGCUUAGUUCUUUACUUGACAGUUGGGAGAUAUUAGUGGUGUCAGUGAAUAAUUUAGUGCCAAAUGAUAAAUUAACUUUGGAUAUGGUUACAGAUAGACUGGGGAAUGAAGAAUCUCGAAGAAAAAAUGCUGAAGUAGUUCCCUUAGAGUCAACUGCACUUGUUUUAAAAAACCAAGAAAGACGGGGGAGAAGUCCAAGUAGAAAUUUCUGUCAGUAGAAUAAUGAUAACCCUAAAGGAAGAUCUAAGUCCUAAAGGAGAAACAUGAAGUGCUUUUAUUGUCAAAAAAUGGGCCAUGUAAAAAAAGAGUGUAGAUUGUGGAAAAGAGAAUAGGCGAAAGAAAAAGGCUAUGAUAAAAAAAAUGGCAAAGAGAAUACUAUAGCUGUAAUUGAUGAUGAUAUGGGUAUGGUUUAUGAUGAUAGCUCUAUAAAUCUCGUUUGCCAUACCAGUGAUUGGGUGAUUGAUUCGGGUACUUCGUUUUAUGUUACUGCACAUCGUGAUUACUUCACAUCCUAUGUUAAUGGUGAUUAUGGACAUGUUCGGAUGGGAAAUGAGGGGGCAUCCAAGAAUGUGGGCAUGGGAGAUUUUUACUUGGAAACUAGUGUUAGCUGGAAGCUAUUUCUUAAAGAUGUCAGACAUGUACCAAAUAUUCGCCUUAAUUUGAUCUCCACAGGAAAACUUAAUGAUGAUGGUUAUACUAACCAAUUUGGUGAAGGAAAAUGGAAGCUCACCAAAGGAUCUCUAGUGUUGGCUAAAGGAAAGAAAAUGAACACCCUCUACGUAAUAGAAGCCAAAAUCAAGAAAGAAAAUGUGAAUGUGAAUGUGGCUGUAAAAGAUUUUGACAUUGAGACAUGACUUAAAAGGCUUGGUCAUAUUGGCAAGAAAGGGUUAGAAACUCUUGCCAGAAAAGAAUUUCUACCAAGCUUUGUAGGUACGUCCCUCAAGACUUGUGUUCAUUGUUUAGUUGGAAAGACACAUAGAGUAGCUUUAAAAAGUUCUUUUCCAUCUAGAAAGUCGCAAAUUCUUGAUUUGAUUCACACUGAUGUUUGCAUGAUGUAAAGUAAAUCAAUAGGAGGUGCACUUUACUUUGUGACUUUUAUUGAUGACUGUUCUAGAAAAGUGUGGGCUUUUGCUUUAAAAUCUAAAGAUCAUGUGCUUGAUAUAUUUAAGUUCUUUCAUGCUUAUGUUGUGAAAAAGACAUGAAGAAAAUUGAAAUGUGUCAGGGUAGAUAAUGAUGGUGAGUACAAAGGACCAUUUGAGCAGUAUUGCAGAUCCCAUGGAAUCACACUUGAGAAAAUUGUACCAAAAACCCCUCAGCAGAAUGAUGUUACAAAAAGGAUGAACAAAAUAAUUAAAGAAAGGAUCAGGUGUAUGUUUUCUGAUUCUAAACUUCCUAAAUCAUUCUGGGCAAAGGCUAUGCGUACUACAAUUGAUUUGAUUGACCUUUCUCAUUCAGCUCCAUUAGAUGGCGAUGUACCUGAAAGAGUUUCGACUGAGAAAGAUGUUUCUUAUAAACACUUAAGAGAGCUUGGGUGCAUAGUAUAUGUUCAUAUCCUUAAAGAUGAGAGAUCGAAGCUUGAUGAUAAAGCCAAAGUAUGCAUUUUCUUAGGCUAUAGACAUGAAGAAUUUGAGUACAAAUUAUGGGAUCUAGUGGCCAGAAAACUAAUCAAAAGUAGAGAUGUUAUGUUCCUUGAAGAUCAGAUAGUUGGUGAUGAAGAAAAAAAUGAUGAGUCUCAGUCAUCUCCAGAGAUUCCUAUUAUUUCAACUUUAGUUUCUCCACCUAUUAUUCAUGAUGAUUAUGGGGGAGCUGGAGAGGAUAAUGAUGAUGGUCCAGCAGAACCAGUUGAGCAAGUACUUCCAAAACCGCCAGCACCACCAGUUGAGCCAGAAUUGAGAAGAUUCACUACAGAACAACAAUUUUCCACUAGAUAUCCUCCACAAGAGUAUGUGAUGCUUACAGAUGGAGGAGAGCCAGAAUGUUUUGAAGAAGCUAUAUCUCACUAACAUAAAAAUGAGUGGGUUAAAUCCUCGAAUGAGAACCAUACUUAUGACUUAGUGAAGCUGCCUAAGGGAAAAAGGGCACUGAAGAACAAAUGGGUUUAUAAGUUGAAAACUGAAAAUAAUUCACAACAGCGGUACAAGGUUAGAUUGGUUGUGAAGGGUUUCGGUCAGAAGAAAGGUGUUGAUUUUGAAGAAAUAUUUUCUCUUGUGGUGAAGAUGUCUUCUAUCCGAUUAGUUAUUGGAUUAGCAGCUAGCUUGGAUUUGGAAAUUGAAUAGCUUGAUGUAAAGACAUCUUUCUUACACGGUGCCUAAGAGGAGGAAAUAUAUAUGAAGCAACCUGAAGGGUUCAGUGUCAGAUGUAAAGAAGAACUUUUGUGUAAAUUGAAGAAAAGGUUGUAUGGGCUGAAACAGGCACUAAGACAGUGGUAUAAGAAGUUUUAUUCUUUUAUAGAGAAUCAUGACUUUAGCAAGAUAAUGUGUGAUCAUUGUGUUUUUGUGAAGAAAUUUGGUGAUAAUGAUUUUAUCAUUCUUUUACUUUAUGUAGAUGACAUGUUGAUUGUUGGCAAUGAUGCUAGUAAGAUUAACAAUCUGAAGAGAGAGCUUAGCAAUUCUUUUGCAAUAAAGGACUUGAGAUCGGCGAAACAAAUUCUUGGCAUGAAGAUUUCCUGUGAUAGAAAAUUUGGGAAGUUAUGGUUAUCUCAAGAAGCAUAAGUUGAAAAAGUUCUUGAAAGAUUUAACAUGGACAAGGCAAAAUAUGUUUCUUCUCUACUUGCAGGCCUUCAAGCUUAGUUUUGAGUAUUGUCCUACGAGUAAGAAAAAGAACCAAGAGACGAGAGGAGUUUCUUAUGCUUCAGCAGUUGGUAGUUUGAUGUAUGCCAUGGUUGUACAAGACCAGAUAUUGCUCAUGCAGUUGGUGUAGUCAGCUGGUUUCUUUCCAAUCCGAGCAAAGAACAUUGGACAAUAGUAAAGUGGAUUCUCAGACAUCUCAGAGGCACUUCCAAGGUAUGUUUAUGUUUUGGUGCUGACAAACCUGUAUUGUAGGUGUACACAGAUGCAGAUAUGGCAGGAGAUGUUGAUUCUAGAAAGUCUUUAUCAGGAUAUUUGCUCACCUUUGCAAGGGGAGUAGUUUCAUGGGCAGUCCAAACUUCAGCUGUGUGUUGCUUUGUCUACCACAGAAGCAUAGUAUAUUUCAAUCACUGAAAGUUGCAAAGAAAUCUUGUGGAUGAAGAACUUUCUACAAGAGCUGGGUGUUAAACAAUACAGUUACGUUGUGCAUUGUGACAGUCAAUGUACUAUUCACUUGGCAAUGAAUUCAACAUAUCAUUUAAAGUCGAAGCAUAUUGAUGUGAGAUUUCAUUAGAUACGAGAUGUGCUUGAGGAGAAACAAUUGCAGCUUGAGAAAAUUCACACAACGAAGAAUGCCCAAAGAGAAACUGGAAAGCUGUAAGCAGAAAGCAGGCUUGGUGGUGCCCCUCAAAUAAAAUGAGGGGGAAAUUUAUAGGGUCCAUCUCACUUUGGUGGACCAAAAAGCCCAAAGUCCAAAAUAAUUUACUUGAUGUGUAAUUAUUGUAAAAUUUUAGACUUGGAUGAAAUUAACCAAAAAUAUAUAUAUAAAGGAAACGAGUGAAGAAUCAUGAUAGCUGUAGUCAUUUCAUGAAUUGAGAAGGCACUAUGAGAGAUAAAGAAAGAGGUAUUAUUUUUCUUUGGGUUUCAAUCUUUAAUCAAAUGAUCAGAAGGUGAUUUUAGCUUCGAUUUAUCCCAAAUUUGGAGGGUAAGUUCCUAACAUCACCCUCUACAUUUAUACUGAUGUUGAUAUGUAUUUUAUUGUCAUAGUAGCUAUUAUUUGAAAUACCCACUUAUUGGAAAAUAGAUUUUAGAUUUAUUAUUGUAAGCCAGGAUUAUUGAGAAUCUUGAUGCUGGUAGCCUCUAAUGUUAUAUGGAGAAGAAUUUGUGUUGUAAUCUCAUUAUAUAGUGGAAGUUUAUAUCGGACUAUGGUCCCGUGAUUUUUUCUGAUUUGGAUUUUCCACAUAAAAAUCGGUGUCCCUUGUGGUUGGUUUUUUCUUUGGAUUUAUUGGUUUAUUUUUCUGCCUAUUUGUUUGUGGUGCAUAUUCUAUUUUAAUCACACAAAGAGAGAAAGAGUUUUGUUUCCGCUUAAUUUAUAACUAGAUGUGGUAGUCCCUUUCCCAACAUGAAAGAACAACCCUUUUGAUGAUAAUCUUUCAUUUCUUGAAUCUUUCCCUCAACAUCUUUUAUUAAACGUGCACGUGAGAAAUAUUUUCUUUUCUUCACUUCCUGCUCAAUACUCUGUGCUUCGCUAUUAAUCCUCUGUACAUUUUGCAGCCAAUUUUUAACUUCAGUCCUUGGUUUUUUUCCUUGAUCACCCUCUACCUUCAGUGUUCCUUUUAUAUCUUCUUUCUGACCAUUUAACUCUUGUAAUACUCUUUCAAGAUUUUUAAUAUUUUCAUUGAGCUUUCUGUGAUAUUGAACAUAUUUGCAUACAGUAGGACAUACACACUUGAAUAUUUCAAGGAUUGGUCCUAUAAACUCCAUUGGGAGGUCCUAGUAAGAUAUUCAUGUAGCAUUAGUAUAUGAAGUCUCUUCCAAUGCACCAUGAUUAAAAUUGCAUCAAAUAUUGACAUUAAAUGUUAGAUUUACUUAUAAUAAAGGUAUUAUCAUUCCAUUUGACAUAUUUAUCAAUUUUUAAAAUUUCACUUAUGUCACAACAUAUUGAACCAUUUUGGGUAAACUUAGUACAAGGCCCAUUUUGGGGCUAGCCUAGAUUUCAGGUACGGUGUGACAUGAAAUUUUUAUUUUUUUAUUUUUAUUAUUUUUUUAGAACUUUUAAUUUUUCAAUGCCUUUUAGCUUAUGUUUUUAUUGCUAUUAACCAAAAAUCAAAUCGAACCAAUUGGUUCUUAAAUUUCUAAACCAAAAUAAACCAAUCACUACAAAAGAAAAAACUCAAACCAUGCCAACAAUUUUGGUUCAUGUCGUGUAUUUACAUCUUUGCCUAAGCUUUGAAGAAUAAGAGAAGAGGUUUGACAUAAGAACAAAUAAUCAGUAAUUAAUUUUAUUUCAUAUGCUUUUCAGCGAUAAAUGUCAAUUCUUUGAUCUAAUUUUUUUUAGGACUCUCAAAGGGGGAAAAAAAAGAGAAAAAGAGCGUGAUAAAUUUCAUUCGCCAACAUUUAAUUUUCUUACAUUAGUUUUCAUUCAUGUUUCUCAUAUCUUUUUUUCUUUCCUCGUCUUCUCUUAUUUUCUUUUAAGGAACUAAAAAUAUAUAUGUUUUUAUUUGAAUCGGCUUAAAUAAACACUAAGAUUACAUAAGGGGUGUUCACUCCACUCAUUUAUUUGAUAAUUGAAAAAAAAAACUUAAAUUAACCCUCAUAAUGCUUUUAUAGAAGCUCGAACCCUUACUCUUAACAUUGUAAGUACAAGAACUCUCCCAUUGGACCAAAGACUUAUUGGUGCCAUUGGGUUUAUUUGAGUACAUGACAUAGAACUAUAUUAAUUCAUGGAACUCUAUUAAAUUGUAAAAAAAAGUUAAUUUUGGAUUACCCUCUCAUGAAUUAAUUAUCUUCAAAUCACACCCUUACUUUAAAAACCUCAAGUUAUCCCCAUUUUAUUUAAAAGAUAAGGGAGGGCUGUGUUGAUGAAUAAUUUUUUUUUUGUCUUCCUAACAAAAGUGAGGGUGGAUCAAGGUUUUAAAUAAUAAUUAGGAUGUUUUGAAUAUAAUUAAUUUACGAGGGGAAAUUUGAAAUUAACCUUUGAAAAAUAAUAUGAUACAAACAAAAUCCAAGUUACUGAAGAGGAGGAAUAGAUUUUAAAAAGCCUUUGUUAAAAUUUAUAACCAUUAUAUAUAUAUAUAUAUAUAUAUAUGGGAGAGCUGCUACCUUACAAUUAACGUAAGGUACAACUCUCUCUAUUGGUUGUGGGCCCAAGCGGGACCCACAACUCAAUUUGUGAGGGAAUGUACCUUAUAUUAACUGUAAGGUAGAGAAAUCCCAUAUAUAUAUAUAUUUAUAACAUUUAUUUCUGUUAAUUUAAAUCGGUUUCAUUUACUUUAGUGAUGGAACUUAAUAACUUUUCCAUACAAACCCUGUAAUUCAAUUGAUAAAUGCUUAAUUACGUCAAAAAAGUCUUUCCACGUAUUUUUUCUGAAUGCUUGUUGACAUAGAAUGUUGGGCUGGCCCAAUGAGACUUAGAGGGCCUGAUGAGCUUUAGAUCCAUAAGGGCAAACUAACAAACUACCCAAUCCAUAAAUAUGAACCCCAAAUUAAGGAACUCCUUGAAUGCUGUGCCGAAGUACCAAACCAGUUAUGGGCUAGAGAACAAUACUUUGUGUCUCUACCAUAUAAAGAUGGAUGGACCAUGCCUCACCAGACAGCCUCGAAAAUUAAAAAUAAUUACUCAGUUGUACUCUUUACAAACACAAGUGGCUCAAAAUGAAAUUGUAAUAUCCCACACCCGAUUAUUUUUGACUCUCCACCUAUAUAAAUUGAGCGCGAUUAAACGCUCGGAUAGUCGGAUUUUAUUUUCGUCUCGGGUCCGGUAUUAGUUUAAUUUGUAUUAAGAUUAAGUGAAAAAAAGAGAGAAGAAGGAAAUGGGUUUUAUAACUGGAAAGGGGGGAAACUAUUUUUGAAUACAAGAGAGAGAGAGAGGGGCACGAGAGAGAGAGAGUGUGUGUUGGACCCAUUUGACCCGCAAACCCGACCCGAAACCGCGACCUUGACCUGGCGAUUUCUCUCGAUUCCGGCCACCUCACCGGCCGUGCUUGGUACCGAUCUGAAGCUUAGAAGCCGACCGUCGUUCCCCUGCCAUCCUCGCCGCCGAAAACCAACCAGAACGCCGGCGAUCGAAGCUUGAAACCUGUGACUGUUUCACUUUACUCCGCCAGGAUUUUCGCCGGUUUUGGGUAACACCACCGGUUGGAUUUUAUUCCUCAUGACUCCCUCUUCUAUUUCCGACCAUCCAUAGGCAUCGAGAGUCGUUGUUUUGCCGCCGAUCGAUUGUUGGAAUUCACGACUGUCGAGCUAGAUUUCGGCGUCGUUGCCGCGCGUUGGAGCUCACCGCCGGUACCAUUGAACUCAGCGUGAUUAGCAAUUUAAGAUUUGAACUUCCUGGCUAGUGUUGACUAAAUUCCGGUGAUUGUUGACCGGCAAGGGUAUUUUGGAGGAUUUGCGAACGAGAAUCAACCCGCGGACGUUGUCGACACCGAGUCUGGACAUUGUCACUGUGAGUGGAAUAUACGAAACCUAUUUUUAGAGUUAAUUAUGAUAGUAAAGUAUGUUUGCGGAAUAAGUAUUUUAAAUGUUUUGAUUUAAUGAUUUCUUGAAAUGGAUUUAAUGUGAUUUCCUCGAAAUGGAUUUUACUCACGUGUUGAUAUUAUAUUAAAAUGUUUGGUUAAUGAUUUUGUAUAUGUGACUUUGAAUGAGCAUGAUAAUAUUUUAAAGAUAAGAAAAGUGUAUUUAAAUAUGGUAUAAUUUAAAGUAUGGCUAAAAGGAUGAGUAUAGUGAUUGUUUUUGAAAUCAUUAGACAGUACCCUUCCCUCCAGAUACAGAGAUACAAAUAUGAGAUACAAAUCAGUUAUUGAGAUACAUAUCAGUUACAGAGAUACAGUGAUACAGAUCAGUUACAGAGAUACAGUGAUACAGAUAUGGGAUACAGAUCAGUUACAGAGAUACAGUGAUACAGAUAUGGGAUACAGAUCAGUUACAGAGAUACAGUGAUACAAAUAUGGGAUACAGAUCAGUUACAGAGAUACAGUGAUACAUAUAUGGGAUACAGAUCAGUUACAGAGAUACAGUGAUACAGAUAUGGGAUACAGAUCAGUUACAGAGAUACAGUGAUACAGAUAUGGGAUACAGAUCAGUUACAGAGAUACAGUGAUACAGAUAUGGGAUACAGAUCAGUUACAGAGAUACAGUGAUACAUAUAUGGGAUACACAUCAGUUACAGAGAUACAGCGAUACAUAUAUGGGAUACAGAUCAGUUACAGAGAUACAAUGAUACAGAUAUGGGAUACAGAUCAGUUACAGAGAUACAAUGUUACAUAUAUGGGAUACAGAUAAGUUACAGAGAUACAGUGAUACAUAUAUGAGAUACAGAUCAGUUACAGAUAUACAGUGAUACAAAUAUGGGAUACAUAUAAGGUACAGAUAUAUAGUGAUACAGAUAUGGGAUACAUAUCAGGUACAAAGAUACAGUGAUACAGAUAUGGGAUACAUAUCAGUUACAGAGAUACAGUGAUACAGAUAUGGGAUACAGAUCAGUUACAGAGAUACAGUGAUACAGAUAUGGGAUACAGAUCAGUUACAGAGAUACAGUGUUACAAAUAUGGGAUACAGAUCAGUUAUUGAGAUACAGAGAUACAUUGAUACAGAUAUGAGAUACAGAUGAGAUACAGGCCUUUGGGGCCCGUCUGAGUCCACACAGAGGCUUUGGGCCCUGUGCUUGGGCGCUUUUGUCCUUUGGGGACUGGAUUAUGCAUGCACAGUUAUGAUGAGAUAUGAGAUAGUAUUUCCUUAUCUAUCCGUGUAGCUCCGGGGCAUGACGUUACCCAGAUAGUACGUCAUUGCAUGUCCGUUGAGGUCCGGAUAUGAUGAGAUAUGAGAUAGUAUUUCCCUGUCUAUCCGUGUAGCUCCGGGCCGUGACGUUACCCAGAUAGUACGUCAUUGCCCGUCCGUUGAGGUCCGGAUAUGACGAGAUUAUUUCUCUGGGUACUUGUUUGAUGAUAGUUUUGGUAUUUAGUAUUUGAUAUGAUAAGUAUUAUGUUUCCAUCGAUUUUAUGCAGAUUUAUGUAAUAUAGUAUUUCAGUGACUGAUUUGAAUUAAAUAAGUUUAUGUAAGUUCUUAUGAUAUUCUGAUGAAAUUUAUUUAAGAAAUUGAUGAUUUGAGAAAUUGAUUUGAAAAAGAUUAAAUCAUUUUAAAAGAAUUGAUUUUUCAAAAUUACUAUCCACUCACUGAGUUCACUGAGUUUUAUACUCAUCCCGUUUUUAUUAUAUUUUCCCCCCCACAGGAGACUUACAGGUACAUCAGUCGACCCAGUAUUGAAUGUUAAUUUUGAAAUUGUGGCCACGUGAUGGUGCUAGGAGUCGCAGAUUUAAUUAUUUUGAUAUUUGGGAUUUUGCGAGUUGUAUUUGUUUGUUAUAUUUUGUAAUUAAGGAUAACCAUUGUAUUUUAAUAUUAGGAUGAUUUGGGUGAUAUUUGAUAUGUUGACUUGAGAAGUUGGUUAUGAAGGAUGGAUGGAUAUUGAAUUAUUUUGGGAGUGUUUUAUUUAUAAGGGAGAUUCUGCCGAAUUUUUUAUAGAAUUCGUAGAUAUCGUAAAUAAUAUCGAUUCGAUUUUACGAGUUUAGAUAGACUCGCCCUGGGGGGUGCGGGGCGGGUCGUUUCAGAAAUGUUACCAUAAGUAAAAGAUUAAAAAAAUGUAUGUAGGAUAUUAUCUGAGCUAAAAGAAACCAACGGUGCAAUAUCAUCUUUAGGGAUGGCAAUUGUACCCGCAAACCCGUAAAUCCGUCCAAACCCACCCGCCAAAACCCGCCCGUUGCGGGUAAUUUUAUCCGUUGCGGGCGGGUUUAGUAUUAUAGAUUAAAACCCGCACAUGGAUGCGGGUGGGUUUGGUAUUAGCCUUAUACCCGGUGGAUACCCGCAUGGAUAUCCACCAAACCCGCAAUAAUUUUUUUCAAAUAUUUUUAAUUUAAUUUAAAUAUAAAAAUAUAUAAAGAAAAUAAUGUAAUUAAUCAAAUUACCAAAUAGCCAAAGGUUCAAAGUUGUGUAUGUGUGUAUAUGACUCAUUUCCUAUUCUAAAGUCAUAACCUAAAGGAAACUAAAGGCAUUUCCCUUCAAAUUAGUAUUUGAAAAUAUUAAUUUUAAUUAUUAUUAUAGGCAUUGUGUUGGAUGGGUGCUUAUGGUGGUGAAUGAAAUGAAUAUCUUCUCUUUAAUCUUGUUUUAAAUGAUAAUAUGAAAUAUAAUUAUUAUUUUUAGAUAUUAGUUUGUGUUUUUUAAAUAAAUUUGUGUAAUUUAUACUUAAAUUUGAGAAUUUGUGUUGAAUUGAUGUGGAAAUUUUAAUUUUUCAUUUACAUUGUUUAAAUAUAAAAUUGAAUAUGUUAUAUGAAAUUUGAGGUUAUUAUUAUAAAUUUAUAUAUUAAACAUUUGUGAUUUUAAAUACGGAAACCCGCAAAAAAUCCGCCGGAUACCAUUGCGGGUUUGGUAAUUGUUAAAACCCGCUGCGGGUGGGUUUUUUAAAAAAUAUUAAAACCCGCUGCGGGUUGCGGGUGGGUUUGGUAAUUUAAAUUUUGUGCGGGUUUGGGUUUGGUAAUGGCAAACCCGCUGCGGGCGGUGCCCAUUGCCAUCCCUAAUCAUCUUGAAGACAAGAUAUCUUUAUUACCUCAACCAAUCGGUUGCUGCAGCUUGCUUCUUCAAAUAUUUGUUAAGAUAGUCAAAACCAAUGUCAGAAUUAAUCAUGAUUGAAAUCCAUGCAAUAUGUUAUAGUGGAGAAUUUAGCCAAAGACAACAAUAUUUCACGAAUCAAGGAAUCAAAUGGGGCUGCAAGCAUGAUAAUUAAUCGAGGAAGGAAUGUAGCUAUAUUAAAGUGUUAAUUAAGCAAGAUUAUAAAUAUAACUAAGUAUAUAAUUAAAAUGAAUUCUCUAUUGAGCAGAAAAGGAUAUAUUCUUCUACUUCGUGUCAUGCCUUCGUCUUUAGAAAAAAACCCUAAUUGAAGUUAAUAAUUUUCUCUAUAUCUAUAUCUAUAUCUAUAUCUAUAUCUAUAUAUAUAUAUAGUUGGGACUUGAGGAGGUGAUGUGGCAUCACUAUUUCUUAUCAUCUCAUAUUUUCUAUUAUCUAAUAAAUUGGUUGAAAUUAAAAAAUAAUUACAUUACAAAAUAUUAAAAAGAAAAUAAUUAUUAAAUUAUAAAUUAUUAUUUGUCUUUUCCUCUUUCUAUUUAAAUUCAACAAUAUGUAACCAAUAAUAAUACUUAAUUAUAAGUCUUAAAACAUUUAUUUAAUUUAUUAUAUGCCAAUAAUUAAAUUUUAGUGGCUUAAAAUACAUCAAUUAAUUAAUAUUAAUAUAUGAAGGAAGGUGUUGUGUAAAUUUUAAUGUACUCGCAAGCGGACAAAUCUAUUGUAGUAUAGACUAAUGGUGAUGAGUGUCGAUCCCACGAGGAGGUGGAUUUUAAUUGUGUAUAGAAUUAAUUUUGUAAAUGGGUGGUUGGAAUUGUGGUGGAAGUGAUUUAGAUUAUCCUAAAAUUGGAAUUGAAAUGGCGAUAAUAAACUCUAAAAUUGGAAUUGCAAUGGGGAAAAUAAAUUGAAGAUAAAUCUAUUGAAAUGACGUACUUGGGUAUCUAGAUUCGUAUCAACAUGCAUCAUGGGCUAAAUAAUCCUUAUUAAUGCCAAUUAAAUCAUGAGGGGGGAAUCCACACCUCAUGAACCACGCUCUAAUCAAUAUGGUGCUAAGGGCUUAUCGUGCCAAAUAAUAAUAACCUUGUACUAGAGGGCCGGUGAAACCAAGGCGGUACUAGACAAGAUUAGUAUUAUUUAUCGACGAGAAGUCAAAACAUCCACAAAAACUAGAGGGGAAGAGAAAAUAAAUUUACCAAAUAAAGCCCAUGACACAUGUUGAGACUUCACCUUCAACCCAAGCUUGAAAGAAAAUUAGCCACUCAUAAUUGAACUAGGGGUAAAAUGGGAAUUUAUUAAAAUACGAAGAAAAUACAAGAUAGAGAGGGAAUUACAAAAAAUGGAUCCCAAAAAUGGAUUCAGAGAUAUCAAAUUAGGGGGGGAGGCCCCAUUUUUAUAGAUACAUGGAGUAAAUCAUGGCCAUCGGAUUAAAAACAGUUUGGACGCUCAGGAUUGUGCCACGUCAUCAGUCAACAGUCCAUGGUUUGACCUGGAUGAACAGUAACACAGUUUGGUUGAAAAUAAUCCUGUGUGAUGCAUGCACCGUACGUGAGAUUUUUCGUCCACUGAUAUGCUGUCACGUCACCAUCAACAGUAUAUAAGAAUUUUAGUCCAACAGGAUCGUGACACCUCAUCAGUCAAUGCCACGUCAUCGGUCAAUGCCACGUCAUUGAUCCGUCUAUGUGAACAGUGUCGUGAACAGUAACGUAGACAUUACCGUACUCGUGAAUAGUACCGUACAUGUGAAUAGUGCCAUUUUUCGUUUUAUACUCCUCCUAAGGUUUUCGACCGUCCUGAGUUCAAAAGUGAUGUCCGUUUUGCCGUAUGAUCUCUCCUUUAUUGUGAAAUGACUAUAAUGCCCCUAAAAUACAUAAAUUACUUAAUUAAAAUAAAACACACGUAAUUAAACCACAAGAAUGUUAAAUACAUAAAAGUAAGGGUUGUUAGUAAGACUUGAAAUGUAAAAUGACGGUUUUCUCCUUUAUAAAUAUGCAUUUUCUAACACUCAACACACCCCCCAACCAGCUUAUUGCUAGUCCCUAGCAAAUAAAGCGAAAACAAAUUCAAAUCGAAAAUGAUUUUUAUUUUAUUUUAUUAGAAACACUCGUGUUUAUUCAAUCAAAUUAAUGAUAGCAAUCAAAUAAAAGUAUAAGCAUUAUCUCCAGUCUAAAGAAACAUUACACUUACAUUAACCAUCCACAUGAAUCAGCCCAAUAGACUUUGUUAUAGCUACUUUCAAGAAUGACAUGUCAAAGCCCAAAUUCUCACUGGAAGUAGUGACACUCUCACAAAGAAAUUAAACCCAAUAAAAAUAGUCACUCCAAUGAAUGGUACUUGAGAGAGAAAAUAAUAAAGAAGUGAUAUCACAUGCUCUCACCAAGAUGAAAGAAAUAUGCCAUCAGCUUAGAAAUAAUACGAUCUCAAGUCAAAUAAAAAUGUUAGUCAACCCAAUUUAUUUAUCUCUUUUUUUUUUAUGCAUGACUACAUCUUUUUAGCCCACAUUACUAGCUUCUACUUCAGACUAUAGUUCCCUAAAAUCAAGAAGGACUUUUAUUAGGAUGUAACGUAGGCUAGGGACAUGGCUAACAAAGAAGGAAAAUAAGGAAAAACAAAGUGUAUGUUUGAGAAAAAAUGUAGAGAAAUAUUUUUUUUAUUUUUUUUUUGAAUUUGCAAGGUGGAUUUCACCUAUUAUUUUAUUUUUUUAUUUUUCUUUUGAAACAACAACUUUUGUUUUGUUGUUUUUUUUUCUUUUUUUUUGGCAUAACUUCACUGAACAAAAAUACUUAUUUACAUUUUUCUCAAAUAUAAGACAUUGGGUAAUACUCCAAAUCGGAGUGGGUCAAGAUGAUAAGUUGAAAAAGAAAAGGUUUUUUUUUUUUUUAAGGCUCAAAAGGGUUAACAAUGGAUAUUUAAUAAAAAGGAUGGCUAGAAAGGCUCAAACGGGUCAAAGAUGGCCUUCCAUCGUCUUUCAGGGCUCUAAAUAAUCAUCCAUAUCUACUAGUUUAGACGGGCCUCCCAAUGUAACAACACACAUUUUUUUUCUUUUUUUUUUUACAAAUUUGUUUUUUUUUUUAAGGGUUAACUCAAAAGCAAUUUAGAGAUCGUGUGUAAAAUAAUAAACUGCUAAGCUGUAUAAAGAGUGGGCAAAAGGGUUAUUCUCCAAGAAAAAUAAUAGGCUCAAAAACUCACUUGGUACUUAUUAUGACAUGUUCAUUCCUUCAAGCAACUCACAUUUGUCUCCGACAUCAACAUGUAGAGUAGCAAACAUAACGUAACAUCACUUAAGACCAAAGAUAAUACAAAUACUAAAAAUUGAAAUUAAUCAAGUCAUCCAAUGUUAAAAUAAAUCACACAAUUUUUUUUUUUCAAACAACAUUCUACCCCCCAACCUAUUCUAAGCAUGAAAGGAAAAUAUGCAUGCAGAAAUGCGAAAAUGAUAUAGAAAAACUAAUUAGAAAAGUUACACUAAAAAUGAUAGGAAAAGAAAAUGGUUUUUUUUUUUUUUUAAGAAGAUGCGUUUCUAGAGGCACUACACUCCAUAUUCAGCCAUCUUCGACUCAAAAGUUGGAAAAUGUAUAUUUAUAGAGGAGAAAAUAAAAAGAAGAAGAAAAAUGAACAUCAAAACUUAAUAAACAAAAAGAAAUUUUUUUUUGUUUUUUUGGUUUUUUUUUCGAACAAUGAAGAUGCGUUUCUAGAGUAACUACACUCCAUAUUCAGCCAUCUUCAACACAAAAAGUUAGCAAUAGUUAGUUUCUACAACAAAAAAUUAGUAAAAACUUAACCAAGAUUCCACAUUUGUCAACUAUUUCCUCCCCCUAACCAGAACGAAACAUUGUCCUCAAUGUUUGAAAGGAAGAAGUAAAGUUUAGAAGACAUCACCUGGGUGGUGCAACACAGAAGAAAAUAUUUACAAGCGGAGAGUUAAAUCUAAUUUGUACUUUUUACUGCCGCUACUGUUACCAUCAUUAUUUGGACGCUCCAACACAAAGGUCCAGGGGUUCGGCUUCGGUUUAUAAGCUUGUAACAUAUCAAGUAGCUCAUUAGCAGUGUGAGCACAAAUAAAGAGUUUUUUCGCAUUAGAGGGAAUGAAAUAGUUUUUUAUUGCAUGGUUAAGAAAUGCGAUAAAGCCAUCAUAAAAGUUAUUGACAUUUAACAAACCGAUGGGUUUCUGGUGGAUGUGCAGAUGGGCCCAAGAUGCUAGUGUGAUAAGUACCUCUAGUGUUGCAAGAUCUCCUGGAAGGAAAAUAAAAGCAUCAGCAUGAUUAAGCAUUUCAGUUAUUCUUUCUUGCAUACCUGAGACAACUAACUCUUCUCCAGUUGAUGAGUCAGACGAACUGCCCAAUGGUUUUAGGACUCUUGGGAUGAUGCCUAACACUUGACUUCCUCUAAUAAAAGCUGCUUCUGAGACCAUUUUUGAUAACCCUUGGUUACCUCCUCCAUACACCAAGUGUAAUUUUCUUGCUGCUAUGUUUCGAUCAAGAUCUAUGGCUGCCUCAACGAACUCUUUAUGUUUUCUAUAGGUAAAUCUAGAAAGCAUACAAAUGUUCUUGAAUUGUCUAUUGAGAGUAGCUGCCAUUGUGAUACUUCUCAAAAACAAUUUGUGAGUGCUUGGCAAAAAAAAGAAAUCACAUUUAAGAGUCUUUGUGACACUAGGUCACAGCUGUGUAUGAGGUAGCAUGUCAAUGUCAAAUAACACGUAAAGCACAUGGCUCGUGAGUCAAAAAGGAAACAGUAAAAGGGAAAAAGCAAACAGUAAUUAAAUUAUUAAAGACAAUAAUGCAAACAAUAAAACAACAGUGAAAUGAAAUAAAAUAACAAUAAAGUAAAAGGAUAUUUACAGGUAUUUGUGACUGUGGCUCACAUCUUCCUCUGGUUUUACGUCCAGAAACGGCUUGAACGCCCUCUAUGGGUCGAGGAUAGGCUUCCUAUCCAGUUUUCUUAUAAACUGGCAAACAGGGUCGUUUAUAGUCAGAUUCCCAAGACUAUAUCGUGCAUGCUCUUUCUAGAAUAAUGGUCAUAACUGGAGAAUUGCUCCUUGCACAUAUCCACUGGGAUACGUUUCAAGAGACAAAAGGAUAUCGUCUAAUGACUCCUUAUUCAAGCCAUCCCUAAUGAAUUGAAUCUUAUCUUCCCUGUUAUCAGACACCAUUCCUAAAGAACAUGAGCUUCUAUCGCAACUAAUUCUGGCACAUUUAUGACAAGCAACAGAAAUUCUUCAAGCUCGUCGUUUUCUUGCAUAAUUUCCUUUACCACAACCAGGCAUGUAGGCAAUAAAUUUUGGAGGUAACUCACCUGCCAAUCGUACUUUCGCCUCGAUUAACCAACGGAUAUUAGUAGGUAUGUUAUUCCUCAUGAGCAAUCGCAUGCGUUCGGACCGAGCUUUAUAGAUCGUAAGGAGGGCAUUCUGAGGAAGUGAACGGAAUCGCUUGUGAAGCUUCGCUAAGAUCUCGUUUCUGCCCAUACCUUCGCCUCAGAAUGUCAGUUAUUAUGAGAAACCUGAAGUAACCGACUUGAUUGUCACGGAGUACCGUUAUCCGCCACUUCACCGGGGUAACAAAUUAAAGCACACAAACAGAAAAACAAAUUAAAGCACACAAAGAAAAUUAAAAUCGUCCUCUUAUUGAAUAUACCUCAAGCUCCAACUGGAUGUCGUAAACACUUCUCUCAAUGUCUCUGAGUUGGCGUUCUAAGCCCUCAACAUAGGCUACUAACUCUGGUGGUUAUAGAGCCCAAAUGCGUUGUGUUUUACAAAAUUGAAUCUGCCUUUUGAGAUGAGUUUUUACACAUUGAAGUGGUUUAAGAAUGUUCAGGAGGAACGGUCUAAGUAAGGUACUCAUGAUUAAAAAUGAUAAGAGAAAACGUAAUAGUUAAACAAACACACUUAUGCAAAAAUAAUUUCAAUUAGCAAAAGAAUAAUAUAAAGAAAGAAAACAAAAUCAAAUCAACGAAAAGAAAAAAAAUCAAUUCAACUCUGGUGGGUCACUCAAAUUUAUUUCGGUAUCUUCUCCAUGUGGUUGGUACUCUAGAUAUGACUUUAAUCUUUGACCAUUAACUUUAAACGUGACACCGUUCUUUGGGUCCUUAAUUUCAAUUGCCCCAUGUGGAAAAACAGUAUGAACAAUAAAGGGACCAGACCAUCGAGAGCGUAACUUACCUGGGAAUAGGUGCAAGUGAGAAUUGAACAAAAGCACUUUCUGACCUGGAGUGAAAGAUUUUCUCAUAAUGUGCUUGUCGUGGAAGACUUUCAUUCGUUGCUUGUAAAUCUUGGCAUUUUCAUAGGCAUCAUUGCGAAUUUCCUCAAGUUCUGCCAGUUGUAAUCUUCUUUCUGAGCUGGCUUGCUGCAUGUCAAAGUUGAAUUUCUUGAUGGCCCAAUAUGCACGAUGCUCGAGUUCCACAGGUAGGUGGCAAGCUUUUCCAUACACUAGCCUGUAGGGUGACAUCCCAAUCGGGGUUUUGAAAGCCGUUCUGUAUGCCCAUAAUGCAUCAUCAAGUCUUAAUGACCAAUCUUUCCUGUAUGGCCUCACCGUCUUUUUUAGUAUGUGCUUUAUUUCUCGAUUGGAGAUCUCAACUUGGCCACUGGUUUGCGGAUGAUACGGAGUCGCCACUUUGUGUGUGAUUGAAUACUUUGUCAAAAGAGACUUAAAUGCUUUGUUAUAAAAGUGGGCACCACCAUCACUGAUUAUCGCUCGAGGGAAUCCAAAGCGUGAAACAAUGUUGCUUUUCAAAAAUCCUAUCACCACCUUAUGAUCAUUGGUUCGACAUGCAAUUGCUUCUACCCAUUUUGAUACAUAGUCAACAGCAACCAAUAUGUAUUGAUGGCCAAAAGAAGAGGGAAAGGGUCCCAUGAAGUUGAUACCCCAUACGUCAAAAAUCUCAACCACUAAAAUUAGAUUUAGUGGCAUCAUGUUCCUUCGCGUAAUGCUCCCCAUUCGUUGACACCUAUCACAUGAAGAACAGAAAGUGUAAGCAUCUCGAAAUAUAGUUGGCCAAUAAAAACCACAUUGUAAAAUUUUAGUCGCUGUUUUCUUAGCACUGAAAUGGCCUCCACAAGCUUGUUCAUGGCAGAAUGAAAGGAUAUUCUGAAUUUCACUUUCUAGGACACAUCGUCUAACAAUUUGGUCUACACAAUACUUGAACAAAUAUGGGUCAUCCCAAAAGAAAUUCUUUAUUUCUGCAAAGAAUUUAGCCUUGUCUUGCUUGGUCCAAUGCUCUGGAAGUUUACCUGUAACAAGAUAAUUAACUAUAUCAGCAUACCAAGGUAAUACUUCCACAUUCAUUAAUUGUUCAUCUGGAAAUGACUCAUUCAAUGGUAAUGGCUCUGUAAUUGUGUCAAAAUGUAGACGAGAGAGAUGGUCCGCCACAACAUUUUAUGUCCCUUUUUUAUCUUUGAAUUCCAAGUCAAAUUCCUGCGAAAGUAACACCCAACGAAUUAGUCUAGCUUUGCAUCUUUCUUUGUGAGAAGAUAUUUAAGAGCAGCAUGAUUUGUGAAUAUAAUUAUUUUACAACCAAUGAGAUAAGAUCGAAAUUUUUCCAAUGCAAACACUACUGCUAGCAUUUCUUUUUCAGUAGUUGAAUAGUUCAACUGUGCAUCAUUCAAUGUCAUACUAGCAUAGUAAAUAACAUGGGGAAUUCGAUCAACUCUUUGUCCUAAUACUGCUCCUACUGCAUAAUCAGAUGCAUUACACAUGAGCUCAAAUAGUAAACUCCAGUUUGGGGGCUGAAUGAUGGGUGACGAUGUCAACAAAUGCUUUAAUUUUUCAAACGACACAAGACAUGAAUCAUCAAAGAUAAAAGGUACAUCCUUAGCAAGUAGAUUGCAUAAGGGUCUAGAAACUUUGCUAAAAUCUUUAAUGAAACGUCUAUAAAAACCAGCAUGCCCAAGGAAAGAUCUUACUUCUCUGACUGUUUUAGGUGGAGGAAGAUUAGAAAUGAGAUCCACCUUGGCUUUGUCAACCUCAAUACCUUUGCUUGAAUGAUGUGACCGAGAACAAUACCUUGUUUUACCAUAAAAUGACAUUUCUCCCAAUUUAAGACCAAGUUCUUCUCGAUACAUCUCUGCAAAACUAGUGUUAAAUGAUGUAAACAUUGAUUAAACGAGUCACCAAAGACAGAAAAGUCAUCCAUAAAGACUUCAAGGAAACAUUCAACCAUAUCAGAAAAAAUGCUCAACAUGCAUCGUUGAAAUGUAGCAGGUACAUUACAUAAUCCAAAUGGCAUUCUCCUAUAUGCAAAUGUGCCAAAGGGGUAAGUGAAAGUGGUUUUCUCUUGAUCUUUUGGUGCUAUGGGGAUCUGAUUGUAUCCUGAGUAGCCAUCUAGGAAGCAAUAAAAUUCAUGGCCUGCUAAUCUAUCAAGCAUUUGAUCGAUAAAUGGUAAAGGAAAAUGGUCUUUACGUGUGACAGAAUUCAAUUUUCUAUAAUCAAUGCAUACACGCCAUCCUGUAGUCACUCUAGUGGGUAUUAAUUCAUUAUCAGCAUUCAUAACUACUGUGACUCCUGACUUUUUGGGGAUAACUUGUACAGGACUGACCCAUGAACUAUCAGAAAUUGGGUAAAUGAUACUUGCGUCUAAUAGCUUAAGGACUUCAGUUCUAACAACUUCUUUCAUGUUAGGAUUUAACCGACGUUGCAUUUCCCUAGUAGAUUUAGAAUUUUCAUCAAGGUGAAUGUAAUGCAUGCAAUCUGCAGGGUUUAUACCUUUUAUGUCCGCUAUAGUCCAUCAUAAUGCUCCUUUAUGCUCUUUUAAAGCAUCCAACAACUUACCCUUUUGUUCGUCAUUGAGGGAUGAUGAGAUGAUUACCGGUAGAGUACUUUCUUCCCCCAAAAAUGCAUAUUCCAAUGUGUUGGGCAAUGGUUUGAGCUCAAGUUUUGGUAGUGAUUCUGAUGAUGGGAUGAGUUUCUUCUCUGAUGGUGCUAGUUGUUCAACUCUUGACUUCCAUUGAUUAGUGUCCAUAGAUGGUGCUGAGUCAAGUAGGGCGUUGACCUCUUCGACCGAUCUAUCAAUAUCAAAAUCAAAACCAAAGUGAGUUAAGCAUGUUUGUAAAGGAUCAUCACUAAGGUUUGAAAUAAAAGAGUCAUCAACUAAUGCUUCAAUUAAAUCCACAUCAACAAUUUCAUCAUCUGCACUGUGAGGUUGUUUGGCAAUGUUGAAGAUGUUCAGUUCUAUAGUCAUAUUGCCGAAAGACAAUUGCAUAUUUCCAGUUCUGCAUUGAAUGUGAGCAUCCGCAGUUUCCAAGAAAGGUUGGCCUAGGAUAAUGGGGAUGUGCUUCCUUGAAUCCUGUAUUGGUUGAGUGUCAAUUACAAUGAAAUCAACAGGAAAAUAAAAUUUGUCUACCUGGAUAAGCACGUCCUCCACAAUACCAUGAGGUAUUUUCGUGGACCGAUCUGCAAGUUGUAACACCACUGGAGUUGGGUGUAAUUCGCCAAGUCCAAGUUUCAUAAAUACUGAAUAAGGCAACAAAUUUACACUAGCUCCUAAAUCCAACAAAGCAUUCUCAAUUGUGUGGUUCCCUAUACUACAUGAGAUAGUGGGGGAGCCUGGGUCUUUGCAUUUUAAAGGAAUUUUAUGUUGGAGUAUAGAACUAAUGUUUUCUGUUAAAAAUGCCUUCUUUUGAACAUGCAUAUUUCUCUUUUUAGUACAAAGGUCUUUGAGAAACUUGGCAUAAGAUGGAACUUGUUUAAUAGCAUCAAGCAAAGGGAUAUUAACACUUACCUGUUUGAAGAUUUCGAGAAUCUCACCUGUGGAUUUUCCCUUUUUGCCUUUAGCUAACCUCUGAGGAAAUGGUGCUUUGGGAACAUAUUCUCGUGGGUUGGUUUCUUCUUUCUCCUCCGGUGGUGAGUCCUCAACAUUCACAGGUACAAUUUGAUUUUCUUUUGUCAUCGGCAUCUCCACUUUGUUGUCGACUUCUUUUCCUUUUCGUAAGGUCAUGACUGCUUUGACCUCUCCAUGCUACUGUGGUGAACUGGUACUUGCUUCAUAUACUCCUUUAGGAUUAGGCACUGGUUGACUUGGAAACUUACCUUUCUCAACGGUCAUUGCCAAGGUCUGAACUGAAGAAGCAAGUUGUCCCACCAUCUUCUCGAGGCUUGAAACUGAUUGGGCUUGUGAGUUAAAGCCUGCUCUCAGCUCAUUUCGUAGUCCAUCAAUGGUGCGGUUCUGUUGCUCAAUCGUGGAGUGAGUAACAUUCUUGAAAUUCUGGAAUGCAUCCUCCCAUGGUCUGGGUUGAGAGUAGUUCUGGUUUUGAUUGUAUGGUCUGAAUGGGGGCUGAGAGGCUUGAGGCACUUGAGGAAUUUAUUGCAUUGGUGGAGCUGGAGCUGCUGGUCCAUUUUGUUGGAAUCCUUGAGACCAUGAAAAAUUGGGGUGGUCUCUCCAUCCAGGGUUAUAUGUGUUGGAGUAUGAGUUGUAAUUUGAUGGUUUUCUCAUUACACCUAUGGCAUUGGCUUGAUCUGAGUAUGAGUCAUGGUCAUGUGAUUCUGUUGAUUUAGCAGUCGAUAACGAUGCUAUUUGUCGAGCAAGACCUUCAACCAUCUCCUUGACUUCUUUGAUUCCCGAAGUUGACUCGCCAAUGUGAACCUCAUUCACUCAUUUAAUUCUUCUAGUAUUCCUGAGUGAUCGACUCCGUUGUUGGGAAUUAUCCGCUUGUCGCUGGAAGAAUUCCCAAAUUUCUGAUGCACUUUUUGACAUUAGCUCUCCUCCACUUGUUGCCAUUAGCCAUUCUUGCACAUUCGGCAAUAAUCCCUCCAAAAAGUAUUGGCAUUGGUGCCAUUUCUCAUACCCAUGAUGUGGACACUUCAAGAGUAGCCCAUUGAAUCGCUCCCAUGUUUCAAAAAAUUGCUCGUCCUCUCUCUGCGUAAACUCCGAGAUUUCCCUGCGAAUAGCAUUGGUUUUAUGCACUGGGAAAUAUUUGUUCAAAAAUUUUGUUACCAUUUGUUCCCAUGAUGAAAUGCUAUUGGCAGGCAAUGUAUUUAACCAUGAACGAGCUCUAUCCUUUAAAGAAAAUGGGAAUAAUCUGAGUUUAACAUCGUCUGAAAAAUUUUCGAAUUUAAAAGUUUGACAAAUAGCAUGAAAAUCAUUCAGAUGAUUAUAUGGAUCCUCAUUUUCUAGGCCAUAAAAUGUGGGGAGACAAUUUAGCACACUAGGUUUUAACUCAAAGCUCCUAGCAGCUACAUUUGGGUAUCUUAUACAUGAUGUGCUCAAAUUAGCUAAGGGACUAAAGUAGUCCUUAAACGGCCUCUCCUGUGGUGCUUGUAAAUCCAUUUUAUUUUUAACUUGUUUGUGUGUGCGAAGUGUUUUCUCAAGUUCAAGGUCUAUAGGUUCAAGAUUAGGUAAUAAUGACGUACGACCAUGCAUGCAAAACAAAUAAAAUAAAAAUAAAGAAGGAAACAAAACAAAUAAAAAUAAAGAAGAGGGAGAGAUUACGAUACUAACAUUAUUGCGCUGUUACAACAUUUCUAUAAAAACACACUAAAAAUAAAUACGUGAAAUAAAUUAACUAAAAGGAAAUUAAUAAGGAAAAAAAAUUACAAAGAAAAAUAAAUUGAAAAUUAAAUUACAGAAUUAUAAAGAAUAGAGAAAGAAAAGAAAUACUAACCUCUAAAUGCGGAUUUACUUUUUUUUUAUAAUAAAAAAAUACAAGAAAACAAUUUAAAAGAAAUUAUUCACAAAAAUUAAUUCUAUGAAUCAAAAUUACUUACCUCCCCGGCAACGGCGCCAAAAACUUGUUGUGCAAAUUUUAAUGUACUCACAAGCGCACGAAUCUAUUGUAGUAUAGACUAAUGGUGACGAGUGUCGAUCCCACGAGGAGGUGGAUUUUAAUUGUGUAUAGAAUUAAUUUUGUAAAUGGGUGGUUGGAAUUGUGGUGGAAGUGAUUUAGAUUAUCCUAAAAUUGGAAUUGAAAUGGCGAUAAUAAACUCUAAAAUUGGAAUUGCAAUGGCGAAAAUAAAUUGAAGAGAAAUCUAUUGAAAUGACGUACUUGGGUAUCUGGAUCCGUAUCAACAUACAUCAUGGGCUAAAUAAUCCUUAUUAAUGCCAAUUAAAUCAUGAGGGGGGAAUCCACACCUCAUGAACCACGCUCUAAUCAAUAUGGUGCUAAGGGCUUAUCGUGCCAAAUAAUAAUAACCUUGUACUAGAGGGCCGGUGAAACCAAGGCGGUACUAGACAAGAUUAGUAUUAUUUGUCGACGAGAAGUCAAAACAUCCACAAAAACUAGAGGGGAAGAGAAAAUAAAUUUACCAAAUAAAGCCCAUGACACAUGUUGAGACUUCACCUUCAACCCAAGCUUGAAAGAAAAUUAGCCACUCAUAAUUGCACUAGGGGUAAAAUGGGAAUUUAUUAAAAUACGAAGAAAAUACAAGAUAGAGAGGGAAUUACAGAAAAUAGAUCCCAAAAAUGGAUUUAGAGAUAUCAAAUUAGGGGGGGGAGGCCCCAUUUUUAUAGAUACAUAGAGUAAAUCAUGGCCAUCGGAUUAAAAACAGUUUGGACACUCAGGAUUGCGCCACGUCAUCAGUCAACAGUCCACGGUUUGACCACGUGGAUGAACAGUAACACGGUUUGACCUGGAUGAACAGUAACGCGGUUUGGUUGAAAAUAAUCCUGUGUGAUGCAUGCACCGUACGCGAGAUUUUUCAUCCACUGAUAUGCUGCCACGUCACCAUCAACAGUAUAUAAGAAUUUUAGUCCAACAAGAUCGUGACACCUCAUCAAUCAAUGCCACAUCAUCGAUCCGUCUAUGUGAACAGUGUCGUGAACAGUACCGUACCCGUGAAUAGUACCGUACAUGUGAAUAGUGCCAUUUUUCCUUUUAUACUCCUCCUAAGGUUUUCGACCGUCCUGAGUUCAAAAGUGAUGUCCGUUUUUCCGUAUGAUCUCUCCUUUAUUGUGAAAUGACUAUAAUGCCCCUAAAAUACAUAAAUUACUUAAUUAAAAUAAAACACACGUAAUUAAACCACAAGAAUGUUAAAUACAUAAAAGUAAGGGUUGUUAGUAAGACUUGAAAUGUAAAAUGGCGGUUUUCUCCUUUAUAAAUAUGCAUUGUCUAACACUCAACAGAAGGUUCCUUCAUCUUCCCUCAACAAUGCUAUUAGAGCCUAAUUUUAAUGUCAUAAUAUCAUAUUUAAUUAUUCAAUCUUUUGUUUAGUGCAUUUUGGCUUCUUCAAACUCCAUAAACAUUAAAUAUUUAAAAUUUUUGACAUCAUUAUUUCUCAUAUUUUUAUAUUCUCUAUUAUCUAAUAUAUUGGUUGAGAUUAACAAAUCAUUACAUUACAAAAUAUUAAAAAUAUCUAUCUAUCUAUCUAUCUAUAUAUAUAUAUAUAUAAAGUUGGGACUAGAGGAGGUGAUGUGACAUCAUUAUUUCUCAUCUUCUUGUAUAUUAAAAAAUAAUUACAUUACAAAAUAUUAAAAAUAAAAAAUAAUUAUUAGAUUUUAAAAAAUUAUAUGUCUCUUCCUCAUUCUAUUUAAAUUCAAUAAUAUGUAACCAUUAAUAAUAAUUAAUUAUAAGUCUUCAAACAUUAAUUUAUUUUAUUAUACCAACAAUUAAACUUUAGUGGCUUAAAUCUAUCAAUUAAUUAAUAUAGGAAGGAAUGUUCCUUCAUCUUCCCUCAAUAAUGUCAUUAGUGCCUUUUAGCUUCUUCAAACUCUAUAAAUAUUAAGUAGUUAAGAUUUGUGGCAUUAUUAUUUCUCAUCUUUUUAUAUUCUCUAUAAUCUAAUAUAUUGGUUGAAAUUAAAAAAUAAUUGCAUUACAAAAUAUUAAAAAUAGAAAAUAAUUAGUAGAUUAUAAAAGACUACAUGUCUCUUCUUCUUUCUAUUUAAAUUUAACAAUAUGUAACCAUUAAUAGUAAAUUAAUUAUAGUUUUGAAACAUUCAUUUAUUUUAUUAAGCCAACAACUAAACUUUAGUGGUUUAAAAUACAUCAACUAAUUAAUAUAGGAAGGAAGGUUAUUUCAUCUUCUCUCACUAAUACGACUAGGACCUAAUUUUAAUGUCAUAAUUUCAUAUUUAAUUAUGCAACCUUUUAUUUAGUGUCUUUUGGCUUCUUCCAACUAUAUAAAUAUUAAGUAUUUAAGAUUUGUUAUGUUUGGAUUUUUUUUUAUUAUUUAACCAACAUUCUUUUUAGAAAUGUUCUUUUAUCUUUAUUUUUUGACUUAUUUAAAAUUUUUGUAUUGUGUGCUUCAUGGAGUAUUCAUUUCUUCAUGAUUUAAAUAAUAACAAAGAUAGUUGGAUGAUAAGAGUUAGGCUUUAUAAAAUGUGGGAGUCUGUUAAUACCAAGAAGAAUGAAGAGUUGAUUAGUGUGAACAUAAUUUUUAUUGAUGAAAAAGUUGUAUACACUUAACUAUACACAUUAAUAUAUAUUUUUCAAGUUAAUAAAAAAAUAAUUAACUUUCAUAAAUAACAUUAGUUUUACAAGGCUAUGUCAUCUUAACAAAAAAUCAAUUUAUAUUUUUUAUCAGUUUUAUCAAGUGUAAAGUAAUAAAAAAUAAUACUAAAUUCUUUUUUUAAAGCCGCACGAAGUGCGGUUCUAUUUCCUAGUAUAUAUAUAUAUAUAAAGCUGGGACUUGAAGAAGUGAUGUGGCAUCACCAUUUCUCAUCUUUGUAUAUUCUCUAUUAUCUAAUAAAUAGAGAAAUUUUCUUUUAAAUUUGGCUUUUCAUCUUCUCAUAAUUAAUUUGAUUGUUAUUACACAAUAACAAUUAUGUAAAGAUUUUAAUGAAGCAUAUUCUUUGUAAUGAACAUCCAAGGGAGAGGGCUAUGAAUUUAUUAAAAUAAAUAUAGAUGUUCAUAACAUAUAUCUCUUAGUCUCCCAACUAUCUCUCAUUAGCAACCUUUAGGUUCCCUAUAACUCCCACUAUCUCAUAAGGAAUUAUGAUCCAUAAUUUUUCAUUAAUUUCAUGGAGUGAUUAUGUAAUUAUAAAAGGAGAGCUCAUCUUUUUGUUUUAUACACACACAAUUGGAAUAAAUAAAAUCACUAUAAUAUAUUCUCUCAUUUUAUUCUUUGUCUUGCGUUACUUCUUUAUUUGUAUUACUGUCUAAUAUCUUUUUUUUUUUUUUAUAAGGCUGCCUCAUCUUCAAAAAAAAAUCAAUUAAUAUUUUUAAUCAGUUUCAUCAAGUGUAAAGUAAGAAAAAAUGAUAAUACUAAAUUCUUUUUUCAAAGCCGAGUGAAGCGCGGUUCUAUUUUCUAGUUAUGAAAUAAUCAUAAUUACAUGGAUGUUCAUCAAAUCAACUCUACAUCUCUCCACCAAACAACUCUUCAUCUUCUAUAACCCCCACUAUCUUAUAAGAAAUUAUUACUAAUAGUAUUUCCAUUUACUAAUCAUUUACUUCAUUUGUAUAAUUAUGAGACUAUAAAAGGAGAUUCAUCUGCUUAUAUGUAUCAAUUUGAUAUUGAAUAAAAUUUCUCGCUAGAAAUUGUCUCUUAUUUGCUUUCCGUCUUUCUUUUGCUCUAUUAUUGUGCUCCUAAUUGAUAAAUGAUUUAACACGCUGUCAACAGGAGUCUCCAACCACAAGAGAUUGUAUGGUAAAUUUGUUAAUAUAUAUGUUUCCAUAAUGUUGAUUUUGAUGAUAACAAAUAAGAUUAAAAAUUAUUAAUCUUUGAAGUUCAAAUUAUUUUUAUACAUUUUAAAUAAAUCAUUAUUUUCACAUUAUAAAGGUUUUAUAUUUAAUGAAAAAAUGAUUUUAUGAAAUUAGUUGUUUUUCAAGUUUAUGGUUUAAUUGAAAGAAUUUUGAAAACUUUGAAAUCAACGAGUAUUGCUUGAAAUUUUGGAGAAGGACUUAUUUGAAAUGUUUCAUAGCAUUUUGGGCCAUAUCAUAAUUUCAAUAAGUUUUGGGAAUAGCAAGCAUUAUUUAGAGAUUCUGAAAUUGGACCUAUUUAUAAAAUUUAUAACACUUUGGGCCAUAGUACAGUGAUGGAAAGUUUUGGGGUUAAACUAUAAUUUUAGAAAAUAGUUCACUGUAGCAGUUACUGUAGCAAGCGGCUAACCGGAUAUGAAAAGCGGCUAUCCGAAUUUUGGGCAGUAAGCUUCUGGAACAUAAGCGGCUAUUCAGAUUUCGCAAGCGGCUAUCCGUAUUUCAAAAGCGGCUAACCGGAUAUGAAAAGCGCAUGUCGGAUAUUCUGAAAUUCAAAUUUUUACUGUAAUGGUAACAUAAAAACGGCUAACCGGAUUCCAUAAACUGUAAGCGGGUUAUCACCAGAAUGUGCAUAACGACUAGUUUUUUAGCUCAGACUAUAUCAACUCAAAUCCAAUUCAUUUUUGGUAAUCUUUGCAAGCAUAAACAAGUGCACACAACACAUAUUGAGCUUCAAUUUCGUAAAUCAUCAUUUAUUGAAUCAUCUUUGUUCUUCAAUUUGUAUAUCUACUCUUUGAGAGAGUUUUUGUUGUAAUUUUCAAUUCCUCAUCAAAUUUGUGAGUGUUUAAGUGUGUGAGACACUUGAGUGAAGAGAUUGAGAGAUAAUCUCUUUGUUGUAAAGGUUUAUUGACACCUUAGAAGUCAAUUGUAAGCUUUUGAAGCCUUGGAAGGCUUGGAUAGUGAAAUUCUCAGGCUUGGGUUGCUUGGAGGCGUGGACGUAGGAGGGGAUAGCCGAACCACGUAUAAAUGUUUGAGUUUGCUUUCUUUUCCCCUACUCAUUUAUUAUUGUACUUUCAUUGAAUUUAUUAUUUUCCAAUUUAUUAAAGCAUUAGAUUGGAUUGUUGUGUGGUUUGAUUAGAAUAAGUUUUAAAAACCUAAUUCACCCCCAUCUUGGGUUGCAUAACUUGUAUUUCAAAAUUCCCUUUUUUGAUCCUUUUGUACAGUAAAUGUAUUUACGGAUCGUUUUCUUCUUAAUAUAUUUCACUAUCCAGAUAUUAUUCGAUCAUAUAUACUGUUAAUAUCCUUAUGACAUCUUGGCCUUCUAGCAUAAUUAAUUUAUAUCUUCAUUCAUCAUUACUUAUAUUCUUAUGCAAUUGCUUGUUAACUUUAUUUUAUUAUCAUUGGUAUUUUGGAAAAGUUAAAUUGAUUUGUAAUUUUUGAUAUUAAAUUUCAUCCAGUGUGAAUAUUGUAAUAGAGAAAUGAAAGAAAAUGAAGAAUGCAUCCUUGAAGGAUUGCAAUACACAUAAUGAAUAUUUUCUUCCAAAAUAUUCUUGAAGAACUAUUUCAAAUUGUGAUAUCAUUCACCAACAUCUUGCUCAAGUGUAUAUUUUACAUGUUUGUGAAGGACUAUAUAAAUAUUAUGAGUUAAUGUAAAUUUCAUGUAAGAGUAUAUAUGAAUUUCCUUUUCCACAUCUCCUAGAAGGUGUUACAAAAUGAAGAUAUAAAUAAGGCAUAAUUGUUUCUUUGGAACAAUUUGAAGGAAAAUAUGACAAUCAAAAGUGUUUGAGUAAAUGCAUCAUUAUAAAAUUAAAAAAAUUGCUCAUUUCUAGUUUGAACAGUUUAUUGAUUUCGUUGGCUCGUUACUUAAUUUUUAAUCUUUUAGACUUUUAGUGACAUGUUUUUGCAUGCUUAAUUUAUGUUAGAUAAUUUCCAAGAACAGUUUGAUAUAAUAAAAUAUAGGAAUGAGUUGUAAGUAACAUAUAUAUAUGCACUUGACCCUUUAAAUUAAUCCGUACGUUUUUAUUGAAUUCUUGAUGAAUGAUUCUUUAAUGAUUUCUUGAAUUAAUAAAGUGUAACUAAUAUUCACAUGUUUAAGAUCAUGAAUGAUACUAAAAUAUUUUUGGAAGAAAUAAAUCUUAUUGUGAAUGAUUAUGAUUUUCUUUUAUGAUCAUCUUCCUAAAGUACCUAAAAGAUCAUAUAUAAGCUUGAUGACAAUUUCAAAAGCUCAAUUGAUUUUCUCAUUUGAAAUUAUGUAGAGAGAAUAAUAUAAAAGAAAACAUAUUAGAGGACACAUGAUUUUGUAGCACAAAUAUGCUUCUGCAGAGCAAAUUAAGAGUGCUAAUAUAAAUUGAUGUUAUGUGUUCUUUUGUCAAAGAUAACAUAUGAGUUUUUUAUUAAAAGAAAAUCGUGAGUAAUUCAAUUCCUUAAUGGAUUUCUGUACUUAUGGAUUAGUAUUAGAUAAAACAAUUAUCAAAUAACUUUUCAAAUUUAUAAUGGUCAUAGAUCUUAUCAUAAAAAAUCAACAUGUGAAUAUUAUACCAUCACUAGUGGUAUAAAAUUGAAUGAAUAUUGGUGAUGGACCAAAAGUUUAAUCCAAAAUCUUCAUUAAUUUUUCUUAGUGACUUCACUAUGCAAGCAUAAUAAUUUUUGUGAUAGUUCUCGUGUUAAUAGGGGAGCAAAGUGAUAUAAAUUGGUGGAUGAUAACUCCAUGAAAUGAGAGUUAUUAUGGUAUUUUUAUGCUUAAAGCAACAUUACUUAGAGAGUAAAUGAUAUAUUUUUGUUGCAUUUUAGUUACAUUUUGCAUGCAUAGUCAUUUAAGUUUAAUUUCAAUAAAAUUCAUAUGUUUUUAGAUUAUUGUGUGCUCUAAUUUCGUGCAUAAUUGUAGGUGAUCAAGAAGCUCAAAUUUCAUGAAUGGAACAUUGUAGCAACAAGCUUGCAAAGUUACAAAAAGACUUGGAUGCGAUGGAAUUAAAGCAAGUCUGGAAUAAUGAAGAUGGUGAAGCAAUAUGCUGUAGCAACGAUAAACGAGAUUUCGCGCGUUAGAUAGAAGAUUGCAAUCUAAAGUUUUCAAAAAUAAGAGAUUCACUGCCAUAAAAUUUCUGGUAACCUUAACUUUGACUUAUAAAAGGAGCGCGUUACAAUGAAAAAAAAAAAAGAGGAGGUCAUCAUUAUGGAAAGAGAAUCGAGAAACAACACAAGAGAAAACAAAGAUCAAGAGAGAAAAUUGAAGAUUGCAACAAAGGAUUCAAAAAGAACAUCAAGCGGAUUCAUAAGAUUGAGUGGAUUUCAACUUUAUUCUUGUUCUCUUUUUUCUUUUUAUGUUGUUAUGAUGAAUUGUUUGAUGGCUAAAACUAUUUCGGCUUUUGUUUUAUCACAAAUUAUGAACUAAAUUUACUUGUGGUUGAGUGAUAAACAAUCUUGAUGGUUAAUUAACUGAUUAUGUGUGUUGCUGCAUGUUUGCUAUACCACGUUUUUUUGAUAAUAUUAUUUUAAUUCAUUAUUUUGGUUGACCACCCAUUUAAUGAUACUAGAUAAGAACGAGCCUAAAAAAGGUCUGUCUUAAAGGAACAUAUAAGACUAAUACUUGGUUUUAGAUUGGGUUUCCUGAGUUGGGUUUAACUUGAUUCGAAAAAGGGUCAUACUUAAUCUAAAAUUAGUAAUGAACUAGAUAUGGGGAUUCGCCUUGUACGGUAAUUAGAAUCUAAAACGUGUAAUGAUAUAUCUUAUGUAAGCAUAACAAUUAGUCAUUGUUAAGUUGCAUCAAGAUAUAAGACAUCCAACAAGCGACAAGUGAGGACACAUAAGGAUUAUGUCCAGUGUUGUAGCAGAUGCUGUGGCAACUGAAUAAAAAAUUAGAAAAAAUAGUCAAAACAUUAAAUGAGUUUAAUCACUCAACUACUUCAUUCUCAUUGGUUUUAUCUUUGUGUCUGACGUGAGAAUUGUAUUUAUUGCACUUUUUAUUUAUUCCAUUUAUAUUUUAAUUAGUUAUUAGUUUUAUUAAUUGUCUUAUUUCAAUUUAGAAUAAAACUGCAUUGUUAAGAUUACUGCACCAAGUUUGAUUACAUCAAUCCCUGUGGAGACGAUAUGACUACUCAUCAGUAUAUUACUUGUUGUGUACACUUGCAUAUUAACAUUAACAGCAUUAGAGAUUGCACACACCAAAGGACAAUAUAAAUUGUUUAUAUCACCUUUAUCCCAUUUUGAUCUUUAUAUAAGUUAAUUUAUUUGAACCUAAAUUUCAACAAGAUUAUUGUACAAUGCGCAUUAUUGAUCAAUUAUUGAGUAAAUUUAUUGAUAUGUGAUAGUGAGAAAUCACAAAUAGAAUAUGAUUUGAAUUGAUAUGAUAUCCUUGAAGGUAGAAAUGGUGAGACAAAUUAUAUGAAUGCCUGAAGCAUGUGAUAGAUUAAUUGAUGCAAAAAUUUAAUUCUUGGGAAGUUGAAGUGAAAUAAUUUGGUGCUCUUGAGAGACCAUGUUUGCAUGUACGGUAAAAUAUUUUAUCUAUAUUAAAUUAUUGAAUAUAUUGCCACUAGAGAGGCAUAAUAUACCGACUAGAAAAUGAAUCUCAAAUACUCUUAAAGAGGUAAAUUAUGAGAAAUAAAGAGAGAUUCAAAUUGCCCUAUAAAAGACAUGCUCACAAAAUGAGAAGGACAAUCUUUAGCCCUUGCAGAGGCAUAUUUAUUGAAGCCUUGAAAGAUCUCAUUGGAAAUAAAGAGAGAUUCAAAUUGCCCUAUAAAAGACAUGCUUACAAAAUGAGAAGGACAAUCUUUAGCCCUUGCAAAGGCAUCUUUAUUGAAGCCUUGAAAGAUCUCAUUGGCCAUAUAUAUUGAAUAAUAAAAAAUAUUUGAUCAACAGUAUAUUGGCACUUGUUGCAAGAGAAAAUUGAAAUUGACAUAAUGGGAAAGAAUAUCAAAUUUAUAUGAUUGGUCAAAUUUUGGACCUGUAGUCCAUAUGCUAAAAGACAUAAAAUUAUUUGGAAAAAUAUAAAUAAUUUUGGACAUGUAGUUCAUACACUCGAAAUUGUAAAAUUUAUUAAUAAAAUGUGAAUCUGAACAAGUAUUUGAAGCACUAAAUCAAAGUUUACAACUUAUAUGUUCUCGAUAAAACUAUAAUCAUAGUUUUGUAUAUCAUAGCAAUCUAGACUUAUAAAAGCAUAAUCACUUAAGUGAAUUCAAUAUAAGUGAUGUCAUUAUCCACUUUGCUAUGUGAAUUUAUUAAAAACUAAAAAUUAGAUUUGCAGUCUGUUGGAUUUGAUCUGUAUACACAUUUAAACAAGACCAACUCCAACAGCCCAGGUUUGAAAUGCAAGUUAUGCAACCAAAAAGGGGGGGUGAAUUGGGUUUUUAAAACUAAAACUAAACAAAUCGCACAAGAAUUUAAUCUAAUGUCUUAAUGAAAUAAAAAAUAAUAAAUUUAACAAUUCUCAAAUAAAAAAAAUAAAUUUAACAAUACUAAAAAAUAAAAGAGUAAGGGAAGAGAAAGCAAACAUAAUAAUUUUUACGUGAUUCGGCAAUAUCCGCCUACGUCCACAGCUCCAAGCCAACCAAGCUCGAGGAUUUGACUAUCCAAGCCUCCCAAGGCUUCAAGUUCUUUACAAUUGACUUCCAAAAUAUCAAUAAACCUUUACAACUAAUAGAUUAUCUCUCAAUCUCUUCACUAAAGUAUUUCUCACACAGUCACACUUAUACACUCACAAAUUUUAUGAGAAAAUAAGGAUUACAACAAUGAAACUCUCUUAAAGAGUGGAUAUAUAAAUAAUAGCUCAAUGAAGAUUUAAUCUAUGAUGAUUUGCGAAUUGGAUGCUCAAAGUAUGUUGUUUGUACUUGUUUUUGCUUGCUAGAGAUUUAAAAUUGAAGUUUGAGUUGAGAUUUUAUAGCAAAAGCCCAAAAACUAGCUGUUAUAGGCAAAUUGUAGCAACCAAGCGAGUAGUCGCUUAAUUUAUCCGGCUCGCCGCUUCAGGACAGUAAAGCUACCAUUAAAUUUGAAUUUGUUACAGUAACAUUGUUCAUAAAAUUACAUUUUAGCCCAAAACUUUAUAUACUUAUACUAUAGCCCACAUAGUCAUAAAACUCUGCAAACAUUUCCAACUUGAGAAUUUCUAAAUAAUACUUGUUAUUCCCAAAAUUUUUUGAAAUUGUGAUAUGGCCCAAUACAUGAUAAUAUUUUUCAAAAUAAUCCUUUUCAAAAUUUAACAUAUUACUUAUAAAUUUCAAAGUUUUUAAAACUUUUUCAAUUUAGCCCAAAAUUUGAAAAUGUGAAGUUUUUCCUCCGGCAGCUAGCCGCUAGCUAUCAGGCAGUUAGCCGCUAACUAUCUGUCCACUUAUGAUAUUUACACCCAGGUCCACAAACUUUCAUAAAUUAUAGUAUGGCCUAAAAAGGUUCAAAUGUUUGCAAAUAAGUCCAACUCCGGAAUUCAAAACAAUAUUUAUUAAACUCAAAGAUUGUAAGACAUUUUCAUUUUAGUCCACAUCUUGAAAAAUAACUUACUUCACAAAAUACUUAGCUUAUACUUGUAAAACUUUUGGUUUAUGAAAAAAUAAUGAUUUAUUAAACAAAAUCAUUAUUAUCUGUCCACUUAUUAUAUUUACACCCAAGUCCUCAAACUUUCAUAUAUUAUAGUAUAGCCUAAAAAAGUUUAAAUAUUUACAAAUAACUCCAACUCCGGAAUUCAAAAUAAUACUUAUUAAAAUCAAAGAUUGUAAGACAUUUUCAUUUUAGUCCACAUCUUGAAAAAUAACUAACUUCACAAAUACUUAGCUUAUACUUGUAAAACUUUUGGUUUAUGAAAAAAUAAUGAUUUAUUAAACAAAAUCUUGAGUUUCUCAAAUGCUAAACCAUUCAUAUAUUAAAUCAUACCGAUUUUACAAGAAUUGUCGCAACAAUGAGUCUGUUGAGCUCUAAACUUUAUUCUUGAUCGCGCCGUUUUCCGUUGAGUAUCUUGAGCUUGAUUUCACUUGAUUCACUUGCAUAAAUAUUAUCCUUCAAGAACUAGUGAAAAUGUGAAAUACAAUAUUUUUCAAUUUACUUAAGACAUAUGUUUGUUAUGAUCAAAAUUACAUUAUGUGUAGCCCUUUAGGCUAACAAGGUUGCCUUUAAAAAUUGAUCAAGAUGCAAACUCAAUCAAUUUUCAAUAAAAGAAUUGAUCAAAGAACACUAAUAACAAUCAACUAACACCCUUUGUAAAUGGAAUAAAGUGAAAUAGUAGCUAAACAACCCAAGAAGGGGGUGAUUUGAAUUUCUAAAAAUUAUGGAGAAAUUAAAUCAAAACACAAUGUAAAUAUCAAAUAAAAUUAUGCAAAUAACAAAUAAAUCAAAAAAAUGUAAAGAGAUAAGGGAAAGAGAAUCGAACAUGAGAUUGUUAUGUGGUUCGGCAAACACUGCCUACGUCCACGCCUCGAAGCUCACCGGGCUUGAGAAUUCCUCCAUCUAAGCCUUACAAUUAACCUUUACAAUUUGAGGCUUCCAAAAUCUUUACAAUUAACUUGCAUGGUGUCAAUCAACAUUUACAAUCUGAGGUUAUCUCAAACCUCUUAACCCAAGCAUUUUCCAUAACUCUCAAUUAUUCAAUUUGGUGUUUAAGAAUAUAAAUUACACAAAUUUCUUCAUGCAAUGUAUGUUUACAAAUGAAAGCCCAAAGUUUUAAGCACAAGAAAGAUUGAAUGCACAAUGACAAGCACAAUUAUGAUCAUGGAAUCCAACAAUAUUAUUUGAAUUGGUUUACGCCUUUUUAUUGUUGGAGAAGUAAUUGGUCGUUGUUGACAUUUUGGGCAUAAUCGGUCGCCGUCUACUGUUGUUGGAUCACUGUUUUGACUUUGUGUAAGUUACCGUUAUGCUGAAUUUUGAAUAAUCAGUUCACCAUUUGGAGUUAUCGAUUUGUUGUUUAAUUCCAGAGACCUAGAAGAUAUUUGUUGGUUAGUUGUUAUCAGUAAACGGGUUACCAAUUCCAAAGAAUUUGCUCUCUCAAAUUUAUCAAUUAACAUUUUUCUAAUAAAUAGUUCACCGUUAUCUUCCAAAAUAAAGAAUAUAAAUUUCCUUACGAAAAUAGUUUGCCGACUUAGGAUUAACAGUUAUCCAUUUAUUUCUAGAAUCUUAUUUAUGUCUAAAAUAACUUCAUAUGGCUUAAAAAUAAUUAAUUUUAAAGACUCCAACUUAUUUUGCCAGUUUAUUAUCAUCAAAAUCAAUAUUAUACAAAUAUGUAUAUUAACACAAAGAAUUAGAAACAAAAAAUAGCAAAGCAUACACAAGAACAAAUCAAUUACAUGGUUAGGCCAUAGUGCAGCCUACAUCUAUAGGCAAAGCUUGUCAUAGAGUUUUCUUGAUGAUUUUAUUGAGUACUGGAAAAUGCAUAUUUAUACAGGGUAAAAUUGUCAUUUUAUGUUCCAAGUCUCAUUAACAUUUUCACUUUUACGUAUUCAAAUCCUCUAAGGUUUUAUUAUGUGCUUUUUAUUAUAAUUUAAGUAUUUCAUAUAUUUCAAGGAUAUUUUGGCCAUUUUAUGUCUAACAAGAAAUUGGACAAUGAAACGGAUGACAUUUAUGAACUCGGAGUGGUCGAAAACCUUGGGAGGAGAAUAAAAGAGUAUUUAGUAUUGUUCACGUAUACAGUACUGCUCACAUAUAUGAUAUUAUUUAUAAGUAUGACAUUGUUCAUAAAUACGGUAUGAUAACAUGACAUUGCUCGAUGAUGUGGUAGCAUUCUAUUGGACUAAUGGUGUAGCAUUGAUUGAUUAUGUGGAGUUGACCGAUGAAGUGGCAGGAUGCUAUUGGACCAAAAUGCUGAUAUGGUGUUGACUGAUGAUGUGUUUCAACCAAUCAAAGCUUGUCACGUGGCACAAUCUUGAGUGUCCGAAUUGUUUUCAUCCAAUGGUCAUGAUUUAAUUAUCUAUUGUAUCUAUAAAUUUAGGACUCCCUCUGAUUUGAUACCUCUGAAUCCAUUUUUUUAUCUCUAUUUUUUGCAAUUCUCUCUCCAUCUUGUAUUUUCUACAUAUCUUAAUAAAAUAACCGUUUUAGCCCUAGUUCAAUUAUGAGUGGCUAGUUAAUUUUAAAAUUUAGGUUGAAGGUGAAGCCUCACCAUGAUCCAUGGGCUUAAUUAGGUAAACUUAUUUUCUUUUUAUUUUUGAUUUAUAUGGUUGUUUUUACUUAUUAUCGAUAGAUAGUGUACUUGUUUAGAUUUUGUAUGGUAUACCGACUCCUUAGUGAAGGAUCGUUAUUGUCUGGCAAAAUGAGCACUAAGUACCAUAUUAACUCAGUGUUGACAGAGAGUGUAUCUAAGCUAUUUAGCGGAUGAUCUUGCCACAUUAUCGACAAAAGGAUUAUUAUCGUCUGGCACAACAUGAUCUUGACACCACACUCAAUGGAAGAUAAUUACCUUUGGUACACUGAGCGCUUGAUACCAUAUUUAUUAGAGUGAGGAUUAUAAUUGAAAAUACUGUUAAUAUUAAUGUAUCCAUAAUGUUGAUAUUGAUGAUAACAAAUAAAAUUAAGAAUGAUUAAGUUUUUAAAAGCCCAAAUUAUUUUAAAUAAAUCAUUAUUUUCAUAAUAUAAAUGUUUUAUACUUAAUGGAAAAAUGAUUUUAUGAAAUUGGUUAUUUUCAAUUAAUGGUUUAAAUUGAAAAAGUUUUGAAACUCUGGAAAUAGACUUAUUUGUAAAGUUUUAUGACGAUUUGGGCCAUAGUAUAAUUUUAUGAAGUUUGGGGCCAAACUGUAAUUUUAUAAAAAUAGUUCACUAUAGCAGUCACUAUAGAAAAUGACAAUCCGACAUCUUCAUAAUGGCUCGCCGACAUCGAACAAAAUUGAAGAUUAGCCUCUGGACACUAACAGCGAUCCGGGCUCUUGAAAAUGCCAAUUCGAUAAUUUGAAAAUUCAGCCCAACGGUCAUAUUGACUAGUCAAAACGGUGAUCCGACAUAUAGAUAACGGCGAUCCGGCAGUAAGCAGAAAGUCAAUAACGGCUAGUUUUCAGCUCCAACUAUAAAAUGACUCAAUCAAAUUCAAACAAGAUAAGAUCUAAGAGUUAUCCAUUGAGCUUGCUAUUAAGGAUAUUAUCAUUGUUGAGCUUUAAACUUGUUUUUGUUUCUUUGAUUUACACAUUGAGCAUUCAUUUGUAACCAAACACAUUGUGUUAAAGAAAAUUCAUUUGUAAUCUUUAUCCUUGAGAGGUUGUAAGUGUUGGGAUACACUUGGAUUAAGAGAUUAUGGAUAAUCUUUUAUUGUAAAGAUCCAUUGACACUUUGUAAGUCAAUUGUAAGCGUUUGAGGCCUUGGGAGGCUUGGAUAGUGAAAUCCUCAAGCUCGGUGUGCUUGGAGGCGUGGACGUAAGCGGAGAUUGCCGAACCACAUAAAAAUUCUUGUGUUUGAAUCUCUCUUCUUUUAUCUUUUUAUAUUGUGAUUGAUUUAUUUGUUAUUGCUUUAAAUUCGUUUUAAAUUUGCAUUGAGUUUUGUUUUUAGAAUUGAAUAAUUUUUAAUAUCCCAAUUCACCCCCUCUUGAGUUGCCUAGUUAGUAUUUCAUUUGGUAUCAGAGCGAAGUGCUUUUGUGUAGACUUAAUCAUCUAGAGUUAAAGAUCCAUAGCAACCCAAAUUAGCUCAACCUUCAUGGACGGCCAAUCUACAACUAGACCUCUAUUCUUUGAUGGUAAUGACUAUCCUUAUUGGAAAACUAGGAUGAGGGUAUUUUUACAAACCUUAGACUAUGAAAUUUGGGAAAUCAUUAGUGAUGGUCCUUUCAUGCCUACUACUAAAAGUGAGGAAGGGGAAGAAAUUCCAAAACCUUCUAGUCAAUGGAAUGGAUUAGAAAAGAAAAAAGAUUUCAUUAAACUCCAAAGCAAUGAAUGCUUUAUUUUGUGCUUUAGAUAAGAAAGAAUUUUAUAGAGUUUCUAGUUGUGAAAGUACUUAUGAAAUUUGGAAGAAACUUGAAGUUGUAUAUAAGGGAACAAAUCAAGUCAAGGAGUGUAAAAUUAGUAGAUCUUUAAAUACAUGAAAGGUUUGUCAUCAUAAAAAAAGGGAGAGAUUGUUAACAUAUAUGUUUCCAUAAUGUUGAUUUUGAUGAUAACAAACACGAUUAAGAAUGAUUAAUCUUUUAAGCUCAAAUUGUAAGGGGAGCUUACAUUUAGGGCGAGCAAUUUGUGCAAUCAUUCUUUAAAUAAAUGAAAAGUUUGUCAUCAUAAAAAAAAAAAAGAUUGUUAACAUUUAUGUAUCCAUAAUGUUGAUUUUGAUGAAAACAAACAAAAUUAAGAAUGAUUAAGUUUUUAAAAGCUCAAAUUAUUUUAAAUAAAUCAUUAUUUUCAUAAUAUAAAUGUUUUAUACUUAAUGGAAAAAUGAUUUUAUGAAAUUGCCAUUUUCGAUUAAUGGUCUAAAUUCAAAAAGUUUUGAAACUCUGGAAAUUGACUUAUUUGUAAAGUUUUAUGACGAUUUGGGCCAUAGUAUAAUUUUAUAAAGUUUUGGGGUCAAAUUAUAAUUUUGCAAAAAUAAUUCACUAUAGCAGUGACUGUAGAAAAUGGCGAUCUGACAUUUUCAUAACGGCUCGUCGACAUUGAACAGAAUUGAAGAUUAGUGUCUGGACACUAACGGUGAUCCGACAUCUUGAAAACGGCGAUCCGACAAUUUGAAAAUUCAGCCCAACGGUCAUAUUAAUUAGUCAAAAUGGCGAUCCGACAUACAGAUAACGGUGAUUCAACAGUGAGAAGAAAGUCAAUAAUGUCUAGUUUUCAGCUCCAACUAUAAAAUGACUCAAUCAAAUUCAAACAAGAUAAGAUCUAAGAGUUAUCCUUUGAGCUUGCUAUUAAGGAUAUUAUCAUUGUUGAGCUUUAAACUUGUUUUUGUUUCGUUGAUUUACACAUUGAGCAUUCAUUUGUAAUCAAACACAUUGUGUGAAAUAAAAUUCAUUUGUAAUCUUUAUCCUUGAGAGGUUGUAAGUGUUGGGAUACACUGGGGUUAAGAGAUUGGGGAUAAUCUCUUGUUGUAAAGGUCCAUUGACACCUUGUAAGUCAAUUGUAAGCGUUUGAGGCCUUGGGAGGCUUGGAUAGUGAAAUCCUCAAGCUCGGUGUGCUUGGAGGCGUGGACGUAGGCGGGGAUUGCCGAACCACGUAAAAAUUCUUGUGUUUGAAUCACUUUUCCCUUAUCUUUUUAUAUUGUGAUUGAUUUAUCUGUUAUUGCCUUAAAUUCGUUUUAGAUUUGCAUUGAGUUUUGUUUUUAGAAUUGAAUAAUUUUUCAUAUCCCAAUUCACCCCCCUCUUAAGUUGCCUAGUUAUAAAUAAUCCGAUAAUGAUAAGAAAAACCUUGAUAUGGGCACAUAAUAAUAAUAUGACUAAAAGAAAAGGACUAAUAAGAUAAGUUCUUAUGAUUUAAUUACCUUCCACAUCUAUAUUAGGGUGGCUGUUAUGGUGAGGACGGUGGCAAAAUCCCAAGAGCUAUAAAUAGCCUCUGCUGGCCAUCUAGGAACUGCUAUUGAUCAUAAAGGUACUGUUGCUAAGUGAAGAGUCAUUGCUGUUCUUUAAUGACAUGCUGUUGAAAUGCCUUAAACUGUAACUAAAUUUGGUUUUGUAUCUUAGACAUAUUGUGAACUUCACUCGACAAUUGCUUAACCGGAUCUUACGAAACUUUUAUAGUCGAAUGUUAUACCCGACUAUGACAUGUAUAUCUGGAAGUUGAUUGAGGGGAAGCACAUCAUUUAGAUGCGAUAGUUGGUUAGAGCCAUCAAAAUAGGCAUGUUCUUAACUGCUGGAUGGCUAACCUAAUUAUUAUUCUACCAUAUAAAACCCAAGCUAGCAAUAUCGUUAUCCCCCAAUUCUUGAGGCUUCGUACAUGUUAAGUCAUCAACGAGGAACUGAAAAUAUUUGAGGAUUCGGAUAAUGAUACUACUAAAAGGGAAACUUUUGUUCCAUGCCUCCAGAGUCUCGAGCAUAUGGUGAAGGAUAACAUAACCAAUAUUAACCUCCUUUCCCUAUAGAAUGCUAUCCAACAAGGCUACGUCUAACUAGGUUACUUCAAUCACCAUGUCCUUUUUCUGGGGCUAAUGACAUGUUGAAGUACAUUAUGAAGGAUCAAGACUUGAAGACAAAGGGCUAGUGAUUUUAAAGUGCAAUUAAGUUUGCUCUUAGAUGUAUAUACAUGAUACCCAGUAUCCCUAAUGCCUAAUAUACUAUUUAGAUUCGUCAUAUCAAAUUCAAUAGGAAUUUCAGACACAUUGGUGAUUACUCAAUUGUUUUAGCUGUUGGUAGAUACAUAUUCAAGUAAAAAACCCCUACGAGAUUCAGAUAUACAUUUUAUCUAAUAGUCAAUGCAUUAGUCCAACCCACAUUCUCCGGCAAGGUCUUAAGAUUUCUCCUAGAAAUAGCUAGGUUCUUCAAAUGUUGUAAAUUCAUAAAGUAAGAUGUGAGUACGGACCUGGACACAUGCCAAUCGUUAAAUUAUUUUCGUAAUCCCGGAGUCAAAAAAUGAGUAGCAAUGAAUUUAGGGAUGUCUACAUUUUUUUACCGUCACCUUGGACCCAAAUGCUUGCGUUUCUUACCACCGUUUUAGCUAUAUCUGCUAGCCAUUGAUAGUAACGAAAAGCUCCCCUGAAGCCUCAAAUUGAUUUAGCAAAUUUUAAUGUCAAAUUGGUGAUUUUCAACCAAUUAGAUUGAAGGUUGAGAUGUUGCAAGGAAAUUUAUGGGUGAAAUUUAUUCAAUAAAGAGUGAAAGAUGGCGAAUUUAACGGAUUUUGCUUCGACCAAACAAGGGUUUAUGGUUUAGGUAUUUCUUAAAAUAGUAACAAAAUCGUUGUUUAUGAUGAAAACUGAAGCUAUAUCGAUGAGAAACAAUGGGGAGAUUUUCAAAUAAGUAAGAAAAUUGGUCACAAUUUAAGAUUUUUCAGUAAGAGUGAGAGAACAACUGCCUUCGUCAAGUUAAGAAAAAGAGAGAUUGCGUGAGGAAGACAAAGCAAUAGAUCUUUUAAACAUGAAUCCAAUUAUUCAGCUAAGUUAACAAUAAAACAAUAGAUUCAUCGUUUUGUUCCAGCAACAUUUGAGCAUUGUAUUGGUUAGCUGACUUAUUUACCAAAGACUAAUACAGCUAACCACUUCCAAUCCAGAAGUAGAUGCCUCUGAAUUGGUUAGUCGGCUUAUUUGACGACCGAACAAGUAGCUAACUACUACCACCGCACAAGCUACUCACAAUAACUUGGCUAGCCAGUUUGUUUACGAAGGAAUAAAGUGGCUAAUCGCUUCUACUCCAGAAGCUCCUCAUGAUUACUUGGCUAGCUAGCUUGUUUAUGAAAGAAUGAAGCAACUAAUUGCUUCUACUCUAGAAACUCCCAAUAAUUAAUUGGUUAACUAGAAUUAUUGGCGAACAAACAAGCAGUUAGCCACUUUAUCUCUGGUACGUAGCUCCUCACAAUUUUCUAGCGUUUGUCAAAAAAUGAAGUGGUUAGUGGUUUCCACUUUAGAAACUCCUAAUAAUUAAAUGGUUAGCCAGUUUAUUUAACAAACAAAGAAGCAGUCAACUGCUUCCACUACAGAAGCUCCUCACAAUUAGCUAGCUAGCUAGAAUAUUCUUUUAUUAAUGAAGCGGUCAACUAGCAUACCUCCAUUUAACAUUAUACUGGAGUGUUAGGUUUGUAUUGAAUGUUAAACGAAACAAAACACACCUUCCCUUCAUUAGUAAGGGAUUAUAUAAUGGUAUCUCCACUGGGAAGUGUCUCAACAACACCCACUCAUUCAACAACAAUUAUUUUGUUCUUACAUCUCUUUCGAGAUUUCCAAACUUAAGAGGUAUUAUUCAUCUUAGAGGUUUACUAUUCAUAAUGGAAGUUUCUAUCCAACUAAGGUAUGGUUGUAAAUUAGCCAUUAAAGUAGAAUUAUUAUUAUUAAUAUAAAUGUGGAGUAUGUGAAGCCAAUAUUGUUUUUUAUUGUAUUACAUUAUUAAUGAUUUACAUGUGAAUACUACAUAGACAUAAUCUAUAUAUUAUGUUAUUCAUUUAUGACUAACAUGGAGUUCAAAAUAGGUUCAAUUAUAAACGUAACUAAUAUUAUGUUAUUGUUGUACAUGGGUUAAAUAUGAGUGCUCCGUAUAAAAAUAUCCAUUGUUUCAAGUACUCGUGAAUUGUCAUCAUCAUAUGAUCGAUCAAUACAAUCAACAAACAAUUAGGUUUCAUUGGCAUCAAAUGUACUUGGCAGUCAUUUCGACUCAAUAAAUGAUGCAGAAUGGUAUAACAAUUGUGGCCGAAUGAUUGGUUUCAGGGUGAGGAAAGAUGACUUGCAGCAUGAGAAAAAGUAUGAUCAAGUCACAACUCGUCAGUGGGUUUGUCAUUUUAAAGGGCUCAAAGAAGAAAAAUAUUCUCAAAACUACAGUCGGGUGCCAGAACCACAACUAAUCACACGUACUGGGUGUCGGGCAUAAUUUUGUGUGAAUUAUGAUGAAUCUAUUAGUGAGUACAUUAUCAAAGAAUUCAAGCCUAAGCACAACCAUCUUUUGUCUUCUAACAAGGAAGUCCAUCUCAUUCGUUUACAUAAGAAAGGUAGUGAUGUGGGCCUUAAGCAAGCAAAGGCAUUAAAGCAUAGGUUGAAAACUUGCCAAUUUAUGGAUUACAUGACUGAUCAUGCAAAGGGGUAGCAAAUUCUAAGGUUCUCUCGCAAUGAUAUGCAAAACGCACUAGAUACUUUAACUCGUGUUGUGGUUGGAGACUUUGACUCAGACACUACUAUAGCAUACUUUGCUAUAAAAGCUAAACAUGACCUUGGCUUCUCAUUUGAGUAUACACACUUGACAAUGAAAAUAGGCUACGGAAUUUGUUUUGGAGUAAUUGUGUGGCAUAUUGUGACUAUUAGUGUUUUGGCAAUGUUUUGACGUUCGAUGCAAUGCACAAGAUUAAUGCAUUUAAAAAAACCCUUAGUUACACUUGUAGGCACAAACCAUCAUUAUAGAACUAUUGUCUUUGAUUUCACUCUACCCGUAGAUGAGACAGUAGACUCGUUCACAUGGCUGCUACAAACUUUCUUGUCCACUAUAAACAACCAAAAGCCUAUUUCCAUAAUUAUUGACAGUGAUUAGGCAAUGUCGAAGGUAAUAAAAACAAUGUUUACGGGGUGUGUCCAUUGUCUUUAUUGUUGGAAUCUAGAAAGGAAUGCUUAAGGCAAUGUAAAAAUAAAGACUUUAUGAAAAAAAUUUAUGAUUUGAUGUUUGAUUCUUAUGAUAAAAAAGUAAUUUCAAAUUUAGUGGUCAGUCGUAGUUAAUGAAUUCAUGUUUUAACAGAAUGCAUGGUACAAAAAAUGUAUUUAAAGUGGUGCAAUUGGGUAGAAACUUAUCUAAAAACAACAUUCUUUGCUAGUAUGCGAAACAUUUAGUGGUGUGGGAGUAUUAAUGUGUAUCUUAAUCGGCUUGUCCAACAUAAGUUAAAGUCAUAUAAAAUCAAUCGUGCUCUCCGUAAUAUUUGUGCCACUGAAAUAGUCGAUGAGUUCAAAGCCAAACGUAAUUCUCUUCUGUUGAGAUCGCACUUACAUAACUUAGAGCAUGUUGCAAAAGUCAUCCCAUCGAGGGAUUUUGGGGAGGUUAAAGAGAGAUCCUGCAAGAAAGUGCAAUCAUCAAGGUAGAAAAUGCAAAAAUGUCAAUGCUCAUUUCUACACUCACUGAAUUUGGGACACCAGGAAUGCUGUGGAAUGUGGUCUAUAAACUGAAAGAAAACAGUACAUAAUGCUCUUGUCAAAUGAUGAAUUCUGUUGGGCUUUUGUGUAGACACAUGUUCUAUGUCUUGAAAAUGGAAUAAUUUAAGAAGAUUCCCAUGAAAAUAGUUAUUCUUCAAUGGACAGAAAAGGCCUCAAGUUGACAAAGAAGUUUCAAAGCCUGCGAGAUUUAGUGCAUUGUUUGCAAAUUGCAAUAAAAUAUGCUAUAAUGCAGCAAACAAUAUUGAAUCCUUUGAGGAGGCUUUAGUUGAGAUUAAUCGGUUAACAUUAGCUUUUGAAAAACUACCUAAUCUGGGCGGGCUCUCAAAUAAAAAGAUGUAGAUAGGACCAAAGCUAUGUAAUCUAGAAGUUAUGCAGACCAAAUGUGCCACAUCCAAAGCCAAAGGUAUAGAAGAAAGCUUUAGAAAGCAUGGAAAAUGUCGUGAGGUUGGGCACAUAGCAAGAACUUGUCAUAUUGCAACCAAUGACAGCACACGAUUUUCUUGUCCCAAGUUUGUUGCCCUGAUAUUUGUGGUAAUUUAAAUUUUAUGAGUAGGCCUUUGCAUGCUGGCAUACUUACAAAUUACUAUGAAUCUAUCACUUUUGAGUGUCGAUGGUGAUUCUUUAUUGCAUUCACUGCAUCAAGUUCCCAGAGUUCUAGUGCUUUUGGUGGUGUUAAUCGUGCAUUGUUUGCUUACUCCGAUAACCAAUUUUCUAAAUUUUUUUCUAUUGGUGGCCUUAUUAAACUUCUUGUUUGCUAUAUAUUUAAGACUCUCAAUAUAUUUAACCAUUUUAAUCUCCAACAGACAUAUACCAAUCUAGCUAAGUAGUAUUAAUAUCAAAAUCUUACUGUUUUGCUAUUGAGAUGGUUUUUUCACUUAAAAGGAUAUAAUGUUCACCAUUGCAACAUGGUUCGUGAACUAAACGUUGGCUAGUUCCAAAAAUUUAUCUUGAUUUUGAUUUAAUAGGAAAUUAGGAAGUUAAAUAGCUCGCUUACCUCGUGCAUCUUCCGAAGCGUACUAGUGAAUUUCAAAGAAAAAAAUUACUUUCUGCCAAUUAAUGAGUUAUAAAAUAUCAAGUUUAGUCAUUAAACGAGUUUAGUGACAUCGUACCAAAGUUGAUGACUUGUUCGGAAGUAAUUUUGGGCUGUUCAUAAAGUUUAUCACAUAAACCCACAUAUUUAUUCAUUUGCUUUGGAACUCCAAUACCCUAAUUGAUUGAGAAGUUAAGGAACUUCACGUUUUCCAUAUUACUUGGCAUUUAGGGUUGUAAAAUCGAAUUUAGAGAAUGCAGCUAUUGGAAAUAUCGAAAAUAGAGCUGAUUAUAUAUGUGAACAUAACACAAUAUACACGAGUACUAAUAUGAAAUGGAUUAGUUAAAAAAACAAUAGUGACAUACAAUGCACAACGUUUGAUCGUGAUUGAUUCAUGAUCAAUAAGAACCAGUAAGAAGAUUUAUCGUUGAUUAAAACGUAAAUCUAUUAUUAUAGUUGUCAAUGUCAUAGACCAAUCAUACUAGUAUAAAUUGUAAUGAGUAAAGGGUAAACAAAGUGACAUUUUUAUGCCUAUGCAACUGUUACAUAUAAUUCUUUCUAAUUCUAGUCACUAUUACAAAAUGAUGCACCUCGGUUCCGAUCGUUCAAACUAAUUGCUACAUAUAAUGAGGACAUAAACAUGAGCAAAUUAUCACUAAAGAAACCCAAACAAAAUGCAAAAUCUACCGAAGAUACUCACAUAAUAUUUGGUUGGUAAAUAUCAGUUGUUGGCACUUUUUUCUCCCUCAACUGCUUAAUAAGGGUCAAGUGAUAUGCUUUCAUGGAAAUCGCCUAAAUGUGAUAAAAUUGAUUGAGAUAUAUAUUAUAGGACAAGCAUAUACUGUGAUUUGAUCAACUUUUGAAACCUAAUACCUCUUCACAUAGAAAUGUCCCAAGUAAAAGGCUUGAUAAAGAAUGUCGAUUUACGAGUUCGUUGUAACUAGAAAGCAUUACUUCACUGAAGACAAUACACAAUAAUUAUCAGUGAUACAUCAUAAAAACCAAUUACGCAUAAUUUAUUACAUAAUUCCAUGCUUACCUUCCUUGAAUGUCUCUAUCAAAAGCAUGUUGAAUAGGCUUUAAUUGAUCUAGACUAAUAAGAUCAUUAACUUGAGACAGACCAAUUUUGUACAUGGGAUUUGCUCCUCGUUACAAUAGAGUGCUUGAUGAAAGAUGAUACCAACUUGGUCGACAAUUUUUAAUUAGUCGUGUUGGCAGUACACUGACACUAGUAGAUGUUUGAGGUUCUUACCUCAGGUCAAUUGGUUCGUUCAUAUCCUCUAUAAAUUAAAUUUAUAUGCAAGUUCAUUCAUCAGUGAAAUAUUAUACAUAUAAUAUUUACAAAAUUUGAUGAACCAUGCGUGUACAAGAAAAUUCAGGAAAAAUUUAUAGCCUUCCUAGUUCUUAUAUAGACAAUAUUCUCCUAAUUGAAAACGAUAUAGGAGUAUUGAUUACAAUAAAGAGUUGGUUAGCAAAACAAUUUGAUAUGAAAAACCUAGGAGAGGUAAGUUUUAUUCUUGGUAUCAAAUUACUAUGAGACCUGAAGAAUAAAACUUUAGCAUUGUCUCAAACGAUCUAUAUUGACAAGAUAUUGUCUAGAUUUAGUAUGGAAAAUUCCAAGACUGGUUUAUUACCAUUCAGACAUGGAAUUGUAUUCUCUGAGGAUCAAUCACCUAAAACAUUUGAAGAGAUAGAGAAAAUGAGACGAGUUCCCUAUGUAGAAGCUGUGUGAAGUCUCAUGUAUGCCAUGCUUUGCACUAGCCCAGAUGUCUGUUUUGCGGUAGGGAUAGUUAAUAGAUAUCAAUCUAAUCAUGGACCUGAACACUGGACUGCAGUUAAGCAUAUUAUAAAGUAUCUGAAAAGAACAAAAAAUUAUAUGCUUAUGUAUUCUGGUGAUGAACUUAUUCCAGUGAGUUAUACUGAUUCUGACUUUAUAUCAGAUUAAAAACCCUAAAAAAUCAACUUCCAACAAUGUGUUUACAUUAGGAAGUGGAGUUAUUAGUUGAAGGAGUGUAAAAAUCUUAUAUCACAUACUCCACAACUGAAGCUGAAUAUGUGACUACAUCUGAAGCUGUAAAAGAAGCUAUAUGGCUCUGCAAGUUCCUACAAAAUCUUGAGGUGGUACCUGUUGUAACUGCACCCUUUAAAUUAUUUUGUGAUUAUGGUGGUGCUGUAGCUCAAUCUAAAGAACCAAGGAACUCAAGAAACAAAACAUAUUGAGAAGAAAUAUCAUCUUAUAAGUGAAUAGUGUAGAAAGGUUAUAUGACAGUACCUCAAAUGACAUUAGAUGCUAUAUGACAGAUCUUAUUACAAUGGCCAUUAGUGGGAAACCUUUAUAGCCUGCACUUAGAGCCCUAGAGCAUGUGCAAUAUGCCAUAUAUGCUUUAAGAGCUAGUGGGAAAUUGUUGGGAUUAUAUGCUCUUUUAAAGCAUAUUAAUUUAUUUUCUGAUUAAUAAAAUAUUUGAGAUAUUUUCAAUUGCAUAAAUAUAUAUCUUGAAUAAGGUCCAUUUAAUCAUAUUAUAUGUAUUUAUGUGAUCAUCAUAUGGAUUCACGGAAGACAUAAAUACAAGUUAUCUUAUGAUUAAAUAAAUUUAGUUCGCAGUUGAUAAAUAGAGUUGGACGCUCUAUUUAUGUUUAGACUGUAGUAAAUUAAUUGAAUGAUUUGUCUUAAUCAUAUAUGAAUUUACUGAUGUAGUUUGACUACAUUGAGCUGAAUCACAUAUGAGAUUUAAUUAACCUUGAAAUGACUGUCAGACUUAUUAAAUCUCAUAGACAUUGAUUUUAUUAUAAUCUUAAUCUUGAGUUAGUUAUGAUUUCAUGAUUGUAAUUGUUAUUCCAUUUGAGUUAUCAAUGGGCACGACACACACUUGUGGUCAAGAUUACCGGUAUCUUGGUGGGAGCAAUUAUGAGUAUUGGAGUUAUAGAUUAACAAUAUAGAAUUUGUACAACACAUCUCUUGAUGGGUUUUCGGCACUUGAUCAUAGAAUUCUCUGGCCAGAGUGUGUCAACAUAUUUAGUAUGUUGAAAAUGAUCAUUAGAGAAAACCAAUAAGUAUCAAGGAACAAGAUGUAAUUAAAUCGAUUGGACAAUUGAGAUAUCAAUUUAAUUAAUGAUGUGAUACAAAGAAUUAUGCAAUAAAGAAAUCAAUGUGGCAUGGGUCGAAUUAUUAUUCGAGUACACUAUCCUAGAUAGCAUACAAUUAUGGAGGUCAAUUCCAAUCUUUCAGUGGAGUAGAUUUGGAAUUAAAUAAUUGGAUUAGUUUAAUUACAGGCUUAAUUAUUGUAGCCACUAUUGUAUGUACCCAUACGAUCCCCCGGUUAGCUCAUUUAAUUGAUUGUGCUGCUACUAGAUUAAUAAGCAAGAUAACUAGUUAUUUAGGUUAAAAGCCUAAAUAUAUUAUUUAGCGGGAGACUCUAUUAAUAUGCUUGAGUGCAAGAGGCCUUGUGUUAUUUUACAAGGUGAGCCCCUAUAACACAAGAACAAGUAACGUGACUUUUGUUUUAAUUAUUUUUUAAUUUAAAUCAAAUGAGAUUUAAUAAAAUAUGGAGCCUAGGGUUUCCACUAAAUAGAGAUAUAAAAAGGUUUAUUUUCUCCCAAAAGAGAGAGAGCAGCCACUUUAUGCAAUUCAGAGAAAAAGAAAUUUUUUCUCUAAUUUUGAGAGAAAAAUUUUCUCCUACUAGUUGCUUUUAGUGGUGAUAAAGGCGCCUACACAUCAAGUGCAGAUCAAACCUGAGUCAUAACCUGCAAGAUCAUUGGUGACAUAUCGUGAUCUAACAAGCAUGGUGGUGACGGAUUGUGAUCUAACAAGCGUGGUGGUGACGGAUCGUGAUCUGGGAAGCCUGGAUUAAUUUCAAUUGUUUAUCUUCUCGGAUUUUCAAGGUACGAUUUCUAGAUUAUGUAUUCCUAUAUACUGUAUGAGAUCAGUCCUAAAAGUUUUUAUAAAAGUUUUUAAAAAUUGAUUUUUCUCCAACAGGUACAAGGUUUAGGCGGACAAGCAUGCCGUAAGAAAGUGUUUAUGAAAGGUGAUUUGGUGACGACAUAUCUGCGACGCAAUCAUUUUCCUCGCAUUCACACUAAAUUGGAGAAGCACAAGUACGGUCCGUUUUGCUUGGCUAGGAAGACUAAUGAUAACGCUUUUGUGCUCCAGUUGCUGGACAAUUGGAAUAUCUCGCACACUUUCAACAUGGCUGAUCUAUUUGAGUAUCAUCCUUAUGAUGAGGCGUUGUAUGAGCAAAACUUAAGGCUGAGUUCUUUUCCAGGUGAGGGGGGCUGAUGUAAGAUGGUUGUGUGUCGUGAGUAGGAUACCUUCCAGAUGGCAUAACUUUGGUUACAUGGGUCCCUUUUUGGUGUAUAAUAUAUCAUUUUGAAGCUUGUGAUGAGAUGAACAAAACCCAGAAUGUUUGCCAUUCCAGUUCAUGGUUGAGCGGGAAAUUCCAUUCCUUUCUUGGUCAUUUUCCAGUUUUAAGAUUUUUCCUAUUUUUCCUAAUUCUUCUAGAAUUUUUAUCUUUUUUUUUUUGGAUAUUGAAUUUGUAUUCAAUUUAUCUUGCUUUUCUUAUUUCGGAUAAGGUAACUUUAUUAUAAAAUAAUAUUUCAGAUUUGUCUAUUUUAAUAAAUUCCAGGUAUCUAAUCUCGUUAUAAAAAUGACUCAAACUCUAUUUUUUUUAUUCGGACUUUUUAAUAAAAUUAUCAUUAUUCAAAAAUCUUUGUUUCUUCUAUCAAUCUACUUUAAACACUUUCAUUUUCGUUGUGUGAUUUUGUUAUUUUUCUUUUGCUGGAUAUGUAUGUGGAAAAUUAUAAAUACUUUGCAGGAUUUACAAGGAUUUAAAAGUUUGAAUGCAUAUAGUUUUCUGUCCAUCAGCUAAUGCAUAUUUUGCAAUAUUUUAUGAAUAUAAAGGCUAGUAGAUUGACAAAUGGACCUUAGUACACGUCAUCAGAUACUUUGCUCAAAGCUACAACUUGGCAACGCCAUGCUGUUCUUAUCGGCCAAGGCAAGCAAUUUGCUAUUCUUUCUAAUGGAGUAAAUAAAAUGAUUCUUAUUUGCACAGAAAAUUAGAAAAGAAAAAGUGGAUUACUGAUCCAGAGAAUUGUCAUUUACUAGAAGCACAUAGAUCUUACAAUCUGUAAUGCUCAAAUGAUACUGAAGUACUACCUAAAUUAGCCUUUCAAAACUUCAUUUUGAAAAAUCCAUGGUUGUCAUGUGUCUCUAUAAAUUCACUAAUGAAAGUUCUAUCUAUUACCAAUUGUCUUAAACUCUGUUCUGAACGGAGCAUGAAAGGAUAUGUCCGCUUAUCUAGUUAUGUUUUUUAUGCUUUCACUUCACUUGAUUCACCUUGUCCUUCUUUUUGAAUAGUUGUAUAUGUUGGAGUGUCAAGUCCAUCACAAGGAUCAUAUUAUGGCCUAAGGACGGAGCACAGAUCAUUGGCUGCACUCAGUUUGUAGAGUAUUCUGGAAUUCAAGACCGUUAGUAGGCUGUUACACAUGCAACUUGCAAGGCUGUUGCUAAUGGGGCCAAUGUUUGUCUAACUACUUCGAAGAAACAACGUACUCUUUGGUCUAUUGACUUUGCCUUGCGAACGGGCCUAAUUAUUGACUUCUGGCAUGUGAACAGGGCUAAUGUUUGUCUAACUACAUUCAAGAAACAACGUACUCUGUGGUUUUAUUGACUUGUGCUUUGUGAACGGGGCUAAUUAUUGACUUGUGACAUGUGAACAGGGCUAAUGUUUGUCUAACUACAUUCAAGAAACAACGUACUAUGUGGUUUUAUUGACUUGUGCUUUGUGGACGGGGCUAAUUAUUGACUUGUGACAUGUGAACAGGGCUAAUGUUUGUCUAACUACAUCCAAGAAACAACGUACUCUGUGGUUUUAUUGACUUGUGCUUUGCGAACGCUUUGCGAACGGGGCUAACUAGUCACUGUCCGACUGUCUCCGCUUCCAUUGACUUGGUUAAUUUAUGACUUUGAUGUGCACAGUAGAUGCCAACUGCCUUCUCCAUUGGACGUACAAAAAACUUUCUUGAGUCGGGUUAAAAUUAAUUGAUCAUUUUGUUUGGUGAUGAUGAAUUAGUUGUCAAUUCAUGAGUUUGAUGAUGAAGAGGACGAAAAGAUUAUUUAAUUAUUUAAAAUAAGGCUAUCAAUUAUUUCGUGGUCGUCUUAUUUCUUAAAAUAACUAAAUGGAAUCAUACAGAAUUAGAGUGCUUGACUUCUUCAUACAGUGCUUGAAUUCUUUUUACAGAAUUAUAAAGUGAAAAAAAAUUGAGAAAUUAGAUACUUUUCGUGCGAGCGGAGGAGAUUGGGUUGCUAUUACAUUAAAAUAAAAUAAAAAAAUUAGACGCACAACACUUCAAUAAUCUCAUUUCUAAUCAUAUCGAUAUAAAAUUUCCUGUAUAUUUAUGAGAUAACUGUUGAUUUUACUUUGGUAAUUUCUUCUUAAAUGGCCAACAUUUUAAUUGGAAGCUCGAAGAUUUCAAUAUUAGCCAAACCUAAGUGAUAAGAAAUUUUCAUAUGAGAGAGAGUUUCGGAAAAAAAACCGCUUCGAGUUAAAGAUCAGAAAUUUGUGUUCCUCACAGAAACAAUAAUUCAAUCCACACAAUUUUUAUUGUUUUACUCUGUGGAACUUCUGAAUCUUUGAAUUAUCAAAUUAAUGGCAAAAACACUUCAACAUCUGUUGUCUCAUAGAAUGAAAUAAUCUUUAGUCCUUGACGUAUCCCUGGGGCAACGUACAUUGACUUUGCAUUAAAAUAAAAUAAAACAAACAUUGUCAUGUUGUUAAGAAAAGCUUAAUUUUGACAAGUGCAAGAGAGGGGUGGAAUUCAUUUGAUGCAAGAAAAACUAUCAGUCCCAUUUUCCAUUUUCCAAUUGUUAAAGUAAUUCUAUUUUUUAAAAAUUACUUCCAUUUUCCAAUUGUUAACGUAAUUCUAAAUUCGUUAGGAUCACAAGGAUAGGAUUUUGUUGACUAAGGUUUGGCUUAACGCAUGCGGGUGUUUUUCUUCUCUAUUUCGUAGAAAUUUUAGUUUCAUAUUAAAUACUUGGUUUGUAGCAAACUUAUGAGUGUUCUUGUGUUACCAAUCCAAUUAAGCUUACACUUACAAUCUAAGUACUCUCAUCUCAUAGAAAGAGUUCAUUCUCUCAGUAUGAUGAGCAGAUUUCUCUUACUCCAUUGUUUGACUCUUAUUUCCUUAUUUAUCGCAGCUACAACAGCCAACACAAUUACUAUUACCAUAGACCAAGAUGCUUUGCUUGCCCUGAAAGCUCACAUAACUCAUGAUCCAACCAAUUUCUUGGCCAAAAAUUGGAACACAAGUACUCCUGUCUGUAAUUGGACAGGCGUCACUUGUGAUGUCCAUAGCCAUAGAGUCACAGUCCUGAAUAUUUCUCGUUUAAAUCUUACCGGCACCAUCCCUUCUCAACUUGGGAAUCUUUCUUCUCUACAAUCACUCAAUCUCAGUUUUAACCGAUUUUUCGGUUCCAUUCCCUCCGCCAUAUUCACCAUAUACACAUUGAAAUAUGUUAGUUUCCGUGAAAAUCAGCUCUCCGGCACUUUCCCUUCUUUAAUCUUGAACAAGUCUUCUUUACAACAUCUUGAUUUUACUCACAAUACCCUGUCUGGAGAGAUUCCCGCAAAUAUUUGCAGUAAUCUUCCUUUUCUGGAAUACUUUUCUUUGUUCCAAAACAUGUUCCAUGGCGGAAUACCUUCCACUCUGUCAAACUGCACAUAUUUAAGAAUCUUAUCUUUGUCAAGCAAUGAUUUCUCGGGACCCAUACCAAAAGAAAUCGGGAACUUGACUAAACUUAAGGAAUUAUAUCUUGGCCGUAAUAGACUCCACGGUGCGUAUGAUCACAGAGUUAAUGAAAAUUGUUCCAUAAGUUAUAAUAUCAAUAAUGUUCCAUAAUACACUUUACACACGAUUAAUUUGCAGGAGAAAUUCCUCAAGAGUUUGGCAAUCUUGUCAAAUUGGAGCUGAUGUCGUUACCAGAAAACAAACUCCAAGGUAUGGUUUUAAUUUUUUGCAAUUUGUUUUAGCUCUGCUUGCUUCUGUAUUCAUUCGCUUGUUCUUCAAUUAUGCUAUGAUUUAUUGUUUUUCUUUGAGAUAGAGAUAAAGCUCAAUGUCACUCCUCACUCAUUUCAUUCUUUAAACAUUCCUUCAUCUAUCUACAAAUUACUCUUCUUAUUUGAAUUUGGAAUUCUCAUUUAAUAACUUGACCGGCAACUUCCCUCACACAUAUAUAUGUGACAUCUUCUUCUUCUUAAUUAAAAGUUUUCAGUUCUCUCAUUAUAAAUUCUCAUAUGGGGAUGUAUUGUUACCACUAUCUAAAAUUAUCUCGUUUUUAAUAGAAAUUAAUCUAUAUUUAUGCAAAAUUUUGUAGCAUUUAAAAAAAAAAAAACACAUGGAGUAGAUCGUUUUUUUUCUAAACUGAACUUGGAUUUCUUAAAAAUUAUCUUGACAGGUAUGCUUCAAUAAUGAUAUGCAAGUGUUACAAUUCCAUAAAAUAUUUUACAUGGAAUCACUAAUUAUCUUUAAGUAAUUGGAUAUGCCAUCACUAAUAAAUAAUUUCUUCACAGGAACCAUACCAAAAGAAAUGGGCAAUUUUACUAAUCUUAAAGUGUUUGUUCUUUACAGCAAUAGACUUCAAGGUACGUUUCCUGACGGAAAUUUUUAUCUAAAUAAAUUUUUAGUCAUCACUUGUGAUACUUUACGUUAACAAAUUAAAUGAUUCUCAUUCUUAAAAUAUUGUGACGGUUAGCAGAAAAAUUAGAAAUUUUUUGGACAUCGCAUGAUAUUUUACCUUAACGAAUGAUGUUCAAUCUUAGAAUUUAGAAUAUCUUGAAGGUUAGUAGUAGGGAAAUUAGAAAUUGUUUAUUUGCUGAAAAGUUAAUUCAGUGUGUUAAAGCAUUUCAAUUGAAAAUUUUAAAAUAAAUGUUGAGAAUUGACCCUCGUUAGUAUUUCAGUGGAUAAAUAUGAAACAUUAGGCUACAAGAAAUUAUUUUACUGAAAUAAUAAUUUAAAUGAGAGAACUAAAGUGAACAUAACUUAGGCUUUCAGUGUUAAUUAUUUUAGCUUCGGCUUCAGGUUGAUUACACGGUUGAACACUUACAACUGUUAUAAUAAUAGCAUCCCCAACUUAGGGCCCAUUUGGGAUUGUUGUUUAGAGGUUCAAAUAGUGAUGGCAGUGGGCACUGCCUGCAGCGGAUUUGUCAUUACCAAACUCAAAUUUGCACAAAAUUUAAAUUAUCAAAUUCACCUGCAACCCGCAGUGGGUUUUAAUUUUUUUAAGAAAACUCACCCGUUAUGGGUUUUGACAAUUACCAAAGCCACAAUGGUAUAUGGCCGAUUUUUUACGGGUUCAUACAUUUAAAAUCACAAAUGUACAAUAUAUAAAUUUACAAUAAUAAUCUCAAAUUCCACAUAACAUACUCAAUUUUAAAUUUAACCAAUGUAAAUGAAAAAUUAAAAUUUCAACAUCAAUCUAACACAAAUUCUCAAAUUUAAAUAUAAAAUACACAAAUCUAUGAAAAGAAAACCACAAACUAGUAUUUAAAAAUAACAAUUACAUUUCAUAUCAUCAUUCAACACAAGUUCUAAUAGAAGCUCUUCAUUUCAUUCAUUAUCAUUAGCACCCAUCCAACACGAUGUCAACAAUAAUGAUUAAGAUUAAUAUUUUUCAAAGAAUAAUAUUUUUCAAAUAUUAAUUAGAAAAAAGUUAUAAUAAUGAAAUAAUUCAUGCAUCAAGUUAAAGAAAAACAGUCCAUACAAAAACAUUUUGAUUAUUUGGUACUUUACAUAAUUGCAUAAUUUUCCUUAUAUAUUUUUGAGAUUUAAAAAUUUUCAAGUAAAAUUAAGUUAAAAAUAUUUUUAAAAAAAUUGCGGCUCUAAUGGAUAUCCAUGCGGGUAUCCACCGAAUAUUGGGUUAAUACCAAACCCACCCGCAUCUAAGUGCGGGUUUCAAUUUGUAACACCAAACUCGCCCGCUACCAGUAAAAUUAUCUGCAGCGGGCAGGUUUUGGCCGGCAGGUUUGGGCGGAUUCAUUAUCAUGUCAUCACUAACAAAUAAUUUUGGCGUAUGAUAAUUUUUUUUUUAAAUUGCUUUUGGUAAAAUUACCUUAUCAUAUAGCAGAUUUUGAAAAGUAGGGAAGAAGUAGUUUUUCAAAAUCUAAUUUUGAAAAUAACUUUUAUAUAAAAAUCCAAAAUUAUCCUUAUUUAUUAGGAAAUUAAAUCAUUAACUUUAAAGAUAUUAUUAUUAUUACCAAUUAUAUUGAGAUAACAAAAUAAAAUUAAAAUUAAUAAUGUAAAAUAUUUAUUUUAAUUAUCAGUUAUUAUAUGUACAUACAUAAUAAGAAAUAUUUAUAUACUUGUUUAGAAAUGUUUAAAUAAAUUUUAUUCAAUAUUACGUUCAAUUCAAUCAUUUACAUUCUUACAACGAUUUAAUAGUAAGAUUUAUCAAACACAUAUAAUUGUUUUUAAAACUCACAGUACUUUUUAAAAUAAAUUUUACCAAACGUUUAUCUGAUUCUUUUCACAGCUGAUUAUUUUUACAGCAUUGCUAACAUAAAUUAUUUUAAAAGUUGCAGCAUUAUCAAAUUGGCCAUUAGACUUUUACUUUUCAAAGGUGUAGCAAUUUGUAUAUAAGUAGCUAAAGCAUAUUAAAGCUAGCAUUGAUGUAUGGAUGAGUGGUGACAAAAGUGUAUAUGUUUUUAUGUAUCAUUUAUUCUGUGAAACAAAUCUGAAUACAAUUCUUUCCAAAUACAGAUAAGAUAUCACAUGAAAUAUUUUACUGCGAUAAGAAUUCAUAAAUUCAUUGUAGCAGCACAUAUAUAAUAGACAAUAAAUUUAGUUCCAAAAUACAUUCUUACAUUCAUAUAAAUUUUACAUUACUAAUUUAGAUUAAUAUUAAAAUAUGUUGUCUCUAUCACCAUGUUAUUUUAUUUAACAAUACGUGAUUAUUGGAAUUAAUAAUAUUUAUAAUUACUGAAUAAAAAAUAUAAAUUUAGUACUUUGUUAACAUUUUAUCUAUGUAUAAUAACUAAACUUAAACUCGUAUUUAAAAAAUUAUAGUUACGCAUAUUCAUUUCAUGAUAUAAAAGUGUAUAUUUAUUCUAAUUUACAGUUAUCAAAAAAUGCUUUGAGAUAUAUUAGUAUAUUUAAAAUACCGGCAUUUAUUAUAUUUUGAAAAAAAAUAUUUUCAUUUAUUAUAAACCUUUGGAUUCAUGAAAUCAAAGGGUAUAAUAAUAUUCAGAAAUGGAUUUGUAUGAUCGUUUUUCAAUCCUAGGUAGUCUAUGCAUACAUUUAAGCAACUAGACGUCAUCUUCCCUAAAUUAAGGCAUAUGCUAAUUUGCAAGAGAAAUUCCACAGGAGCUGGGAAAUCUUACAGGAUUUGAGGAAAUUAUUGCUAAAAAAUAAUUUCUUGACAAGUAGGCUUCACUAAUGAUAUGAAUGUGUGACAAUUUCAUAAAAUAUUUUAUAUGGAAUCGCUAAUUAUCUUUAAAUAAUUGGAGAUGUCAUCACUGAUAAUAAUUUCUUAACAUGCACCGUAGCAAAAUAAAUCAGCAAUUUUACUAAUCUUAAAGAAUUGUAUCUUCACUACAAUAGACUUCAAGAUGCGCAUCACAACAGAAUUAUUUAUCUAAAUAUAUUUUUAGUCAUCACUCGGUGAUAUUAUACCUUAACCAAUGAUGCUCAUUCUUAAAAUAUUAAGAAGAUUAGUACGAAAAUUAGAAAUUUUUUAUUUGCUCAUAAAUAAAUCUAGUGUUUAGCAUUUCAAUUGGAAAACUUGAACUAAAUGUUGAUAACUUCGAAUCUCCAUGCUAGUAAGGAGAAAUUUGAAAAGAAAUUAUUUUUCAGAAUUAAUUUAUUUUAUCUUCCUGUAAUUAAAAUAAUAUAUAUAUAACAUUUUUUUGGCUAUCACUGAUGCUUGACUUACUUUAGUACUGGCAGCCACCGACUUAGGCUUUUACUUUUCACCACAUAAUCUAUCUCUCACCUGUUGCUUACUUGAAUAGCAUACAUAUUUUACCUACUUAUUUUUACAAAUAUUUGUCAAAUAUAUUUUAUUACAUUUCUCUUGUAACUUCUCCAAAUGUGAGUUAUUAAUACUUAAACCCUCCAUAUUAAUUCACCACACAAUCUAUCUACCACUUAAAUCACACACAUAUAUACGUAACUAUAUUUUACCAAAAAAUAAAAGUACAAGAAAAAUAAUAUGUGUAGCAAUUUGUAUAUAACUAAUAAAGCAUUGACAAUGUGAAGCCUUUCAAUCCUUCAUGAGUAGUUUUGCUUGUGUGUUGGUACUUGUAAUAAUUGUAUAGUGUAUAAAUGAUUUUUUAUUAUAAAUGUCUGUCCGUUUUAUAUAUUAUUUACUACUUGAAAAAAAAUCUGAAUAAAAUUCUUUUAAAAUACAGGUGAGAUACCAUCUGAAAUUGGUAAUUUUCAUAAUCUGGAGUAUUUGGACCUUAGUUUAAACAAAUUAGUUGGUGUUGUCCCAUCUGCAAUCUUUAAUGUGUCAACACUCAAAUACCUUGGGCUUCAAAAUAAUUCUCUCUCGGGAAGUCUUUCGUCCAUUUUAGACUUCCGACUUCCAAACCUUGAAGAGCUUCAUUUGUGGGGUAAUAAUUUCAGUGGCACAAUUCCUCCCUUCAUCUUUAAUGCUUCUAAGCUCUCUAUACUAGAGUUGGGAGGCAACUCGUUCUCCGGUUUUAUUCCCAAUGCAUUUGGCAACUUAAGAAACCUUAAUUACCUAACUUUAUAUAACAAUUAUUUGACAUCUUCAACUCCAGAAUUGAGCUUUCUAUCCUCGUUGUCAAAUUGCAAGUCUUUAAGACUUAUUGACUUAUCAAAUAAUUCACUAGAUGGCAUUCUUCCAAGGACGUCAGUUGGUAAUCUUUCUCAUUCUUUGGAAUACUUUGACAUGUCCUACUGUAACGUUAGCGGCGGCAUUCCUGAAGAGAUCAACAACUUGACCAACUUGAUAACCAUUUAUUUAGCAGGCAAUAAAUUGAAUGGAUCAAUUCCGAUUACUCUCAGCAAAUUACAAAAGCUUCAAGGUUUGGGUCUUCAAGAUAACAAAUUAAAAGGAUUAAUCCCAGAAGAUAUUUGUCGUUUAGCUAAACUGUAUGAGUUAAACUUGGGCGGCAAUAUGCUUUCUGGAUCAAUCCCUGCAUGCUUCAGUAAUUUGGCUUCUCUGAGGACACUAUCAUUGGGUUUCAAUGAGUUGACUUCUAUUCCCUCAACUUUUUGGAACCUUAAAGACAUCUUGUACCUCAACUUUUCAUCAAAUUUCUUUGCUGGUCCACUCCCAUUAAAGAUUGGAAAUUUAAAGGUUUUGAUAGAAAUUGAUUUUUCGAUGAAUAAUUUUUCAGGUGUUAUCCCAACGACAAUCGGAGGCCUAAAAAAUCUACAAUAUCUCUCCUUAGGAAAUAAUAGAUUGCAAGGCUCGAUUCCUAAUUCAGUUGGUGAUUUGAUAAGUUUGAAAUCCUUAAAUUUGUCUAAUAAUAAUCUCUCUGGGGCUAUUCCUGUAUCUUUAGAGAAACUCACAUAUCUCAAAGAUCUGGAUCUUUCUUUCAACAAGCUUGAAGGAGAAAUUCCUAAUGGAGGAUCUUUUGGAAACUUCUCAGCUGAAUCAUUUGAGGGAAAUCAAUUAUUAUGUGGUUUACCUAAUUUACACGUCCCACCAUGCAAAACUAGCAUCCACCACACAUCAUGGAAAAAUGCUCUUCUUCUAGGGACUUUCUUGCCAGUGAGUACUAUAUUUAUGAUAGUAGUCAUGUUGUUGAUCGUAAGAUAUCGAAAGAGAGGAAAACAGGCACUGAAUGAUGCUAAUAUGCCACCACUAGCAAAGUGGAGAAUGCUUUCAUACCUAGAACUUUGUCGAGCAACAGAUGGAUUUAGUGAAAACAAUCUACUCGGCAGAGGAGGUUUUGGCUCUGUUUACAAAGCAAGAAUUGAGGAUGGGAUGGACGUUGCAGUGAAGGUUUUCAACCUGGAAUAUGGAAGAGCGUUUAAGAGUUUCGAUGUUGAAUGUGAAAUAAUGAAAAGUAUUCGCCAUCGAAACCUUAUCAAAGUUAUUAGUAGUUGUUCAAAUGAAGAGUUCAAAGCAUUGGUAACAGAAUACAUGCCUCAUGGAAGUUUGGAGAAGUAUUUGUAUUCGAGUAACUACAAUUUGGAUAUUUUUCAAAGAUUGAACAUAAUGAUAGAUGUUGCAUUAGCUUUGGAAUAUCUGCACUUUGGUUGUUCAGCUUCGGUAAUUCACUGUGACUUAAAACCCAGCAAUGUCUUGUUAGAUGAUAAUAUGGUUGCUCAUUUGAGUGAUUUUGGCAUCGCAAAGCUCUUAACGGGAGAAGAUCAAUCUAUGAUUCAAACACAAACACUUGCCACAAUAGGCUAUAUGGCACCAGGUUUGUUCAAUACAAAUAUUUUCUAUUUCUUGUAAACUUCCUAGUAAGUUAUUUAUGCUCAAUGACCUUCAUUAGAUGAGGAAAUUAUUAUUAAUGAUUUAUCUUACUGUGUAAUUGUUGCAAUUAAUAGAGUAUGGAAGAGAAGGACGAGUAUCUGCAAAUGGAGACGUUUAUAGCUUUGGGAUUAUGUUAAUGGAAACUUUUACUGGGAAGAAACCUACAGACAAAAUUUUUAAUGGAGAAAUGACAUUAACCCAUUGGGUUAAUAAUUGGCUACCCAUUUCAAUUAUGAAAGUUGCUGAUGCAAAUUUGAUAAGUCAGGAGGACGUACAUUUUGCUGCAAAAGAGCAAUGUAUGUCAUUUGUCUUCAAUUUGGCUAUGGAGUGCACUGCAGAAUCCCCUGAGCAGAGAAUCAAUGCAAAAGAAAUUGUUACAAGACUCUUAAAAAUUAAAGACUCGUUACUUAGAAAUGUUGGAGGUAGAUGUAUAGGACGAUCAAAUUUAAAUUGAUUAUGCCACUCCUUUAUUGCUAGCUAUCAUUUUCUGAGACUUGAAUGGUUAUCCUUUCAUAUAGCUUUUGUUGAUAUGUUUUGUCAUUGCUCUUGCUCUUGUUUAUUUCUCUUUUUCUUGUAAUUUGAAUGCAUGCAUUUUUCAUUCUCUUCCAUAUUUGUGUUGGUUUAUACCUAAUUUGCUUUCUCGGGGUAAGGUUGAUUACGUUCUCCCAUAAAUAGAUGUACUCUUUUUAUUUUAAUUCAAUAAAACUUCCCUAGUACUAUUGAGGUUCACCAAAAUUGUUUUUUAAAAAAUUUUCUUUCCUUUUACUGGUAAUGAAAAUUGUAAUCUCUAUAGUGAAUAACUUCAAUAAUAAACUUGAAGAGUAUUAGUAGUUAUGGUUGUUUUAUGAACCUAGAGUCUGAAUAAUCUAACAGUUAUCAACAAAAUUCUUUUUAUUAUUCUUAUUUUGUCUUCAUUUUCUACUAUUUCUCCAUAAAUCUUUGCUCAAGUUUCAUGCUGCCUCUUUUUUUUUUUAACCUUUUGCAUUAAAAUUAUUUUUAGAUAUUUUAUGCAAAAAUUAGUUUAGAACAUAAUAAAUUUUUUGUUGCAUCCAAGAGAGUUACACUUAGAUCAGUCCUAUUUAAUAGAAUUAUAGGUAAUAAAAUUGAUUUAAUCAAAUGAGAUUGUUUAACUCUUGUAGUUAAAGUUAGUGUUCUUUGAUUUUAGUAGUGUAGGGCUUAUAACUCUAUGCAACAAUUCUUGGGGAGUUUGAUUUAGUAUACGAUCAUUUUCAAUUCUUUAAAGCCUCAUAAUUAAAAAUUCCGAUAUCAUAAUUAGAAUUUACAAACAAGUUAAAAUUAAGUCAAAUCAAAUCUAGAAAUCUAAGGUCUAUCAUAAACUUUUGAUAAAUUAAAUUUAAGGUGAUUAAUUAAAUGCUAGACAAAACCUAACUUAUAAAUUUACCUUACCACAUGAUGAACCUAUUUAGAUCUUAAAUUGCACACUAAUUAAUUAUUAAUCCACAUUUUUUCCAUCAUAUAUCGUUGAAACUUCUAGCUUCACGACAUAUUGUUGUCAAUUGGUCUAAUUGUAAUUUUGUCAAGAACUUUGUUAUAGAGAAAUUCUAUAAUAUAUUAAAGGCAAUAUAACCAACUAAUGUACAUAUAAUAUGUAUAAUUAAAUUUAAUAUAACCAUAAUUUAUAUGGUAGUUUUUCAAAUAAAUAUACACAUUUUAUAAUAUUAUUUAUUUAUUAUAUUACUGAUAUGAUACUUAUGAUAUAUUAGAGAAUUUCUCCUUCCUAUGUUGCGGAAAACGUAAGUAAUGGGCACUAUUUAAACAAGAAACGUAUCUAAGGUUGCUACGUGUAGUCUCAUCAUGCGUGUGAAAACGGAAUUAACUGGAUUGCAUUCGACAACAAAGGAAAAUAUUACUUGUUGCUGACCCAUUGCAAGUACUUUAAUUUGACAUGUGAGACUGUUUUCUCAGCUCAUGUGAUAAAAUGGAUAUGAGUGGAACUUUCAAUACCCCUACCAAAAUCCUUGUAACACCGCGUCUAAAUUUUAUUUUCUAAAAUACACCAUGUUUAAAUUAUAAAAUAUAAUCUAUUUAUAAAAAUUAAUCAUCUUUCCAUAAAAUUUCAACCUAAAAAAAUAUGUUUCUUUUAAUUUUUAUUAUAAAAUAUGUACAAAUUCUGAAUUAUUAAAUUUUUUCUUCAUAUUAUAUGAUUUAUCUCUAUAACUCUAAACUCGUACAAUUUUCUUAAAAAGUUAUUUUUCAAUUUAAAAUAUAAAUGUAAAAUAUAAAAUAGAUUGGGUAUAAACAAAAUUUGUUAUAAGGAUAAUUUAUUUACGUAUUUAACUGAAUUUUAAUUUAAAAUAAGAAAUAAAUUAAUUUAUUUUUUAUUAUUUAUGUAAUUUUCAAUUAAAAAAGAGCUUUAUGAGAAAUUUUCAGUGUGUCAAAAGGCCUACUCAAUGGAUAUUAUGAAUGCCCCAAACUGUAAAAAUUUGUUUUCACGGAGUUAUUUAUCCCUCGUGAAACGACUCAAAAGUAUUUUAAUUUACUCACAAGUAUAAAAGUGUUUAAUUAUAAUAUAACUCGGUGAAUCUGAAUCGGUCAAUAGAGAAAAUAUUUCAUUUGUUUAUUUUAAUUUAUCUAAGAAAUGAAAAUAUAAUUUAAAUAUAUGUAACUUAAUUUAAGAGAAAAUAUGAAAUUAAAUUAGUUAGGGUUAUGAAUCCACUCUUAGUAGUAAAUACAAUUUAAUAAAUUUUUUAUUUUUAUUUUAUUGCCCAAAAGAUUAAUUGUGUAAAUUACAAUUAUUUUUCCAUUAAUUUUAUAAUGGGUUAAGUACUGUGUGCUAAAUUUUAACUUGUCUACAAUAAGUCAAAAUACCAUUUUACCAUACUUUAUACUAAGAUAUCAAGAAUUUAUUGUACCAAACUUCCAUGUUUGUCUACAAAAAAUCAAAAUUUCAAAAUAUAAAAUAUGGAUAAAAUUAGAUAGAAAAUAAUUUAAUUUAUAUAAUAAAAAUAAAAUUUGAUUAAAUCAUAUUUUUUUAAUAAGAGUUUAACCUUAUUCUAAAUAUUAGUAUUUAGCUAAAUAUAAUUGAAAUAAAACUAAUUAUUAAAAUUAUAAAACACAUAAUUAAAAAAUGGUAUUUGAAAAUUGGAAAUAAAACUAAUUUUAUUUAUUGAAAAUAUAUUACCAAAAGAGAUAAGAAGAAGAAUUAAAGAGGAAAGAAGUGAAAAAAAGGUGUAUAGAAGUGUGCUUUUUCCUCUCUGUUUAUACUAAUACAUAAUUAAUCCACACCACACACAUAAGUAAGACCAAUUAUAUCAUGGCCAUACAUUUGUCUCACUAACAAAACACAAACCUAAUUUAAUCCACUCAAGCACAUCCAAAUAAUUCGACUAACAAUUACCACACCUGACAUAGUAAAAACUUAUAAUUUCACAAUUACUUCACUUAACAUAGUAAAAGCUUAUAAUUUCACAACAAAAAUUGCAGAUCCUCCUCAACAAUGACCUAACUUCUCGGACCUCCAAAAUUCAAAUUUGACAUCUAUUCAUUUGUUUAGAGUCUCGAGUUGUAUGAAAUAAUUAUUUUUACCUAAUAAACACACAAAAAUACACAAAAUCAAAUAUUUAGAAAUAUAAUUAGAAAUUCACAAUAUGUUACAUAAUUACAAAUAUAAAUUAUAAUAUAAGCACAAAAUAUCAUUUUCACCUCUUAAUGAAUAUACACUUUGUAACACUAAUCACCUCGCUUGUUAUGUAAUAAGACCCCAAUUUUGAUCCAAUCAACUGCAACCUAUCCCGACUCAUUAAUUUUAUAACCUGACUUACUAAUUUUGUUUUAUUCAAGGAGAAUAAUUUGCUAUUACUUAAGGCAUAAUAUUUACUAAGCAAUAAAACAUGUAUAUUGUAGCGGAUUGUAAUCAAAAUUUGAGGAAGACAUUACGUACGAAUUGGAUUUAUCUCACGAAAUUUGAUUAAUGAAAGUGCAUAAAAAUAUAUGAAGAAAAUAGUAAAACAAAAAAAAUUGGUUGUGUAAAUUAUAGGUGAUAUAUUUGUUGGGAUUAUGUGCUCUUUAAAGCAUAUUUAUUUAUUUUCUUAUUAAUAAAAUAUUUGAGAUAUUUUCAAUUGUAUAAAUAUUUUGAGUAAAGUCCAUUUAAUCACAUUAUAUAUAUUUAUAUGAUCACCGUGUAGAUUUACAAAAGACAUAAAUAUAAGUUAUCUUAUGAUUAAAUGAAUUAAGUUCGCAGUUGAUAAAUAAAGUUGGGCACUUUAUUUAGGUAUAAACUGUAAUAAAUUCAUUGAAUGAUUUGUCUUAAUCAUGUAUAAAUUUAUUGAUGUAAUACGACUACAUUGAACAGGAUCACAUAUGAGAUUUAAUUAACUUUAUAAUAACUGUCGGACUUAUUAAAUCUCAUAGGCAUUGAUUUUACUAUAAUAUUAAUCUUGAGUUAGUUAUGAUUUCAUGAUUGUAAUUGUUAUUUCAUUUGAGUUACCAAUGGGCACGACACACACUUGUAGUCAAGAUUAUCCUGUAUCUUGGUGGGAGCAAUCAUGUAUUGGAGUUAUAGAUUAACAAUAUAGAAUUUGUACAACACAUCUCUUGAUGAGUUUUCGGCACUUGAUCAUAGAAUUCUUUGGGCAGAGUGUGUCAACAUAUUUAGUAUGUUGAAAAUGAUUAUUAGAGAAAACCAGUAAGCAUCAAGGAAUAAGAUGUAAUUAAAUUAAUUGGACAAUUGAGAUAUCGAUUUAAUUAAUGAUAUAGUACAAAAGAUUGUGUAGUAAAGAAAUCAAUGUGGCAGUGGUCGAAUUAUUAUUCGAGUACACUAUCCUAAAUAGCAUACAAUUAUGGAGGUCAAUUCCAAUCUUUUAGUGUAGUAGAUUUGGAAUUAAAUAAUUGGGUUAGUUUAAUUACAUGCUUAAUUAUUGUAGCCACUAUUGUAUGUACCCAUAUGAUCCCAGGGUUAGCUCAUUUAAUUGACUGCGCCGUUACUGGAUUAAUAAGUAAGAUAACUAGUUAUUUGGGUUAAAAGACUAAAUACAUUAUUUAGUGGGAGGCUAUAUGUAAUAUGCUUUUGUGUAAGGGGCCUUAUGUUAUUUUACAAGGUGGCCCCUAACACAAGAACAAGUAACGUUGUCUUUUUUAUUUUUUAAUUUAAAUCAAAUUUGAUUUAAUAAAGUUAAAAAAUAGAAAAAUAUGGAGCCUAGGGUUUCUACUAAAUAGAUAUAUAAAAUGGAUUAUUUUCUCCCAAAACAAGAGAGAGUCACAUUAUACAGAUCAGAGAAAAAAAAAAUUUCUCUCUAGUUUUGAGAGAAAAUUUUUCUCCUAAAAUUGCUUUUAGUGGUGAUAAAGGCACCCACACGUCAAGUGCAGAUCAAACCUGAGUCAUAACCUGGAAGAUCAUUAGUGACGGAUCGUGAUCUAACAAGCGUGGUGGUGACAAAUCGUGAUCUAACAGGCGUGGUGGUGACGGAUCGUGAUCUUAGAAGCCUGAAUUAAUUUCAAUUGUUCAUCUUUUUGGAUUGUUAAAGUAUGAUUUUCUAGAUUAUGUACUCCUAUAUAUUGUAUGAGAUCGGUCUUAAAAGUUUUUAUAAAAAUGUAAAAAACUAAUUUUUCUCCAACAAUAUUUUCUUCAUAUUUAUCUCAAGCCAAGAGCAUGGUGGAUUGGGAUUCAGGGACUUCUCUAGUUUCAAUCAAGCACUGGUAGCAAAGCAAGGGUGGAGGAUCAUCCAAAACCCUGAAUCAAUUGUUGCAAAAGUAUUACAAGCCAGAUACUUUAAGCAAGUAAGAUUCAUGGAAGCAAUAUUAGGUUCAAACCCUUCUUUUGUGUGAAGGAGUAUUUUGUGAUCGGGUAGAGAGGUUAUUAUCAAAGGCAGCAGAUGGCGAAUUGGUACUAGUGAACAGAUGAUGGUUUAUAAAGGAUCGCUAGACCAAUUACCUUUCAACCAAUUUCUUUUCCAACUCUCCCAAGUGAUACUACGAUAUCUGAGCUGAUAGACACUGACAAUCAGUGGAAAGAAGCCUUGCUUUACGAACAGUUUGUGAAAAGGAAGAUGCAUAUGCAAUUAUGAACAUUCCUCUACCUAGAAACCGCAGUGAAGAUCAUGUGCUUUAGCAUUAUGAUAAUAAGGGAGAAUACUCUGUAAAAAGCGGAUAUCAAAUAGCUUUCAAAAUUAAGUUUCCUGAUAUUCCGAGUAGCUGAGAGAGUAGAAACAAUCAAUGGAGAGUGAUUUGGAAUGUUAAUUGUUUUCAACUGAUUUUGGGGUAGGAAAAUUCAAACCAAUCUAGAACAAUAAAUUUAUAUUUUUAUGGGAGACGGGGUACCUCACUAGUUUAUUGUGUGCGGUGUGGUGUAUCAGAAAUCCGGGGGAGGUGAGAAGGGGAGAGAGAAUGAUAACAAUGGUGGAAGGUCAAAAACAAGAGAGAUGUCCUUCCAAAUGAGCUUUACGCCUUCAAAAUAGUGAAAUAGAGGUUAAAGGUGAAGCCGGGUACCUCGGCGUUCACACUCCAAUGCGCAAGUUAGCAAACUCAAGCUUUAAUGGCAAAGAGAGCUGGCUAGCCCUCUGUAAAUUAAGUUUAAGGUUAAAGAAAACCUCUUUUUUGGAGUGUGAGUGUUAAUGGUGAGUGAGAACAUGAUGGAGAACGAAACCUAAGCGCCUUUAUAUAUGGAGUACCUCAGCUACCACGUGGCGUACCCUUUUAGGCUAAUGUCCUUUUACCUCUUUAUAAUUUUUGGGCCGUUAUCUGCGUGUUCGCGGCGUAUCUCAUCUUUUGGAAAUGUGGCGCGCGCUGGAGAGUGGUCCAGGGUACCUCUGCAGUAGCUGUCAGGUAGGCAGUUGGGGACCACUGUCCUUGGGACAGUGUCCUUCACUUUUGGUAGAGGCCGCAUGCGGCUGUCCCUCCUUUUAGGACGUCGUUUUUUAUUCAUAAUUCUGACAAAAUCGAGUAAUAUAUUUUAGGAGGCAGAGACGUUUCUCAUGGCGAAUAUUUUCGGAGGAUUCUCUUGCAUCCGCUUUGACGGGUACCUUGAGUUACGUGGGGUACCCCCUAUUACACGGGGUACCCCUAUUUGUAUGGAGUACCUCAUAUUAUAUGGGGUACCUCUAUUUGUGUGGGGUACCUGUUGUGCAAAUUUUAAUGUACUCGCAAGCGCACGAAUCUAUUGUAGUAUAGACUAAUGGUGACGAGUGUCGAUCCCACGAGGAGGUGGAUUUUAAUUGUGUAGAAUUAAUUUUGUAAAUGGGUGAUUGGAUUUGUGGUGGAAAUGAUUUGGGAUAUGCUAAAACUUAAAUUAAAAUGGCGAAAAUAAAUUCUAAAAUUGGAAUUGAAAUGGCGAGAAUAAAUUGAAGAGAAUUCUAUUAAAAUGACGUACUUGGGUAUCUGGAUCCGUAUCAACAUGCAUCAUGGGCUAAAUAAUCCGUAUUAAUGCCAAUUAAAUCAUGAGGGGGGAAUCCACACCUCAUGAACCACACUCUAAUCAAUAUGGUGCUAAGGGCUUAUCGUGCCAAAUAAUAAUAACCUUAUACUAGAGAGCCGGUGUAACCAAGGCGGUAUCUAGACAAGAUCAGUAUUAUUUGUCGACGAUAAGUCAAAUCAUCCACAAAAACUAGAGGGGAAAAGAAAAUAAAUUUACCAAAUAAAGCCCAUGACACAUGUUGAGACUUCACCUUCAACCCAAGCUUGAAAGAAAAUUAGCCACACAUAAUUGAACUAGGGGCAAAAUGGGAAAUUAAUUAAAAUACGAAGAAAAUACAAGAUGGAGAAGGAAUUACAGAAAAUGGAUCCCAAAAAUGGAUUCAGAGAUAUCAAAUUAGGGGGGGGAGGCCCCCUUUUUAUAGAUACAUGGAGUAAAUCAUGGCCAUCGGAUUAAAAACAGUUUGGACGCUCAGGAUUGCGCCACGUCAUCAGUCAACAGUCCACGGUUUGACCACGCGGAUGAACAGUAACACGGUUUGACCUGGAUGAACAGUAACGCGGUUUGGUUGAAAAUAAUCCUGUGUGAUGCAUGCACCGUACGCGAGAUUUUUCGUCCACUGAUAUGCUGCCACGUCACCAUCAACAGUACAUAAGAAUUUUAGUCCAACAGGAUCGUGACACCUCAUCAGUCAAUGCCACAUCAUCGGUCAAUGCCACGUCAUCGAUCCGUCUAUGUGAACAGUGUCGUGAACAGUAACGUAGACAGUACCGUAUACGUGAAUAGUACCGUACAUGUGAAUAGUGCCAUUUUUCCUUUUAUGCUCCUCCUAAGGUUUUCGACCGUCCUGAGUUCAAAAGUGAUGUCCGUUUUGCCGUCUGAUCUCUCCUUUAUUGUGAAAUGACUAUAAUGCCCCUAAAAUACAUAAAAUACUUAAUUAAAAUAAAAGACAUGUAAUUAAAUCACAAGAAGGUUAAAUACAUAAAAGUAAGGGUUGUUAAUAAGACUUGAAAUGUAAAAUGACGGUUUUCUCCUUUAUAAAUAUGUAUUUUCUAACACUCAACACACCCCCCAACCAGCUUAUUGCUAGUCCCUAGCAAAUAAAGCGAAAACAAAAUUCAAAUUCAAAAUAUUUUUUUUUUUUUUUUUUUAGAAACACUCGUGUUUAUUCAAUCAGAUUAAUGAUAGCAAUCAAAUGAAAGUAUAAGCAUUAUCUCCAGUCUAAAGCAAUAUCACACCCACAUCAACCAUCCACAUGAAUCAGCCCAGUAGACUUUGUUAUAGCUACUUUCAAGAAUGACAUGUCAAACCCCAAAAUCUCACUGGAAGUAGUGACACUCUCACAAAGAAAUUAAAACCCAAUAAACAUAGUCACUCCAAUGAAUGGUAAUUGAGAGAGAAAAUAAUAAAGAAAUGAUAUCACAUGCUCUCACCAAGAUGAAAUAAAUAUGCCCUCAGCUUAGAAAUAAUACGAUCUCAAGUCAAAUAAAAUGUUAGUCAACUCACUUUAUUUAUCUUUUUUUUUUUUAUUAUUAUGCAUCACUACAUCUUUUUAGCCCAUAUAACUAGCUUCUACUUCAAACUAUAGUUCCCUAAAAUCAAGAAGGACUUUUAUUAGGACGUAACGUAGGCUAGGGAUAUGGCUAACAAAGAAAGGAAAUAAGGAAAACAAAGUGUAUGUUUGAGAAAAAUGCAGAAUUUUUUUUUUUUUUUUUUUGGAAGUUGCAAGGUGGAUUUCACCUAUUAUUGUUAUUUUUAUUCUUUUGAAACAACAACUUUGGUUUUUGUUUUUUUUGUUUUUUGUUUUUUUUGCUUUUAUUUGGCAUAACUUCACUGAACAACAUAAUUUAUUUACAUUUUCUCAAACACAAAUAGGUGAUGGAACUUAAAAGACAUUGGGUAAUACUCCAAAUCGGAGUGGGUCAAGAUGAUAAGUUGACAAAGAAAAGGUUUUUGUUCUUUUUUUUUUUUUUUUUUUUUAAAGGCUCAAAAGGGGUAACUAUGGAUAUUUAAUAAAAGGGAUGGCUAGAAAGGCUCAAACGGAUCAAAGAUGGCCUUUCCAUCGUCUUUUAGGGCUCUAAAUAAUUAUCCAUAUCUACUAGUUAGAUGGGCCUCCCAAUGUAGCAACACACAUUUUUUUUCUUUUUUCUUUUUUUAAUUUUACCAUAUUUUUUUUUUUAAAGGGUUAACUUAAAAGAAAUCUAGAGAUCGUGUAUAAAAUAAUAAACUGCUAAGCUGUAUAGAGAAUGGGCAAAAGGGUUACUCUCCAAGAAAAUGAUAGGCUCAACAACUCACUUGGCACUUAUUUAUGACAUGUUCAUUCCUUCAAGCAACUCAUAUUUGUCUCCGACAUCAACAUGUAAAGUAGCAAACAUAGCGUAACAUCACUUAAGACCAAAGAUAAUACAAAUACUAAAAUUUGAAAUUAAUCAUGUCAUCCAAUGUUAAAACAAACAACACAAAUUUUUUUUUUUUUUAAACAACAUUCUACCCCCCAACCUAUUCUAAACAUGAAAGGAAAAUAUGCAUGCAGAAAUGUGAAAAUGAUGCAUAAAAACUAAUUAGAAAAGUUACACGUAAAAUGAUAGAAAACGAAAAUGAGUUUUUUUUUUUUUUUUUAAAGAAGAUGCGUUUCUAGAGGAACUACACUCCAUAUUCAGCCAUCUUCGACUCAAAAGUUGGAAAAUAUAUAUUUAUAGAGGAGAAAUUAAAAAAAAGAAAAAUAAACAUAAACACAUAAUAAAGAAAAAGAAAAUGUCUGAAUUUUUUUUUUUUAAACGAUGAAGAUGCGUUUCUAGAGUCACUACACUCCAUAUUCAGCCAUCUUCAACACAAAAUGUUAGCAACAGUUAGUUUCUACAACAAAAAAUCAGUAAAAACUUAACCAAGAUUCCACAAUUGUCGACUAUUCCCUCCCCCCAACCAGAACGAAACAUUGUCCUCAAUGUUUUAAAGGAAAGAAGUAGAGUUUAGAAGACAUCACCUGGGUGGUGCAACACAGAAGAAAAUAUUUACAAGCGGAGAGUUAAAUCUAAUUUGUACUUCUUACUGCGGCUACUGUUACCAUCAUUAUUUGGUCGUUCCAACACAAAGGUCCAGGGGUCUGGCUCCGGUUUAUAAGCUUGUAACAUAUCAAGUAGCUCAUUAGCAGUGUGAGCACAAAUAAAGAGUUUUUUCACAUUAGAAGGAAUGAAAUAGUUUUUUAUUGCAUGGUUAAGAAAUGCGAUAAAGCCAUCAUAAAAGUUAUUGACAUUUAACAAACCGAUGGGUUUCUGGUGGAUGUGCAGAUGGGCCCAAGAUGCUAGUGUCAUAAGUGCCUCUAGUGUUGCAAGAUCUCCUGGAAGGAAAAUAAAAGCAUCAACAUGAUUAAGCAUUUCAGUUAUUCUUUCUUGCAUACCUGAGACGACUAACUCUUCUCCAGUUGAUGAGUCAGACGAACUGCCCAAUGGUUUUAGGACUCUUGGGAUGAUGCCUAACACUUGACUUCCUCUGAUAAAAGCUGCUUCUGAGACCAUUUUUGAUAAUCCUCGGUUACCUCCUCCAUACACCAAGUGUAAUUUUCUCGCUGCUAUACUUCGACCAAGAUCUAUGGCUGCCUCCACGAACUCUUUAUGUUUGCCAUAGGUAAAUCCAGAAAGCACACAAAUGUUCUUGAAUUGUCUAUUGGGAGUAGCUGCCAUUGUGAUACUUCUCAAAAACAAUUUGUGAGUGCUUGACAAAAGAUAAAUCACAUUUAAGAAUCUUGGUGACAGUGGGUCACAACUGUGUAUGGGGUGGCAUGUCAGUGUCAAAUAACGCGUAAAGCACGUGGCUCGCGAGUCAAAAAGGAAACAGUAAAAAGGACAAAGCAAACAGUAAUAAAAUUAUUAAAGGCAAUAAUGCAAACGAUAAAACAAUAGUGAAAUAAAAUAACAGAAAGUAAAAGGAUAUUUACGCGUAGUUGCGACUGUGGCUCACAUCUUCCUCUGGUUUUACGUCCAGAAACGGCUUGAACGUCCUCUAUGGGUCGAGGAUGGGCUUCCCAUCCAGUUUUCUUAUAAACUGGCAAACAGGGUCGUUUAUAGUCAGAUUCCCGAGACUAUAUCGUGCAUGCUCUUUUUGGAAUAAUGGCCAUAACUGGAGAAUCGCUCCUUGCACAUAUCCACUGGGAUGCGUUUCAAGAGACAAAAGGAUAUCAUCCAAUGACUCCUUAUUCAAGCCAUCCCUAAUGAAUUGAAUCUUAUAUUCCCUGUUAUCAGACACCAUUCCUAAAGAACAUGGGUUUCUAUCGCAACUCAUUCUGGCACACUUAUGACAAGCAACAGAAAUUCUUCGAGCCCGUCGUUUUCUUGCGUAAUUUCCUUUACCACAACCAGGCAUGUAUGCAAUAAAUUUAGGAGGUAACUCACUUGCCAAUCGUACUUUAGCCUCGAUUAACCAACGAAUGUCUGCAGGUAUGUUAUUCCUCAUGAGCAAUCGCAUGCGUUCAGACCGGGCUUUAUAGAUCGUAAGGAGGGCAUUCUGAGGAAGUGAAGGGAAUCGCUUGUGAAGUUUCGCUAGAAUCUCGUUUUUGUCCAUACCUUCGCCUCAGAAUAUCAGUUAUUAUGGGAAACUGAAGUUAACCGACUUGAUUGUCACGGAGUACCGUUAUCCGCCACUUCACCGGAGUAACAAACUAAAGCACACAAACAGAAAAACAAAUUAAAACACACAAAGAAAAUUAAAAUCGUCCUCUUAUUGAAUUUACCUCAAGCUCUAACUGGAUGUCGUAAACACUUCUCUUAAUGUCUCUGAGUUGGCGUUCUAAACCCUCAACAUAGGCUACUAACUCUGGUGGUUGUAGAGCCCAAAUGCGUUGUGUUUUACAAAAUAGAAUCUGCCUUUUGAGAUGAGUUUUGACACGUUGAAGUGGUUUAAGAAUGUUCAGGAGGAACGGUCUAAGUAUGAGACUCAUGAUUAAAAAUGAUAAGAGAAAACUUAAUGGUAAAAUAAACACACUUAUGCAAAAACAAUUUCAAUUAGCAAAAGAAUAAUAAUAAAAAGAAAUAAAGAAAAAUCAAAUCAACGAAAAGAAAAAAAAAAUCAAUUCAAAUUUGGUGGGUCACUCAAAUUUAUUUCGGUGUCUUCUUCAUGUGGUUGGUACUCAAGAUAUGGCUUUAAUCUUUGACCAUUAACUUUAAACGUGACACCGUUCUUUGGGUCCUUAAUUUCAAUUGCCCCAUGUGGAAAAACAGUAUUAACAAUAAAGGGACCAGACCAUCGAGAGCGUAACUUACCUGGGAAUAGGUGCAAACGAGAAUUGAAUAAAAGCACUUUCUGACCUAGAGUGAACGAUUUUCUCAUAAUGUGCUUGUCAUGAAAGAUUUUCAUUCGUUGCUUGUAAAUCUUGGCAUUUUCGUAUGCAUCAUUGCGAAUUUCUUCAAGUUCAGCCAGUUGUAAUCUUCUUUCUGAGCUGGCUUGCUGCAUGUCAAAGUUGAAUUUCUUGAUGGCCCAAUAUGCACGAUGCUCGAGUUCCACAGGUAGGUGACAAGCUUUUCCAUACACUAGCCUGUAGGGUGACAUCCCAAUGGGGGUCUUGAAAGCCGUUCUAUAUGCCCAUAAUGCAUCAUCAAGUCUUAAUGACCAAUCUUUUCUGUCUGGCCUCACCGUCUUUUCUAAUAUGUGCUUUAUUUCUCGAUUGGAGAUCUCAACUUGGCCACUGGUUUGCGGAUGAUACGAGGUUGCCACUUUGUGUGUGAUUGAAUACUUUGUCAAAAGAGCUUUGAAUGCUUUGUUACAAAAGUGGGCACCACCAUCACUGAUUAUCGCUCGAGGGAAUCCAAAGCGUGAAACAAUGUUGCUUUUCAAAAAUCCUAUCACCACUUUGUGAUCAUUGGUUCUGCAUGGAAUUGCUUCCACCCAUUUCGAUACGUAGUCAACACCAACCAAUAUGUAUUGAUGACCAAAAGACGGAGGAAAGGGUCCCAUGAAGUCGAUACCCCAUACGUCAAAAAUCUCAACCACUAAAAUUGGAUUUAGUGGCAUCAUGUUCCUUCGUGUAAUGCUCCCUAUUCGUUGACACCUAUCACAUGAAGAACAGAAAGUGUAAGCGUCUCGAAAUAUAGUUGGCCAAUAGAAACCACAUUGUAAAACUUUUGUAGCUGUUUUCUUAGCACUAAAAUGGCCUCCACACGCUUGUUCAUGGCAGAAUGAAAGGAUAUUUUGAAUUUCACUUUCUGGGACACAUCGCCUAACAAUUUGAUCUGCACAAUACUUGAACAAAUACGGGUCAUCCCAAAAGAAAUUCUUUAUUUCCGCAAAGAAUUUAGCCUUGUCUUGCUUGGUCCAAUGCUCUGGAAGUUUACCUGUAACAAGAUAAUUAACUAUAUCAGCAUACCAAGGUAAUACUUCCACAUUCAUUAAUUGUUCAUCUGGAAAUGACUCAUUCAAUGGUAAUGGUUCCAUAAUUGUAUCAAAAUGGAGGCGAGAGAGAUGGUCAGCUACAACAUUCUCUGUGCCUUUCUUAUCUUUGAAUUCCAAGUCAAAUUCCUGCAAAAGUAACACCCAACGAAUUAGUCUAGCUUUUGCAUCUUUCUUUGUGAGAAGAUAUUUAAGAGCAGCAUGAUCUGUGAAUAUAAUUAUUUUACAACCAAUGAGAUAAGAUCGAAAUUUCUCUAAUGCAAACACUACUGCUAGCAUUUCUUUUUCAGUAGUUGAAUAAUUCAACUGUGCAUCAUUCAAUGUCAUACUAGCAUAGUAAAUAACGUGGGGAAUUCGAUCAACUCUUUGUCCUAAUACUGCUCCUACUGCAUAAUCAGAUGCAUCACACAUGAGCUCAAAUGGUAAGUUCCAGUUUGGGGCCUGAAUGAUGGGUGAUGAUGUCAACAACUGCUUUAAUUUUUCAAACGCCAUGAGACAUGAAUCAUUAAAGAUAAAAGGUACAUCCUUAGCAAGUAAAUUGCAUAAGGGUCUAGAAACUUUGCUAAAAUCUUUAAUGAAACGUCUAUAGAAACCAGCAUGCCCAAGGAAAGAUCAUACUUCUCUGACUGUUUUAGGUGGAGGAAGAUUAGAAAUGAGAUCCACCUUGGCUUUGUCAACCUCAAUACCUUUGCUCGAAAUGAUGUGACCGAGAACAAUACCUUGUUUUACCAUAAAAUGGCACUUCUCCCAAUUCAAGACUAAGUUCUUCUCGGUACAUCUCUGCAGAACUAGCGUUAGAUUAUGUAAACAUUGAUCAAACGAGUCACCAAAGACAGAAAAAUCAUCCAUAAAGACUUCAAGGAAUCGUUCAACCAUAUCAGAAAAAAUGCUCAACAUACAUCGUUGGAAUGUAGCAGGUGCAUUACAUAAUCCAAAUGGCAUUCUCCUAUAUGCAAAAGUGCCAAAAGGGCAAGUGAAAGUAGUUUUCUCCUGAUCUUUUGGUGCUAUGGGAAUCUGAUUAUAUCCUGAGUAGCCAUCUAAAAAGCAAUAAAAUUCGUGGCCUGCUAAUCUAUCAAGCAUUUGAUCGAUAAAUGGUAAAGGAAAAUGGUCUUUACGUGUGACAGAAUUCAACUUUCUAUAAUCAAUGCAUACACGCCAUCCUGUAGUUACUCUAGUUGGUAUCAAUUCAUUAUCAGCAUUGGUAACUACUGUGACUCCUGACUUUUUGGGGACGACUUGUACAGGACUGACCCAUGAACUAUCAGAAAUUGGGUAAAUGAUACCUGCAUCUAAUAGCUUAAGGACUUCAGUUCUAACAACUUCUUUCAUGUUAGGAUUUAACCGACGUUGCAUCUCCCUAGUAGUUUUAGCAUUUUCAUCAAGGUGAAUGUAAUGCAUGCAGUCUACUGGGUUUAUACCUUUUAUGUCUGCUAUGGUCCAUCCUAAUGCCCCUUUGUGCUCUUUUAACACAUCCAACAACUUACCUUUUUGUUCGUCAUUUAGGGAUGAUGAGAUGAUUACCGGUAGAGUGCUUUCUUCUCCCAAAAACGCAUAUUCCAAUGUGUUGGGUAAUGGUUUGAGCUCGAGUUUCGGUGGUGAUUCUGAUGAUGGGAUGAGUUUCUUCUCUGAUGGUGCUAGUUGUUCUACUCUUGACUUCCAUUUAUUAGUGUCCAUGGAUGGUGCUGAGUCAAGUAGGGCGUUGACCUCUUCGACCGAUCUGUCAAUAUCAAAAUCCAAACCAAAGUGAGUUAAACAUGUUUGUAAAGGAUCAUCACUACGGUUUGAAAGAAAAGUAUUAUCAACUAUUGUUUCUAUUAAAUCCACAUCAACAAUUCCAUCAUCUGCACUGUGAGGUUGUUUGGCAAUGUUGAAAAUGUUUAGCUCCAUAGUCAUGUUGCCGAAGGACAACUGCAUAUUUCCAGUCCUGCAUUGAAUAUGAGCAUCUGCAGUUGCCAAGAAAGGUCGGCCUAGAAUAAUGGGGAUGUGCUUUCUUGAAUCCUGUAUUGGUUGAGUGUCAAUUACAAUGAAAUCAACAGGAAAAUAAAACUUGUCUACCUGGAUAAGCACGUCCUCCACAAUACCACGAGGUAUUUUCGUGGACCGAUCUGCAAGCUGUAACACCACUGGAGUUGGGUGUAAUUCUCCCAGUCCAAGUUUCACGAAUACAGAGUAAGGCAAAAGAUUUACACUAGCUCCUAAAUCCAACAAAGCAUUCUCAAUUGUGUGGUUCCCUAUACUACAUGAGAUAGUGGGAGAGCCUGGGUCUUUGCAUUUUAAAGGAAUUUUAUGUUGGAGUAUAGAACUAACGUUUUCUGUUAAAAAUGCCUUCUUUUGAACAUGCAUAUUUCUCUUUUUAGUACAAAGGUCUUUAAGAAACUUGGCAUAAGAUGGAACUUGCUUUAUAGCAUCAAGUAAAGGGAUGUUAACACUUACCUGUUUGAAGAUUUCGAGAAUCUCACCUGUGGAUUUUCCCUUCUUUCCUUUCGCUAACCUCUGAGGAAAUGGAGCUUUGGGAACGUAUUCUCGUGGGUUGGUUUCUUCUUUUUCCUCCGGGUGUGAGUCCUCAACAUUCACAGGUACAAUUUGAUUUUCUUUGGUCACCGACAUCUCCACUUUGUUGUCGACUUCUUUUCCUUUUCGCAAGGUCAUGACUGCUUUGACCUCCCCAUGCUGCUGUGGUGAACUGGUACUUGCUUCAUGCACUCCUUUAGGGUUAGGCACUGGUUGACUUGGAAACUUACCUUUCUCAACGGUCAUUGCCAAGGUCUGAACUGAAGAAGCAAGUUGUCCCACCAUCUUCUCGAGGCUUGAAACUGAUUGAGCUUGUGAGUUGAAGCCUGCUCUCAACUCAUUUCGUAGUCCAUCAAUGGUGCGGUUCUGUUGCUCAAUCGUAGAGUGAGUAGCAUUCUUGAAAUUCUGGAAUGAAUCCUCCCAUGGUCUGGGUUGAGAGUAGUUCUGGUUCUGAUUGUAUGGUCUGAAUGGUGGCUGAGAGGCAUGAGGAUUUUGAGGAAUUUGUUGCAUUGGUGGAGCUGGAGCUGCUGGUCCAUUCUGUUGGAAUCCUUGAGACCAUGAAAAAUUGGGGUGGUCUCUCCAUCCAGGGUUAUAUGUGUUGGAGUAUGGGUUGUAAUUUGAUGGCUUUCUCAUUACACCUAUAGCAUUGGCUUGAUCUGAGUAUGAGUCAUGGUCAUGUGGCUCUGUUGAUUUAGCAGUCGAUAACGAUGCUAUUUGUCGAGAGAGACCUUCAAUUAUUGCUUUGACUUCUUUAAUUUCUGAACUUGACUCGCCAAUGUGAACCUCAUUCACUCCUUUAAUUCUUUUAGUAUUCCUGAGUGAUCGACUCCGUUGUUGGGAAUUAUCCGCUUGUCGCUGGAAGAAUUCCCAAAUCUCUGUUGCGCUUUUUGACAUUAGCUCUCCUCCACUUGUUGCCAUUAGCCAUUCUUGCACAUUCGGCAAUAAUCCCUCCAAAAAGUAUUGGCAUUGGUGCCAUUUCUCGUACCCAUGAUGUGGACACUUCAAGAGUAGCCCAUUGAAUCGCUCACAAGUUUCAAAAAACUGCUCGUCUUCUCUUUGUGUAAACUCUGAAAUUUCCCUGCGAAUAGCAUUGGUUUUAUGCACUGGGAAAUAUUUAUUUAGAAAUUUUGUAACCAUUUGUUCCCAUGAUGCAAUGCUAUUAGCAGGCAAAGUAUUUAACCAUGAACGAGCUCUAUCCUUUAAAGAAAAUGGGAAUAAUCUAAGUUUAACAUCAUCGUCUGAAAAAUUUUCAUAUUUAAAAGUUUGACAAAUGGCAUGAAAAUCAUUCAGAUGAUUAUAUGGGUCCUCAUUUUCUAGGCCAUAAAAUGUGGGGAGACAAUUUAACACACUAGGUUUUAAUUCAAAACUCCUAGCAGCUACAUUUGGGUAUCUUAUGCAUGAUGUGCUUAAAUUAGCUAAAGGACUGAAAUAGUCCUUAAAUGGCCUCUCCUGUGGUGCUUGUAAAUCCAUUCCAAAUUUAUUAAUGUGCUUUUGUGUGCGAAGUGUUUUUUCUAAUUCAAGGUCUAUAGGUUCAAGAUUAGGUAAUAAUGACCUACGACCAUGCAUGCAAAAUAAAUAAAAUAAAAAUAAAGAUGCAAACAAAACAAAUAAAAAAUAAAGAUGAGAACAAAACAAAUAAAAAUAAAGAAGAGGGAGAAAUUACGAUACUAACCUUAUUGCGUUAUUACAACCUUUCUAUAAAAAUACAUAAAAACAAAUACGUGAAAUAAAUUAACUAAAAAUUAAAUUAAUAAAAUAAACAAAAAUUACAAAGAAAAAAUAAAUUGAAAAUUAAAUUACAGAAUUUUAAAGAAGAGAAAAAGAAAAGAAAUACUAACCUUUAAAUGUAGAUUUACUCUUUUUUUUUCUUUUUUUUUUUAAUAAGAAAAAAAAAUACAAGAAAACAAAUAAAAGAAAUUAUUCACAAAAAUUAAUUCUAUGAAUUAAAAUUACUUACCUCCCCGGCAACGGCGCCAAAAACUUGUUGUGCAAAUUUUAAUGUACUCGCAAGCGCACGAAUCUAUUGUAGUAUAGACUAAUGGUGACGAGUGUCGAUCCCACGAGGAGGUGGAUUUUAAUUGUGUAGAAUUAAUUUUGUAAAUGGGUGAUUGGAUUUGUGGUGGAAAUGAUUUGGGAUAUGCUAAAACUUAAAUUAAAAUGGCGAAAAUAAAUUCUAAAAUUGGAAUUGAAAUGGCGAGAAUAAAUUGAAGAGAAUUCUAUUAAAAUGACGUACUUGGGUAUCUGGAUCCGUAUCAACAUGCAUCAUGGGCUAAAUAAUCCGUAUUAAUGCCAAUUAAAUCAUGAGAGGGGAAUCCACACCUCAUGAACCACACUCUAAUCAAUAUGGUGCUAAGGGCUUAUCGUGCCAAAUAAUAAUAACCUUAUACUAGAGAGCCGGUGUAACCAAGGCGGUAUCUAGACAAGAUCAGUAUUAUUUGUCGACGAUAAGUCAAAUCAUCCACAAAAACUAGAGGGGAAAAGAAAAUAAAUUUACCAAAUAAAGCCCAUGACACAUGUUGAGACUUCACCUUCAACCCAAGCUUGAAAGAAAAUUAGCCACACAUAAUUGAACUAGGGGCAAAAUGGGAAUUUAUUAAAAUACGAAGAAAAUACAAGAUGGAGAAGGAAUUACAGAAAAUGGAUCCCAAAAAUGGAUUCAGAGAUAUCAAAUUAGGGGGGGGAGGCCCCCUUUUUAUAGAUACAUGGAGUAAAUCAUGGCCAUCGGAUUAAAAACAGUUUGGACGCUCAGGAUUGCGCCACGUCAUCAGUCAACAGUCCACGGUUUGACCACGCGGAUGAACAGUAACACGGUUUGACCCGGAUGAACAGUAACGCGGUUUGGUUGAAAAUAAUCCUGUGUGAUGCAUGCACCGUACGCGAGAUUUUUCGUCCACUGAUAUGCUGCCACGUCACCAUCAACAGUACAUAAGAAUUUUAGUCCAACAGGAUCGUGACACCUCAUCAGUCAAUGCCACAUCAUCGGUCAAUGCCACGUCAUCGAUCCGUCUAUGUGAACAGUAUCGUGAACAGUAACGUAGACAGUACCGUAUACGUGAAUAGUACCGUACAUGUGAAUAGUGCCAUUUUUCCUUUUAUGCUCCUCCUAAGGUUUUCGACCGUCCUGAGUUCAAAAGUGAUGUCCGUUUUGCCGUCUGAUCUCUCCUUUAUUGUGAAAUGACUAUAAUGCCCCUAAAAUACAUAAAAUACUUAAUUAAAAUAAAAGACAUGUAAUUAAAUCACAAGAAGGUUAAAUACAUAAAAGUAAGGGUUGUUAAUAAGACUUGAAAUGUAAAAUGACGGUUUUCUCCUUUAUAAAUAUGUAUUUUCUAACACUCAACAGUACCUAUAAUUGUGCAGGGUACCUCUAUUUAUACGGGGUACCUCAAGUGAUGCCGGGCACCUUGGAUUGUGCAGGGUAUCUCAGAUUGUGCUGGAAUCGUUCCAUUGGUUGACACGUGGCACUCUAUUGUCUUUCCUAUUUUUCCCUCAAACAACAUCCCCCUAGUUUCUUUUUGGCGAGAAGUAUUGGAGGCAAAAGAAACUCAUUGUAUGAGCGACACGUGGCGACGCGGCUAGACCGGAGGGUACCUUAUUUAUCUUCUUCCCUUGACUAAACUUUGUGUACUUCGAACUAAAAAUCUUCUCUUUGUCUUUUCAUUUUCCCGCUUUUUUUUUUUACGAUGAGAAUGAACAGUUGUGCAUGGAUACCACCGCUUUAGUUGCUACUAAAAAUAGCCUACCCAAUAUAAUAUUGUAGGCACCCGGACGAUCUACAAUAAGAAAAUCAAUCAUAUGAACAACACGAUGAGGUACCUUACCAAGUGUAACAGGCAGCAUAAUGAUGCCUUUUGGUAUAACCAUAUCUCCUACGAACCCAAUAAGAGGCGUAGCAUAGGGGGUGAUCUUUGGCGACUCAAUCAAUAGUUGAUCCAAGGCGCUUUUGAAAAUGAUGUCAACGGAGCUGCCGGUAUCUACGAGAGUUCUUGCUACCUUACCAGUGGCAACCUUCAACGUAAUUACGAAGGCAUCAUCGUGGGGGUACGAGAUGCCCUCUGCAUCUUUUUCUGUAAAAAGGAUAGGUGGGGGAUGGUGGGGUACCUUCGGUGUACCCCAUUCACUAAGGUUGACUUCUCUGCCAAUAUUGGUGGUUAUCGACAACGAUCUACCAUAGCCUUUGAUAGCCCUCCUAGAUUGGCCCGCUAAAGUCGGUCCGCCCAUGACCAUCCGGACAUACACGCCUUUCUUAUGUCCAGGGGGUACCUCUCGUUCAGGACUGCCAUCGGCUACUCGCUUGCCUUUAUCCUGCUCCGCGGACUUCCGAGCUUCUCUCAUACCAGCAACAAAUUCUUUGAGGUACCCGCUGAGAAUCAAAGAUUCAAUUUCCUCUCGCAAGGUGAAGCAUUCGGCUGUGCUGUGCCCAAAGUCCUCAUGGAACUCGCAAUACUUCAGGCUACGCUUCAUGUUGGGGUACUUCUUCAUUGGCUUAGGAGGAUGGAGGAGGCCGCUAUCCCGAAUAUGGUAGAAGAUCUGCUCUGGAGAUCGAUUCAGUGGGUGGUAAGACUCGUACCGAGGCCUCGGUGGUGGCUCUCGCUGAUCCGGUGGUGGCGAUCUUGGAGGUUGGGGUACCCUUGAGAUACCCUGAGGGUUAUACCCUCGUCCCCGCAGGGGAGCCCGUGGAGGGCUCUGUGCUCGGGGCACUCUAGGUAUUGGGGCCUCCACUCUCUUGGGCUUCUCCUUGUUCUUUGUAACAUCGGCUUUAUCUUUUUGGCGCUUCAAUUGGCAUCUUUUGUCCAUCUCCACUUGCUGCAACGCCCGGGAAUGGGCUUCCCCAUAUGAAAGUGGGCGCUUCUUUUGGAAAGAACGCCAUAACUUACCCAACCGCAAAUUUUUCUCAAAAUGGGUCAAUGUGUAUUGGUUUCCAAAUGCUCCGGUUCGCAGCACCUCUUGGUGGAAACGACUUACAUACUCCGCCAAAGGCUCGGCUUCUCCUUGCUUGAUAAAGGCAAGUUUGGAGGUUACCCUAUCUUGAGUGGAAGCAUAGGAAAACUCUUUAGUAAAUUCGGAUAACAGUUUGUGUAAGGAAGAUAUGCUACCCGCUUUCAAAGAGCGAAACCAUGACUUUGCGGGGCCCGUGAGUGUGUGUCUAAACAUCCUAUACAUGGCGCUCUCAUCUACACCCUUGAUAAGCAUUUGGUCACGGUAUAGCUCAGCAUGCUCCGAGGGAUCAGUGGUACCUGAGUAUUGGGGUAUCUGAGGCAUGGUGAACGCCUCGGGGAGAGCUGCCGUCCUAAUCUCCAUAGUGAAUGGAGAUUGGUAGGUCAUUGGCGUUGGAGCAGCUGUGAUAUUUUGCUUCUCGGAGAGGAGCUUCACUUGGGCUUCCAGGUUCUCCAUCUUUUCCACAAGUUCGAGGGGUACCCUCGGUGUACCCGAUGAUGUCGCAGCCCUUUUGGCAUUUAACUUUUCACGGAGAUCCUCGUGGGUAUGCUUUGCACGCCUCGUACCCUGGCUGCUGCGGGAAUUGCAAGAGGCGGUGGAACGCUCGUCGCGGGAGCCCACGGUUUGAAACUUAGAACGGGUACCCGAUGGCUUAGGCUUUGGCUUGCUGGCCUCGGGUACCCCUCUUCUGACCAUAGCUUGGUCGUCCGUUUGAGGUGGUGGAGCUUCUAGCAUCACCGGUGGAAGUGAACUUUCGGGUGAGUGAAAAACAUGCUCGAGAAUGAAACCUAGGUGCCUUUAUAUAUGGAGUACCUCAGCUGCCACGUGGCGUACCCUUUUUGGCUAACGUCCUUUUACAUCUUUAUAAUUUUUGGGCCGUUAUCUGCAUGUUCGCGGCGUAUCUCAUCUUUUGGAAACGUGGCGCGUGCUGGAGAGUGGUCCAGGGUACCUCUGCAGUAGCUGUCGGGUAAGCGGUUGGGGACCACUGUCCUUGGGACAGUGUCCUUCACUUUUGGCAGAGGUAGCAGGCGGCUGUCCCCCCCGUUUGGUACGACGUUUUUUAUUCCUAAUUCUAACAAAAUCGAAUAAUAUCUUUUAGGAGGCGAAGACGUGUCUCAUGGCAGAUAUUUUCGAGGGAUUCUCUUGCACCCACUUUUCCUGGUACCUCGAGUUACGUGGGGUACCCCCUAUUACACAGGGUACCCCUAUUUGUAUGGGGUACCUCUAUUCGUAUGGGGUACCUCUAUUUGUGUGGGGUACCUCUAAUUGUGCAGGAUACCUUUAUUUAUGCGGGGUACCUCAGAUUGUGUUGGAAUCGUUCCAUUGGUUGACACGUGGCGCUCUAUUGCCUUUCCUAUUUUUCCCUCAAACAGAAACUAUUGUUUGGUUGGUUCAUUUCUAACAGAAAUCAUGAAUGUAUUCACUUUAAUGAAGGUUAUAAUUUCUUAUAAAAAAAUUAUAGGUGAUAUAUUACUUUUAUAGUCCAUCAAGGUACAUUUGAUUUUAAUAAUGAAACAGAUACAAAUAAAUCCAUGUAUGUCAAUGGUAGAUGGUUUCGUAUUAAACUUGUGGAGUAUAGAAAAUAAGCGAGGUUUGUAAAAAUAUUUUAGAUAAUACUACUGAAAAAUUAUAAAAAUAUUUUUUAAAAAAAGAUACAUACUCGAGACGCUGAGACCAACACACACAAUCACAUACAUUUACAUAUUGAGGGGAAAAAAAAGAUAUUCUAAGUAAUAUUAUUAACAUAUGAUUAUAAUUAUUAUUAAUUAAACAUUUUCGUAUAAAUACUAGUGAUAUUUAUGGAGAAAGUACGAUGAAGUGAGGAAAACUUGAAUAUAAAUACUCCAUUAUGAUUUCACACAAGCAAAUUAUGAUCUAGUGAUCUUUAAAGCAUCACAAAAUUGUUUUAACAUAAGUAAUUAGUUUGAAAAAUUGCCAAUAAUGUUUAAAGUGGGAACAAAAAGAUUAUAUUACAUAAGACAUAUAUCGAUCUUACAAAUUAUGAGAAAUAUAUCGAUCUUAUAAAUAAUAUUUAAUACGUCAACUAGACCUGCAAUAAAAAUUUCAAAUUAAAUAAUAAACCCUUAAUUUCCUUUUAAUCAUAAUUAUGGUCUUAAUUAUUAAAGUCAUUCAAUGUCAACUACUUAUUAAUUUUUUUAAUAAUCUAAAUGACAUCGAAAACUCUUAAUAAUCUAAAUGACGCCGAGAUUUCUACUCAAUAUUAAUUCAUUCGAAUGUUCUGUUUCAAAGUAAUCGGAAACUGCAAACGAAACAUACGCUUGCAAUCACAAAGGCCUAAAAUGGGAUUAUGAUAAUUUAAUGUAGCAGUGACUUUGAUCUUGAUGUUAAAAAUUUAUUUGUGACUUAUAUAAAGGCUUCAAUUUUAUCAUAAUUGGUUUCUAAUGCUAUGCUUAGGAGCAUGAAUAUAUUGUGGGAUUGGAUUAGAUUUUGAGACAAAAAAAUUAAUUUCAUCUGGUGUCAUGUUUGACUGUUAAGACUAACAAAUUAGUCCAAAAUUAAUGGAAUUAUUAGUCCUUAUUUUCAUAUAGGUAUAAGUAGGAUAAGAUUAAUAAGAUUAAAUGAAAUGUUUUUGUUCUCUUUAUUAUUCUUUUCUUUUUCAUUUAAAUUAUAUAUUAAAAUUAAUUUCAUAAAAUUUUACCUAGAAUUUUAUAUUAUAUUAAAAUAAAAAUUCUAUUCAAUAUUUUAUUUUAAAUUGUAUUUACUUUAAGAUUAAAUAUAUGAAUUUAAUACAAUAAUUUGGUUAAUCUAGUAUUGAAUAUUGAACAUAAAAAUUUAUUCAAUUAUUUGUUACCAUAAAAUUGAAUAUUAGAUAUUAAAAUAAUUAUUUAAUAGCAUAUUAUAUCUAUUAAUAUAGUUAUUAAUAAGAAACAUACCAUUCAUUAUUCGAUUAUUAAAUAAAUAAAAAAUUUAAAUAUUAUUUAACAUCAUUUAAAUUUAAGUAAUAUAGUCCAAUCUAAUGUUAUACCAAAAAUACACAAUGCUAUAUAUAGUGCAGCUUAAUCUAAUCCAAUUUUAAUUCUUGUGCAACAAACAUAGCCCGUAUCCCAACCACAUACCCUUUUUUAUUAAUAUUCUCACAGUUAGAAACCUUAAUUUUCCUUUUCUAUUUUUUCAACAAACGUCGGGGACUGCAAUAUUAAUAACAAUGCAAACACAUGUAAGUCCUUGAACAAUGUAAUGGUCAGAUAACUAAAAGACAAAAUAUGGUGGUGCAAGGUAGGUACUUGUCGCAGACCACCCAAAUUUUUAGAAAAAGAGGCUAAAUGCACAAGCCAAGCUAUGCUAACUUUACUUGAUUCUAGAAGGUUUCAGCUCAAUACUUUGGAAUUCUCUAGAAUAGUAGAAUGGGGCUCCUCUAGCAUGUUGUACACAAAAAUUUCUAGGCCUUACUAGCAAUGAAGAGUUUUCCAAGCCACAAGAACUCUCUAGACUUACAACAUUCUAAAACUAGGCAAGCGUUCUUAUAAAUACAACUUGGCACUCGCCAUUUAAGUAAAUAAGCAAGAGCAACUCAACAAAUUGUAAGCAAGCUCUCAAAACUCUCUUGUACAUACACUCUUGUGAAUAAUAUAUAUUUUAUUUGGCACAAUUGCUCACUCUUCUCUCUAACUCUUUCAAAAGCAUCUUCGCUUAACUUGUUGAGAAACUUAAGGCUUACUUAACAACUUUUAAGUAAUAAUUGUAGUCUAAAUACCGCAUGGGUGUGCAGCACAAAAUAAUCAUCCCGUGCAUGGUACACCCAUUAAUUAAGCAUAAUAUAUCAUGUCCCUGAGCUUAACAUUUCUUAAAUUUCAUAGAAAUAUGAUUGUGCACAACCAAAUUUUAAUAAAAUGUACAAAAGGGACAUGCGAACUAAACAUUAUAUUUGUUUAUGUGUAACAGUAUUUUGGGAUAUCACUAUCGCAAAUGGUCUGUUAGUCAUUGAAAUUAAUUGAUUGUAUGGUAAUGAAUAAUAUGCAAAACUGAAUUAAUUCAUUAAUAUAAAUGUAAGUAAUACUAUACACAUCUCAAAUUAUAAUUCAAAAUCUCAUAAAAAACGUAGGUGCUUACUGCUCAGAGAGAUUUUCAUGUUCCUUUUAAACAAACUUGAAAUAAUUUAAUCAAAAUAAUUUAGUGGCAGUUCAUAGUUAUAACUAAUAAGUUUCAAGAAUUACCGUUAUAAGAUUUACUGAUUAAUAAAAAGAAUCAAAACACUAAUGUCCUUGUGCCACAUUUCAAUGAAAGGUGGCUAAUUGGAAACCUGUCACAAAAUAAUAGAUUAGUUUGCUCAUUGGAUCUAGCUUUUCAAAUUCUUCUAAGACCUGUUGAUGCGAGAUUCCGGUUCUCCUCGUCCACGACCAGGAUCUCUGCUCGAUCAACUUCACCACGACCAGGAGGUCUCCUAGUAAUGCUUCUUCUCCAGAUGUCCCUGCACAAACAGACAAGUCAGAGUACGCCGGUUGUUCCCCCGGCGCAAACCCUCCGACGCUCAAGUCAGAUAUGAAGGUUCAGGGAACGCUUGCCACAGGUCUUAUGGCUUUUUCGUGGUUUUUCCUUCUAUCUAAAAAAUGCCAACCCUUUUACCUUCGUUGGCUACCUUUUUAUAGGCUUCCUCUGAAUCUCAGUCUUCCGCUCUUUUCGAGACGGUAUGGGACUCCAACUGCUGCGUUAUGGGCAAACGUGGGAUCUAGCGUGUUACGCCACGGUUCAGGGGAAAGCGUGGCUGUCAUGGCUCUGUGAGACUUUGCGUGUUACGCCACGGUUCUGGGGAAAGCGUGGCUGUCAUGGUUCUGUGAGAUCUUGCGUGUUACGCCACGGUUCUGGGGAAAGCGUGGCUGUUGUGCCUAGAUUCUCGUGCUGGAGAGCACGUCUUACCAACUGUCGUCGACCGGGUCUCCUCGCCUCUUGACCUCUAGCCGGAAUGGCCUUAUGCCUUUUAUAGGGAAUUGGCCUCGCGGAUGACAACAUCGUGGACGAGCAGGAUAUUUCUGCUCCUGUUCUUCCGCGCACCAGGCUUUUACGGAACACACCGGUUCGCAGAACUCCGCCAUCAGAUAUCUGCUCGUCAUUCCUGGUCUCGUCGACGUAUUUAUCCCAAACAGUAUCUCUCUCAAACACCGGUCCCCCAGUUUCUGGUGUUGGGUAAUGUAGUGGACCAGCAGUAGAAACUCGAUAGUACUCGCUCGCGUGGGAUUGGAAAAGGCUGCCAAGAGUCAUGUCGCGUUUAAUUGCGGACGAGGUGACGUGGCAGAAAUCCCGCCCUCCAUUUGAAUUUUAAACCGACGGUUACGAGAUCCUCGGGAUUCGGCGCAGUUAUAUGCUGGCAACCCAAGAGUCCGUCCUCAUUUGGAAAGCCGAAUCCUCUCGAACGGCAUAUUCACCAUUCACUCCGUCUCCGUCUCUGUUUCUCCGGCAAAGAAGUUCCGGCACAAAGGCCCCAUCCUUGCCUUUCUCCGAUUGGAGCAGUGCUUCAGGUAUUACUUCUCUCUCCUCGGUCUCGGAUAGUUUAUAGAUAACUUCUUUUUUCUUUCGUUUGGGUAGUAGUUGGUGGCGUUGUGGUUAGAGUUUAGGGAAUGUCGAAAGGCAAAGAGAAGGUCAUUGAGGUUGAUGACGACGAGUUGGACUUCCUACCUAGUCUGCUCGCUGAUCCCGCUUUUGAUCCCGGGAUCCCCUUAGAGCCCAUUAGGUCUAGUGUUGGUACUAGAGCUAGGAGGAUGUCUCCCCAAACAACCUCCUCGAGCGACAGUAGCGAUGAAGAAGGAUCUUUUGGAUCGGAGAACACCUUGAGUGAGGGUCAAGGGGAUGAUUCUGGUGAGGCGUCCCCAUCAGGAGCGCCGCGACCAGAAGGGAGGAGUAGAAUAGGAGGUAGAGCCCUAUCGCGGGACUACGCUAUUGAUUACAUGACGUGCACGACCACGUUUGAUGAGCUCGAGGACCUCCGGCUGAGGUAUAACAUUCCUGGUGAAAUACUUCUCAAGGUCCCAGGAAAGAAGGAUGCUCCCAGCCGCCCUCCUAGGGGAUAUGUUACCCUGUAUCUGGACAGCUUUAAGUACGGGCUGAGGUGUCCCUUGCAACCUUACUUUGCCCGGAUACUUAACGGGCUAAAUCUGGCUCCUGGUCAGCUGAAUCCCAAUGGGUGGAGAGUGCUCUCUGGUCUGUUCAUUUUGUGGGACAGAUGUUGCCAAAGCGAGCCCACGGUUGAUGAGGUGAAGCACCUGUACCAGCUAAAGAGCAGCCCCAAAGAUGCCGGCUGGUACUACUUCCAAUCUAGCACCAAGAGCAGGAAACGUAUAACCGACCUCCCUACUGGUGGUGGCGGGAAUUGGAAGAGAAAGUUCUUUUUUGCUGGGGGUCCGUGGGGUCAGGUCGCACAAAUGGACGGGAGGGAUUAUCGGGUCCCACCCCGUUUCACGGUCCCAGGUUGCCUGCUUGCUUCAGAUGCCUUGUAUCCAUACUUGUUCUUGUUUUAUUGGCUUGUUUCUAACCAAGUGUCUCGUUUGUGUUGUAGUUUCUUGGGGUGUCCACUUCCCGCUCGGAUCUGACCAGCUCAAACGGGUCGAGGCGGUACUGGCCAAUUCCUGCUCGAGCCGAGAACUAUUAAGUACAUACAACUUGCUCGAGUCUCGCUUGAUACUUCCUGGCCAUAGGAUGGAGGACGCUGUGAUGGGGGCUCUGACCCGAAAACGUUCUCGACCUCCAACCACGAAGAGGGACGAGAGUAAGGAUGCCCCUACUGCAAAGCGGGCCAACAUCGUGCAGCAGGCCCCACCCUUGAAGAUUUUACCUCCUGCUCCUGUAAAAGUUGGGGAAGCUAGUGGAGCAGCCACAGAUCCCGCUACCUCUUCUCCUCCUGUCGGGCCUCGAUCUCGCUUACCUGACAGCCGAGCAGAACCUCUGGUCCCUUACCUCAAUGAGUUAGCUAAACUCGUGAGCAAGGAGGAGCUGGAGGACUUUGAUGGCCGCACCUUGGGUGAGCUGGUGGGGGCCAUUCAGCAUAGCGCCUUCCACCUCAGCUGCAUGACCACCUAUUACAAGGCUAAGGUGGGCCGCUACGACCGGAAGAUGAAGGGGGACAUUCAGUCGGCGACGACCAGAGCUGACGUUGCCGAGAAGAAAGCAGGGGAGCUGAAUCUCGAGAACCUGAAGCUGAUAGAGCAAGAAUCACUUGCUCAAGCAAAAGCCAUUACCCUUGAGGAGGAGCUUACCAAGGUCAAGGAGGAUCUGCAAAGGCAGAAGGCUAUGUAUGAGGCUCAGCUCGAAUCUCUCCGCGACUCCCACCGAGCUCAGGUCGAGAACCACCGAGCUCAGGUCGAGAACUUGGAGAGGGAGGCCGACAACCAGUACGACCAGGGACUUCGGCAUUCCUAUCGUUGCAUCAUGGCCGUCCUCGGGAAGCAACACCCUGACCUGAAGAUGGAUGACCUUGCAGCUGGUGUUGCUCAGCAUAUGGAUGAGGAGGCGGCCAAGGAAGAUACCGAGGGGGUAGAGCCGAUCGUGAUCAAGGAGGAAAACUCUCCUCCUCGUGCAGUCCCUGUUGAUGUUGGCGAGGCGAGCACCCCCCCGGACGCAACUGGUGAUACCCCCCCUGCACCCGAGGAGGUCCAGCCGACCGAUGCUGCUCGGCUCACUGAUCCACCAUCUUUUUGAUAUAUUUCUUUUUGUAUUGUAAUGAACAACGUUUAUGAAAUUUAUUCCCUCUGUUAGCCAUUAACACAUUAAUAAAAAUGUUGUUGAUUACUUUCUCGUGUUGUAAUUAUGAAUUAUUUUUCGUUUGAGAAUCUGCUUGUCUUUGUCUAGACGAGCAGGUUCCGGCUUGGCUCAUGGUUUUGCCACAUGCCUUUGAAGAUUUUUCAAUGCCUGGGAUUCGGUUUGCCUUCGCGCGGUCGAACAGAUCCUGGCAUGCUUGGCUUCCGUCUCGCCACAAGACAUGCUCUGAGACUUGACGAGCCUUUGCAUGCCUUAGGAUUUUCUUCAAACGAUUUGGAUUCUGCUGCCUUCUCGUGGCCGAGCAGAUCCUGGCAUGCUUGGCUUCUGUCUCGCCAUAAGACAGGCUCUGAGACUUGGCGAGCCUUUGCAUGCCUUAGGAUUUUCUUCAAACGAUUUGGAUUAUGCUGCCUUCUCGUGGCCGAGCAGAUCCUGGCAUGCUUGGCUUCUGUCUCGCCAUAAGACAGGCUCUGAGACUUGGCGAGCCUUUGCAUGCCUUAGGAUUUUCUUCAAACGAUUUGGAUUCUGCUGCCUUCUCGUGGCCGAGCAGAUCCUGGCAUGCUUGGCUUCUGUCUCGCCAUAAGACAGGCUCUGAGACUUGGCGAACCUUUGCAUGCCUUAGGAUUUUCUUCAAACGAUUUGGAUUCUGCUGCCUUCUCGUGGCCGAGCAGAUCCUGGCAUGCUUGGCUUCUGUCUCGCCAUAAGACAGGCUCUGAGACUUGGCGAGCCUUUGCAUGCCUUAAUAUUUUUUCGGUUUCAAGCGAAUGAAAUUCGUCGACGUUCCAUUAAUGGCAGGAUUUGACUUACAUGAAAUUGUUCGGACAUAAAGCGUGAAAAAUAAACGAUAAUGAACAUGAGCAAAAACAGCUUUCAAAUGUGAACAAGUCUUACUGGAAGUAUUUCCGGAGGUGUGCUGCGUUCCAUGGGCGUUUCACUUCGUGGCCGUCCGCGCGAACCAGCUUGUAAGCUCCGGGUCCCGCUAUCUGCUUGACUCUAUACGGCCCUUCCCAAUUCGGUCCCAGUACUCCUUGAGUCGAAUCUUUGGUGCUCUGAUUCACUCUUCUCAGUACCCAGUCUCCGACCCUGAAUUGCCGUAUGUUCACCUUCUGGUUAUAAUACCGAGCAACCCUCUGUUGGUAAGUGACUGAUCGCUCGGCUACUUGUUCCCUCCUCUCCAUUAGCAGAUCAAGAUUCAAACAUAUCUGCUCGUCGUUCUCCUGCUCAUUGAAGUGCUCUGUCCGGUGUGUGGUCGUUCCUAUCUCAGCCGGCACGACCGCUUCAUGUCCGAAAGCCAAAGCGAACGGUGUCUCCCCAGUUGCGGUCUUGUGGGUUGUUCUGUAUGCCCAUAGCACACCUGACAGCUCGUCAACCCACGCACCCUUUUUUGCUCCGAUCCUGGUUUUCAGAAGCCUCUUGACGGUCUUGUUGGCUGCUUCUACUUGUCCAUUCGAUUGAGGGUGAGCAGGCGAGCAAUACUUCAGUUCUAUCCCGAGGUUCUGGCAGAAAUCCCUGAAGCUGUGAUUAUCGAACUGCCUGCCAUUAUCCGUUACCAAGGCAUAUGGGAUCCCGUAUCGACAGACCAGGUUUCUCCACACGAAGUCUGUUGUUUUCUUCUCUGUGAUCCUGCUAAGGGCUUCUACCUCUAUCCACUUCGUGAAGUAAUCUAUAGCAACUAUUGCAUGUGUUGCUGCUCCUCGUCCCUUUGGCAAUGGGCCGAUCAGAUCAAUUCCCCAUUGAGCGAAUGGCCAAGGGGAGGCCAUGGAGGUGAGCUUCUCUGGUGGUUGGUUAGAGAAGUUUGCAAAACUCUGGCAGUUUGCACAGCUCCUGGUCUUCCUUUGCGCAUCCUGGUGCAUCGUCGGCCAGAAAUAUCCCUGCCUUAGAACCUUGUGGGCCAGGGACCUCCCGCCAGAAUGAUUUCCGUAAAUUCCUUCAUGUACUUCCCUCAGCACGUAAUCUGCGUCGUCAUCGUCCAAACACCGAAGGAACGGUAAUGUAUAUCCUCGCCGAUACAGUACCCCAUCGAUCAUCGUGUAUCUCGAGGCCUGAGCUCUAAUCUUCCGAGCUCGCAGCUUAUCUGGUGGUACGACCCCGUCUCUAAGGUAUGAAACUAUCGGGUCCCUCCACGAGCCUUUUUGUUCUAUCCGCAACACCCCCAAAUUUUGCUCGAUACUUGGGUGAGACUUCACUUCUAGGGGGACCGACUUUGGCAUUUUUGGGUCGGCUACGGCUGCCAUCCUAGCCAAAAUGUCUGCUCGACUAUUCUGCUCCCUGGGGAUUUGUAUCACCUCCACUGCUUUGAACUUCCCCAUCAUCUGCCUGACUAUCUUUAGGUACUGUUCCAUCUUCUCCUCUCUUGGUUGGAAUCUUUCACUGACAUGAUUCGCAACCAGCUGGGAAUCAGUUCUGAUCUUAACUCUGUCUGCUUUCACGGCCCUAGCCAAUUCCAGACCCGCUAUCAAGGCUUCAUAUUCUGCCUGGUUAUUUGUGGCUGCAAAUUCCAACUUUACAGCAUAAGAGAUCUCCUCCCCCUCUGGGCCUUCCAGGACAAUCCCUGCUCCUGAACCCCGCUCUCCUGAUGACCCAUCCACAGAUAUCUGCCAUACUUGAGUUUCGUCGUCGCCUAUAUCUGCACCUUGUUGAUCUAAGCAUACUUCGGGCUCUGCGAACUCAGCUACAAAAUCGGCCAUUGCCUGGGCCUUUAUCGCCGCGCGGGGUUUAUAGUCUAUAUCGAAUUCGCUCAGCUCUACAGCCCACUUGACGAGCCGACCAGAGGCAUCUGGCUUGUGCAGAAUUUGACGCAAUGGCUGGUUGGUUAUUACCGAGACCGGGAAUGCUUGAAAGUAUGGCCUCAACUUCCGAGCAGCAACCACAAGGGCAAGUGCCCAUUUCGCCAACGGUGGGUAUCUGGUCUCAGCGUCGAGCAGGGCCUUGCUGGUGUAGUAUAUCGGAUACUGAACUCCUUCUUCCUCUCUCACCAGAACGGAACUGGCGGCCCGAUCCGAUACCGCCAAAUACAGAUUCAACUUGUCCCCAUCCCUCGGUGUGGACAGUAGCGGAGCUUGCUGCAAGUAUUGCUUCAAGUUCCGGAAGGCUUCCUCGCAUUCCGGGGUCCAUUCCGUUUUCUUUCCCCUCCUUAUCACUUGAAAGAAUGGCUGAUACUUAUCUGUAGCCUUGGAUAUGAAUCUGCUCAACGCCGCCAACCUCCCCGUGAGGCUCUGCAUCUCCUUCAGGUUUCGAGGAGACGUCAUUUGCACAAUCGCCUGGAUCUUCUCGGGAUUUGCUUCAAUCCCCCUAUGGCUCACCAUGAAUCCCAGGAAUUUCCCUGACUCGACCCCAAAAGCACACUUCUCCGGGUUGAGCUUCAUCUUAUACUUCCUCAAAAGCUCGAACGUCUCCUCGAGAUGUCUGACAUGUUCCUUCGGGAUUUUGGACUUGGUGAUCAUGUCGUCCACGUACACCUCCAUGGUUUUCCCGAUCAAGGGCUUAAAGACUUUAUUCACCAGCCUUUGAUAGGUGGCCCCAGCAUUCUUGAGACCGAAUGGCAUCACCCUGUAACAGAACAAACCUUGGUUAGUGAUGAAAGCCGUGCUCUCCUCAUCCGGCUCGUACAUGGGGAUCUGGUUGUAUCCCGAGAAUGCGUCCAUGAAGCUAAGCAGACCAUGUCCAGCCGUCAAAUCUACUAGCUGAUCGAUCUUUGGUAAAGGGAAGCUGUCUUUUGGGCACGCCUUAUUGAGGUCUGUGAAAUCCACACACAUCCUCCACUUGCCGUUUGCCUUCUUUACCAACACCACAUUUGAUAUCCACUCUGGGUAAUUGACUUCCCGAAUGAACCCUGCUCUCAGAAGCUUCUCCACCUCAUCAUUUACAGCCUCAUACCUCUCCUGGUUGAAGCACCUCCUCUUCUGCCUUACUGUCCGAGCACCUUUCUUUAUUGCCAGCUUAUGACAUGCUACCUCUGGGUCAAUCCCUGGCAUGUCUUCAUGUGUCCAGGCAAACACGUCAGCAUGAGCCUGUAAGCAUUUCACCAACUCCUGCUUUUGCUCUCCCUUAAGUCUCGACCCGAUUCUGAUCGUCUUUCCCGGGUUCUCUGGUCCCAUGCUUACUGUCUCCAGAUCCUCUACGGGUUCUUGUCUGCCAGUCUUGUUUUCCACUCGGGUAUCGAGGGAUGUUAUCUGCAUCGCCUCCCUUGCUGCCGAGGAGUAGCAGCUUCUUGCGAUCCUCUGGUCUCCUCGUACCACUCCGACUACCCCAUUCACCUGGUACUUCAGAGCCAGAUAAUGGUUGGACAACACCGCUUUGCUCAUCCUUAAAAAUGGCCGACCUAGGAUCAUCUGGUAAGGACCUUCCUCAUCCACUACGACGAAGUCCAGUAUCAUUGUUCUUUCUGUCGGGGGGCUCCCGAUUGUGAUAGGCAGUUCGACCACGCCCAGAGGGACCAGCUUCCCUCCUCCGAACCCCUUCAAGGAGGUGUUGGUGUAUUCCAACUUCCGGUCGGCUAUUCCCAUCUCUUCCAAAGUUGACUUAAAUAACACAUCAACUGAGCUCCCCGUAUCAACCAGUAUCCGGUCAAACUUCUUGCUAGCGACCGUAGCCUUGAUGACUAAAGCAUCCUCGUGGGGGUAUAGAAUCCCUUCCUCAUCCUCAUCCGUCCACAUGAUUGGCACUUGCCUGACCCUUGCUCGUUUGGCUGCUGGGGUGUUGAAGAGUAUCUCUUUACUGGUCAUGGCGUAUCUGGCAUAAUUUUUUCUUGAUCUGUUCGAAUCUCCGGCCAACGUUGGGCCCCCAGCUAUCACCCUUACUGCGGGCUGCUCGCGUCUCAAGAUUCUAUCACUCUGCUCCCCUUCAUCUGUUGUGGCCACCAUCGGAAAAGUCCCAUCCAUAAACUCGUCCAGGUACCGAUUUCUCACCAAAUCUUCGACCUGGGUCUUGAGAUCUCUACACUCUGCUGUGGUAUGGCCAUGGGUGCCAUGGAACUUACAAUAACGUCCUCUGUCCCUCCUGUUGGGUAGCUUUGUUAUUGGUGUAGGGAGGUGCAGCAGCCCUCGAUCCUUUAUGGCCUCGUACACCUCAUCCAGGGGCAUCUUCAAGGGAGUGUACCGCCCAUAGUCCUGGUUCUGGUCGACCAGAUGCACUGCUCUUUCUUUGUUUGCCCCACUGUGAGUUGGGGGUGGUGGAAGUGCUUCUGGUCUGCUCGUCCUGCUACCGUGGGAAUGUUGAUGAAGACCACCGGAUGCCGAAUCAUGUCUUCUCCAAGGCUCCCUAGCUGGGGAACGAGGAGGUGGCGCCCUGCUGCGCUGAUAUUGUGGCGGCCUCUGAUGAGGCUGGUAAGCAAUUACCCUACCUCCUGCUCCACUACCGGAGACCUGGUGGUCCCUCCUCCUGAUCGGCCCAUUGCCUGGUAAUGCUUUCUUCUCUUUCCUCCCUAACCCUUCCAACUGGUCUGUCUUGAUCCGUGCAGCCUUCUCCUCCUCAAUCUCGAUGUCUCUUUUAGCCUGUUCGUAUGCGGCUGCAUACGUUUGAAUAGCUGGGCUUCUCAAAUUGUACCACAGCCUUCCUAUCUUCACCCCUUCUUUCAAUCCCCUUAACGCCUGAGGGUGGUUGAAGGCUCCCAAGUCGAGGACAGCCCGAUGAAACCUCUUGAUGAAUUCCCGGAGGGUUUCUUGCUCCCCCUGUUUCAUGCUCUUCAGCUCCAUCAUGUCAUCUUCCGGUGACAUUGCCCCACUAAACUGCUCUGCGAAUUCCUGGCACAUCUGCUCGAAGGUUUUAAUGCUGCCCCGAGGAAGUUUCCUGUACCAUUCUCGUGCACGUCCCUCAAGGGAUAGUGGGAACACCCUGCACCUUUGGGAUGGAGAUAAUCCCUGUACCCCCGUUAUGUCGUUGAAGCGCUCUAUGUGCAUCAGCGGAUCAGUUCUUCCCGAGUAUCUGAGGUCGGGGAGGCGGAAAUCUCUCGGAAUAACCGCCCUCAUGAUCUCUGCUGCGAGCGGUGAUUCUCCGUCCAGCAUUAUCCUCCAACCAGGGGCUCUGUUCCUCCCUUGCAUGUCGUCAAUUAUUUGCGCUAGCCUUCGCACUUCCUCCUCCAGCUGCCCUGCACGACCAGGGUCACGUGCUGCAGCUUGAUCCCGCUCUUGCUCUACAUCAUGCAAGUGUUGCCUCAGUUCUGUUUCCUCUGCAUUCACCACCCCGUCGCCCUCGUCACACGUCUGUCUUGCCGGGGACUGCUCUCUUUCUCUAUGAAAUUCUCCCCGCAGAGGUACGUUACCUCUCUCACCACCAAAUCUCCCCGCGGUUUGACUUCUCUCCGCACUAUCGGUACCUGGUGCCGCUCCACCGCCUCUCACCCUUCCCUCUUGGGUUACCCUUCGCUCGUUCCGCAGCUCAUGCAGGAUGGUUGUCAAGGUUUCCAUCUGCUUUUCCAUUCGUUCCAUCCGGUCGAACAUGACUUUUUCCCGUGCUUCGCUGAUUACCUCCCUCAGCGUCACGGAAUCGUUAAGCCUCAUGUCACCCCCUUGUGCGCUACUUCCUCCUAUCUCCAUUGCCUUUCGCUUACUCCACCCCUCUUCUUGCUAUCGACAGAAGCUUUUUGCUCUGGAUCCCCACAGACGGCGCCAAAAUGUUGAUGCGAGAUUCCGGUUCUCCUCGUCCACGACCAGGAUCUCUGCUCGAUCAACUUCACCACGACCAGGAGGUCUCCUAGUAAUGCUUCUUCUCCAGAUGUCCCUGCACAAACAGACAAGUCAGAGUACGCCGGUUGUUCCCCCGGCGCAAACCCUCCGACGCUCAAGUCAGAUAUGAAGGUUCAGGGAACGCUUGCCACAGGUCUUAUGGCUUUUUCGUGGUUUUUCCUUCUAUCUCAAAAAUGCCAACCCUUUUACCUUCGUUGGCUACCUUUUUAUAGGCUUCCUCUGAAUCUCAGUCUUCCGCUCUUUUCGAGACGGUAUGGGACUCCAACUGCUGCGUUAUGGGCAAACGUGGGAUCUAGCGUGUUACGCCACGGUUCAGGGGAAAGCGUGGCUGUCAUGGCUCUGUGAGACUUUGCGUGUUACGCCACGGUUCUGGGGAAAGCGUGGCUGUCAUGGUUCUGUGAGAUCUUGCGUGUUACGCCACGGUUCUGGGGAAAGCGUGGCUGUUGUGCCUAGAUUCUCGUGCUGGAGAGCACGUCUUGCCAACUGUCGUCGACCGGGUCUCCUCGCCUCUUGACCUCUAGCCGGAAUGGCCUUAUGCCUUUUAUAGGGAAUUGGCCUCGCGGAUGACAACAUCGUGGACGAGCAGGAUAUUUCUGCUCCUGUUCUUCCGCGCACCAGGCUUUUACGGAACACACCGGUUCGCAGAACUCCGCCAUCAGAUAUCUGCUCGUCAUUCCUGGUCUCGUCGACGUAUUUAUCCCAAACAGUAUCUCUCUCAAACAAGACCCAUCUCUUUUUCUCUUACAAUCAAAAAAUCAAUAAAUCGGGGGCAACUAGACCCAAAAUAGUAAUAAUAAUUAUCAAUAACCAUAAAUAAGAAUAACUACUUGGGUGUGUUGGCUGUUAGCAUUUUGGUCAAAAGGUAAAUUAAGAUAAAAAUAACCAAAAAUGUUAUAUCUCGCCUAUAACGAGGGGUAAUAAGCCCUCUUGAUUACACAACCAAGCAACUUAGCGAACGCAAAACUUAGCCUAAAUUAUAAAUUUCUUCUUCUGUUUGCAUGACUGUUCUUUACUCGCCCAAUUAACAUAAUUCUUUCCAUUACACUCUAUUGUUAGCUUCUCUUCUUGUGUUAUUCCUUUGAAAUCUUUCAACAAAAAUGGGUGGCAUCAUUUCAACCAUCUUAAAAGGAAUUUAGAUCUAUUGCAGGUAGAUGCAGGCAAUUAAAACCCUAAAAUUAAUAACUUAAUUAAUUUUUAAAAAUAUUGUUUACAGUUAUUGUUCCCAUUACUAUUCAUAUUCACUGUUCAUCCGCAUAAAAAAUAUUAACUUUCCAAAAAACCCAAUAAAUUGAAGAAAUUAAAUGACAGAGAUUUUUCCAUGGUUCGUACAAUCAAAUAGCCAUGUACAAGCUGUUGAGUGUUAGAAAAUGCAUAUUUAUAAAGGAGAAAACCGUCAUUUUACAUUUCAAGUCUUACUAACAACCCUUACUUUUAUGUAUUUAACCUUCUUGUGAUGUAAUUACGUGUGUGUUAUUUUAAUUAAGUAUUUUAUGUAUUUUAGGGGCAUUAUAGUCAUUUCACAAUAAAGGAGAGAUCAGAUGGCAAAACGGACAUCACUUUUGAACUCAGGACGGUCGAAAACCUUAGGAGGGGCAUAAAAGGAAAAAUGGCACUAUUCACAUGUACGGUACUAUUCACGUAUACGGUACUGUAUAUGUUACUGUUCACGGCACUGUUCACAUAGACGGACGAUGACGUGGCAUUGACCGAUGAUGUGGCAUUGACUGAUGAGGUGUCACGAUCCUGUUGGACUAAAACUCUUAUGUACUGUUGAUGGUGACGUGGCAGCAUAUCAGUGGACGAAAAAUCUCGCAUACGGUGCAUGCAUCACACAGGAUUAUUUUCAACCAAACCGCGUUACUGUUCAUCCGGGUCAAACCGUGUUACUGUUCAUCCGCGUGGUCAAACCGUGGACUGUUGACUGAUGACGUGGCGCAAUCCUGAGCGUCCAAACUGUUUUUAAUCCGAUGGCUAUGAUUUACUCCAUGUAUCUAUAAAAAGGGGGCCUCCCCCCUAAUUUGAUAGCUCUGAAUCCAUUUUUGGGAUUAAUUUUCUGUAAUUCCUUCUCCAUCUUGUAUUUUCUUUGUAUUUUAAUAAAUUUCCUUUUUGCCCCUAGUUCAAUUAUGAGUGGCUAAUUUUCUUUCAAGCUUGGGUUGAAGGUGAAGUCUCAACAUGUGUCAUGGGCUUUAUUUGGUAAAUUUAUUUUCUUUUCCCCUCUAGUUUUUGUGGAUGAUUUGACUUAUCGUCGACAAAUAAUACUAAUCUUGUCUAGAUACCGCUUUGGUUACACCGGCUCUCUAGUAUAAGGUUAUUAUUAUUUGGCACGAUAAGCCCUUAACACCAUAUUGAUUAGAGCGUGGUUCAUGAGGUGUGGAUUCCCCCCUCAUGAUUUAAUUGGCAUUAAUACGGAUUAUUUAGCCCAUGAUGCAUGUUGAUACGGAUCCAGAUACCCAAGUACGUCAUUUUAAUAGAAUUCUCUUCAAUUUAUUCUCGCCAUUUCAAUUCCAAUUUUAGAAUUUAUUUUCGCCAUUUUAAUUUAAGUUUUAGCAUAUCCCAAAUCAUUUCCACCACAAAUCCAAUCACCCAUUUACAAAAUUAAUUCUACACAAUUAAAAUCCACCUCCUCGUGGGAUCGACACUCGUCACCAUUAGUCUAUACUAUAAUAGAUUCGUGCGCUUGCGAGUACAUUAAAAUUUGCACAACAAGUUUUUGGCGCCGUUGCCAGGGAGGUAAGUAGUUUUAAUUCAUAGAAUUAAUUUUUGUGAAUAAUUUCUUUUAUUUGUUUUCUUGUAUUUUUUUUAUUAUUAUUAUUAAAAAAAAAAAGUAAAUCUACAUUUAAAGGUUAGUAUUUCUUUUCUUUUUCUCUUCUUUAAAAUUCUGUAAUUUAAUUUUCAAUUUAUUUUUCUUUAUAAUUUAUUUUUCUUUAUCUUAUUAAUUUAAUUUUUAGUUAAUUUAUUUCACGUAUUUAUUUUUGUGUAUUUUUAUAGAAAGGUUGUAAUAGCGCAAUAAGGUUAGUAUCGUAAUUUCUCCCUCUUCUUUAUUUUUAUUUGUUUUGUUCCCAUCUUUAUUUUUAUUUUAUUUGUUUUGCAUGCAUGGUCGUAGGUCAUUAUUACCUAAUCUUGAACCUAUAGACCUUGAAUUAGAAAAAACACUUCGCACACAAAAGCACAUUAAAAAUAAAUUUGGAAUGGAUUUACAAGCACCACAGGAGAGGCCAUUUAAGGACUAUUUUAGUCCCUUAGCUAAUUUGAGCACAUCAUGUAUAAGAUACCCAAAUGUAGCUGCUAGGAGUUUUGAAUUAAAACCUAGUGUGCUAAAUUGUCUCCCCACAUUUUAUGGCUUAGAAAAUGAGGACCCAUAUAAUCAUCUGAAUGAUUUUCAUGCUAUUUGUCAAACAUUUAAAUAUGAGAAUUUUUCAGACGAUGAUGUUAAACUCAGAUUAUUCCCAUUUUCUUUAAAGGAUAGAGCUCGUUCAUGGCUUAAUACAUUGCCUGCUAAUAGCAUUGCAUCAUGGGAACAAAUGGUUACAAAAUUUCUAAAUAAAUAUUUCCCAGUGCAUAAAAUCAAUUCUAUUCGCAGGGAAAUUUCAGAGUUUACACAAAGAGAGGACGAGCAGUUUUUCGAAACUUGGGAGCGAUUCAAUGGGCUACUCUUGAAGUGUCCACAUCAUGGGUACGAGAAAUGGCACCAAUGCCAAUAUUUUUUGGAGGGAUUAUUGCCGAAUGUGCAAGAAUGGCUAAUGGCAACAAGUGGAGGAGAGCUAAUGUCAAAAAGUGCAUCAGAGAUUUGGGAAUUCUUCCAGCGACAAGCGGAUAAUUCCCAACAACGGAGUCGAUCACUCAGGAAUACUAGAAGAAUUAAAGGAGUGAAUGAGGUUCAAAUUGGCGAGUCAACUUCGGGAAUCAAAGAAGUCAAGGAGAUGGUUGAAGGUCUUGCUCGACAAAUAGCAUCGUUAUCGACUGCUAAAUCAACAGAGCCACAUGACCAUGACUCAUACUCAGAUCAAGCCAAUGCCAUAGGUGUAAUGAGAAAGCCAUCUAAUUACAACCCAUACUCCAACACAUAUAACCCUGGAUGGAGAGACCACCCCAAUUUUUCAUGGUCUCAAGGAUUCCAACAGAAUGGACCAGCAGCUCCAGCUCCACCAAUGCAACAAAUUCCUCAAAAUCCUCAAGCCUCUCAACCACCAUUCAGACCAUACAAUCAGAACCAGAACUACUCUCAACCCAGACCAUGGGAGGAUGCAUUCCAGAAUUUCAAGAAUGUUACUCACUCCACGAUUGAGCAACAGAAUCGCACCAUUGAUGGACUACGAAAUGAGUUGAGAGCGGGCUUCAAUUCACAAGCCCAAUCAGUUUCAAGCCUCGAGAAGAUGGUGGGACAGCUUACUUCUUCAGUUCAGACCUUGGCAAUGACUGUUGAGAAAGGCAAGUUUCCGAGUCAACCAGUGCCUAAUCCUAAAGGGGUAUAUGAAGCAAAUACCAGUUCACCACAGCAGCAUGGAGAGGUCAAAGCAGUCAUGACCUUGCGAAAAGGAAAGGAAGUCGACAACAAAGUGGAGAUGCCGGUGACCAAAGAAAAUCAAAUUGUACCUGUGAAUGUUGAGGACUCACCACCGGAGGAGAAAGAAGAAACCAACCCACGAGAAUACAUUCCGAAAGCUCCAUUUCCUCAGAGGUUAGCGAAAGGAAAAAAAGGAAAAUCCACAGGUGAGAUUCUUGAAAUCUUCAAACAUGUAAGUGUUAACAUCCCUUUGCUUGAUGCUAUAAAGCAAGUUCCAUCUUAUGCCAAGUUUCUUAAAGACCUUUGUACUAAAAAGAGAAAUAUGCAUGUUCAAAAGAAGGCAUUUUUAACAGAAAACGUUAGUUCUAUACUCCAACAUAAAAUUCCUUUAAAAUGCAAAGAUCCAGGCUCCCCCACUAUCUCAUGUAGUAUAGGGAACCACACAAUUGAGAAUGCUUUGUUGGAUUUAGGAGCUAGUGUAAAUUUGUUGCCUUAUUCAGUAUUUGUGAAACUUGGACUGGGAGAAUUACACCCAACUCCAGUGGUGUUACAGCUUGCAGAUCGGUCCACAAAAAUACCUCGUGGUAUUGUGGAGGACGUGCUUAUCCAGGUAGACAAGUUUUAUUUUCCUGUUGAUUUCAUUGUAAUUGACACUCAACCAAUACAGGAUUCAAGGAAGCACAUCCCCAUUAUUCUAGGCCGACCUUUCUUGGCAACUGCAGAUGCUCAUAUUCAAUGUAGGACCGGAAAUAUGCAAUUGUCCUUCGGCAACAUGACUAUGGAGCUAAACAUCUUCAACAUUGCCAAACAACCUCACAGUGCAGAUGAUGGAAUUGUUGAUGUGGAUUUAAUAGAAACAAUAGUUGAUAAUACUUUUCUUUCAAACCUUAGUGAUGAUCCUUUACAGACAUGCUUAACUCACUUUGGUUUUGAUUUUGAUAUUGACAGAUCGGUUGAUGAGGUCAACGCCCUACUUGACUCAGCACCAUCCAUGGACACUAAUAAAUGGAAGUCAAGAGUUGAACAACUAGCACCAUCAGAGAAGAAACUCAUCCCAUCAUCAGAAUCACCACCGAAACUCGAGCUCAAACCAUUGCCCAACACAUUGGAAUAUGCAUUUUUGGGAGAAGAAAGUACUCUACCGGUAAUCAUCUCAUCAUCCCUAAAUGACGAACAAAAAGGUAAGUUGUUGGAUGUUUUAAAAGAGCACAAAGGGGCAUUAGGAUGGACCAUAGCAGACAUAAAAGGUAUAAACCCAGUAGACUGUAUGCAUUACAUUCACCUUGAUGAAAAUGCUAAAUCUACUAGGGAAAUGCAACGUCGGUUAAAUCCUAAUAUGAAAGAAGUUGUUAGAACAGAAGUCCUUAAGCUAUUAGACGCAGGUAUCAUUUACCCAAUUUCUGAUAGUUCAUGGGUCAGUCCUGUACAAGUUGUCCCCAAAAAGUCAGAAGUCACAGUAGUUACCAAUGCUGAUAAUGAAUUGAUACCAACUAGAGUAACUACAGGAUGGCGUGUAUGCAUUGAUUAUAGAAAGUUGAAUUCUGUCACACGUAAAGACCAUUUUCCUUUACCAUUUAUUGAUCAAAUGCUUGAUAGAUUAGCAGGCCAUGAAUUUUAUUGCUUUCUAGAUGGCUACUCAGGAUAUAAUCAGAUUCCCAUAGCACCAAAAGAUCAAGAGAAGACCACUUUCACUUGCCCUUUUGGCACAUUUGCAUAUAGGAGAAUGCCAUUUGGAUUAUGUAAUGCACCUGCUACAUUUCAACGAUGCAUGUUGAGCAUUUUUUCUGAUAUGGUUGAACGAUUCCUUGAAGUCUUUAUGGAUGAUUUUUCUGUCUUUGGUGACUCGUUUGAUCAAUGUUUACAUCAUCUAACGCUAGUUCUGCAGAGAUGUACCGAGAAGAACUUAGUCUUGAAUUGGGAGAAGUGCCAUUUUAUGGUAAAACAAGGUAUUGUUCUCGGUCACAUCAUUUCGAGCAAAGGUAUUGAGGUUGACAAAGCCAAGGUGGAUCUCAUUUCUAAUCUUCCUCCACCCAAAACAGUCAGAGAAGUAAGAUCUUUCCUUGGACAUGCUGGUUUCUAUAGACGUUUCAUUAAAGAUUUUAGCAAAGUUUUUAGACCCUUAUGCAAUCUACUUGCUAAGGAUGUACCUUUUAUCUUUAAUGAUUCAUGUCUUGUGGCAUUUGAAAAAUUAAAGCAGUUGUUGAUAUCAUCACCCAUCAUUCAGGCCCCAAACUGGAGCUUACCAUUUGAGCUCAUGUGUGAUGCAUCUGAUUAUGCAGUAGGAGCAGUAUUAGGACAAAGAGUUGAUCGAAUUCCCCACGUUAUUUACUAUGCUAGUAUGACAUUGAAUGAUGUACAGUUGAAUUAUUCAACUACUGAAAAAGAAAUGCUAGCAGUAGUGUUUGCAUUAGAGAAAUUUCGAUCUUAUCUCAUUGGUUGUAAAAUAAUUAUAUUCACAGAUCAUGCUGCUCUUAAAUAUCUUCUCACAAAGAAAGAUGCAAAAGCUAGACUAAUUCGUUGGGUGUUACUUUUGCAGGAAUUUGACUUGGAAUUCAAAGAUAAGAAAGGCACAGAGAAUGUUGUAGCUGACCAUCUCUCUCGCCUCCAUUUUGAUACAAUUAUGGAACCAUUACCAUUGAAUGAGUCAUUUCCAGAUGAACAAUUAAUGAAUGUGGAAGUAUUACCUUGGUAUGCUGAUAUAGUUAAUUAUCUUGUUACAGGUAAACUUCCAGAGCAUUGGACCAAGCAAGACAAGGCUAAAUUCUUUGCGGAAAUAAAGAAUUUCUUUUGGGAUGACCCGUAUUUGUUCAAGUAUUGUGCAGAUCAAAUUGUUAGGCGAUGUGUCCCAGAAAGUGAAAUUCAGAAUAUCCUUUCAUUCUGCCAUGAACAAGCUUGUGGAGGCCAUUUCAGUGCUAAGAAAACAGCGACUAAAGUUUUACAAUGUGGUUUCUAUUGGCCAACUAUAUUUCGAGACGCUUACACUUUCUGUUCUUCAUGUGAUAGGUGUCAACGAAUGGGGAGCAUUACACGAAGGAACAUGAUGCCACUAAAUCCAAUUUUAGUGGUUGAGAUUUUUGACGUAUGGGGUAUCGACUUCAUGGGACCCUUUCCUCCGUCUUUUGGCCAUCAAUACAUAUUGUUUGGUGUUGACUACGUAUCAAAAUGGGUGGAAGCAAUUCCAUGCAGAACCAAUGAUCACAAAGUGGUGAUAGGAUUUUUGAAAAGAAACAUUGUUUCACGCUUUGGAUUCCCUCGAGCGAUAAUCAGUGAUGGUGGUGCCCACUUUUGUAACAAAGCAUUCAAGGCUCUUUUGACAAAGUAUUCAAUCACACACAAAGUGGCGACCCCGUAUCAUCCGCAAACUAGUGGCCAAGUUGAGAUCUCCAAUCGAGAAAUAAAGCACAUAUUAGAAAAGACGGUGAGGCCAGACAGGAAAGAUUGGUCAUUACGACUUGAUGAUGCAUUAUGGGCAUAUAGAACGGCUUUCAAGACCCCGAUUGGGAUGUCACCCUACAGGCUAGUGUAUGGAAAAGCUUGCCACCUACCUGUGGAACUCGAGCAUCGUGCGUAUUGGGCCAUCAAGAAAUUCAACUUUGACAUGCAGCAAGCCAGCUCAGAAAGAAGAUUACAACUGGCAGAACUUGAAGAAAUUCGCAAUGAUGCAUACGAAAAUGCCAAGAUUUACAAGCAACGAAUGAAAGUCUUCCAUGAUAAGCAAAUUAUGAGAAAAUCGUUCACUCCAGGUCAGAAAGUGCUUUUAUUCAAUUCUCGCUUGCACCUAUUCCCAGGUAAGUUACGCUCUCGUUGGUCUGGCCCAUUUAUUGUACAUACUGUUUUUCCACAUGGGGCAAUUGAAAUUAAGGACCCAAAGAACGGUGUCACGUUUAAAGUUAAUGGUCAAAGAUUAAAGCCAUAUCUAGAGUACCAACCACAUAGAGAAAACAUCGAAAUAAAUUUGAGUGACCCACCAAAUUUGAAUUGAUUUUUUUUUUCUUUUCGUUGAUUUGAUUUUUCUUUAUUUCUUUUUAUUAUUAUUCUUUUGCUAAUUGAAAUUGUUUUUGCAUAAGUGUGUUUAUUUUACCAUUAAGUUUUCUCUUAUCAUUUUUAAUCAUGAGUCUCCUACUUAGACCGUUCGUCCUGAACAUUCUUAAACCACUUCAACGUGUCAAAACUCAUCUCAAAAGGCAGAUUCUAUUUUGUAAAACACAACGCAUUUGGGCUCUACAACCACCAGAGUUAGUAGCCUAUGUUGAGGGUUUAGAACGCCAACUCAGAGACAUUGAGAGAAGUGUUUACGACAUCCAGUUGGAGCUUGAGGUAAAUUCAAUAAGAGGACGAUUUUAAUUUUCUUUGUGUGUUUUGAUUUUUUUUUCUGUUUGUGUGCUUUAGUUUGUUACCCCGGUGAAGUGGCGGAUAACGGUACUCCGUGACAAUCAAGUCGGUUAACUUCAGUUUCCCAUAAUAACUGAUAUUCUGAGGCGAAGGUAUGGACAGAAAUGAGAUUCUAGCGAAGCUUCACAAGCGAUUCCCUUCACUUCCUCAAAAUGCCCUCCUUACGAUCUAUAAAGCCCGGUCUGAACGCAUGCGAUUGCUCAUGAGGAAUAACAUACCUGCAGACAUCCGUUGGUUAAUCGAGGCUAAAGUACGAUUGGCAGGUGAGUUACCUCCUAAAUUUAUUGCAUACAUGCCUGGUUGUGGUAAAGGAAAUUAUGCAAGAAAACGACGAGCUCGAAGAAUUUCUGUUGCUUGUCAUAAGUGUGCCAGAAUGAGUUGCGAUAAAAACCCAUGUUCUUUAGGAAUGGUGUCUGAUAACAGGGAAGAUAAGAUUCAAUUCAUUAGGGAUGGCUUGAAUAAGGAGUCAUUGGAUGAUAUCCUUUUGUCUCUUGAAACGCAUCCCAGUGGAUAUGUGCAAGGAGCGAUUCUCCAGUUAUGGCCAUUAUUCCAGAAAGAGCAUACACGAUAUAGUCUCGGGAAUCUGACUAUAAACGACCCUGUUUGCCAGUUUAUAAGAAAACUGGAUGGGAAGCCCAUCCUCGACCCAUAGAGGGCGUUCAAGCCGUUUCUGGACGUAAAACCAGAGGAAGAUGUGAGCCACAGUCGCAACUACGUGUAAAUAUCCUUUUACUUUACUGUUAUUUUAUUUCAUUUCACUGUUGUUUUAUUGUUUGCAUUAUUGUCUUUAAUAAUUUUAUUACUGUUUGCUUUUUCCUUUUUACUGUUUCCUUUUUGACUCGCGAGCCACGUGCUUUAUGCGUUAUUUGACACUGACAUGUUACCUCAUUCACAGCUGUGAUCCAUUGUCACCAAGAUUCUUAAAUGUGAUUUACUUUUUGUCAAGCACUCACAAAUUAUUUUUGAGAAGUAUCACAAUGGCAGCCACUCCCAAUAGACAAUUCAAGAACAUUUGUGUGUUUUCUGGAUUUACCUAUGGCAAACAUAAAGAGUUCGUGGAGGCAGCCAUAGAUCUUGGUCGAAGCAUAGCAGCAAGAAAAUUACAUUUGGUGUAUGGAGGAGGUAACCGAGGGUUAUCAAAAAUGGUCUCAGAAGCAGCUUUUAUCAGAGGAAGUCAAGUGUUAGGCAUCAUCCCAAGAGUCCUAAAACCAUUGGGCAGUUCGUCUGACUCAUCAACUGGAGAAGAGUUAGUCGUCUCAGGUAUGCAAGAAAGAAUAACUGAAAUGCUUAAUCAUGCUGAUGCUUUUAUUUUCCUUCCAGGAGAUCUUGCAACACUAGAGGCACUUAUGACACUAGCAUCUUGGGCCCAUCUACACAUUCACCAGAAACCCAUCGGUUUGUUAAAUGUCAAUAACUUUUAUGAUGGCUUUAUCGCAUUUCUUAACCAUGCAAUAAAAAACUAUUUCAUUCCUUCUAAUGUGAAAAAACUCUUUCUUUGUGCUCACACUGCUAAUGAGCUACUUGAUAUGUUACAAGCUUAUAAACCGGAGCCAGACCCCUGGACCUUUGUGUUGAAGCGACCAAAUAAUGAUGGUAACAGUAGCCGCAGUAAGAAGUACAAAUUAGAUUUAACUCUCCGCCUGUAAAUAUUUUCUUCUGUGUUGCACCACCCAGGUGAUGUCUUCUAAACUCUACUUCUUUCCUUUAAAACAUUGAGGACAAUGUUUCGUUCUGGUUGGGGGGAGGGAAUAGUCGACAAUUGUGGAAUCUUGGUUAAGUUUUUACUGAUUUUUUGUUGUAGAAACUAACUGUUGCUAACAUUUUAUGUUGAAGAUGACUGAAUAUGGAGUGUAGUUACUCUAGAAACGCAUCUUCAUCGUUUUAAAAAAAAAAAAAAAACCUGUUUUCUUCCUCUUUCUCCUUUAUAAAUAUAUAUUUUCAAAUUUUUUGAGUCGAAGAUGGCUGAAUAUGGAGUGUAGUGCCUCUAGAAACGCAUCUUCUUAGUUAAAAAAUUUUUUUUUUUCUUUUUUUAAUUAUUUUUUUCUACAUCAUUUUCACAUUUCUGCAUGCAUAUUUUCCUUUCAUGUUUAGAAUAGGUUGGGGGUAGAAUGUUGUUUUAAAAAAAAAAAUUGUGUUAUUUGUUUUAACAUUGGAUGACAUGAUUAAUUUCAAAUUUUAGUAUUUGUAUUAUCUUUGGUUUUAAGUGAUGUUACGCUAUGUUUGCUACUUUACAUGUUGAUGCCGGAGACAAAUAUAAGUUGCUUGAAGGAAUGAACAUGUCAUAAAUAAGUGCCAAGUGAGUUGUUGAGCCUAUCAUUUUCUUGGAGAGUAACCCUUUUGCCCAUUCUCUAUACAGCUUAGCAGUUUAUUAUUUUAUACACGAUCUCUAGAUUUCUUUUAAGUUAACCCUUUAAAAAAAAUAUGGUAAAAAAAAAAAAAAAUGUGUGUUGCUACAUUGGGAGGCCCAUCUAACUAGUAGAUAUGGAUAAUUAUUUAGAGCCCUGAAAGACGAUGGAAAGGCCAUCUUUGAUCCGUUUGAGCCUUUCUAGCCAUCCCUGUUAUUAAAUAUCCAUAGUUACCCCUUUUGAGCCUUUAAAAAAAAAAAAAAAAAAACCUUUUCUUUGUCAACUUAUCAUCUUGACCCACUCCGAUUUGGAGUAUUACCCAAUGUCUUUUAAGUUCCAUCACCUAUUUAUGUUUGAGAAAAUGUAAAUAAUUAUGUUGUUCAGUGAAGUUAUGCCAAAUAAAAGCAAAAAAAAAAAAAAAAAAACAAAACAAAAACAAAAGUUGUUGUUUCAAAAGAAUAAAAUAACAAUAAUAUGUGAAAUCUACCUUGCAACUUAAAAAAAAAAAAAAAAUUAUUUCUGCAUUUUUCUCAAACAUACACUUUGUUUUCCUUAUUUCCUUUCUUUGUUAGCCAUAUCCCUAGCCUACGUUACGUCCUAAUAAAAGUCCUUCUUGAUUUUAGGGAACUAUAGUUUGAAGUAGAAGCUAGUUAUAUGGGCUAAAAAGAUGUAGUGAUGCAUAAUAAAAAAAAAAAAAAAGAUAUAUAAAGUGGGUUGACUAACAUUUUAUUUGACUUGAGAUCGUAUUAUUUCUAAGCUAAGGGCAUAUUUAUUUCAUCUUGGUGAGAGCAUGUGAUAUCACUUCUUUAUUAUUUUCUCUCUCAAUUACCAUUCAUUGGAGUGACUAUUUUUAUUGGGUUUAAUUUCUUUGUGAGAGUGUCACUACUUCCAGUGAGAUUUUAGGGUUUGACAUGUCAUUCUUGAAAGUAGUUAUAACAAAGUCUACUGGGCUAAUUCAUGUGGAUGGUUGAUGUGGGUGUGAUGUUGCUUUAGACUGGAGAUAAUGCUUAUACUUUUAUUUGAUUGCUAUCAUUAAUCUGAUUGAAUAAACACGACUGUUUCUAAAAAAAAAAAAAAAAAAAUAUUUUGAAUUUGAAUUUUGUUUUCGCUUUAUUUGCUAGGGACUAGCAAUAAGCUGGUUGGGGGGUGUGUUGAGUGUUAGAAAAUGCAUAUUUAUAAAGGAGAAAACCGUCAUUUUACAUUUCAAGUCUUACUAACAACCCUUACUUUUAUGUAUUUAACCUUCUUGUGAUGUAAUUACGUGUGUGUUAUUUUAAUUAAGUAUUUUAUGUAUUUUAGGGACAUUAUAGUCAUUUCACAAUAAAGGAGAGAUCAGAUGGCAAAACAGACAUCACUUUUGAACUCAGGACGGUCGAAAACCUUAGGAGGGGCAUAAAAGGAAAAAUGGCACUAUUCACAUGUACGGUACUAUUCACGUAUACGGUACUGUAUAUGUUACUGUUCACGGCACUGUUCACAUAGACGGACGAUGACAUGGCAUUGACCGAUGAUGUGGCAUUGACUGAUGAGGUGUCACGAUCCUGUUGGACUAAAACUCUUAUGUACUAUUGAUGGUGACGUGGCAGCAUAUCAGUGGACGAAAAAUCUCACGUACGGUGCAUGCAUCACACAGGAUUAUUUUCAACCAAACCGCGUUACUGUUCAUCCGGGUCAAACCGCGUUACUGUUCAUCCGGGUCAAACCGUGUUACUGUUCAUCCGCGUGGUCAAAACCGUGGACUGUUGACUGAUGACGUGGCGCAAUCCUGAGCGUCCAAACUGUUUUUAAUCCGAUGGCCAUGAUUUACUCCAUGUAUCUAUAAAAAGGGGGCCUCCCCCCCCUAAUUUGAUAGCUCUGAAUCCAUUUUUGGGAUUAAUUUUCUGUAAUUCCUUCUCCAUCUUGUAUUUUCUUUGUAUUUUAAUAAAUUCCCUUUUUGCCCCUAGUUCAAUUAUGAGUGGCUAAUUUUCUUUCAAGCUUGGGUUGAAGGUGAAGUCUCAACAUGUGUCAUGGGCUUUAUUUGGUAAAUUUAUUUUCUUUUCCCCUCUAGUUUUUGUGGAUGAUUUGACUUAUCGUCGACAAAUAAUACUGAUCUUGUCUAGAUACCGCCUUGGUUACACCGGCUCUCUAGUAUAAGGUUAUUAUUAUUUGGCACGAUAAGCCCUUAACACCAUAUUGAUUAGAGCGUGGUUCAUGAGGUGUGGAUUCCCCCCUCAUGAUUUAAUUGGCAUUAAUACGGAUUAUUUAGCCCAUGAUGCAUGUUGAUACGGAUCCAGAUACCCAAGUACGUCAUUUUAAUAGAAUUCUCUUCAAUUUAUUCUCGCCAUUUCAAUUCCAAUUUUAGAAUUUAUUUUCGCCAUUUUAAUUUAAGUUUUAGCAUAUCCCAAAUCAUUUCCACCACAAAUCCAAUCACCCAUUUACAAAAUUAAUUCUACACAAUUAAAAUCCACCUCCUCGUGGGAUCGACACUCGUCACCAUUUUUGGAAAACUAGGAUGAAAAUUUAUUUGCAAGCCCUAGAUUACGAAAUUUGGGAAGUUGUUUGUGAUGGUCCAUUCAUGCCAAUGACUAAAAGUGAAGGAGGAGAUGAUAUUCUUAAACCGUCAAGUCAAUGGAGUGAGUUAGAAAAGAAAAAGAUAUCUUUAAACUCCAAGGCAAUAAAUGCUCUGUUUUGUGCUCUUGAUAAGAAAGAAUUUCAUAGAGUAUCUGGUUGUGAAAAUGCUCAAGAAAUAUGGAAUAAACUUGAGGUUAUCUAUGAAAGAGUCUAAAAUCAGUAGAUAGACUUAUCAAUACGAAUUGUUCCAAAUGGAAUAAAAUGAAAGUGUGUAUUCUAUGUAUACACGAUUUACAAACUUAGGGAACACCCUAGGAGCACUAGGAAAAUCUUUUUCAAAUAGCAAAAAAGACAAAAAAAAAUGAUUAGGUCACUUCCAAAAGAAUCGAAACCUAAUAGGACUGCCAUUGAAGAAGCCAAAACUUAAAUACUUUACCUAUUGAUGAUUUAAUUGGCUCUCUCAUUUCAAAUGAAGAAGACUUGGCAGGAGAAAACGGGCAUGAGGAGAAGAAGAAAAGAAUUGCUCUGAAAGCUUCAAAACAUGAGAGUGGUGGGGAAACAAGUGAUGAUGAAGAGCAUCAAGAAAUGACAAAUCUAGAUGUCAUGGCAAUCGGGGAAGAAUCAUUUGAUGAAUUUGAUGAGGUAAGUGAUCUUCCAACAUAUGAUAAGUUUACAAAAUGCUUUUAAAGAAUUGUAUGAUGAGUGGAUAAAAAUUGGUAAAAAGAAUGCAUGCCUUAAAAAGAAAAUGCUAGAACUUACAAAUGAAAAGAAUGCCCUGGAAAAUACAAUGUUUCAUUGAAUGAGAAGAUAAAGGAAUUAGAAUUAGACAAUAAAAUGUUGCAUGAUAGGAUUGCAUCUUUUAAAGGUAAACAAAGUAGGAUUGCAUCUUUUAAAGGUAAACAAAGUACUUAAUAUGAGCAUGAAAAAUCACAUGUUGAUGAAUUGAUAUAAGAGAAUGAAGUACUUAAGAAAAAGAAUAAUGAACUAAAUGAAAUUAUACUAAAAUUCACAAAUGGGCAAAAGAUGUUGGAUAACUUGCUUAAUUCACAAAAACGUGUGUUUGACAAAGGAGAUAUUGGCUAUAAGCCAAAUUUGAAACAAAAGUAUUAUAAGAAUUAUUUUGUGAAGAGUACCUCCAUUAACAAUUAAGUUGUAUGUCAUUAUUGUAAUCAAAAUGGUCAUAUGAAAAAUAGAUGUCCAGUGAAGAGAAAUGCAUAUUCUUGUGUGAAAUGUGUUUGGGUUCCAAAAGGAACCAUUGCUAACACUCAAGGAUCCAAGAAGUUUUAGGUACCUAAAACUUUGAAACUUUUUUUACAGGGAUCAAAGAAAAGGAAAAAUAAGUGGUACUUGGAUAGUGGAUAUUUGCUACAGCAGUGACGAAGGCACUCAUUUUUGCAACAGAAUAUUUGCUGCAGUAUUAGCUAAAUAUGGAAUUAAGCACAAGAUUGCCACAACAUAUCACCAUCAAUCUAAUGGUCAGGCAAAAGUGUCCAACAGGGAAACAAAAAGGAUUUUAGAAAAAAAUGAUGAACCUUACUAGAAAAGAUUCGUCUCUUAGACUACAUGAUUCCUUAUGGGCAUAUCACACAACUUACAAAACACCACUUGCCAUUUCUCCAUACUGAAUUGUAUAUGGCAAAGCUUGCCAUUUGCCACUGGAACUAGAGCACAUAGUAUAUUGGGUGCUAAAACAACUGAACAUGGACAUGCAUGCUGCAGCAGAGCAUAGGAAGUUUCAACUUUGUAAGCUUGAAGAGUUAAGAUGGCAAUCAAAAUGGCAAUCAAAAUGAGUAUACCUCUAGGGAAGAACAAUGCACAACUAUACUACUAUUCUUUGAUGGUAAUGACUAUCCUUAUUGGAAAAUUAGGAUGAGAAUUUAUUUACAAGCACUAGAUUAUGAAAUUUGGGAAGUGGUUUGUGAUGGUCCAUUCAUGCAUGUGUUUAAAAAUGAAGUAGGGGAUGGUAUUCCAAAACCUUCAAGUCAAUGGAGUAAGUUAGAAAAGAAAAAGAUAUCUUUGAACUCUAAGGCAAUGAAUGCUUUGUUUUGUGCUCUUGACAAGAAAGAAUUCCAUAGAGUAUCUAGUUGUGAGAAUGCUCAAGAAAUUUGGAACAAAGUUGAAGUUGUCUAUGAAAGGACAAAUCAAGUUAAAGAGUCUAAGAUUAGUAGAUAUACUUGACAAUACGAAUUGCUCAAAAUAGAACAAAAUGAAAGCGCAUAUUUUAUGUAUACUAGGUUUAUAGAUAUUGUGAAUACAUUAGAAGCCCUAAGAAAAAUGUUUUUCAAAUAGUGAGAAAGUUAAGAAAAUUAUUAGGUAUUUACCAAUGGAAUAGAGACCUAAGAGAACUAUCAUAGAGGAAGCUAAGGAUUUAAACACUUUUCCUAUUGAUGAUUAAUUGGUUCUCUUAUUUCUUAUGAGGAAGAUUUGGCAGCUGGAAAAGGCAAUGAGGAAAAGAAAAAAAAGAGCAUUGCACUCAAAUCAUUAAAGCAUGAAAGUGAUGAGGAAAAUGAACUUGAUGAUGAAGACACGACUAUAAUGGUUAGGAGGUUCAGAAAAUCUUCAAGAAAACUAGUGAGUGGAAAAGAUUCCAAAACUACAAAAACCAAAAAGAGAAGAAAGAGCCAAUCACUUGUUAUGAAUGUAAGAAGCCUGGACAGAAAUGAUCAGAAUGUUGUCUUCUCAACAAGCUCAAGAAGAAGGCAAUGGUAGCCACAUGAGAUGACAGUGAUGAAAAAACUAGUGAUUAUAAAGAGCCACAAGAAAUUUCAAAUCUCGCUCCCAUGACAAUUGGGGAAGAAUCGAUUGACGAACUUGAUGAGGCAAGUGAUCCUACUUAUGAUGAAUUAUAUGAUGCUUUUAAAGAAUUGCAUGAUGAUUGGUUGGAAAUUAGUAAAAUGAAUGCAUGCGUUAAAAAGAAAAUUGUAGAGCUCACAAAUGAAAAUGAAUCUCUAAGUGCAAAGAUUGCAUGCUUAGAAUUAGAGAAUAAACUUUGCAUUAUCAAAUGAGAAACCAAGCACUUCACAUGAGAAUCUAGAACCACAUGUAGAUGAUUUAAAAAAGUAAAAUGAAAUGCUCAAGAAAAAGAACAUUGAACUUAGUGAUAUUGUCUUAAAAUUUACAAAUGGGCAAAAAAUGUUAGAUAACUUUCUUAAUUCACAAAAAUGUGUGUUUGAUAAAGGAGGUAGUGGCCAUAAGCCUAAUUUGAAACAAAAGUAUUAUAAGAACUACUGUGUGGAGACUACCACCAUUAAUAAUCAAGUUUUAUGUCACUAUUGUAAUCAAAAUGGUCACAUAAAACUCAGAUGUCCAGUUAAAAGAAAUGCAUAUUAUGAAAUAAAAUGUAUUGGGUUUGAAAAAGAACCAUUGCUAAUACUCAAUGACCUAAAAAGGUUUGGAUACCUAAGACAUGAGAUUUUCUCUGUAGGGCUUGAAGAAGAAGAAGAAUAAAUAGCACUUGGACAGUGGAUGCUUUAGGCAUGUGACUGGAAACUAUAUAUGGUUUUCAAGUUUUAUCAAAAUCGAAAACGAUAGAGAUGUUUCCUUUGGAGACAAAUCAAAGGAAAAGAUUCUCAGAAUUAGCAAUGUCAGUAAAGUAUCCUCAACUCUCAUUGAAAAUGUAUAUUCGGUUGAAAAUUUGAAAAAUAACUCGAGUAGUAUUAGCUAAUUGUGUGACAAGGGUUAUAAAGUUAUUUUUGAUAAAACUAAAUGUGUCAUUGAUGAUGUAUGUGAUAGUAAAAUUUUGUUUGUUAGAAAUAGAUGUGGUAAUGUGAUAACUCUAUGAAAUGAGAGUUACCAUGGCACUUUUACACUUAAAUCAUUAUUACUUAGAGAGUAAAUGAUAUGUUUUUAUUGCAUUUUAGUUAUAUUUUACAUGAGUAUCAAUUUUAGUUUAGUUUUACUAAAUUUAAUUUUUUUAGAAUAAUUUGUGUGCAUAAUUGUAAGUGAUUGGAAGCUCAAAAUUUCAAAAAAGGAAUGUUGUGAAAUGAACUUGCAAAUAAAAGAAAGAACACAACUAUAGAAGAAUUUAAACAAGUCUGGAACAGUGAGUUGUUGUAGUCAUUGUUGUAGCAACCGUUGCUGUAGCAAUCCUAUACCAAUGACAGAGAAGAUUUCGCGCGAGUUCCUUUCAAAAUUGGGACCUGGAGUUUCUAAAUCUGGAAGAUACGUGCCAUAGACUUCUAGUUGCCCUAAUUUGCAUUUAUAAAAAGAGCACAUACGCAAAGAAAGAGAGGAGGCCAUGGUUCAUUGAUUGAUUAUAAGUGUUGCUGCAUGUAUGCUGUAGCACUUUGUUUUGAUAAUACUUAUUUCUAUUUAUUAUUUCGGCUGACCACCCAUUUAAUGAUACUAGCUAAGAAAGAGCCACAAAAGGGCCUAUCUUAGUGUAACAUAUUAGAACAAUACUUGGUUUUAGAUUAUGUUUCCUGAGUUGAGUUUUACUUGAUUCCAAAAGAGUCAUGCUUAAUCUAAAAUUAGUGAUGAACUAAACAUAAGGAUUCACCUUGUAGGGUAAUUAGAAUCUAAGCCUGUAAUGUUAUAUCUUAUGUUGGCAUAACAAUUAGUCACUGUUAGGUUGCAUAUAGAUACAAGACAUCCAACAUGCGACACUCGAGGAUAUAUAAAGAUUCUACCUAGUGUUGUAGCAGAUAUUGUAACAACUAAACCUAAAAUUGAAAGAAAUAGUCAAGACUAUUAAAAGAGUUUAAUAACUCAACUACUCCAUUUCCAUUGGCUUUAUCCUUGUUUGUGACGUGAGAAUUUACUUUAUUACAUUUUAUUUUAAUUAGUUAAGUUACCAGUUUUAUUAUUUGUUCUAUUUUCAAUUAAAGCAAGACAACAUUGUUGAGAUUGCUGUAGUAAAUCUAAUAACAUCAAUCACUGUGGAAACGAUCUCAAAUAUUUAUCUUUAUAUUAUUUGUUGCAUACACUUGUACAUUGACACCAAUAGCAUUUGAAUUUAGUAUAACAUAGUGUUUAUACCAUUGACGUAGAAUGUGCAUCUACUCAUGAUAAAUAUUUUUCCACAUUACAUGAUGAUGGUUGGUUAUGACAUAGAAAAGGAGGACAUGCAAGUAUGGAUUUAAUUUUAAAGAUUUCCAAAAGUGAUUUGGUUAAAGUUCUUCCAAAAAUCAAUUUUAAAAAGGAUAGAAUUUGUGAAGCAUGUCAAUCUAGUAAACAAAUCAAAACUUCUUUAAAAAGAAAAAAUCAAGUUUCCACUUUAAAACCUCUUCAACUACUUCAUAUAUAUUUAUUUGAAUCUUCAAGAUAUGCUAGCUUAAGUGGUAAGUAUUAUUCUUUUGUAAUUGUUGAUGACUUUUCUAAAUACACAUGGGUAUUAUUCCUAGCCAACAAGGAUGAUGCUCUUGAUGCUAGUAAAGUAUUUUGUGAAAAGAUUCAAAAUAUUGCAUUAUUAGGAGUAAUCAUGGAGGAGAGUUUGAAAAUCAUGCAUUUGAAACAUUUUGCAAUAAUUUUGUAAUUAUAGUAAGUUUGAUUCAAAAUCUAAUGUUGGUAUUUUUCUUGGUUAUUCAAAUACAAGCAAAACUUAUAGAGUGUUUAAUGAAAGAACUAUGCUUGUUGAAGAGUCAAUGCAUGUUAUGUUUGAUGAAUCUAAUCCCUCCUCUACGGAGAAAGUUGCUGUUAAUUAUGAUGCAGACGAAAAGCUACAAUAAGAAUCAUCAAAAGAUAAAAAAGAGGAUGUUCCACAUGAAAAUCAAGAGGAUAGACAAGAAGAAGAAAAAAAUAUGGAACAGCAAGAAGGUAUUUCUCAAACACUCUUCAAAGAGUGGAGGUAUAUUUUUUCUCACCCUAAAGACUUAAUUUUAAGAGGUCCCUCACGAGGUGUAACCACUAGAUCAUCAUUUAGAAGUACUUGUUAGCAUGUUGUAUUCAUAUCUCAAAUUGAACCAAAAUCUUUUGCGGAUGCGGAAAAUGAUGAAUCUUAGAUCAUGGUAAUACAAGAGGAGUUAAACCAAUUUGAGAGAAAUAAUGUGUGAUAAUUAGUUCUUAAACCGAAAAAUUAAUCCAUUAUAGACACUAAAUGGGUAUUUAGAAAUAAAAUGGAUGAAUCCAAUGCGGUUAUAAGAAACAAAGUUAGAAAAGUAGCUCACGAUUACAACCAAGAAAAAUGAAUUGAUUUUGAUGAAACAUUUGCACCUGUAGCUAUAUUAGAAUUCAUUAAGAUGCUCUUAGCAUUUGCAUGUCAUAAAUAUUUUAUUUUAUAUCAAAUGGAUGUUAAAAGUGCAUUUUUAAAUGGUUACAUUAUGGAGAAAGGUUAUGUAAAACAACCCAUGGUUUCGAAAAUGAAAAAUUUCCAGAUCACAUUUAUAAGUUAACAAAAACAGUGUAUGGUUUAAAACAAGCUCCUAGAGAUUGGUAUGAUAUGAUUAAACAUUUCUUGUUUGAUAAUGGUUUUUCAAUGGGAAAGGCUGAUACAAGCCUCUUCAUUAAGCGUAAGAAUCAAGAUCUCAUUGUCCAAAUUUAUGUUGAUGAUAUUAUUUUUGGUUCUAUUAAUAAGUCUUUGUGUAAAGAGCUUUCAUAUUGUAUGAGCAAAGAAUUUGAGAUGUUCAUGAUGGGAGGAUUGAAUUACUUUCUUGGACUUGAAUAAAACAAACUGAAGAAGGAAUCUUCAUCAAUCAAGCCAAAUAUUUAAGAGACUUACUCAAGAGAUUUGGACUUGAAGAAGGAAAUAUUAAAAGUACUCCAAUAAGCUCAACAAUUAAGCCUGAAAAAAAUAAAAAAGACAAGGAAGUUGAUAUCAAAACUUAUUGAGGUAUGAUCGGAUCUUUACUUUAUUUGAUUGCUAGUAGACUUCAUAUUAUGUUUAGCGUAUGCUUGUGUGUAAGAUUUCUAUCAUGUCCUAAAGAAUCUCAUUUGCUUGCAGUAAAAAAGAUUUUUCGUUAUUUGAGUGGAACUAUAGAUCUUAGCAUUUGGUAUCCUAAGGGAAUACAUAUAGACAGAACAUGUUAUUUGGAUGUCGAUUUUACCAGUUAUAAGGUUGAUAGGAAAAGUACUAGUGGAACAUGUUAUUUUUUAGGUCAUUCUUUAGUCUCUUAGUUUAACAAGAAACAAAAUUCAGCUGCAUUAUCAACUACUUAGGCUGAGUAUAUUGCAGCUGGAAGUUGUUAUACUCAAGCCUUGUGGAUGAAACAAACUCUUUGAGAUUAUUGAAAUACUAACUAGGCAACCCAAGAGGGGGGGUGAAUUGGGAUUUUAAAAAUUUAAGUUAAGCAAACCACACAACAAUCCAAUCUAAUGCCUUAAUAAAUUCGAAAACAAUAAAUUCAAUGAAAGCACAAUAAUAAAUGAGCAAGGGAAAAGAAAACAAACUCAAGGAUUUUUACGUGGUUCGGCAAUCCCCGCCUACGUCCAUGCCUCCAAGCACACCGAGCUUGAGGAUUUCACUAUCCGAGCCUUUCCAAGGCUUCAAACGUUUACAAUUGACUUCCAAGGUGUCAAUGGACCUUCACAACAAGAGAUUAUCCCCAAUCUCUUAACCUAAAUGUAUCCCAAUACUUACAAUCUUUUCACUUGAUUUUACCAAAAGGAUUACAAAUGAAUCUCUCUCACACAAUGUGUUUGAUCACAAGUGAAAGCUCAAUGUGUGAAUGAAUGAGAUGAAUACAAGGAUUUAAAGCUCAAUGAAAGUUGUAUUCUCAAUAUUUUGCUCAAUGAUGAUCGUUCGAAUAUUUCUUGUUUGAAUUUGAAUGAGUUUAUUUAUAGAUGGAGUUGAAAACUAGCCGUUAUUUACUUUCUGCACACUGUCGGAUCGCCGUUAACUAGAUGUCGGAUCGCCGUUUGACUGGUCAAUAUGACCGUUGGGCUGAUUUUCAAAUUUUCGGAUCACUGUUAUCUAAAUGUCGGAUCGCCGUUUAGGUCCAGAGGCUAAUCUUCAGUUCUAUUAAAUAUCGGCGAGCAGUUUAUCAAAAUUGUCGGAUCGCGGUUUAGGUUUAGAGGCUAAUCUUCAAUUCUGUUAGAUGUCGACGAGCCGUUAUCAAGAUGUCGGAUCGCCAUUUUCUACAGUAACUGCUACACUGACAGCUACAGUGAACUAUUUUGUAAAAUAAUAGUUUGACCCCAAAACUUUAUAUAACUAUAUUAUGGCCCAAAACGUUAUACAUUUAGCAAAUAAAUCCAAUUUCAGAAUUUCUAAAUAAUGCUUACUAUUUCCAAAACUUUCUGAAAUUAUGAUAUAGCCCUAAAUGCUAUGAAAUCUUUUCAAAUAAAUCAUUCUCCAAAAUUUCAAGCAAUACUUGUUGAUUUCAAAGUUUUCAAAACUCUUUCAAUUAAACUAUAAACUUGAAAAACAACUAAUUUCAUAAAAUCAUUUUCCCAUUAAAUAUAAAACCUUUAAAAUGUGAAAAAUAAUGAUUUAUUUAAAAUGUAUAAAAAAAUAAUUUGAGCUUAAAAGAUUAAUCAUUCUUAAUCUUGUUUGUUAUCAUUAAAAUCAACAUUAUGGAAACAUAUAUGUUAACAAUUAUGGCAUUUACCUUAAUAAAAUACCUAUCAUGUGUGAUAAUACUAGUGCUAUAAACUUAUUAAAAAAUCGUAUCCAACACUCAAGAACCAAGCUCAUAGAGAUUACACAUCAUUUCUUUAAGAGAUCAUGUUAAAAAAUGGGAUAUUUCAUUAAAUUUUGUUUCUACUGAAAAGAAACUUGCCGAUAUUUUCACAAAACCCCUUAAUGAAUAACAAUUUACUAAAAUUAGGCACGAGUUUGGAAUGAUGAAUAUUGCACAAUAGCUUAGCUUUAUGUGAUAUCAAACUUAUUUUGUUGUUCAUGUGUGAUUGAUUAUUUAUUGGUUGUUUGAAUUGUGUGAAUUCAUGAAUCAUGCAUUAACUUGGCCUUUAAGAUAUUUUUAAUCAAUGAAAUUAUCUUGGAAUGGACUAAUUGUUGGCCAAAAAUUAAAACAAAUGUGUGAAAUCAUAGUUAGAAUAAACAGCUAAUCGUUUGGUAAUAAAUGGUUUACCAUUUAAUUAUAGAAACUAGGAAACGAUAUCUGCAAAUUAUCGACAAACCAUUUGUUAGAAAUGGUAAACCGAUUAAAAAUAGAGAGCUAGUUUUUAUUAAUCCUUCACCGUUAGUGUCAACAGGAUAACCGUUUUACAUUAAGAGCUCUUUGGAAAUUAUCGGUUCACCGAUUACAGAAAGCUGCUCGCUGUUUUCGUGAGAUAAAAAUUGUUCCUAGGUUUUCUUCUUCAUUUGCACUUACCCUUUCACCGUUUUCUCCAUCGCCGUGUUACCCAAGCUCUCUCUCUCUAAAAUCCUUCAUUUUUCUUGCAAUUUCUUGAAAAACUAAUCUCAUGGAAACCUUUUUAAAUAUCUUUGGAAUUGCUUUAUCAACUCAAAACACCAAAUCAAGCUUCAAUUCAAGAAAUCCCAAUUCAAAACCCUAAAUAUAGCCAACAAUUUUCAUUAAUUUUGGCAGAUUGUUUGUCAUCUUUUGGUCAAAUUAAGCAUCAUAAUCACUUUCUCUACCCUCCAUUAUCUUUUUAAUCGAUUCAGUUUCUUUCUUUUUCAUCAUAUCCCAAAAAUCCCAAUUUCUAUAAUGUAUCCAUGGUCAAAUCUUCAAGGGCUGCUCGCAAGAGGAAAUAUGUCCAAAGUAGGAAUCCAAUACCACCACGGGAAACUUCCGAAUUCAAGCAGAUCCACUUUCCCAUAGCUUCUAUGGCCAAACGCUUCGAAUCCUGCUUUAUGGGAUGCAAGGUAAUUGACUCUUACUAUGUGGACUUGAAGGACUUUAAUGAGUUGAUUGUUUGUGGUAGAAGUGUUAAAGAUAUGAUAUUGCCUUGGGAGUCAGCUUUAGAUCUUGACAAACGAGUUUAUCCUAAUCUAGUCCAUGUCAUUUACUCAAAUAUGAAAAUUUCCAUAAAUAGGCUAUAUAGAAUAAUUACUCAUGUCAGAGGCGUCCUUAUAGAAUUCAAUGUUGAGGAUUUGAGCAACAUCCUAUGAAUUCUGAAUUCCGGACAUGAGAUUUAUACUUCUAAGAAGGCCCUCUCAUUUGCCCAUUUUGCUUAUAUUUGUGGUGUUAGAAACAUUUGUCGGCGUCGAAAUCUUAUGAGUGAUAUUUGUGCUCUUCCUUUCCGGUCACAAUUAUUGCCUCUACAAGUUAGAAUCCUCCACACCAUAUUACAUCAUAUUGUUACUCCUAGGAAGGGGCAUUCAGAUGAGGUGAUGAGAAUAGAUGUCGGGUUACUAGAUAGUCUUACUGAGAGGUGACCUAUUAACCUUGGUUAUGUUAUUUUUAGGCACAUGCUGAGUACUCCUAGUGUUAACCAUCGAUUGCUCCCAUAUGGUAGUAUUAUUUCUAAUAUUUCAUUAACACUUUCGAGUACCUAUCCGAUACUCUUUUGUUUAGUUUUCUUUCACAAAGAAUGAACUAAUUUUAUUUGUGGUUGAGUGAUAAAAAAUCUUGAUGGUUCAUUGACUGAUUAUAUGAGUUGCUGCAUGUUUGCUACAGCACUUUGUUUCGAUAAUACUUAUUUUUAUUCAUUAUUUCGGCUAACCACCCAUUUAAUGAUACUAGCUAAGUAAGAGUCACAAAAGGGCCUAUUUUAGUGGAACAUAUCAGAACAAUACUUAGUUUUAGAUUAAGUUUCUUGAGUUGAGUUUAACUUGAUUCUAAGGUCAUGUUUAAUCUAAAAUCAGUGAUGAAUUAGACAUAGAGAUUCACCUUGUAGGAUAAUUAGAACCUAAGCGUGUAAUGUUAUAUCUUAUGUUUGAAAAAAUAAUUGGUCAUCGUUAGGUUGUAUAAAGGUAUAAGACAUCCAACAUGUGACAAUUGAGGAUAUAUAAAGAUUCUACCCAGUGUUGUAGCAGCUGCUGUAGCAACUAAACCUAAAAUUAGAAGAAAUAGUUAAUGCCGUUAAAGAGUUUAAUCACUCAACUACUAUAAUCCCAUUAGUUUUAUUCUUGUGUUUGACGUGAAAAUCUGAUUUAUUGCAUUUUUAUUUUAAUUAUUGUAGUUUCAUUAAUUAUCUUGUCUUAAUUUAGAACAUAAACUGUACUAUUCAAGAUUACUGUAGCAAAUUUAAUAACAUCAAUCCCUGUGGAGACAAUUUAAAAAAGUUAUCAUUAUACUACUUGUUAUAUAUACUUGCAUAUUGACACCAAUAGCAUUUGAAUUUAUUGCAAUAAGUUUUUGGCACCAUUGAUAGGGAUUGAUUGCUCAUUGUGAUUUGUGAAAUUAAUCUUAAACAAUACUAAUUUUAAAUUAAUUAUUUUUUUUAUAGGAAACCCUUGCAUCCGUAAAUAUAAAAUUAAAAGAACUGGAAGAAGAUUGAUAAGAUAGUAGAGAAAUUCAAAAGUUGUUGUAGCAAUGGAUGAUUUGCAAGAAAUGGGGAAUUUAAACCCUCACAGAGAAAUACAAUGAGUCAAUGGUGAAGAAGGUCAUAAUGGGCAAAAUAAUCAGGGACAACUAGGAAAUAACAAUAUUAUCUAUAUGGCAGAUGAUAAAGACAUAGCCAUUAGAGAAUAUGCCGUGUUGACCCCCCAAGUUAUACAACCUGGAAGAGUCAGACUUAAGGUGCAAGCUGCCAAUUUUAAACUCAAACUAGUGAUGUUUCAGAUGUUGUAAACAGUGGGGCAAUUCAAUGGAUUGCCAUCAGAAGAUCUUCAUCUUCAUCUUAAACUAUUUUUUGAGCUGAGUGAUGCUUUCAAGAUUGUUGGAGCAUCUAGAAAGCAUUGAGGCUCAAACUUUUCCCAUUUUCUUUGAGAGAUCGAACAAGGGCAUGGUUGAAUUCUCUACCACCAGUUUCCAUCACAAUAUGAAAUGAUUUGGCUAAUAAAUUUUUAAUGAAGUAUUUUCCACCAACCAAGAAUGCAAAGUUAAGGAAUGAGAUCACAUCCUUCCAUAAACUAGAAGAUGAAAGCUUAUAUGAUACUUGGGAGAGAUUUAAGGAGUUACUCAGGAGAUGUCCUCAUCAUGGUAUUUUUUGCUGUAUACAAAUGCAAAAUUUCUAUAGUAGAUUGAACCCAAACACUAGAUUAAUGGUUGAUGCUUUAGCAAAUGGUGCUUUGUGGUCUAAAUCUUAUAAUAAAGCCUAUGAAAUUUUGGGGAGAAUUGCUAACAACAAUUAUCAGUGAUCAUCAACUAAACAAGUUGCAGCAAGAGGAGCAGUAGAAGUACACAAUGUGGAUGCAUUUACAGCAUUAUCAGCCCAAGUAACUUCAUUGACAAAUAUGGUAAAGGCUAUGAGCACUACUUCAGCAACUGUCAACUAAGUUACCGAGGUCUCUUGUUUUUAUUGUGGAGAGGGACACUUAUUUGAUAAUUGUCCUGGGAAUCCAGUUUCAGUCAAUUAUGUGGGCAACUUUAAUAGAUAAAAUCAUAAUAAUCCAUAUUCAAACACCUAUAAUCCUGAAUGGAGGCAGCACCUAAACUUUUUAUGGAGCAACCAGAAUCAGCCUGCUACAAUAUCCAGUGGACAGAACAGACCUGAACAGCCACCAGGAUUUCAUCAGUUAAAUUAAGGGCACAGAAACACGAGCAAUGAUUAACUUAGUUCUCUUGAAGCUUUACUUAAGGAAUGCAUUGAAAGGAAUGAAGCAAUUGUCCAAAGCCAAGCUGUGACCUUAAGGAAUUUAGAAAAUCAGAUUAGACAGCUUGCUACAACGUUGAGUAACAGACUUCAAGGCAGUUUACCCAGUAACAUAAAAGAUCCAAGGAGGGAAAGAAAAGAGCAUUGCAAAGUGAUUAAUUUGAGGUCCGGAAAGGAUGUUCAUAUUCUUGUUGGAGUACCAAAAAGAAGAAUGGAAUUUGUUUCAACCCAAAACGACAAUCCAGUUGAAAAAGAACCACAACAACCCACUUUUCAUUCCACUGAUGAAAUCAACCAAGCUUCAGUAGAAACAGAGAAUAAUGAACCAGUUAUGCUGGAAAAAGAUGUUGCAGUACUAUCUACAUCAAUUCACAGCUUAGCAAAAGUAUCACAGUUUAGAUAUCUACCACUUUUCCCACAAAGAUUUCAGAAGCAAAAACAAGGCAAGCAAUUUAGUAAAUUAUUGAGAGUGUUAAAAUAAUUGCAUAUUAAUAAAAAAAUUGCAUAUUAAUAUUGCUUUUGUGGAAACAUUGGAACAAAUACCAAAUUAUUUCAAGUUUUUUUAGGAUGUUUUGGCAAGGAAAUGAAGUCUUGGGGAAUUCGAAACAGUUACUCUAAUACAAGAAUGCAAUCAUAUGGUUCAAAAUAAAAUCCUUCAAAAGUUGAAAGAUCAAUGGAGCUUUACAAUUCCAUGUUCCAUUAGAACUAGAUAUAAUGGUAGGGCACUUCAUGAUUUGGGGGCAAGCAUUAAUCUUAUGCCAUUGUCAGUAUUAAAGCAAUUGAGAGUAGGAGAACUUAGACCAACCACAGUAACUUUACAACUUACUAACAGAUCUCAUCCAUAUCUUGAGCGCAAGAUUAAAGAUGUGUUGGUAAAGGUGAUAAAUUUAUUUUUCCAGUGGAUUAUAUUAUAUUGGACUUUGAAGUAAAUAAAGAAGUACCAAUUAUUCUUGGUAGACCUUUCUUAGGCAUGGUAAAUACUCUAAUUGAUGUGCAAAAAUGAGAAUAAACUAUGAGGACGAAUGGCUAACAAGUCACAUUUAAUGUGUUAGAUGCUAUAAAGAGUCCUAAUGAGGUUGAAGACUGUAAUCUUAUUAGUGUUGUUGACUUUACUGUGAUAGAGAGGUUAAAUAGUUAUUGUAGCAAGGAUGAGAUCAAAGCUGCCACCUUUGAAAAAUUUGAAGAAGAAAAUAUUGCAGCAACCCACUUAGCAUGGUUAGAAGAAAGCAACCAAUGAGACCUGACAGACAUUUUGAACCUUUAGACCUCUUAAACAUGGAAGUAAAACUGCAUGUUCCAUCUAUUGAAUCACAUCAUAUUUUAGAAUCGAAACUUUUACCUUCACAUUUAAAUUAUGUUUAUCUAAGUAAAAAUAAUACACUCCUGUAAUUAUUUCAUCUUCUUUAAAUGCAGAUUAAGAGAAGAGCUUAGUGAAUGUGUUGGGGAGAUACAAGAAAGCUAUUAGAUGGACCAUGGCAAAUAUUAAGGGAAUCAGCCCAUCCAUAUACAUGCAUAAGAUUCUGCUAGAAGACUGCUACAAUAAUUCAGUUUGGCAACAAAGAAGAUGAAACCUCAUCAUAAAGGAAGUUGUAAAGAAUGAGAUCAUCAAAUGGCCUGAUGUUGAGAUCAUCUUUCUAAUAUCUGACAACUCUUAGGUGAGUCUGGUACAAUGUGUUCCAAAGAAAGGUGGUGUGACAAUUGUAGCAAAUGAGAAAAAUGAAUUCAUUCUCACAUGAACAGUAACUAGAUGGAGAGUUUGCAUGGACUAUAGGAAACUAAACAAAGUCACAAGGAAUGACCACUUUCUAUUGCCCUUCAUAAAUCAAAUGCUUAACAGACUCACGGGGAAAUAGUAAUAUUAUUUCUUGGAUGGUUAUUUAGGCUACAAUCAAAUUGCUGUAGCACCAGAGGAUCAGGAGAAGUCAAUAUUCACUUGUCCUUAUGAAACAUUUUCUUUCAGAAGGAUGCCAUUUGGUUUGUGCAAUACUCUAGCAACUUUUCAGAGGUAUAUGAUAUCCAUCUUCUCAGAUAUGGUUGAGCAAACACUAGAGAUGUUCAUGGAUGACUUUUCGGUUUUUAGGGAAACAUAUGAUGAUUAUUUGCGCAACUCAAAAAAUGUGCUUAAGAGGUGUAAGGAGACCAACUUGGUGCUUAGUUGGGAAAAGUGUCACUUUAUGGUACAAGAAGGUAUAGUCUUGGGUCAUAGAGAAUCUAGAAAGGGAAUAGGGUUGGACAAGAUAAAAAUAAAAGUGAUAGAUAAACUUCUACCUCCAACUUUAGUCAAGGGUAUUAGGAGUUUUUUAAGACAAGCUGGGUCCUACAGAAGGUUCAUUAAAGACUUUUCCAAAAUAACUAAACCUUUAUGCAUAGUAUUAGAACAUGACAGACCUUUCAGCUGUAAUGAAGAUUGCUUGAAGGCUUUUUGUGAAUUAAAGAAAUCUCUUGUUACAACACUUGUUGUUAUAGCACUAGAUUAAAGUUCACCUUUCGAGUUGAUGUAUGAUGCCAGUGACCACUCUAUUGGAGCAGUGCUAGGGCAGAGGAAGAACAAGAUCUUUCACUCAAAUUAAUUAUACCACUACUGAAAAGGAGUUGUUAGUAGUUAUAUUGGCAUUUGGUGAAUUCAGAGCCUAUUUGGUUGGUACCGAAGUGACAUUUUACACAUAUCAUGCAACAAUAAAGUAUUUGAUUGCAAAGAAGGAUGCCAAACUAAGGUUAAUAAGGUGGAUCCUCUUGAUACAAGCGUUUGACUUAGAGAUCAAAGAUAGAAAAGGGACCGAAAACUAAGUAGCAGAUCAUCUCUCAAGGCUUAAAGCAGAUACAAGCACAUUGACCAAACAUGACAUCACAUAAACAUUCCCUAAUGAGCAACUGCUACUAUUAUAGUAUGCACAAAUGUUGCAGCAGUCUGGACACCCAUGGUAUGCAGAUUUUGCUAAUUAUUUGAUGAGUGGACUGUUACCACCUGAUUUGAGUUAUCAGCAGAAUAAAGAGAUUUUUCCAUUAUGUCAGAAGCUAUCAGUAGGAUGAGCUAUACUUGUACAAUGUGUACUCAGACAUGUGAUUAGAAGAUGUGUACCUGAUGAAGAAAUUCCACACAUACUGCAUUUAUGCUAUGCUGCAGCAUAUGGAGGACAUUUUAGAGGCCACAGAACAGCGUCCAAGUUUUACAAUCAGGUUAUAACUGGCCCUUUAUUUUUAAAGAUGCUUAUGAGUUUGUUCAAUGUUGUGACAGCUGCCAAAGAACAGGAAACACAUCUUAAAAACAUGAAAUGCCAUUAACGAACAUUUUGGAGGUUCAACUCCUUGAUGUAUGAGGAAUAGACUUUAUGGGUCCAUUCUCACCAUCUUUGGAAACUUAUAUAUUCUAGUUACUAUAGACUAUGUAUCCAAAUACGUUAAAGCUGUAGCAUUGCCAACAAAUGAUGCCAAAGCCGUGGUGAAAUUCCUUCAAAAGAAUAUUUUCUCAAGUUUUGGGACUCCAAGAGCUAUUAUUAGUGAUGAAGGCACUCAUUUUUACAAUAGGAUAUUUGCUACAACAUUAGAUAAAUAUGAAAUUAAGUAUAAGAUUGCUACAGCAUAUCAUCCACAGUCUAAUGGUCAGGCAGAAGUGUCAAACUGGGAGAUCAAAAUGAUUUUAGAGAAAGUAGCACACUCUACUAGAAAAGAUUGGUCAAUUAGAUUAUAUGAUUCUUUAUGGACCUACCGUACAGCCUACAAGACACCACUUGGCAUGUCUCCAUGCAAAAUUGUCUAUGGUAAUACUUACCAUUUGCCACUAGAGCUAAAACAUAAAGCAUAUUGGGCAUUAAAACAACUAAACAACUAAACUUUGUGAGCUUGACGAGUUAAGGUUAUUCUUCUAUGAAAAUGUAAGGAUUUACAAUGAGAAAACAAAAAAAAUGCCAUGAUAAGCACAUUCAGCAAAGAAAUUUAAUUCUACCCAACACAUUUUACUCUACAAUUCAAGAUUAAAGUUUUUUUUCUGAAAAGUUAAAAUUUAGAUGGUCCGGACCUUUUCGACUUAUCAACAUUUAUCCUCAUCGUGCUUUGGAUCUCAAGGAUGAGAAAAUUGGUCAGGAAUUUAUAGUAAAUGGACAACGAAUCAAAUAUUACAUUGAUGAUGUCUUGCACGACUCAAAGGAGGAUGUAGUCAGGCUGAAAGACCUAAAAUCAAACACUAAUUGGGAGGCAACCCAAUAAUUUGGGCAGUUAUUUUGAUUCUUCCUCCAUUUUGCUAUCCUAUAAUUAUGCAUAUGUUUUGAGCACAAAUUACUCUAAAUCAAGCAAAACUUAUUAAGACUAAACUAAAAUGAAUGUUUAUGCAAAAUGUAACGAAAAUGUAAUAAAAACACAUCAUUUACUCUUUAAGUGAUCUUGAUUUAAGUCUAAAAUUUUCAUAAUAACUCUCAUUUCAUGGAGUUAUCACACCCCCAAACUUAGAUCGUUACUUGUCCUCAAGUAAUGACAACAUACUAACACUUCAUGCACACAAUCAUGCAACAAACAACUUAGCUCUAUAAUCAAAUUUGCAAGGAUUCUUCCACCCUUAGAUUUCAAUUUUAAUCAUGCAACAUAGCCAUAGCAGUUCAGUUCUGGAUUUAAGCUUCUUUCUGUCCAGAGUGUUGUAUGCCACUUUGAUUAGAUUCCAAAGGUACUACAACAUUACCAAAAUAGUGUAUGUAAUUCAGAGGUAGAACACAAUUCUAUUCACAUAUGAGGUAAAAGACAUCACACAUACUCAAAUUGUGCUAUGAUAAACAUAAAGACUUAAGAGUACUCAACCCUCUUCACUGCAACAUUCAUUUUUAUGUGAAUGUCAAUCACUUGUAAUAAUGACACCCAACUACUUAAUUAAUGCACAAGUCAGAGUUGUUGUAGCAACAUCUGUAGCAUAGCCUUAUCUAAAGAUAUCUUUUAACUCAAGGCUGAACAUGGGGCUCAUGAACAGAUCUGGCUACUCAAUACCCUAGACAAAGGGCUUUUUUUUUUCUUUUUUUCUUAAUGUGCUAUAGCAGUGCUCAUAACUCUUGUUGCUUUUCGACUCAAGUCUGCGUGUGGGGUACAUACUCAGCCCUGGUUACUCAGCAACUUGAGACAUUGGAGCCAAAUUCAAUUCAUAAUGAGCAUAGUUUAACCAAAAUGUUCUCCAACUUGAGAUAUUCUACUCUAUCUUGUUUUCUUGACUUUGCUACAGCAUCCUCAUAAACCCCAAUCAAUGUCUAAGUGUCAGGACAAAAUUUUGACCUCCAUUUACAACUAUCUCUACUUGGCAUUCUCAUAAAUACUAAAUAGCACACAUUUUAUCUUCAUUAGGUUUUCAAAUCCAUACACAAAUAUUAGAUAAUAGAGCUUCACACAACACAAACAUAAACACACAUUCAGAACACAUAGAAACACAACCCCCUAAACUUAAAUGGUGUUGUGUUCUCACAAGCACACAAAAAUAAAACCACACACCCAAACAAAGACAUGGAGAAUGACUCAGAAAAUGAAAACUUAACGAAAGAAAAGUUUUUUAGAACUAAAUAAAAUGACUAGCAGGAAGGGGAUACUCCCAUAUUGUUUGGACACUGCUGCAACGUUGUGUAGUAACAUCAGCACUUUUUGGAUGAACUGCGCAACUUAUCCUUAGGGGAUUCUUGUGGUGAGGUAGCUGGCAACGUCUUUUUUCUCAGCAAUGGGCUCGUGGGAGGGGUUGCAAUUGGGGCAUCUUACUUGGUUGGAAUAGAUUUUGUCCUUUUUUGUUCUAGUGAUGCUACUGCAGCAACGCUCCCAGAAAUGCCUCCCUUUCUUUUGUUGGGUCCUCUAGGACUAACACAAACAAGUUUGCUGGGAGUUUGUUAUAGAGGAGCUGGCGCUGGGGCAUCAGCUGCCUGUCCCUCAACUAUAAUGGCGGCAAUGAUGUCAAGCAGCUGUUUAGCCUCUGUGGGUGUAUAAGUGACUCUGGUUGCUGCAGCUUUCAAUUCUACAUCAACUUGCUCGGCUUCAUCGUCAGAGGCAGAAGGGGUAAUUACUUUUCCUUCGUCCUUCCUAGAAAUGACUGGAAUGAGAGACUCCUCUACAGGUUCAUCUUCUUUCUCCUCUUGUAUGAUGUGAUUUUUUCUAGACUUGGAAGAGGUCCUGACUGGGGGUUCCUCACGUUCUUUCUCUAACUCUUUAUUUGCCUCUGUUGGUGAACUGUCAGUUGUAGACUUGUCACUUUCUUCCUCAGGUUGGUCAGAUUGGUCAGUAGCUUCUGAGUCAGCCUCUGCUUGUUAUUCUGUUGCAGCUUCCUCUUCUGGUUCAUCUGUGUUCGUGGCUUCUCCACUGACUUCUACUGGAGACUCUGUAGUGCUGGUGUCAAAAUUGUACUGCUGAAGCAAUGAAUCAGGGAAAUUUCGGUGGGUACUUUUCAUGUAUACAACAAAUUGGUGUAGGUGGCUUUCCAGGUGCUGUAAAUAGCUCCAAAACAUAUCGUUUUCCCUUUGUUAAGCCUCAACACAUUGAGUGAUGCUGGUGCUCAAUGCUUGUAUUCUAUGUUCUAGUCCAAUGGCUCAUCUCGCCCUUAUUACAGUAACUGAUUCAGAUGUGGCUCCAGCAAUUUCACUAGCAAUUCUCUCGAUGGUGCGUGCAGUAAGAGCACCAUCAUUCUUAACAUGUUCAUCUUUUGCAUUAAGACGAACUCCUGAUACCACACAGAUGAUGGUGAUGAGUGAAGGGAAAAAGUAAGGCAGCUGCUUUGUGGUUUUUCAUGGCACAGUCCCGAAUUUCUUUUUCGAUAAUGCUUCCCACAUCUAUGGGAAGCCCUCUAACAAUAACAUACAACAGUACCAACCUUUCUUGUGAAACAAUAGUGGUGUGGGUGGUUGGCAUAAGUCUGGAUUUUAGAAAUUUCACCCACAACUUAGCAAUGGGUUUUAAGUCUAUCAUGUUAAUUACACGCCCUUCCUCAUUAGCCCACGAUGCACCUUCUAUUGUAAGGGUCGUGAAAAUUUUUUCCCAUCUUUGUGGGGUUAAUUUGUCAAGCAAAUUGGCAUGCUCACAAUUAAUUUCAGUAGGUAAAUUAUAGAAAGCAUUUAUAACCCGAGAAUCUAAUGGAACAAGUGAGUUUUUUACUCAUAUAUUGUGCUGACCAGGACUUACCAAAUUGGCGUAAAAUUCCUUCACUACUGGCAACACCGAGUCUCGAGGGUUGUUACAAAACUCUAGCCACCCACGCUUUACUGCAGCAUUGUACAAGGAUUGUACAAUUCCUGUGGGUUAAGGUGGAAACUAAAACCCCUUUCUUCCAGAAUCUUGCGCGGUUAAAUGAAUUCUUCAUAUUUUUCUUCCGCAUGGUAACUUUAGAAGCGUGAAGGAUCUUUUAGAUGGCUGGCUGUCUUUUUGUACCUUGGCAUUGCUAUAGCAGUAAGAAUUUGAUGCUAAUAUGCCCAUGAGUAAAAUUGAGAAGGAUAAGUUAAGAAGUAUUGGGGUCGUGACUGCGAAGGAGAGGGAAAAUAGUGUUAGAGGUCACUAAGCACAAUAACUCCCUUAUAUAGGUGGAAUUAAAUAAAAACAAAUCCGGUAAAAAGAGAUAAAUUAGGGAAGAAUAGUUUUUUAAAUUCAUUAAGCAUAUCCCAUAAAAAUAGGCAAGAGAAAUUAGUGCAUUAAUUUUGGAGAUAUUCUUCCUCAAUCUCUAUCCAAAUCCAUCCACCCAUCUGUCACAUAUUAUCUCCAACGGUAAGUGAGAGGCUCUAUCUUUAAGUUAUUGUAAUGGUAAUAUUGGUUGCUAUAGCACCCAAUUGUUUGCUCUAGCAACGGUUACAUACUCUCCUCCAAUAGCUACUAAUGUGUGGCUUGCCUCUGUAUUCUGUUAAUAAUACAGUUCCAAUUGUUAGUAUGGAAUCCAUUUGUCACACUCAUUCCUCUUAAGAAAUUUAAAAUUAAAGUAAAACUCAUCCUAAAUCGAAGAUAAAACCAAUCCUAAAAAAUUAAAUAAUCCUAAAUAAGGGAAGUAAAAAUAAAUAACAAUAAAUAAAAAAAAUAGAAAAAGAAUUAAAAGAAAAUAAAACGUUCAACAAAACCAAGGAGGAUCCAUCUCAUUUGAAGUGACUGCCUCCAUAAUGGGUUGCCUCCCAUUGAGCACUUGAUUUAAGGUCCUUCAGCCUGACCUUACGUAAGUGCUCAUAGACUUGGUUCUUUAAGAAGUAAAACCUCCAUUGAACAAUCUGCAGCUGAGUGUAUGUAAUGCUUAACCUUGUGCCCAUUGACUUUGAAUUCUUGGCCUGUCUUUUCAUCUAGAAGAUCAAUAGUCCCAUGAGGAUAAAUUCUCAGUAGCUUGAAGGGUCUAGACUAUCGAGAUUUUAGUUUUCCUGAAAAUAAUCUUAGCCUCGUAUUAUGGAGCAAUACUAGUUGACUAGGGAUUAAUUUCAUGUGUUGGAUGUGUUUAUCAUGCCAGUGCUUUGUUCUCUCCUUAUAAAUUCUUGUAUUUUCAUAUAAGAACAUACGUAAUUCAUCGAGCUCACAUAAUUGAAGUUUCUUUUGCUAUGCUGCAACAUGUAUAUCCUAAUUUAAUUGCUUCAGUGCCCAGUAUGCUUUGUGCUUUAACUUAAGUGGCAAGUGACAAACUUUCCCAUAUACAAUUCGGUAAGGAGACAUGCCAAGUAGUGUUUUGUACACUGUUUUGUAGGCCCAUAAGGAGUCAUGUAAGCGCAGGGACCAAUCAUUCCUUGAUGGGUUCACCACUUUUUAUAAGAUUUUCUUAAUCUCUCUAUUAAGUACUUUUACCUAGCCAUUGGAUUAUGGGUGAUAUAUUGUUGCUACUUUGUGUCUAACUCCAUAUUUUAGCAUAGUUGUAGCAAAUACCUUGUUGCAAAAGUGAGUACCCUCAUCACUAAUAAUUGCUCUUGCAGUACCAAACCUGGAAAAAUAUUUUUCUGAAGAAAGUUUACUACUACUCUAGCAUCAUUGGUAGGUAAUGCAGCAGCUUCUACCCAUUUGGAGACAUAAUCCAUAGCAACCAAGAUAUAUAGGUUUCCAAAGGAUGGUGGAAAAGGCCCCAUGAAAUCUAUUCCAUAUACAUCAAAAACCUCCACUUCCAGAAUGUUUGUCAAUGGCAUUUCAUGUCUUUGAGUUAUGUUUCCUGUCCUUUGACACCUGUCACAACAUUUAGCAAAUUCAUAAGAAUCUUUAAAAAUAGAAGGCCAGUAAUAACCUAAUUAUAAAACCUUAGCAGCUGUUCUAUGUCCACCAAAAUGUCCUCCAUAUGCUGCAGCAUAGCAUGAUUCCAGUAUGUGAGGAAUUUCUUCCUCUGAAGCGCAUCUUUGUAUUACUUGAUCUGAGCAUAACUUAUACAAAUACAGGUCAUCCUACUAGUAGCUUUUGACAUCAUGAAAAAAUUUCUUUUUUUGUUGAAACUUCAACUCAGUAGUUAGCAAAAUCUGUAUACCAUGGAGGUCCUGAUUGUUGCAGUAUCUGUGCUUGUUGUACUACUAAUAGUUGUUCAUCAAGAAAAAUUUCAGUGAUGUUUUUUUUGUCAAUGUGCUUGUAUUUGCUUCUAGCCUCGACAGAUGGUUUGCUACUUGAUUCUUAAUCUCCUUUCUAUCUUCAAUUUCUAGAUCAAACUCCUGAAGUAAUAAGAUCUAUCUUAUUAAUCUCGGUUUAGCAUCCCUUUUUGAGAUUAGUUACUUGAUAGCUGCAUGGUCUGUGUACACUGUCACUUUAGUACCCACCAACUAAGCUCUAAAUUUAUCGAAAGCAAAUACUAUUGCUAGCAACUCUUUCUUUGUAGUGGUGUAAUUAAUCUGAGCUUGAGUAAGAGUUUUGUAGGCAUUGUAUAUAGAAUGGAAAAUCUUAUCCUUCCCCUGCCCUAACAGAAUGGUCCCUGGCAUCACACAUCAGUUUAAAUGGUAGAGUCCAAUCUAGUGAUAUAACCAUUGGUGCAGUGAUCAAAGCUUUCUUUAAUUCUCCAAAUGCUUGAAGACAAUCUUUAUCAAAAUGAAACGGCUUGUCAUUAUCUAGCAAUGAGCACAAUGGCUUAGCUACUUUGGAAAAAUCUUUUAUAAAUCUUUUAUAAAAUCCAGCAUGACCGAAAAAACUUCUAAUCCCCUUGAUUGAAGUGGGAGGUGGCAGUUUAUCUAUCAUUUCUAUCUUUGCUUUAUCUACCUCUAUGCAAUUCUUGGACACCUUAUGACCUAACAUUAUGCCUUCUUACACGAUGAAGUGACAUUUUUCCCAAUUAAAUAUCAAGUUAGUCAUCUCACAUCUUUUAAGAACUUCUUCCAAGUUGUGUAAACAGUCAGUAUAUGUCUCUCCAAAGACUGAGAAAUCAUCCAUAAAGGCUUCAAAUGUUUGCUCCAUCAUAUCUGAAAAAAUAGACAUCAUACAUCUCUAAAAAGUUGUUGGAGCAUUGUAUAAACCAAAGGGCAUCCUUCUGAAGGCAAAAGUUCCAUAAGGACAGGUAAAUGUAGUCUUGUCCUGAUCUUCUGGAGUUAUAGCAAUUUGGUUGUAGCCUGAAUACCCAUAUAGAAAACAGUGGUACUGUUUUCCAGCAAGUCUGUCCAACAUUUGAUCUAUGAAUGGAAGUGGGAAGUGACCCUUCCUAGUGGCUUUGUUGAGCUUCCUGUAAUCCAUACAUACCCUUCAUCCAGUCACUGUUCUUGUAUGAAUAAGUUCAUUCUUUUCAUUUGCUAUCAUUGUUAUUCUUCCCUUCUUUAGUACACAUUGAACUAGGCUUACCCAUGAGUUUUCUGAUAUUGGGUAUAUGAUUCCAGCAUCCAACCGUUUAAUGAUUUCUUUCUUCACAAUUUCCUUCAUAAUGGGGUUUAGCCUUCUCUGUUGCUUCACUGAAUUAUUGUAGCAGCCUUCUAACAGAAUUUUAUGCAUGCAUAUGGAUGGGCUGAUCCUUUUAAUAUCUGUUAUAUUCCAUCCAAUUCCUUUUCUGUAUUUCCCAAGCACAUUUACUAGGCUCUGGUCUUGACCUGCAUCCAAAGUAGAUGAAAUGAUUAUAGGGAGUGUAUUGUUUUGACCAAGAUAAGUAUAUUUCAAAUGUGAGGGUAACAAUUUUAAUUCAAGAAUUAGAAGUGAUUUAAUAGAUGGUAAAGUUGUUUUUACUUCAAUGUCUGAAAGAUUCAUAUGGCCAACAAAUCUGUUAUGUCUAUUAGAUUGGUUUCCUUCAAUCCAAUCUAUCUAGUUUGCUGCAACAUCUUCUUUUUCAAAGCUCUCAAAGGUGGCAACUUUGAUGAUCUCUUUACUGCUGCAUCUGUCAAUUCUGUCUGCUAUAACAAAAUCCACGACACUUAGGAAAUUGCAAUCUUUUGCAUCAUCAAGGUUCUUCAUAGCCUCUAAUACAUUGAAUUUGACUUGUUGAUCAUUCACCCUCAUUGUUAGCUCUCUUUUCUGCACAUCUAUCAGAGUCUUCUCGGUUGCUAAGAAAGGUCUUCCAAGUAUAAUGGGUACCUCUUUAUCAGCCUCAAAGUCUAAAACAAUGAAGUCCACUGGAAAGAUGAAUUUGUCAACCUUCAUCAGUACAUCCUCAAUUUUUCCUUCAGGGUAUGCAUGAGAUUUGGCAGGUAAUUGCAAGGUGACUGUUAUUGGCCUGUAUUCUCCUACUCCCAACUGCUUAAAUACAGAUAAUGACAUCAGAUUAAUACUAACUCCCAAAUCACAGAGUGCUCUGCCAUUGUACCUAGUUCCAAUGGAACAUGGUAAUGUGAAGCUUCCUAGAUCCUUCAAUUUUUAAGGAAUUUUACUUUGGAGCAUGUGACUGUUUUCCUAUGUUAAAGCAACAGUUUCAAAUUCUCCCAACCUUCUUUUUCUUGCCAAAAUGUCUUGUAGAAAUUUUGCAUAGUUAGGGAUUUGCUCCAAUGCUUCCACAAAAUGGAUGUUGAUGUGUAAUUGCUUCAGCAUUUCCAAGAAUUUACUAAACUGCUUGUCUUGUUUUUGCUUCUAGAAUCUUUGUAAGAAAGGAGGUGGAUGUCUAAAUUGUUAGGUAGCUUCAAUAGGUACCAAUCUCUGCUCAUUUGGUUUAUUGUAAAAUGUUGCCACUAGUGUUGCAACUUUUUUGUCAUCAUUUAUUGGUUGAUUCCCUUCCAUAGUUGCUGCAGCUCGAACGCUAACACCAAUAUCUUGAAGGAUAGAUUGCUGUAACAUGCUACCAUCUUGAAGUGGUUCUUAUGACGACUUAAAUUCCAUCCAUUUUUUUAGUCACUUCCACAGGUAUAUCAACAUUCUUUCCAGAUCUUAAGUUGAUUACUUUGCAACGUUCCUUUUUUUCCCUUCUUGGAUCUUCUGUGUUGCUGGACAAACUUCCCUGAGAUUUACUACUCAUUGCUGUGGCAAGCUGACCAACUUGGUUUUCUAGGUUUCUAAGAGAUACGGCUUGACUUUGCACCACUGCUUCAUUCUUUGCAAUGUAUUCCUUAAUAAGUGUUUCUAAUAAAGUGAAAGGAUUGUUGCUACUGUGUUUUUGUCCUUGAUUCCGCUGAUGAAAACCAGGUGGUUGAAUACUUUUGUUCUGUCCAUCCAAUGUUGGAACAUUUUGAUUCUGAUUGCUCCAUGCGAAAUUUGGGUGUUACUUCCAUCCAGGGUUGUUGUUGUGCAAAUUUUAAUGUACUCGCAAGCGCACGAAUCAAUUGUAGUGUAGAUCAAUGGUGACGAGUGUCGAUCCCACGAGGAGGUGGAUUUUAAUUAUAUAUAGAAUUAAUUUUGUAAAUGGGUGGUUGGAAUUAUGGUGGAAAUGAUUUGGAAUAUGCUAAAACUUAAAUUAAAAUGGCGAGAAUAAAUUCUAAAAUUGGAAUUGCAAUGGCGAGAAUAAAUUGAAGAUAAUUCUAUUGAAAUGACGUACUUGGGUAUUCGGAUCCGUAUCAACAUGCAUCAUGGGCUAAAUAUUUCUUAUUAAUGCCAAUUAAAUCAUGAGGGGGGAAUCCACACCUCAUGAACCACACUCUAAUCAAUAUGGUGCUAAGGGCUUAUCGUGCCAAAUAAUAAUAACCUUAUACUAGAGAGCUGGUGUAACCAAGGCGGUAUCUAGACAAGAUCAGUAUUAUUUGUCGACGAUAAGUCAAAUCAUCCACAAAAACUAGAGGGGAAAAGAAAAUAAAUUUACCAAAUAAAGCCCAUGACACAUGUUGAGACUUCACCUUCAACCCAAGCUUGAAAGGAAAUUAGCUACUCAUAAUUGAACUAGGGGCAAAAUAGGAAUUUAUUAAAAUACAAAGAAAAUACAAGAUGGAGAAGGAAUUACAGAAAAUGGAUCCCAAAAAUGGAUUCAGAGAUAUCCAAUUAGGGGGGGAGGCCCCCUUUUUAUAGAUACAUGGAGUAAAUCAUGGCCAUCGGAUUAAAAACAGUUUGGACGCUCAGGAUUGCGCCACGUCAUCAGUCAACAGUCCACGGUUUGACCACGCGGAUGAACAGUAACACGGUUUGACCCGGAUGAACAGUAACGCGGUUUGGUUGAAAAUAAUCCUGUGUGAUGCAUGCACCGUACGCGAGAUUUUUCGUCCACUGAUAUGCUGCCACGUCACCAUCAACAGUACAUAAGAAUUUUAGUCCAACAGGAUCGUGACACCUCAUCAGUCAAUGCCACAUCAUCGGUCAAUGCCACGUCAUCGAUCCGUCUAUGUGAACAGUGCCGUGAACAGUAACAUAUACAGUACCGUAUACGUGAAUAGUACCGUACAUGUGAAUAGUGCCAUUUUUCCUUUUAUGCCCCUCCUAAGGUUUUCGACCGUCCUGAGUUCAAAAGUGAUGUCUGUUUUGCCAUCUGAUCUCUCCUUUAUUGUGAAAUGACUAUAAUGCCCCUAAAAUACAUAAAAUACUUAAUUAAAAUAAAACACAUGUAAUUAAAUCACAAGAAGGUUAAAUACAUAAAAGUAAGGGUUGUUAAUAAGACUUGAAAUGUAAAAUGACGGUUUUCUCCUUUAUAAAUAUGUAUUUUCUAACACUCAACACACCCCCCAACCAGCUUAUUGCUAGUCCCUAGCAAAUAAAGCGAAAACAAAAUUCAAAUUCAAAAUAUAUAUAUAUAUAUAUAUAUUUUUUAGAAACACUCGUGUUUAUUCAAUCAGAUUAAUGAUAGCAAUCAAAUAAAAGUAUAAGCAUUAUCUCCAGUCUAAAGCAAUAUCACACCCACAUCAACCAUCCACAUGAAUCAGCCUAGUAGACUUUGUUAUAGCUACUUUCAAGAAUGACAUGUCAAACCCCAAAAUCUCACUGGAAGUAGUGACACUCUCACAAAGAAAUUAAAACCCAAUAAACAUAGUCACUCCAAUGAAUGGUAAUUGAGAGAGAAAAUAAUAAAGAAAUGAUAUCACAUGCUCUCACCAAGAUGAAAUAAAUAUGCCCUCAGCUUAGAAAUAAUACGAUCUCAAGUCAAAUAAAAUGUUAGUCAACCCACUUUAUUUAUCUUUUUUUUUUUUAAUUAUGCAUCACUACAUCUUUUUAGCCCAUAUAACUAGCUUCUACUUCAAACUAUAGUUCCCUAAAAUCAAGAAGGACUUUUAUUAGGACGUAACGUAGGCUAGGGAUAUGGCUAACAAAGAAAGGAAAUAAGGAAAACAAAGUGUAUGUUUGAGAAAAAUGCAGAAAAUUUUUUUUUUUUUUUUUUUUUGGAAGUUGCAAGGUGGAUUUCACCUAUUAUUGUUAUUUUUAUUCUUUUGAAACAACAACUUUGGUUUUUGUUUUGUUUUUUUUUUUUUUUUUUUUGCUUUUAUUUGGCAUAACUUCACUGAACAACAUAAUUAUUUACAUUUGCUCAAACAUAAAUAGGUGAUGGAACUUAAAAGACAUUGGGUAAUACUCCAAAUCGGAGUGGGUCAAGAUGAUAAGUUGACAAAGAAAAGGUUUUUGUUCUUUUUUUUUUUUUUUUAAAGGCUCAAAAGGGGUAACUAUGGAUAUUUAAUAAAAGGGAUGGCUAGAAAGGCUCAAACGGAUCAAAGAUGGCCUUUCCAUCGUCUUUUAGGGCUCUAAAUAAUUAUCCAUAUCUACUAGUUAGAUGGGCCUCCCAAUGUAGCAACACACAUUUUUUUUCUUUUUUCUUUUUUUUAAUUUUACCAUAUUUUUUUUUAAAGGGUUAACUUAAAAGAAAUCUAGAGAUCGUGUAUAAAAUAAUAAACUGUUAAGCUGUAUAGAGAAUGGGCAAAAGGGUUACUCUCCAAGAAAAUGAUAGGCUCAACAACUCACUUGGCACUUAUUUAUGACAUGUUCAUUCCUUCAAGCAACUCAUAUUUGUCUCCGACAUCAACAUGUAAAGUAGCAAACAUAGCGUAACAUCACUUAAGACCAAAGAUAAUACAAAUACUAAAAUUUGAAAUUAAUCAUGUCAUCCAAUGUUAAAACAAACAACACAAAUUUUUUUUUUUUUUAAACAACAUUCUACCCCCCAACCUAUUCUAAACAUGAAAGGAAAAUAUGCAUGCAGAAAUGUGAAAAUGAUGUAGAAAAAAUUAAUUAGAAAAAGAAAUUUUUUUUUUUUAACUAAGAAGAUGCGUUUCUAGAGGCACUACACUCCAUAUUCAGCCAUCUUCGACUCAAAAAUUUGAAAAUAUAUAUUUAUAAAGGAGAAAGAGGAAGAAAACAAUUUUUUUUUUGUUUUUUUUGUUUUUUAAACGAUAAAGAUGCGUUUCUAGAGUAACUACACUCCAUAUUCAGCCAUCUUCAACACAAAAUGUUAGCAACAGUUAGUUUCUACAACAAAAAAUCAGUAAAAACUUAACCAAGAUUCCACAAUUGUCGACUAUUCUCUCCCCCCAACCAGAACGAAACAUUGUCCUCAAUGUUUUAAAGGAAAGAAGUAGAGUUUAGAAGACAUCACCUGGGUGGUGCAACACAGAAGAAAAUAUUUACAGGCGGAGAGUUAAAUCUAAUUUGUACUUCUUACUGCGGCUACUGUUACCAUCAUUAUUUGGUCGCUCCAACACAAAGGUCCAGGGGUCUGGCUCCGGUUUAUAAGCUUGUAACAUAUCAAGUAGCUCAUUAGCAGUGUGAGCACAAAUAAAGAGUUUUUUCACAUUAGAAGGAAUGAAAUAGUUUUUUAUUGCAUGGUUAAGAAAUGCGAUAAAGCCAUCAUAAAAGUUAUUGACAUUUAACAAACCGAUGGGUUUCUGGUGGAUGUGCAGAUGGGCCCAAGAUGCUAGCGUGAUAAGUGCCUCUAGUGUUUCAAGAUCUCCUGGAAGGAAAAUAAAAGCAUCAGCAUGAUUAAGCAUUUCAGUUAUUCUUUCUUGCAUACCUGAGACGACUAACUCUUCUCCAGUUGAUGAGUCAGACGAACUGCCCAAUGGUUUUAGGACUCUUGGGAUGAUGCCUAACACUUGACUUCCUCUGAUAAAAGCUGCUUCUGAAACCAUUUUUGAUUACCCUCGGUUACCUCCUCCAUACACCAAGUGUAAUUUUCUCGCUGCUAUGCUUCGACCAAGAUCUAUGGCUGCCUCCACGAACUCUUUAUGUUUGCCAUAGGUAAAUCCAGAAAGCACACAAAUGUUCUUGAAUUGUCUAUUGGGAGUAGCUGCCAUUGUGAUACUUCUCAAAAAUAAUUUGUGAGUGCUUGACAAAAGAUAAAUCAUAUUUAAGAAUCUUGGUGACAAUGGAUCACAGCUGUGAAUGAGGUAACAUGUCAAUGUCAAAUAACGCGUAAAGCACGUGGCUCGCGAGUCAAAAAGGAAACAGUAAAAAGGAAAAAGCAAACAAUAAUAAAAUUAUUAAAGACAAUAAUGCAAACAAUAAAACAACAGUGAAAUGAAAUAAAAUAACAGUAAAGUAAAAGGAUAUUUACACGUAGUUGCGACUGUGACUCACAUCUUCCUCUGGUUUUACGUCCAGAAACGGCUUGAACGCCCUCUAUGGGUCGAGGAUAGGCUUCCUAUCCAGUUUUCUUAUAAACUGGCAAACAGGGUCGUUUAUAGUCAGAUUCCCGAGACUAUAUCGUGCAUGCUCUUUCUGGAAUAAUGGCCAUAACCGGAGAAUCGCUCCUUGCACAUAUCCACUGGGAUGCGUUUCAAGAGACAGAAGGAUAUCAUCCAAUGACUCCUUAUUCAAGCCAUCCCUAAUGAAUUGAAUCUUAUCUUCUCUGUUAUCAGACACCAUUCCUAAAGAACAUGGGUUUUUAUCGCAACUCAUUCUGGCACACUUGUGACAAGCAACAGAAAUUAUUCAAGCUCGUCGUUUUCUUGCGUAAUUUCCUUUACCACAACCAGACAUGUAUGCAAUAAAUUUAGGAGGUAACUCACCUGCCAAUCGUACUUUAGCCUCGAUUAACCAACGGAUGUCUGCAGGUAUGUUAUUCCUCAUGAGCAAUCGCAUGCGUUCAGACCGGGCUUUAUAGAUUGUAAGGAGGGCAUUCUGAGGAAGUGAAGGGAAUCGCUUGUGAAGCUUCGCUAGAAUCUCGUUUCUGUCCAUACUUUCGCCUCAGAAUGUCAGUUAUUGUGGGAAACUGAAGUAACCGACUUGAUUGUCACGGAGUACCGUUAUCCGCCACUUCACCGGGGUAACAAACUAAAGCACACAAAUAGAAAAACAAAUCAAAACACACAAAGAAAAUUAAAAUCGUCCUCUUAUUGAAUUUACCUCAAGCUCCAACUGGAUGUCGUAAACACUUCUCUCAAUGUCUCUGAGUUGGCGUUCUAAACCCUCAACAUAGGCUACUAACUCUGGUGGUUGUAGAGCCCAAAUGCGUUGUGUUUUACAAAAUAGAAUCUGCCUUUUGAGAUGAGUUUUGACACGUUGAAGUGGUUUAAGAAUGUUCAGGAGGAACGGUCUAAGUAUGAGACUCAUGAUUAAAAAUGAUAAGAGAAAACUUAAUGGUAAAAUAAACACACUUAUGCAAAAACAAUUUCAAUUAGCAAAAGAAUAAUAAUAAAAAGAAAUAAAGAAAAAUCAAAUCAACGAAAAGAAAAAAAAAUCAAUUCAAAUUUGGUGGGUCACUCAAAUUUAUUUCGAUGUUUUCUCCAUGUGGUUGGUACUCUAGAUAUGGCUUUAAUCUUUGACCAUUAACUUUACAUGUGACACCGUUCUUUGGGUCCUUAAUUUCAAUUGCCCCAUGUGGAAAAACAGUAUGAACAAUAAAUGGACCAGACCAUCGAGAGCGUAACUUACCUGGGAAUAGGUGCAAACGAGAAUUGAAUAAAAGCACUUUCUAACCUGGAGUGAAUGAUUUUCUCAUAAUAUGCUUGUCAUGAAAGACUUUCAUUCGUUGCUUGUAAAUCUUGGCAUUUUCGUAUGCAUCAUUGCGAAUUUCUUCAAGUUCUGCCAGUUGUAAUAUUCUUUCUGAGCUGGCUUGCUGCAUGUCAAAGUUGAAUUUCUUGAUGGCCCAAUAUGCACGAUGCUCGAGUUCCACAGGUAGGUGGCAAGCUUUUCCAUACACUAGCCUGUAGGGUGACAUCCCAAUCGGGGUCUUGAAAGCCGUUCUAUAUGCCCAUAAUGCGUCAUCAACUCUUAAUGACCAAUCUUUUCUGUCUGGCCUCACCGUCUUUUCUAAUAUAUGCUUUAUUUCUCGAUUGGAGAUCUCAACUUGGCCACUGGUUUGCGGAUGAUACGGGGUCGCCACUUUGUGUGUGAUUGAAUACUUUGUCAAAAGAGCCUUGAAUGCUUUGUUACAAAAGUGGGCACCACCAUCACUGAUUAUCGCUCGAGGGAAUCCAAAGCGUGAAACAAUGUUGCUUUUCAAAAAUACUAUCACCACUUUGUGAUCAUUGGUUCUGCAUGGAAUUGCUUCUACCCAUUUUGAGACGUAGUCAACACCAACCAAUAUGUAUUGAUGGCCAAAAGAAGGGGGAAAGGGUCCCAUGAAGUCGAUACCCCAUACGUCAAAAAUCUCAACCACUAAAAUUGGAUUUAGUGGCAUCAUGUUCCUUCGUGUAAUGCUCCCCAUUCGUUGACACCUAUCACAUGAAGAACAGAAAGUGUAAGCGUCUCGAAAUAUAGUUGGCCAAUAGAAACCACAUUGUAAAACUUUAGUCGCUGUUUUCUUAGCACUGAAAUGGCCUCCACAAGCUUGUGCAUGGCAGAAUGAAAGAAUAUUCUGAAUUUCAUUUUCAGGGACACAUCGUCUAACAAUUUGGUCUGCACAAUACUUGAACAAAUAUGGGUCAUCCCAAAAGAAAUUCUUUAUUUCUGCAAAGAAUUUAGCCUUGUCUUGCUUGGUCCAAUGCUCUGGAAGUUUACCUGUAACAAGAUAAUUAACUAUAUCAGCAUGCCAAGGUAAUACUUCCACAUUCAUUAACUGUUCAUCUGGAAAUGACUCAUUUAAUGUUAAUGGCUCUGUAAUUGUGUCAAAAUGGAGACGAGAGAGGUGGUCCGCCACAACAUUUUCUGUGCCUUUCUUAUCCUUGAAUUCCAAGUCGAAUUCCUGCAAAAGUAACACCCAACGAAUUAGUCUAGCUUUUGCAUCUUUCUUUGUGAGAAGAUAUUUAAGAGCAGCAUGAUCUGUAAAUAUAAUUAUUUUACAACCAAUGAGAUAAGAUCGAAAUUUUUCCAAUGCAAACACUACUGCUAGCAUUUCUUUUUCAGUAGUUGAAUAGUUCAACUGUGCAUCAUUCAAUGUCAUACUAGCAUAAUAAAUAACAUGGGGAAUUCGAUCAACUCUUUGUCCUAAUACUGCUCCUACUGCAUAAUCAGAUGCAUCACACAUGAGCUCAAAUGGUAAGUUCCAGUUUGGGGCCUGAAUGAUGGGUGAUGAUGUCAACAAUUGCUUUAAUUUUUCAAAAGCCAUAAGACAUGAAUCAUUAAAGAUAAAAGAUACAUCCUUAGCAAGUAGAUAGCAUAAGGGUCUAGAAACUUUGCUAAAAUCUUUAAUGAAACGUCUAUAGAAACCAGCAUGCCCAAGGAAAGAUCUUACUUCUCUGACUGUUUUAGGUGGAGGAAGAUUAGAAAUGAGAUCCACCUUGGCUUUGUCAACCUCAAUACCUUUGCUCGAAAUGAUGUGACCGAGAACAAUACCUUGUUUUACCAUAAAAUGACACUUCUCCCAAUUCAAGACUAAGUUCUUCUCGGUACAUCUCUGCAGAACUAGCGUUAGAUGAUGUAAACAUUGAUCAAACGAGUCACCAAAGACAGAAAAAUCAUCCAUAAAGACUUCAAGGAAUCGUUCAACCAUAUCAGAAAAAAUGCUCAACAUGCAUCGUUGGAAUGUAGCAGGUGCAUUACAUAAUCCAAAUGGCAUUCUCCUAUAUGCAAAAGUGCCAAAAGGGCAAGUGAAAGUAGUUUUCUCCUGAUCUUUUGGUGCUAUGGGAAUCUGAUUAUAUCCUGAAUAACCAUCUAGAAAGCAAUAAAAUUCAUGGCCUGCUAAUCUAUCAAGCAUUUGAUCAAUAAAUGGUAAAGGAAAAUGGUCUUUACGUGUGACAGAAUUCAACUUUCUAUAAUCAAUGCAUACACGCCAUCCUGUAGUUACUCUAGUUAGUAUCAAUUCAUUAUCAGCAUUGGUAACUACUGUGACUCCUGACUUUUUGGGGACGACUUGUACAGGACUGACCCAUGAACUAUCAGAAAUUGGGUAAAUGAUACCUGCGUCUAAUAGUUUAAGGACUUCUGUUCUAACAACUUCUUUCAUAUUAGGAUUUAACCGACGUUGCAUUUCCCUAGUAGAUUUAGCAUUUUCAUCAAGGUGAAUGUAAUGCAUGCAGUCUACUGGAUUUAUACCUUUUAUGUCCGCUAUGGUCCAUCCUAAUGCCCCUUUGUACUCUUUCAAAACAUCCAACAACUUACCUUUUUGUUCGUUAUUUAGGGAUGAUGAGAUGAUUAUCGGUAGAGUGCUUUCUUCUCCUAAAAACGCAUAUUCCAGAGUGUUGGGUAAUGGUUUGAGCUCGAGUUUCGGUGGUGAUUCUGAUGAUGGAAUGAGUUUCUUCUCUGAUGGUGCUAGUUGUUCAACUCUUGACUUCCAUUUAUUAGUGUCCAUGGAUGGUGCUGAGUCAAGUAAGGCGUUGACCUCUUCGACCGAUCUGUCAAUAUCAAAAUCCAAACCAAAGUGAGUUAAACAUGUUUGUAAAAGAUCAUCACUAAGGUUUGAAAGAAAAGUAUUAUCAACUAUUGUUUCUAUCAAAUCCACAUCAACAAUUCCAUCAUCUGCACUGUGAGGUUGUUUGGCAAUGUUGAAGAUGUUUAGCUCCAUAGUCAUGUUGCCAAAGGACAAUUGCAUAUUUCCGGUCCUACAUUGAAUAUGAGCAUCUGCAGUUGCCAAGAAAGGUCGGCCUAGAAUAAUGGGGAUGUGCUUCCUUGAGUCCUGUAUUGGUUGAGUGUCAAUUACAAUGAAAUCAACAGGAAAAUAAAACUUGUCUACCUGGAUAAACACGUCCUCCACAAUACCACGAGGUAUUUUUGUGGACCGAUCUGCAAGCUGUAACACCACUGGAGUUGGGUGUAAUUCUCCCAAUCCAAGUUUCACGAAUACAGAGUAAGGCAACAAAUUUACACUAGCUCCUAAAUCCAACAAAGCAUUCUCAAUUGUGUGGUUCCCUAUACUACAUGAGAUAGUGGGGGAGCCUGGGUCUUUGCAUUUUAGAGGAAUUUUAUGUUGGAGUAUAGAACUAACGUUUUCUGUUAAAAAUGCCUUCUUUUGAACAUGCAUAUUUCGCUUUUUAGUACAAAGGUCUUUAAGAAACUUGGCAUAAGAUGGAACUUGUUUAAUAGCAUCAAGUAAAGGGAUGUUGACACUUACCUGUUUGAAGAUUUCGAGAAUCUCACCUGUGGAUUUUCCCUUCUUUCCUUUCGCUAACCUCUGAGGAAAUGGAGCUUUAGGAACGUAUUCUCGUGAGUUGGUUUCUUCUUUUUCCUCCGGUGGUGAGUCUUCAACAUUCACAUGUACAAUUUGAUUUUCUUUUGUCACCGGCAUCUCCACUUUGUUGUCGACUUCCUUUCCUUUUCGCAAGGUCAUGACUGCUUUGACCUCUCCAUGCUGUUGUGGUGAACUGGUACUUGCUUCAUGCACUCCUUUAGGAUUAGGCACUGGUUGACUUGGAAACUUGCCUUUCUCAACAGUCAUUGCCAAGGUCUGAACUGAAGAAGCAAGCUGUCCCACCAUCUUCUCGAGGCUUGAAACUGAUUGGGCUUGUGAAUUGAAGCCCGCUCUCAAUUCAUUUCGUAGUCCAUCAAUGGUGCGGUUCUGUUGCUCAAUCGUGGAGUGAGUAACAUUCUUGAAAUUCUGGAAUGCAUCCUCCCAUGGUCUGGGUUGAGAGUAGUUCUGGUUUUGAUUGAAUGGUCUAAAUGGGGGCUGAGAGGCUUGAGGAUUUUGAGGAAUUGGUUGCAUUGGUGGAGCUGGAGCUGCUGGUCCAUUCUGUUGAAAUCCUUGAGACCAUGAAAAAUUGGGGUGGUCUCUCCAUCCAGGAUUAUAUGUGUUGGAGUAUGGGUUGUAAUUAGAUGGCUUUCUCAUUACACCUAUGGCAUUGGCUUGAUCUGGAUAUGAGUCAGGGUCAUGUGAUUCUGUUGAUUUAGCAGUCGAUAACGAUGUUAUUUGUCGAGCAAGACCUUCAACCAUCUCCUUGACUUCUUUGAUUCCCGAAGUUGACUCGCCAAUGUGAACCUCAUUCACUCCUUUAAUCCUUCUAGUAUUCCUGAGUGAUCGACUCCGUUGUUGGGAAUUGUCCGCUUGUCGCUGGAAGAAUUCCCAAAUCUCUGUUGUGCUUUUUGACAUUAGCUCUCCUCCACUUGUUGCCAUUAGCCAUUCUUGCACAUUCGGCAAUAAUCCCUCCAAAAAGUAUUGGCAUUGAUGCCAUUUCUCGUACCCAUGAUGUGGACACUUCAAGAGUAGUCCAUUAAAUCGCUCCCAUGUUUCGAAAAACUGCUCGUCCUCUCUCUGUGUAAACUCUGAAAUUUCCCUGCGAAUAGCAUUGGUUUUAUGCACUGGGAAAUAUUUAUUCAAAAAUUUUGUAACCAUUUGUUCCCAUGAUGCAAUGCUAUUAGCAGGCAAUGUAUUAAGCCAUGAACGAGCUCUAUCCUUUAAAGAAAAUGGGAAUAAUCUGAGUUUAACAUCAUCGUCUGAAAAAUUCUCAUAUUUGAAUGUUUGACAAAUGGCAUGAAAAUCAUUCAAAUGAUUAUAUGGAUCCUCAUUUUCUAGGCCAUAAAAUGUGGGGAGACAAUUUAACACACUAGGUUUUAAUUCAAAACUCCUAGCAGCUACAUUUGGGUAUCUUAUGCAUGACGUGCUCAAAUUAGCUAAGGGACUAAAAUAGUCCUUAAAUGGCCUCUCCUGUGGUGCUUGUAAAUCCAUUUUAUUUUUAACGUGUUUGUGUGUGCGAAGUGUUUUUUCUAAUUCAAGGUCUAUAGGUUCAAGAUUUGGUAAUAAUGACCUACGACCAUGCAUGCAAAAUAAAAAUAAAAAUAAAGAUGGGAACAAAACAAAUAAAAAUAAAUAAGAGGGAGAAAUUACGAUACUAACCUUAUUGCGCUAUUACAACCUUACUAUAAAAAUACACAAAAAUAAAUACGUGAAAUACAUUAACUAAAAAUUAAAUUAAUAAGAUAAACAAAAAUUACAAAGAAAAAAUAAAUUGAAAAUUAAAUUACAGAAUUUUAAAGAAGAGAAAAAGAAAAGAAAUACUAACCUUUAAAUGUAGAUUUACUCUUUUUUUUUCUUUUUUUUUUAAUAAGAAAAAAAAUACAAGAAAACAAAUAAAAGAAAUUAUUCACAAAAAUUAAUUCUAUGAAUUAAAAUUACUUACCUCCCCGGCAACGGCGCCAAAAACUUGUUGUGCAAAUUUUAAUGUACUCGCAAGCGCACGAAUCAAUUGUAGUGUAGAUCAAUGGUGACGAGUGUCGAUCCCACGAGGAGGUGGAUUUUAAUUAUAUAUAGAAUUAAUUUUGUAAAUGGGUGGUUGGAAUUAUGGUGGAAAUGAUUUGGAAUAUGCUAAAACUUAAAUUAAAAUGGCGAGAAUAAAUUCUAAAAUUGGAAUUGCAAUGGCGAGAAUAAAUUGAAGAUAAUUCUAUUGAAAUGACGUACUUGGGUAUUCGGAUCCGUAUCAACAUGCAUCAUGGGCUAAAUAUUUCUUAUUAAUGCCAAUUAAAUCAUGAGGGGGGAAUCCACACCUCAUGAACCACACUCUAAUCAAUAUGGUGCUAAGGGCUUAUCGUGCCAAAUAAUAAUAACCUUAUACUAGAGAGCCGGUGUAACCAAGGCGGUAUCUAGACAAGAUCAGUAUUAUUUGUCGACGAUAAGUCAAAUCAUCCACAAAAACUAGAGGGGAAAAGAAAAUAAAUUUACCAAAUAAAGCCCAUGACACAUGUUGAGACUUCACCUUCAACCCAAGCUUGAAAGGAAAUUAGCUACUCAUAAUUGAACUAGGGGCAAAAUAGGAAUUUAUUAAAAUACAAAGAAAAUACAAGAUGGAGAAGGAAUUACAGAAAAUGGAUCCCAAAAAUGGAUUCAGAGAUAUCCAAUUAGGGGGGGGAGGCCCCCUUUUUAUAGAUACAUGGAGUAAAUCAUGGCCAUCGGAUUAAAAACAGUUUGGACGCUCAGGAUUGCGCCACGUCAUCAGUCAACAGUCCACGGUUUGACCACGCGGAUGAACAGUAACACGGUUUGACCCGGAUGAACAGUAACGCGGUUUGGUUGAAAAUAAUCCUGUGUGAUGCAUGCACCGUACGCGAGAUUUUUCGUCCACUGAUAUGCUGCCACGUCACCAUCAACAGUACAUAAGAAUUUUAGUCCAACAGGAUCGUGACACCUCAUCAGUCAAUGCCACAUCAUCGGUCAAUGCCACGUCAUCGAUCCGUCUAUGUGAACAGUGCCGUGAACAGUAACAUAUACAGUACCGUAUACGUGAAUAGUACCGUACAUGUGAAUAGUGCCAUUUUUCCUUUUAUGCCCCUCCUAAGGUUUUCGACCGUCCUGAGUUCAAAAGUGAUGUCUGUUUUGCCAUCUGAUCUCUCCUUUAUUGUGAAAUGACUAUAAUGCCCCUAAAAUACAUAAAAUACUUAAUUAAAAUAAAACACAUGUAAUUAAAUCACAAGAAGGUUAAAUACAUAAAAGUAAGGGUUGUUAAUAAGACUUGAAAUGUAAAAUGACGGUUUUCUCCUUUAUAAAUAUGUAUUUUCUAACACUCAACACACCCCCCAACCAGCUUAUUGCUAGUCCCUAGCAAAUAAAGCGAAAACAAAAUUCAAAUUCAAAAUAUAUAUAUAUAUAUAUAUUUUUUAGAAACACUCGUGUUUAUUCAAUCAGAUUAAUGAUAGCAAUCAAAUAAAAGUAUAAGCAUUAUCUCCAGUCUAAAGCAAUAUCACACCCACAUCAACCAUCCACAUGAAUCAGCCUAGUAGACUUUGUUAUAGCUACUUUCAAGAAUGACAUGUCAAACCCUAAAAUCUCACUGGAAGUAGUGACACUCUCACAAAGAAAUUAAAACCCAAUAAACAUAGUCACUCCAAUGAAUGGUAAUUGAGAGAGAAAAUAAUAAAGAAAUGAUAUCACAUGCUCUCACCAAGAUGAAAUAAAUAUGCCCUCAGCUUAGAAAUAAUACGAUCUCAAGUCAAAUAAAAUGUUAGUCAACCCACUUUAUUUAUCUUUUUUUUUUUUAAUUAUGCAUCACUACAUCUUUUUAGCCCAUAUAACUAGCUUCUACUUCAAACUAUAGUUCCCUAAAAUCAAGAAGGACUUUUAUUAGGACGUAACGUAGGCUAGGGAUAUGGCUAACAAAGAAAGGAAAUAAGGAAAACAAAGUGUUAGAUUUAGAUAAUAAAACUCCAUUUGCUGAAGCAUCAACCAUCAAUCUUAUACUUGGAUUCAACCCAUUGUAGAAGGUUUCCAAUUGUAUGCAAUAAGGAAUACCAUGAUGAGGACACCUUCUUAGUAGUUCUUUAAAUCUCUCCCAAGCCUUAUACAAACUCUCAUCUUCCAGUUGAUGAAAGGAAGUGAUCUCAUUCCUUAAUUUUACAUUCUUGAUUGGUGGAAAAUAUUUCAUUAGAAAUUUACUAACCAAUUCAUUCCAUGUAAUGACCGAAUCAGAUGGCAAUGAAUUCAACCAUGCUCUUGCUUGAUCUCUUAAGGAGUAAGGGAAAAGCCUUAGUCUUAAAGCAUCUUGUGUUGCUCUAGCAAUUUUAAAAGAAUUAUUCACUUCCAAAACCAACUUAAGAUAGAGAUGAGGAUCGUCAGUCGAUAGUCCAUUGAAUUGACCCACUGUUUACAGCAUUUGAAACAUCAUUGGUUUCUGUUCAAAGUUUGCUUCCACUUCAGGUUUGACUAUUCCUGAAUGUACUACUUGAGGAGUUAACACAACAUAAUCUCUGAUAGCCCUAUCUCUGUCAUUUUCCAUGUAAAUGAUAUUGUUGUUGCCUGGAUGUCUCUGAUUAACAUGCUCAUUCUGCUCCUCUUGAAUGUUGACAGGUUGUAAUGGCCCAUGAGAGUCCAAAUUUCCCACAUCCUACAGAUUAUCCAAUUCUGAAAUAGUUUUUGAAUUCCUUUAUUCUCUUCACAGUCUCAUUACAGUCCUUUCAAUCUCAGGAUCAAAUUGGAAUACAACAAAUCUGUCGUUGUGCAUGCAAGUGUUGAUCUGUCAAUAAACAGAAAAAAUUAGAUCAAGUUGGCACUAUCAAAAUUUACUUCACACUUUGAAAAUAAACAAUCAAUCCCCGGCAACGGCGCCAAAAACUUGUUGGUUUAUUUUUACUCACUUGCUAUUGAUGCCAAUGUGCAAGUGUACACAAUAAGUAAUAAAGUGAUGAGCAUUCAAGAUCGUCUCCACAGGGAUUGAUGUUACUAAAAAUGCUACAACUAUCACAAUAGUGCAACCUAACUUUAUUUCAAGAUGAACAAAUUUAAAGUUGAUUACUAUCGAACCUAACAAUUGUAAAGAAAUAAAAUAAAUAAAUGCAGUAUUGAAAUAAAUUAAAUAAAUUGCGUAGAAGAAUCAAAUGAGAAUGAGGUAGUUGAAUGAUCAAACUCUCUUCAUGGGCUGACUGUUUAGGCAACAAAUUAACACCAGUUGCUAUAACAAUUCCUAUAACAUUGGAUAGAAGUAUUAUGCAUUCUCACCCAUCGCGUGUUGGACAUCUUAUACCUUUAUGCAACCUAACAAUGACCAGUUGCUAUUCUACAUAAGGCAUGGCUUUAAAAGCGCUUCUGUCCCUACCCUACAAAGUGAAUGUCUAUGUCUAGUUCUUCAGAAAUGUUAACUCCAAGUAUAGCCUUUAUGGGAUUCAAGAUAAACUUAAUCUAGGAAACUCAAAUUAAGAUCAAGUAUUACUCUACUAAUAUCCACUAAGACAAGCCCUUUUGCGACUCUAUCUUAACUUGAACCAUUAAAUGUGUGGUCAACCGAAAUAACAGUUAUAAUCAAAGCAAGUAGAGUAAAAUGUUACAGCAAUUAUAUAGCAACUCAUAAGAACAGUCAAGAACCCAUUUAAAUUGUUUGUCACUCAACUACAAGCAAGUUUAGUUGAUACUUCGAAAAAAAAACAAACAGUAAAAUAUCGGUCAUGAAAUACAUCACUUCAAUCAAAGAGUAAAGAAGAGAACAAAUUGAGAACGAUGAAGAUUGAAUCCAAAUAACUCUGUUGGAUUCUUCACUGAUGCAAAAUUGGUUCCCUUGAAUUCAGGUUGUUUUCUUCUUUUUCUUUAGAUUUCUCCAAUUUUAAUUCCUUACUGCCGUUUUAUGUGAUGCGCGCCCCUUUUUAUAACUGAAAACUAAGGUAAGCAAAAGCAUAGGGCGUGCAUAAGUCAAAUUAGAAAAUUGUAGAUCAAUAUUCUGCAGAUUUCUUAUGCUAAGCUUUCUCUGUCAUUGUUCCAGGAUUGCUACAGCAAUGGGUUCUCCCUCAACUGCUACAGUACUGCACUGCUCUAGAUUUUGUUUCACUUCUUUGGUGGUCAUAUUUUUCCUCCAUUUUGCUAUCAUACUGUAUCAGCAUCCCUCCCAUGAUUUAUAAGCUUCUGAAAACCUAUAAUUAUGCAUAUGUUUUGAGCACAAAUUACUCUAAAUCAAGCAAAACUUAUUAAGACUAAAUUAAAAUGAAUGUUUAUGCAAAACGUAACAAAAAUGUAAUAAAAACACAUCAUUUACUCUCUAAGUGAUCUUGAUUUAAGUCUAGAAUUGCCAUAAUAUCUCUCAUUUCAUGGAGUUAUCAACAAUACUAUAAAAAAAAAAAAGAAAAUAGUUUGCUAUAGCACAGUUUGAACUUUGUUUAUGACUUCUACUCCCCCAUGUACAAAUGUACUUGUGUUAUACCUCUGAAGUAUAUGUAACAUCUGUGCAACGCUGCCGCAUCUUUAGAAAUAUAUCAAAAUGUCACACACACACUUUGGACAAAAUAAGACCUAAGUUUAGAACUGAACUACUAUGGCAACUUUGUAUGAUUAAGAGUGUGAUAUGAGGGUUGAAAAAUUCUUGCAAACUUGAUGGCAGAGCUAUGUUACUAAUGUGUGAUUAUGUGAUUGAGUUGUUAAUAUUGUUGUCAUUACUUGAGGACAAGUAAUGAUUUAAGUUUAGAGGUGUGAUAACUCUAUGAAAUGAGAAUUAUCAUAGAACUUUUAAACUUAAAUCAAGAUUACUUAGAGAGUAAAUAAUGUGUUUUAUUGCAUUUUAAUGAUAUUUUGCAUAAACAUCACUUUAGUUUAUUAUUCAUAAAUUUUUGUUUGAUUUACAAUAAUUUGUGUUCUUAAAUCAUACACAUAAUUGUAGGUGAUCAGAAGCUCAAAUUUCAAGGAAAGAAUGUUAUUGCCAUAGGCUUGCAAAAAUAAGGAAAGAAUAUGGCUAAAAAAGAAUUGAAACAAGUCUGGAACAGUGUACAUGUUGUUGCCAUUGUUGUAGUAGCCAUUGCUGUAGCAAUCCUCGAGCACUGACAAAGAAGAUUUUGCACGAGAUACUUAGCAGAUUACGACAUGGAGUUUCCAAAUCUAGAAUAUGCGCGCCCUAGACUUGCGAUUGCCCUAAUUUUCAACUAUAAAAGAAGUACACAUGCAAAGGAAAAGGGAGUUGUCAACUUAAGAACAAAAACAAAAAAGAAACAAGAGUAAAGCAGAAUUCAAGAUCAAGAUUCACGGCUGCAUCAAAGGAGAAAUUUACAUAAAUCAAUCAGGAAAUCAGUUCUUUUUAUUCUUUUCUUAUUUCUCAUUUACUCUUGAGGAUGUAUAUGAUGGUUGAAACUCUUUUGUUCAGUUUUCUUUCGCAAACCAUGAACUAAUUUUAUUUGUGGUUGAGUGAUAAACAAUCUUGAUAGUUCAUUAACUGAUUAUAUGAGUUGCUGCAUGUUUGCUAUAGUAUUUUAUUUUGAUAAUACUUAUUUCUAUUCAUUAUUUCGGCUGACAACCCAUUUAAUGAUAUUAGCUAAGUAAGAGCCACAAAAGGGUCAUGCUUAAUCUAAAAUUAGUUAUGAACUAGACAUAAAGAUUCACCUUGUAGGGUAAUUAGAACCUAAGCAUGUAAUGUUAUAACUUAUGUUAGCAUAACAAUUAGUCAUUGUUAGAUUGCAUAAAGGUAUAAAACAUCCAAUAUGCGACAACUGAGGAUACAUAAGGAUUCCACUCAAUGCUAUAGUAGAUACUAUAUCAACUAGACCUAAAAUUGCAAGAAAUAGUCAAUGACAUUAGGAGAGUUUAAUUACUCAACUACUUUAAUCCCAUUGGUUUUAUUCUUGUGUUUGACGUGAAAAUCUGAUUUAUUACAUUUUUAAUUAUUGCAUUUUUAUUUUCAUUAGUUAUUUAGUUUCAUUAAUUAUCUUGUCUUAAUUUAGAACACAAACUGCAUUAUUCAAGAUUGUUGUAGCAAAUCUGAUAACAUGAAUCCCUGUGGAGACGAUCUCACAUACUUAUCAUUAUAUUACUUAUUGUGCACACUUGCACAUUGACACCAAUAGCAUUUGAACUUAUUGCAACAGCAUCCACCAACUUCGGAUGAUCUCAUGUAGAAGUUAGUUGGUGAUGUUCAGAGUCUUUCCUACUAGCAGCAACAGCUUCAGUCCCAGUUUACUGCAUUUUAGCUUCAACAGCAGCAGUUUAUUGAUUAGCAGUAAGAAAUCCUUCAUGGCCAGUGAUGUAUUCUUGCUAUUCUUGGUUCCCAUCCUAACGGUUCCUCAUCGCAGCCUCGAUCUUAGUUUUUGUAUAUGAUUUUUGCACAUAUAUUACUUUUACCAUUUUAUAUUUUGGAUGAUCUUACUAUGACAUAUGUACUCAUUUUGUUUUUAUGAUGGUAAUUGGAUUGCAUGGAUCUUUCUAACUUGAUGAUUUUGAUGACUGAUGGUUAUAUGCAUGUCGAUUGUUGAUUUGGAUAUUGUCCUUGAGUUUUUGGAUUGAUGAAGUUGGGCUACUUUGAUUUUGUUGUUGGAGUGGAGUUUGUUUGAGAAUAUAUGGAAGUGUUUUUUUUUUAACAAUUUAUGUAUUUGAGGAUAUGCUCAUUUUUAAGGGGAGAUUUUGCUGAAAUUUUUGCUCGCACAAAAUGGGUAAGAUCUGAACCUAUUUUCUUCAUCUUUUCUAUUUUUUUUUUUUAUGAUAAAGGGGGAGAUAUACGCUAUUGUUGGAUGUUGGAUAAACAUACUUUUGAUCUAAAAUUGAUUGGCCAUAUACUUGGGGGGAGUAUAUAAUUUGGGGGAGCAAAAUUGCAUAAAUAUUUAGGGAGUAAAUCUACAUAUUCUUUUCCAUUUAUCCUGUAAGGUUUGUCAUCAUCAAAAAAGGAGAGAAUGUUAACAUGUAUAUGUCUAUAAUAUUGAUUUUGACGAUAACAAACUUUAUAUGUUUUUUAUUUAAAAUGUUGGAGCUUUCAUUAAUAAAAAAAUUCUUAAAAGUCGUAUAAUAUUUCUAGACAUGUUUAUGAAUUUGGAUAAAUGUUAACUUUAAGCGGAAAAUCAUUCUCUACGAAAAUUUGUAAAAUUGAUGAUUUUGGAAAAUAACGGUGAACUGAUAAUUUUUCAGAGAGUUAUUGGUUUUUAAUCCUGAACCGUUUAGCAAGAACGGAUAAGCAUAAUUUGUUUUGCAAGUUUAUGGAAAUAAACAGCUUACCGCUAAUUACAAACGGCUAACCGAUAAUUUCCAUAAUGGAAUUACAUGCUAACCUUGAAUCGUUUAGCAAGAAUAGUCAAGCCAAAUUUGUUUUGCAGGAUUCUAGAAAUUAGCCUAACCAAUAAUUACAAACAGUUAACCGAUUAUUUGAAAUUCAAUCAAACGGUUAUUUAGACUAGUCAAAAGGGUUAACUUAUAGCAGUUAACGGCGAUCCAAUUUUAUGCAGAAAGUUAACAACGGCUAGUUUUUAGCUCCAACUAUAAAAUGACUCAAUAAAGGUAGAUCCAAGAGUUAUCAUUGAGCUUGCCAUUGAGAAUAUAACCUUCAUUGAGCCUUAAACUUGUUCUCGUUGCAAUUGAAAAUAUAACCUUCGUUGAGCCUUAAACUUGUUCUCGUUUCAUUUAUUCACACUAAGUUUUCAUUUAUAAUCAUAUACAUUGUGUGAGAGAAAAUUCAUUUGUAAUCUUUAUUUUUGAGUGAUUGUAAAUUUUGGAAUACACUUGGGUUUAGAGAUUUGGGAUAAUCUCUUGUUGCAAAGGUCUAUUGACACCUUGGAAGUCAAUUGUAAGAGUUAUUGAAACCUUGGAGGCUCGAUUAGUGGAAUCCUCAAGGCCGGUGAGCUUGGAGGCGUGGACGUAGGCACAGUUGGCCGAACCACAUAAAAAUCACGUAUUUACUCUCUCUUACUCUAUCUCCUUAGUUUUGCUUGCAUAUUAAUUUGUUUAUUUCAAAUUUGAUUACUUUGUUUAAUUUUCAUUUAGUUUUAAUUGUUUAAUUUUUUAGAAACUCAAUUCACCCCCUCUUCGGUUGCCUAGUUUAUAUUUCAUAAGGAAGUUGUUUCAAUUUUUCCUUUAACAUUAAAUUUAGUUUUCAGGUUUUUCUCUAAGGUUGUUAAAAAUUUAUCUAAUUUUUUUCUUUAUUUUAUUUUAUUAUAGCAUGUAUAAAUAAUAAAAAAAAUUGGUUAAAACAUUGACGUGAGUUGUUGCAGCAUUUUACUUCAUAUGACAAAUGGAUAGUAGUUCUCAUCAAAUAGGGGACUUUAUCGCAGUUGCCGUAGCACCAGAUUUUACGUUGCAGCAAUGAUUCUUAUUGUUACAGUGACAUAACUAUGGAAAGUCCUUUUUAACCGUUGAGAGUAAAUUUUUGACAGCUGGCUCAGCAAAUCAAAAUUAGGAUAAGGAUGGAUUACAUAAUCCCUAAAUUCCCGAACUUGAUAUCGUUUCCUUUUUAAAUAUGGAUUUGUUUUAAAUUUUAAAUACAAUUUCCAAAUUUAUCCCAUUAAUUAUUUUUUUAUUACUAUCACCUAUAAAUUAGGGUUUUACUGUGCUUCUUUUUAUUCUCAUCCAAAUUUUUUCUCUUCCCGUCCACAAUUCUCCACAUACUUUUGACUCCCUUUCAUGAUUUGUUUCUCUUUUGGGUACCCAACAACUCAGUUCUAUUGCUCUAGCAAUAACGGGGUAUAAGAAGAUAGAUGCUCGACUAAAGGACCCCUUACGCUUCUAUAGUUACAAAUUUGAAGAAUUCAAAUAGCCUAGGAAGAUUUUAAAGAAAAAGGGUUUUCAAUUUCUUCAACAACCAUUAUGAACAAUCAACAUAAUCUACGUUGCUGGAGUAAAGAGAAGACUGCUAGAUUUUUGCACUCACCCAUGGGACCCUAUGCUACGAAUCAUCAAGGAAUUUUACUCCAACAUGUUGUAGUAGGACCAACACACAAUAAUGGUAAGGAAUGUUUAAGUCCGUUUAGAUUUGAGGGUAAUCAAUGCUUUUUAUAAUUUACCAUCUGAUAUUGAUUGUGAAUAUUAAAAAAUGGUUGAGAAAAUGAUUGCUAAGAAGUUGAGUGAUGUGCUUAAAACCCUUAUGGUGGAAGGUAGUUGAUGAUUGAAUGAGGAAAGCAGAGUAGUGAAUAUAAUUGACUUAAAAUUAGUAGCCAAAGUGUAUGUAAAAUUUCUAAAAUCUCAAUUGAUACCCACAACACACAUCACCACCAUAUCUCAUGAAAGAAUUAUUCUGAUAUAUGUAUUUCUUAAGGUUCUACCAAUUGAUGUUGGGAAAAUUAUAGAUAAGGAGAUUAUAGAAUGUGCCAUGAAAAAACACAAAACUAUCGCUUUGUUGUUUCCUUCACUCGUCACCAGUGUAUUUAUGGUAUCUGGGGGUGAAAAUAUUAGCCAGCAAUGAAAUAAUUAAGAAUGAAAGAGCUUUUACCACCCGAAUUGUUGAAAGAAUUACUGGGAAACUAUUGCAGCAGCAAUGCCAAAACAUGUUAUUGUAUCUAGAGUAAGGAAAGUCACUGGCAUUAAGAAGAGCUUACAAGAAUUGAGUGACCCCAUCAAUGAAUGUGUACACAUAUAAAAAGAAGAAAAUCAAAGAUUAUAGAAUUAUUUGAUACACCUUAAAAACCAUAUGCAUUAGUUUGCAGUCUACAUGAGGAAAAAGAACAAAGACUUCCCUAACUCAUUACUCCAGCCGUUUAAUUUCCAAGCAUCAGCAGGGAUACUUCGGUAAUGAAGAUAGCAAUAAAGAGUACAGAAGAAUCAGAAUCUAAGGAAGAACUACCAACUACUAAGGAAGAGAAAGAGAAAAAUGAAAAAGCACAAGAAAAAGAAAAAUAACAAAAAGAAACAAAGGAGGAACAGAGUAUAGAAUAAGACUCGGUAGAAAAGAAUGAAAAAGAAUAAGAAGAAAUAGAAGAGGAAAAGAGUACAGAAGAAGACUUAGCAGAGGACAAAGUAAAAUAACAAGAAGAAAUAGAGGAGGAAUAAAGUACAGAAGAAGACUCAAGAUGAGAAGGAUGAAGCACCACCUCCUAAAUGAAGAAAGAAGCACAUUAUAAAAGUUGAUGAAGAUGAGACAGAGGAUGAGCAGGAAGAUGAACCCCCAGUUGUAGUUUUUCCAAGAAAAGGCAAGGAAAAUGCUUUGAUUAGUGAAGAAUUAAUAGAUGAUCAAGAUGAUAUUGAUGCAGAAAUUGAAGUUGUUACUACCAAGGUUACAAAUACUAUUGAAGCAAAUAAGAGUUUGUUGGAUAUUAUUACUAAAAUGACAUAUGGGGAAACUGCUUCAGUAAGCCUUCCAACAACCACUGCUCAGCAACCUCCCAUUAAAUCUCCUAGCCGAACUUCCAAGGUAUCUAGCAAGUAUAAAGGCGCACAACCCUCUAAAGAUGCUACAACAAUGCAAGCAUCAGAAGAACCAAACACUAAAAAAGCAAAGACUGAUCAAACCUCAGAAAGUUGUUGAUAUCCUCUUAAUCAGUCUAAGCAAGAAGAAGGAGAAGAAAUCGAUUCCUGCAACACACAUCUCACCAUGGAAAAGUGCCCGAGGUGGAGCCCAAUAGCAGUGAUUCUGCUUCACUAGUAAUGCAGUGUAGCCCUCCAAUAUUAGGGGAGUGCCCCUUACCAGCCAAUUUAUUUUCCUAUUUCUAAAAACUUCUCUUUCAUUUUGUAUGUUAUUUUAUUUCAUUUUCGUAUAUAUUUUGCAUGUCUUUUUAUUUAGUACAUGCAUGUUUAUCGUUAUUUAGUUUUAUGUGCGUGUGAAGACACAACACCUCUCAAGUUUGGGGGGAUUGUGUUGUGAUGUAAUGUGUUUGUAAGUGCAUGGGUUUGUGUUGUAUAUUAUGUGAAGCUCUAUUUAUGGAUUGGAAAACCUAAUAAAGAUAAAUUGAGUGCUAUUUAGUGUUUGUGACUGCCAAGUAAGAAUAGUUUAUAGAUAGAGGUUGAAAUUAUGUCCCGACACUUAAGCUUUUGUUGAGUUUUAUGAAAAUGUUGUUGUAGAGCUAGAAAACAAAAAGUGGUAGAAAAUACCUCAAAUUUGAGGGGAAAUUUUUUGUUGAACUAUGCUUAUUAUGAAAUAAAUUCUACUCCAAUGGCUUAAAUUACUGAGGAACCAAGGUUGAGUAUGCACACCAUAUGCAGACUUAAGUUCAAAGGUAACAAGAGCUAUGAGCAUUGCUAUAGUAACUAAAAAAAAAAAGUCCUUUGUCUAAGAUACGGAGUAGCCAGGUCAGUUCAUGAGCCCCAUGUUCAUCCUUGAGUUAAAGGUGUCUUUAGAUAAAACUAUGCUAUGAGUAUUACUACAACAACUUUAAUCUGUGCAUUGGUUGAGUAACUGGGUAUCAUCACCACAAGUGAUAGACAUUCACAUGAAAAAUCAAUGAUACAUUGAAGAGAAUUUUAUGGUUAAAAAAAUAGAAUAUGUUUCUACAGUACAUUUUGAAUUUAUUUGUGACUUUUAUUUCCCCAUGUAUUAAUGUACUUAUGUUUUACCUCUGAGUUAUAUAAUGUUUGUACAAUGCUGCAACAUCUCUGGUAUUUGAUCAAAAUGCACACACACACUUUGGACAAAAUGAGGCCUAUGUUUAGAACUAAACUGCUAUGGCAAUCUUACAGGAUUGAGAGUAUGAUUUGAGAGUUGAAGAAUGCUUGCAAUUUUGAUGACAGAGCUAAUCUAAUGUUGCAUGAUUGUGUGAUUGAGUGGUAAUGUUAUUGUCAUAACUUGAGGACAAGUAAUGGUCUAAGUUUGGGGGUGUGAUAACUCUAUGAAAUGAGAGUUAUCAUGGCACUUGUAGACUUGAAUCAACCACACUUAGAGAGUAAAUGACAUGUUUUUUAUUGCAUUUAAGUAAUGUUUUGCAAGAACAUCCAUUUUAGUUUACUUUUAAUAAGUUUUUUUAUUUUAAAAAAAAUUGUGUGCUUAGAUCAUAUGCAUAAUUAUAGGUGCCCGGAAGCUCAAGAACCAAGGAAGGAAUGAUGUUACAAUAGGCUUAUAAGGAUAAAGAAAUAACAUAGUUAGAGAAGAAUUAUAACAAGUCUGGAACAGUACAAAUACUGAAAUUGUUGCUGUAGUUUUCUAAACUGGAAUGAUGCGCACCCUAGAUCUCCGGUUGCCCUAAUUCUAAGCGAUAAAAGAAGUAUAAACGUAAAGGAAAAUAGAGUCAUCAUUAGAAAAGAAAAAGAAACAAAAGAAAAGAAAACAAAGAUCAAGAGAGAGAAUUGGCAAUUGCAACAAAUGAUUCAAGAAGAACAUUGAGCGGUUUCAACUUUAUUUCUUGUUCUCUUGUUUUUAUUUUGUUAUGAUGAUUUGUUUGAUGGCUGAAACUAUUUUACUUCUUGUUUUAUUGCGAAUUACGAACUAAAUUUAUUUAUGAUUAAGUGAUAGACAAACUUGAUGGUUAAUUGACUGAUAUUAAGUGUUGCUGCAUGUUUGCUAUAGCAUGUUAUUUUGAUAAUACUUAUUUCAAUUCAUUAUUUCGGCUGACCACCUAUUUAGUGAUACUUACUAAGAAAGAGCCUCAAAAAAGUGUCUUAGUGGAACUUAUUAGAGUAAUAUUUGGUUUUAAAUUAGGUUUCCUGAGUUAGGUUUAACUUGAUUCGAAAAAGGGUCAUGCUUAAUCUAAAAUUAGUGAUGAACUAGAUAUAAAGAUUCGCUUUAUAAGGUAAUUAGAAUCUAAAACGUGUAAUAUUAUAUUUUAUAUUAGCAUAACAAUUGGUCACUAUUAAGUUGCAAUAAAAUAUAAGACAUCCAAUAAUCGAAAGCUAAGGAUACAUAAGGUUUCUGUCCAGUGUUGUAACAUAUGUUGUAGCACCCAAUCCUAAAACAGAGUAGUCUAAGCCAUUAAGUGAGUUCAAUCACUCAACUACUCUAUUCCCACUGGUUACAUCCUCGUGUUUAUCGUGGUAGUUUUACUUUAUUGUAUUUUUCUUAUUGCAUUUUUAUUUUAAUUAGUUCAUUAGUUUAAUAAUUUGUUUUAAUUCUAAUUUAGAAUAAAAAGUGCACUAACAAAAAUUGUUGUAACAAUUCCUAUAACAAUAAUUCUUGUAGAGAUGAUCUUGAAUACUUAUCAUUAUAUUACUUGUUGUGUACACUUCUACAUUGACACCAAUAGCAUUAGAACACUAACAACAACUAUGAAAACAGGGUGGAUGCAGAGUGCGAAGAGGCAUUUCAACAACUAAAAGAAUACCUGCUCAGGGCUCCAUUGUUGUCAACAUCGCAAGAAAGAAAUACGUUGAGCCUAUAUCUAGCAAUAUCUCAAUAGACUAUUAGCUUAGUUAUUGUAAGGGAAGAGGCAGGAGUCCAGCACUCGGUAUACUAUAUUAGUGGGGCUUUAUUAGAUGGUACGACCAAAUAUCUGAUGAUGGAAAAAUGGACCUUGGCCUUAAUUACAACUGCUCUUAAAUUGAGGCUCUACUUUCAUGCACAUCCAAUGGUUGUAAAGAUUGACCAACCAUUACAACAGAUGUUGCAAUAAUCAGGGUCUUCCGGAUGCUUAGUAAAAUGAUUGGUAGAGUUGAGCGAAUUUGAUAUAAGUUACAAACCUCGAGCAGCAAGUAAGGCACAUACAUUAUCUAAUUUUGUUGCUGAGUGAACAAAACCAGGCAGAGAAGCUGGUAAUAAUCAGAGUAGAGGACAAGAACACGACACUACUAGAGUAUGGAUGGUAACGGUAGAUGGAUCUUGUAAAGAACAAAGAGCAGAAUGGUGAUUUUGGCUAGCCCAUAUGAUGUAGGAUUUCACACCCAUUAAGGCUUAAGGUCAAAGCAACCAACAAACAGGCAAAACAUGAAGCCUUUAUCACUGGAUUAAAGCUAGCUCUGACAGUGCAAACUGAUAAGGUGAAAGUCCAAAUAGACUCUCAACUCAUAGCCAAACACCUCAAUGAAAGUUACCAAGCUAGAGGUGAGAGGAUGAAGUUGUACUUGGAAAAGGCUUGGCAAUUUAUGACGAGGUUUUAGGCAAUAGAGGCAGAGUAGAUAUCACGAGUAGAAAAUUUAUUGAGUAGAUAACUUGGCAAAGAUGGCCGCCACGUUAGACGUAAAGAUGACUAAGUCUAUUCCAAUGGAGAUCAAGACCUCCCGAAAGAUCGACCAUGAAUAAAAAGUAAUGAGUGUAGAAACAAGGAGCUCGUAUAUGGAUCCCAUUAUCUUGUACAUUCGAGAAAUUACACUGUCGGCAAACAAAAAGCAACUGUAGAAACUCAAAUGCCAAGCAUCAAGAUAAAUAUUAAUUGAUGAGGUAUUGCAUUGGCAAGGAUAUACGUUGCCUUUUCUAAGAUGUAUGGAUGAAUAUGAAGUAUACUACGUGUUGAGGGAAGUACAUGAAGGAAUUUAUGGGAACCACUCCAGUGCAAGGUCCUUGGCCUUCAAAAUUUUGAGAUGGGGCUAUUUUUAGCUGUUGGAAAAACUAUAGGAGCUGUCAGGAUUUCACCAAUUACCCAAUAUAGCUAUUGGAAAAACUCACCACCAUGUCCUCAUCAUAGCCCUCUGCAUAAUAGAGGAUUGAUAUGAUUCGGACCGUUAUUAAGAGGACAGGCAUUAGCUACCAACAUUAUAGUCAUUAUAAGUUACUUCAUCAAAUGGGUCAAGGUCGAGCCUUGAGCAAAAUCACAUAGAAAAAAACAACAAAUUUCUUAUGGAGGAACCUUAUUAGCAGAUAUGGAAUUUCUUAUACUCUUAUAACUGAUAAUAGAAAACAGUUUGACAACCGUAAUUCCAGAGAAUUUUGCAAAAAACGAAGUCGUUGUCUAAAGUCACGCUGUGUCGUUAAGAAAUUUAGAAAAUUAAAUUGGACAACUUGUUACAACAUUAAGUAAAAUACAUCAGGGUAAUUUGCCUAGCAACACAGAAUAUCCAAAAAGAGAGGGAAAAAACCAUUGUAAGGUAAUCAACUUGAGAUCUGGAAAAGAUGUUCAUACCUCAAUUAGGAUACCAAUGAGAAAAAUUGAGUCUAACGAAGGCCAAGAAGACACUGAAAUAGAGAAUGAGUCAAAGUCUUCCACUUUUUAGAAUGCAAAUCAGCAUAGUACUGCUACAGCAUUAGCAAAAAAUUAUGAUCCAGUACCUGGUGACGAGGAAGUAGCAGCACCAGUUACCUGAGGAAAUAGCAGCACCGGCUACUUUAGCUCAUAAUAUGGCAAAAGAAAAGCAAUAUGUAUAACUAGCUACAGUACAGCUAGUUAAACACCCAUCAUUCCCUCAAAGAUUCCUAAAAGUAAAAGCAUGACAAGCAAUUUAACAAGUUUCUAGAAGUACUGAAGCAGUUACAUAUCAAUAUUCCUUUUGUGGAAGCAUUGGAACAAAUGCCAAAUUAUGUGAAGUUUUGUAAAGAUAUUUUAGCAAGGGAAAGGGGACACGGAGAAUUCGAAACAAUUGCUCUAACAUAAGAAUGCAGCCAUGUGCUUCAGAGCAAAAUACCUCAGAAGUUGAAAGAUCCACGAAGUUUCACAAUUCCUUACUCCAUAGGAACUAAGUACAGUGGUAAGGCACUUUUGUGAUUUGGGAGCAAACAUCAAUUUUAUGCCAUUAUUAGUGUUCAAGCAAUUGGGAGAUGAAGAUGUCAGAUAGACCACAGUGACAUUGCAGCUUGCUAACAGAUCUCAUGCAUAUCCUGAGGGCACUUCUAGUGGAUUAUAUAGUGUUGGACUUUGAGGCAGAUAAAGGAGUACUAUUUAUUCUAGGCAUACCCUUUUUAGCUAUAGGAAAUACUCUAAUUAAUGUUCAAAAAAGAGAACUAACCAUACAGAUAAAUGAUCAGUAAGUUACCUUUAAUAUGUUGGAAGUAAUAAAGAGUCUUGAUGAGGUAGAAGACUACCACUUUGUCAGUACCGUGGAACUUGCCAUCAUAAACAGUUUAAAUAAUUACUGUCGCAAGGAAGAGAUCAAAGCUGUCACAUUUGAAGAACUUAAAGAUAAAGAUGCUGAAGCAGCACAUAUAGCAUCGUUAGGAGAAAAACAACCUGUAAGGACUAACAGACAUUUUAAGUCUCUAGAUCUUUCAAAUAGGAAAGUGAAACAUGUUGUACCAUCUAUUUACCUCCCGUUUUAGAAUGAAAACUUCUACCUCCUAUUCUUUGAAUGUAGAUCAAAAGAAGAGUCGGGUAGAUGUGCUGGGAAUGAACAAAAAGGCCAUUGAAUAGACCAUUGAAAAUAUUUAGGGAAUCAGCCCAUCUAUAUGUAUAAUAUUCUAUUGGAAGACUGCUACAGCAACUCGGUAUAGCAACCGAGAAGAUCCUAUCCUGAAGGAAGUUGUGAAGAAUGAAAUCAUCAAAUGGCUUGAUGCUAGAAUCAUUUACCCAAUAUCUGACAGCACUUGGGUGAGUCCAGUACAAUGUGUUCCAAAGAAAGGUGGAGUGAUUGUUGUAGCAAAUAAGAAAAAUGAGUUUAUCCCCACAAGAACGGUGACUGGAUGGAGAGUUUGCAUGAAUUGUAGGAAGUUAAACAAAGCCACAAGGAAGAAUCACUUCUCAUUACCUUUCAGAGAUCAGAUGCUGGAUAGACUUGCUAGAAAAGAAUACGAAUGUUUCUUGGAUGAAUACUCAAGCUACAACCAGAUUGUUAUAGCACUAGAGGAUUAUGAGAAGAUAAUAUUUACUUGCUCUUAUGGAACCUUUGCUUUCAGAAGGAUGUCAUUCAGUUUUUGCAAUGCUUCAGCACCUUUCUAGAGGUGCAUGAUGUCCAUCUUUUUAGAUAUGGUUGAGAAAACACUAGAGGUAUUCAUGGAUGACUUCUCGAUUUUUGGGGAAUCAUAUGAAGAUUGUUUUUAUAAUUUAGAAAAUGUGAAGAGACAAACUUAGUGCUGAAUUGGGAAAAGUGUCAUUUUAUGGUACAAGAGGGAAUACUCCUAGGUCAUAUGAUCUCUAAAAAGGGAAUAGAGGUGGAUAAGGCAAAAAUAGAAAUGAUUAAUAAACAUCAACCACCCACUUUAGUCAAGGGCAUAAGGAGUUUCUUGGGACACGCAUAAUUCUGUAGAAGAUUCAUUAAGGAUUUUUCCAAAAAUUAUCAAAACCCUUUUGUUAACUGCUGGAGCAUGACACGCCCUUCCACUUUAAUGAGCACUGUUUUAGGGCUUUUGUUGCAUUAAAAAAACCUCUUAUUGUAGCACCCAUUGUUAUAGGACAUGACUGGAGUUUACUUUUCGAGUUGAUGUGUAAUGUUAGCGACCACUCUGUUAGAGCAGUGCUAGGGCAGAGGAAGAACAAAAAUUUUCACUCAAUUUAUUAUGCUAGCAAAACUUUAUCUGAUGCUUAGAUCAAUUACAUUACCACUGAAAAGAAAUUGUUAGCUGUUGUCUUUGCAUUUGAUAAAUUUAGAGCCUAUUUGGCUGGCAUCAAUGAUAGAAAGCAAGUGCAUGAGCCACGAAGAUCUAGAAGAAUCCCAAAGCCAAACCAUAAGUACAUUACGUGAGAGCAUAAGUUGACUCCCAUGCAAGCCAUGCAUGACACAUGCAUGUGCGGUUUCACGUGUGGAAAUUGUAAAGAUGAGUACUGGAGCCGUGAUUUUGGGAUGACCUUAUCAAGUUGCUUUUGGGAUAACCUUAUCAAGUUGCUUUUGAUUAUCUUUUACGAAAUAUUAGUUAAGUCAUUAUUUUAAUAUUUGUUUUAUUGAUUUCAGCCGUGAUUAUAGGUUGAAAAUCAAAGUCUUGUUAUUAUAAAUAAGCUCCAGAAUAUUAAUAAAAGUAUUGAGAAUUCUAAACAACAAUUAUUUGGUUCUUUCUCGCCAUAAGCAGAAAAAUAUCACUUGUGCUACGCGUGAUCAUUGGCUGUCUCUGACUGGGACCUAUCAAUCAAAGUGACUGUUUACACAGAGCACUCAGCCAUAAAGUAUUUAAUUUCAAAGAAGGAUGCCAAACCAAGGUUGAUAAGGUGGAUCCUCUUGCUACAAGAGUUUGACUUGGAGAUCAAAGAUAGAAAAGGGAUAGAGAACCAAGUAACAAAUCAUCUUUCAAGGUUGGAAGCAGAUCAAAGCACUAUGACCAAGCAAGAGAUCACAAAAACAUUUCCUAAUGACCAACUGCUAAUGCUACAGCAUACACAAAUACUGCGGCAAUCUAGGUUGCCAUGGUAUGCAGAAUUUGCUAAUUACUUGAUGAGUAAAUUGUUACCACCUGAUCUGAAUUACCAACAGAAGAAGAGAUUUCUCCAUGAUGUUAGAAGUUAUUAGUAGGAUGAUCCUUACUUGUAUAAGAUGUGUUUAGACCAUUUGAUGUAUAGCUAAUGAAGAAAUUCCAGACAUACUGCAAUCAUGUCAUGCUGCAACAUAUGGAGGACAUUUUAAAGGACAAAGAAAAGCAACCAAAGUUCUACAAUCAGGUUAUUACUCGCCUUCUAUUUUUAAAUAUGCUUAUAAGUUUGUUAAAUAUUGUGACAGGUGCCAAACAACAGGGAACAUCUCUCAAAAGCAUGAAAUGUUAUUAACUAACAUUCAGGAAGUUGAGUUCUUUGAUAUCUAGGAGAUAGAUUUUAUGGGCCUAUUCCCAUCAUCUUUAAGGAAUUUAUACAUUCUAGUUUAUGUAGACUUUGUAUCUAAAUGGAUGGAAGUUGUAGCACUACCAAUAAAUGAUACCAAAGCCGUGGUGAAAUUCCUUCAAAAGAACAUUUUUACCAGAUUCGGGACACCUUGGGCCAUCAUCAAUAAUGAAGGCACUCAUUUUUGUAACAUGAUAUUUGAUGCAGUAUUGGCUAAAUAUGGAAUUAAGCAUAAGAUUACUACAACAUAUCAGCUCCAAUCUAAUAGUCAAGCAGAAGUGUCCAACCGAGAAAUAAAAAGGAUUUUAAAAAUAAUGGUGAAUCUAACUAAGGUCUCUUAGAUUACAUGAUUCCUAAUGGGCCUACUGCACAGCUUAGAAGACACACUUGGCAUGUCUCCAUACAAAAUUGUCUAUGGUAAAGCAUGCCAUUUGCCAUUGGAGUUAGAGCACAAACCAUAUUGGGCACUAAAACAACUGAACAUGCACAUGUAUGCUACAGCAGAGCAGAGGAAGUUUCAACUUUGUGAGCUCGAAGAAUUAAGGUUGUUCUCCUAUGAAAAUGCAAGGAUUUACAAAGAGAAUAAAACAAUGGCAUGAUAAACACAUCCAGCAAAAGAAGUUAAUUCCAGGCCAAUAAGUUUUGCUAUACAACUCUAGAUUAAAACUUUUUCUGGGAAAGUUAAAGUCUAGAUGGUCAGUGCCUUUUAAACUUAUCCUCAUGGUGUUGUGGAGUUCAAGGAUGAAAGAACAAGGCAGGAAUUUAUGGUAAAUGGGCGAUGAGUUAAACAUUAUAUUAAUUAUGUUUUACACAAUUCAAGGGAGGAUUUGUGCCUUAUAGACCCAGCGUGAGCAAUUAAGGGAAGGUCAGGCUAAAAGACCUUAAAUCAAGCUCUAAUUGGUAGGCACCCCAAUAAGGGAAGAAAAGUUUAAAUUUUCGCACAGUUUGUUUUUAUUUUAGUUAGUGUAAUCUUUUAUUGAAUUAAUUUUGUAGGUUUUAAUUUAUUUUCUUGGUUUUUCUUUGUUAUUUUCUUUCUCUCAGUAAAAUAAACAAAGGGGCUAGAAACAUAACUGGGAUGAUUAAUGUUGUGCAAAUUUUAAUGUACUCGCAAGCGCACGAAUCUAUUGUAGUAUAGACUAAUGGUGACGAGUGUCGAUCCCACGAGGAGGUGGAUUUUAAUUGUGUCUAGAAUUAAUUUUGUAAAUGGAUGGUUGGAUUUCUGGUGAAAUUGAUUUGGAAUAUUCUAAAACUUCGAAUUAAAAUGGCAAGAAUAAAUUCUAAAAUUGGAAUUGCAAUGGCGAGAAUAAAUUGAAGAGAAAUCUAUUGAAAUGACAUACUUGGGUAUCUGGAUCCGUAUCAACAUGCAUCAUGGGCUAAAUAAUCCUUAUUAAUGUCAAUUAAAUUAUGAGGGGGGAAUCCACAUCUCAUGAACCACGCUCUAAUCAAUAUGGUGCUCAGGGCUUACCGUGCCAAAUAAUAAUAACCUUGUAUUAGGGAGCCGGUGAAACCAAAGCGGUACUAGACAAGAUUAGUAUUAUUUGUCGACGAGAAGUCAAAACAUCCACAAAAACUAGAGGGGAAGAGAAAAUAAAUUUACCAAAUAAAGCCCAUGACACAUGUUGAGACUUCACCUUCAACCCAAGCUUGAAAGGAAAUUAGCUACUCAUAAUUGAACUAGAGGCAAAAUGGGAAUUUAUUAAAAUACGUAGAAAAUACAAGAUAGAGAAGGAAUUACAGAAAAUGGAUCCCAAAAAUGGAUUCAGAGAUAUCAAAUUAGGGGGGGAGGCCCCCUUUUUAUAGAUACAUGGAGUAAAUCAUGGCCAUCGAAUUAAAAAUAGUUUGGACGCUUAGGAUUGUGCCACGUCAUCAGUCAACAGUACGCGGUUUGACCACGCAGAUGAACAAUAACACGGUUUGACCCAGGUUGAACAGUAAUGCGAUUUGGUUGAAAAUAAUCCUAUGUGAUGUAUGUAUCGUACGCAAGAUUUUUCGUCCACUGAUAUGUUGCCACGUCACCAUCAACAGUACAUAAGAAUUUUAGUCCAACAGGAUCGUGACACCUCAUCAGUCAAUGCCACAACAUCGGUCAAUGCCACAUCAUCGAUCCGUCUAUGUGAACAGUGUCGUGAACAGUAACGUAGACAGUACCGUACAUGUGAAUAGUAUUAUUUUUCCUUUUAUGCUCCUCCUGAGGUUUUCGGCCCUCCUGAGUUCAAAAGUAUGUCCGUUUUGCCAUCUGAUCUCUCCUUUAUUGUGAAAUGACUAUAAUGCCCCUAAAAUAUAUAAAAUACUUAAUUAAAAUAAAACACACGUAAUUAAAUCACAAGAAGGUUAAAUACAUAAAAGUAAGGGUUAUUAGUAAGACUUGAAAUGUAAAAUGACGGUUUUCUCCUUUAUAAAUAUGCAUUUUCUAACACUCAACAAUUAAUAAACUUGGACAAAGUGUCAGACACUCGAAAUGCUACAGUAUCGCAUGUAGUAGCAUAAACUCAGGGAGCCAAUAUUACAUAUAAGCUACUAAUGUUUAUACUGCAGCAUAGUUCAAUUGCUCCAACAACGUGCCAUUCAAUAAUUAGAAAAUUUUUACCGUUGUAGAUGACGCCAUUAAUUUUACCAUUUGAAUGGCUAACACGAUGAUGUCAAUGGAUCAGUCCUUUUGAAAAUUAAAUUAAUCAUACUCCUUUAAUUCUGUGACACAUAUCUAGCCUUUCCUUCUUCCAAGUGGUUUCAAAAAUUUAAAAUUUUACUUCCAUAAUUAUCUUGAUAUUUAAUUACCUUUCUCUUUCUAGUUUUUGUAGCUAUAAAUUAGGGAUUUUACUUUACCUAUUUCAUAUCAACUUCACUUCCAUAUUUCACCAACUUUCAUCUCUCAAUCGCGAUCAUAUUUUCUUCUGAUUUUAUUUUCUAGCCAUAAUUAAGUUCUGUGACUUGCUACAGCAAUUCUUAAAAUCAAAGAAAGAGCUAAAUGAUUGAAAACUCUGAAUGCUUCCAUAGUUACAAGUCUGAGAAGAAAUUUGAAGAUAUCAUCGAGCCUAGAAAGAUCAUGGAGGAAAAGAAUUUUCAAUUUCCUCAAAAGCCAUCGAGAACAAUCAAUAUAAUCUAUGCUGCUACAGUAAAGCGAGGCUGGCUAGAUUUUUAUACUCACGCAAGGGACUCUAUGCUACCAAUUGUUCAAGAAUUUAACUCUAACAUGCUGCAACAAGACCAACACACAGUCCUGAUAAGGAAAGUUCAAGUGCCCUCAGAUCUGAGGGUAAUCAAUAUUUUCUAUCAUUUACCAUCUGAUAUUGAUUGUCCAUAUUUUGAAAGUAUAACAACUAAGAAGUGGGUGAUGUGUUUAAACCCUUACGGUGGCGAGUAGUUCAUUAGUGAAUGACAAAAGCAGAGUAGUGAACAGGAUUGAUUUGAAAAUUGAAACCAAUUGCAAAAGUGUGGGUGAAAUUUUUAAAAUCCAGACUAAUGCCCAUAACACACACCACCACCGUAUCUCAUGAAAGGCUUAUUCUGUUAUAUGUCAUUCUUAAGGGUUUACCAAUUGAUGUAGGGAAAAUCAUAAAGAGAGAUUAGAGAAUGUGCCAUGAAAAAGCAAAAGAUUGUUGUUUUGUUAUUUUCCUCACUCAUCACAAGCAUCAGCGUAGUGUCUAGGGUGAAAAUAUCUGCCAAAGAUGAAAAAGUUAAGAAUGAAGAAGCUCUGACCACUAGAACUAUACAAAGAAUUGUUGAGGAAAUUGUUGUUGCAGUAACACUAGAACCUGUUUUUGUAACCAAAGUAAAGAAGGUCACUGGUAUUGAGAGGAGGCUACAAGAAUUGAGUGAUAGCAUCAACAAAUGUAUAGAGGCAUAGAAAGAAGAAAAUUAAAGAUUCUGGAUUUUAUUUGAUGCACCUUGAAUACCAAAUGCAUCAAUUUUCAAUUUACAUGAAGAAAAAUAACAGCGACUUCCCUAACAAAUUGUUAUAGUGGUUUAAUUUCCAAACAGCAGAAGAAGAUGCUCAGUAGAAAAAGCAACAACAGAGAUAAAAGAAGAAACAGAAUCUGAAGAGAACAACCACCAACUGAGGAAGAGAAAGAGGUGAAUAAAGAAGAACUAGAAGAAGAAGAAGAGGACCAGAGUAAAGAAGAAUAAUCAACCGAGGAUGAGUAGGAUGAUGAACCCUCAAUUCCAGUAUUUCCAAGCAAAGGCAAGGAGAAAGUCUUGAUUGAUGAAGACUCAAAAGAAGAUCAAUGACACAACUUAAAAGUAAUUUUUAACUCCCAAGUAUAAGAGUGUCUUGUUGUAUUAUAACUCGGUGAGUCCGAGGUCGAUCCACAGAGAAAAGAUUUAAUUUGUUUAUUUUAUUUUAACUAAAAAUUAAAAUUAAAACUUAAAUAUAAACAACUUAAUUUAAAUGAAACUAUGAAAUUGAACUAGUUAGGGUUAUGGAUCCACUCUUAAAAGUAAAUAAAACUUAAUAAAUUCUUUUUACCCUAUUUUUUAGAUUUAUUACCCAAAAUAUUAAUUAUAUAAAUUAUUAUUAUUUUCCCUUUAAUUUUAUGAUGGAUUAAGUAAUUAUUGUGUCAAAAUUUAAUUUGUCUACAAUAAGUCAAAAUAUUAUUUUAUCAUACCUUAUUUUAAGAUAUUAAGAAUUUAUUGUGCCAAAUUCAUUUAUUUGUCUACAAUAAAUCAAAAUUUCAAAAUAUAAAAUAUGUAUAAAAUUAAAUAAAAAAUAAUUUAAUUUAUAAAAUUAAAAAUAGAAUUUGCUUAAAUCAUAUUUAUUUCCUAAGAGUUUCACCUUCCCCUAACUAAUAUUAUUUAGUUAAGCAUAAUUAAAAUAAAAAGAAGUAGUAAAAUUGAAUUACUAAUAAUUAAAAGUAAUAAAAAUAACUAAAAUUGGAAAUCAAACUAAUUUUAUUUAUAAAAAUAAUUAUACAAAAUAUUAAAAACACACCUGGAAAUCAAGAUUACAAGGAGAUAGAGAGAAUUUCAGAAGAAGAGAGUUGUAGAGAUAUGAUUCAAAACAUAAAAAUGAGGCUCUAUUUAUAGAAAAAUAAAUUCAUAAUCCAGUGCUUUGCGGUCCAUCAUAAGCUUCAUGCAUGUGCUCCUAACAACCUUUAGAUCAAGAUCCAAUGGCUGGUCAAACUUCAAAAGUCAACAUCACACGUGGCAUCGUUUGACUUGUCCGAUCUGCCCAAAGAACGGUUGAGAUUUGGCGGGUUAAUGGGUAGAUCGGGUCGACCCGAAUACAAAGAUUCGGAUCCUACAACUUGCUUCACCAACCAUUGCCACGUGGCACAAUCAUGACCAUUGAAUCAUGAACGGUUGAGAUUUAGUCAAAAUUGCCAGCUAUCCCAUGCACUCAUAUCUAUUGUAAGCUCAUUUCAUCAUCCAAUCAGUGCUCGGUCAAUAGGAAAAGUCAACUUUUUUUACACAAGCCCAAUUUAAGCCGAUCUUGACUGAUCUUAAGGUUUUCGGACCUCAGGAAUUAAAAUUUGACCUCUGUUUAUCUGUUUGGAGCCUCGAAGUACGUGAAAUUAAUAUUUUUCCUAAUAAACACAUAAAAAUACACAAAAUUAAAUAUAUUUAAAACAUAAUUAAUAAUUCAUAAUAUAUUACAUAAACACAAAUAUAAAUUAUAACAUAAGCAUAAAAUAACAUAUUAUCGCUUGAUAAUUAAAUAAUUUUAAUACUAAUCAAUCAAGAUGAUAUUAAUGCAGAAAUUGAAGCUGUUGCUACUACCAGGGCUAUAAGAACUACCGAGGCAAAGAAGGGUUUGCUGGAUAUUAUUGUUGAAAUCACAUCUAAGAAACUAUUACAGCAACCAUUCAUUGAUGCAGAAAUUGAAGCAGCUGUUACCAGGGCUAUAAAAGCUGCUGAGGUAAAGAAGAGUUUGCUGGAUAUUAUUGUUGAAAUCACAUAUGAAGAAACUGCUACAGUAACCAUUCCAGCAACCACUGCUCAGAACCCUCCCAUCAAAUCUCCUAGCCAAACUCCCAAGGCAUCUAGCAAGCGUAAAGGGGCACAACCCUCUUGAGAUGUUGCAGGAGUGCAAGCAUCAGAAAAACCAAAACCUAAGAAAGUAAAGUCUGAUCAGCCCACAACUCAAGAAGCUACUGAUACCACACCAACUAGUCCAAGUAGGAAGAAGAAAAAAUCAGUUGUUCCAACACAGAUCUCGCCAAGGAAGAGUGCCCGAAGUGGAGCCCAAAAGCAGUGAUUUUGCGCCACUAGUGCUGCAGUAUAACCCUCCCACAACAGGGGAGUAUCCCCUGCCAGCAUAUUCUAUUCCAAUUUUUAAACUUUUUAUUUUAUUUUCUUUUUUGUUUCUAUCUUAUUUUGUUUGUUUGCAAUUUUACUUUUAAAUACCUAUCUGCAUGUUUUUAGUUUUGAUUAUGUGCUUGUGAAGACACAGCACCUCUUAAGUUUGAGGGGAAUUGUGCUUUAAGUGUGUUCUAAUUGUGUUUUAAGUAUGUUCUAGUUGUGUUUUAAGUAUGUUCUAAGUGUGUUAAAGAGUAUGCAUGUAAUUUAGUUUAUUUUUUAUGUAAGAAUGAAUGUGUGGUGCGUAAAAAUUUUAUAAUACAAAAAAAAACUAAAUGUGUGUGAUUAAAUUUGUAGCUCUGUUAUUUAGUAGUUUUUGUUUUAUUAAAGGACACCCCGUGAGGAUGAUCUGAGUGAUGAAUAAUAGGUUACCUUUAAUUAAAGACAGUUAUGGAUAAAGGUUGAGUUUGUCUCAACACUUCUUUUUUGUUGAAUUUCGUGAGUAUGUUGUAGCAAGACUUAGUUGAAUAAUGGAUAGAAAAUAGUUCAAGUUUGGGUGAAUUUAGAAACUUUUUCAUAAUUUAGUGCAAACUAUGAAAUUAAUUCUGCUACAAUGGCUCAGUUGCUAAGUAACCAAGGCUGUGUGUGUACCCCACAUGUAGACUUGAGUAGAAAGGCAGCAAGAGUUAUGAGCAUUGCUGUAACAAAAAAUGAAAAAAAAAAAAUAGGUCAUCUAUCUCGGAUGUUGAGUAGACAGCUCUAUUCAUGAACCUCAUGUCCAGCCUUGGGUAAAAGGUGUCUAUAAAUAAAGGCCACUAUAACAAUAUCUUGAAACUGCCACAACUCUAAGUUAUGCAUUGAUGAAGUAAUUGGAUGUCAUCAGUACCUAACACGACUCAAAAGUGUUAUUACUCCCAAGUAUAAGAGUGUCUACUUAUAAUAUAACCUAGUGAGCCCGGAGUCGAACCACAGGGAAUUUAAAACCAAGCAGUCAAUUUAUUAAACUAAGAAAAUUUAAUGGAAAAGAAUUAAUCUAAAUCAAUUUAAAAAUAUGCUAAAGUUACUGGAUCCACUCUUAGAUUUCAAAUUAUGGUUAUAACACUCUCAAAUUUUAUAUUUUGCAUUUCUUUUACCAGUUAAUUAUUAUGCCAUUUAAUUUUUAACUAACCAUUAGUGUGAUAAACAUGAGACUAAAUACCUAAUGUGUCAAAACUAUAUUGAAGUCAACAUUAUGUCCAAAGACCAUAUAAAUCUGAAGAGGUUUGCAUUUAUAAAUUAAAAGGACAUAAAAGAAACCAGUAAGGGAAAAAAUAUAAAUGAAUAAAACAAACUUUAAGACUCACUUGAGAGAAUAAUUAACUCAAUAAUCUGAAUUCUUAAACUUCACAUUUCACCUCAAUUUAGAAAAUUUAACUACUCAUAUUAGAAAAUAAAACACUCAUUUUAUUUAACAAAUUUCUGAAAUCAAUUACACGAAAGUUAAUCACAUAUAGGGUAGUGUGUUUGUCGAACGAUGUGUAAAGCUCUAGGCUUAAUAAUUCAAAAGCAAACAGUAAAAGGAAAAAGUAAACAGUGAUUAGAAAUAAAAUCACACAAAAAAAUACCACUAAUAAUAAAAAUGCAAAAGAUAAAAGAACAAUAAAAUAAAAGGAUAUUUAAUGGUUAUUGUGAUUGCAGCUCACAUCUUCCUUUGGUUUUACAUCCAAUAAUAGCUUGAAUGCCCUCUAUGGGUCGACGAUUGGCUUCCCAUCCAGUUCCCUUAUAAAUUUGACAAACAGGGUCUUUUAGAGUCAGAUUCCCAAUACGAAAUUAUGCACUUUCCUUUUGGAACAGCUUCCAUAAAUUAUAAAUUUCAUGUUGCACAUGUCCACUUGGAUGCGUCUCAAGAGAUCGUUAGAUAUUAUUUAACGAUUCUUUACUUAUGUCAUCCUCAAUGAAUUUAAUUGCAUCUUCACGAUUUACAAAAAAAAAAAUCCCUAAAGUUUUACAAUGUGGUUUAUUGCAGGCAAGUCGUACACAGUGAGAACAUUUAGAGCCAAGUCGCUUAGCUCUUCUUUUUUUUAAUAAAUGUGUUUUUACCAAAACUAAGCAUGUAAGAAAAAAAUGAAUUAGAAAACUCACCUGUUAAUUGGACCUUUGAUUCAAUUAACCAAUGAAUGUCAGUAGGAAUCCCAUUUUGAUCAUUAACAAACGCAAUCAUUUACAAUAAGCUUUGUAAAUCUUCAUAAGACCAUUUUGAAGGAGAGAAGGAAAACACUUAUGCAAUUUAUAUUGUAUUUCUUCCAUGCUUGAUUUUAGGGUUUCAAUUAUUGUGGAAAACUGAGAAUAUUGACUUCAAAAGUCACGGAGUACUGUUAUCCACCAUUUAUACGGGAGAGUAAAUCAAAGCAUAUCAAAGAAACGAAUCAAAUCUGCAAAAUCAAAUCACAAGUGAAGAAAAACAAAAACAAAAAAAAAACACACACACACACAAAGAAUAUAAUUAUAUAUGUAACCCACAUUCGUCCUUUUAUUGAAUUUACCCCAAGUUCUAAUUGCCAUUCCUAAAUACCAUCCUCUAUUUCUUUGAGCUGUCUUUCUAUAUCUUCAACGUGGGAGACUAACUCUGGUAGUUGUAUAUCCCAAAUAGAAUGUGAUUUACAAACUCGGAGUGAGUUCCUCAGGUGAAAUUUUACAUGUAAAAAUUCUCUAAGAUGUUUGAAAAAGCUCCUUCUCAUGGAGGUGCACAUAACAAAUAUCAAAAACAGUAAAAUGAAACACAAUUGUCAAAUAAACACAUUUAAAAAUAAUAUAAUACACUCCAUUCAAGAAAUAAAAAGAAAAAGAAAAAAUCAAAUAAUCCACACGGUAAAAUAACAGUAAACCAAAGUAAAAAAAAAUUAAAACAAAAGGCUUAAUUAAGAUUUGGUAGGUCACUCAAAUUGACUUUGAUGUCUGUUUCACGUGGUUGGUAUUCUGAAUAUGGUUUCAAUCUUUGACCAUUAACUUUAAAUGUGACACCAUCUUUUGAAUUCUAAAUUUCUACGGCCCCAUUAUGAAUAUAUAUUUUUUACAAUAAAUGGACCACUCUACUUUGACUUUAACUUACCUGAAAACAAAUGAAAACGAGAAUUAUAAAGCAACACUUUUUGAUCAAUCAUAAAUGUUUUCUGAAAAAUUCUUUUAUCAUGAAAAACUAUGGUUUUUUCCUUAAUAAUCCUGGAAUUCUCAUAUGCAUCAUUUCUUAAUUCCUUAAGUUCAUUCAAUUGCAAUUUACGCACAUUGCCAGCAUUAUCAAGAUUUGAAUUAAAAGCUUUAAUGGGCCAAAAUGAUUUAUGUUCAAGUUCAAUAGAUAAGUGGCAAGGUGUUCCAUAAACAAGCAGAUAGGGUGACAUUCCUAAAGAUGUUUUAAAAGCAGAACGAUACGCCCAAAAUGCAUCAGUUGGUCGAAGAGACCAAUCUUUAUGGUUUGGGUUAACUGUCUUUUCCAAAAUUUAGUUUAUCUCCCUAUUUACUAAUUCAACUUAACAACUAAUUUGAAGGUGAUAAGGGGUACCAACUAGGGGUGGGCACGGAUCGGGUUGGGUCGGAUUGAAUAUCAACUCGACCCAACUCGCAUGUAGAGCGGGUUGAAAAAUUUCAACCCGACCCACCCAUUACAUAUCUUGACCCAACCUGUGAUUGGGUCGGACUUUUAAAAAUUUUCAUUUUUAUAGUUUAAUUAAAUAGUGAAUAAAAAUAAAGUAAUUAAUUAAAAAAAACAAAUGUUAAAAUCUUUAGAACAAAUCCAACAUUUCAAAAUUUUUAUAUUUAUAUUUUUUAAUUUUUUAUAUGAAAUAUCAAAAUUUAUAUAAUAAUUUUUACACACAUACAAGUUGACUGGUUGAGUUAGGUUGAUUGGAUUGGGUUUUUGAAAAAAAUCUAUUAUUAUAGUCUAAUUAAUUAGUGAACAAAAAUAAAUUAAUUAAUUAGACAAACUAAAAAAAUACAAAUAUUAAAAUCCUUAAACAAAUCCAACAUUUCAAAGUUUUUAUAUUUAUAUUUUUUAAUUUUUAUAUAAAAUAUCAAAAUUUAUAUAUGGAUAUAUGGGUUGACGGGUUGGGUUGGGUUAAAAAUAUUUAACCCAACCCAACCUGCAAAUAGUGUGGGUUGGGAAUUUAACAACCCAACCCAACCCGCAAAAAAUCAAACGGGUUGGGUCGGUUCACGGGUUAGGCGGGUUUAUGCCCACCCGUAGUAGCAACUUUAUGUGUAAUUUCAUAUUUCUUCAUUAAAGACUCAAAUGGCUUAUUACAAAAUACUUACCUCCAUCACUGAUAAUGGCUCGAGUUAUUCUAAAUCUACUCAAAAGAUCUUUUUUUAAAAAGUAUAUUACAGUCUUGUGAUCAUUGUGCUGACAAGGAAUCGUCUUAAUCCAUUUUGAAACAUAAUUAACAGCAACUAAAAUAUAUACAAAUCCAAAAGAUGAUGGAAAAAAAACUCAUAAAAUUAAUUCCCCAACAAUUAAAUAUUUCAAUAAAAAGGAUGGGAUAUAAAGGCAUCAUGUUUUACUUUGAAAUAGGCCCUACAUUUGACAAUUUUUACAAACUUGUAGAAAAUGCAUAUGAAUCUUUAAAUAAUGUAGGCCAAUAAAAUCCACACUAUAAUAUUUUUGCAGUUUUCUUUUUUUAAGAAAAGUGACCACUGCAUGCAUUAAAAUAACAGAAUGGAAUGACCCUACUUACUUCAUCGUCUAGUAUGCAUCUUCAAAAAAUCUUAUCAGAACGGUACUUGAACAGGUAUGGAUCAUCCCAGUAAAAGUUGUUCACUUCUGUUAAGAAUUCUUUUUGUCUUCGAAAUUCCAAUCACAUGGCAUUUCACAUAUUGCAAGAUAAUUAACAAUAUUAGCAUACCAAUGCAUUUUGUUUAUUGAAAAUAAAAAUUCACUAGGAAAAGAAUCAUUGAUGGGUAUUGUUUUAAUUGAAGACUCAUUUGAAAGUCUUGAAAGAUAAUCUGCAACAAUAUUUUCAUCGCGCUUUUUGACUUUAUUGUCAAAUUAAAUUCUUAAAGUAGCAAAAUCCAUCAUAUCAACCUUGGCUUAGCACUCUAUUUAGACAUUAAAUAUCUAAAAGCAGUAUGAUCAGAAUAAACAAUAGUAGAUGAACCACUAAAUACGAACGAAAUUUAUCCAGUGCAAAUAUUACAGCAAGUAGUUCUUUCUCAGUUGUGGUGUAAUUCAUUUGUACAUUAUUUAAAGUUCUACUUGCAUAGUAGAUAACAAAAGGCUUACCUUCCUUUAUUUGGUCCAGAACAGCGCCAACGGCAUAAUCACUAACAUCACACAUUAGCUCAAAAGGUAAAGACCAAUCAGGGGGUUGCAUUAUUGGACGACAUUGUGGUGUACAACACCACACUUGAGGAACAUGCCCAACAUUUACGGCAAGUUCUCCAAGUACUACGUGACAACGAACUCUACCUUAAGGUGGAAAAGUGCUUAUUUGCCCAACGAGAGGUGGAGUUUCUCAGCCACAAGAUAGCGGACGGGAAACUCAUGAUGGAGGACUCGAAAGUAAAGGCUAUACUUGAAUGGCAACCUCCCACCAAUGUACCCGAACUCCAGUCUUUCCUCGGGUUGGUGAACUAUUACCGCCGCUUCAUCAAAGGGUAUUCGGCUAAAGCGGCACUCUUGACCGAGCUGCUGAAAAAGAAUCGUACGUGGCAUUGGUCCAAGGAAUGCCAACGCGCUUUCAGGGAGUUGAAGAAGGCUAUCACCGAACAGCCCGUCGUCGCACUUCCGGACCAUACAAAACCAUUUGAGGUUCAAAUGGAUGCCUCCGACUUUGCCAUAGGCGGAGUACUCAUGCAAAAAGGUCACCCCAUAGCAUUCGAGAGCCGGAAGCUCAACGACACGGAACGCCGCUACACCGUGCAAGAUAAGGAAAUGAUAGUCAUUGUUCAUUGCCUACGAGUGUGGUGACACUACUUGCUUGUCUCACACUUCGUGAUCUUGACGGACAACGUAGCCACGAGCUACUUCCAAACACAAAAGAAGUUGAGCCCCAAGCAAGCUAGGUGGCAAGACUUUCUUGCGGAAUUCGAUUAUAGACUCGAGUACAAGCCCGGAAAGGCCAACGUUAUUGCAGAUGCUCUAAGUCGGAAAGCGGAGUUGGCUACACUUAGCUUGAGCCAGCCAAAGUCCGAUCUCGUCAUGAGCAUCAAGGAAGGCCUUCAAAAAGAUCCGUUGGCAAAAGACUUGUUGGGGAAGGUACUUAAAGGAAAGACGAGAUAAUUUUGGCAAGAUAAAUGCAUCCUUCUCACCAAGGAAGACCGACUAUUUGUGCCAAGGUGGGGAAAUUUGCGACGAGAGGUGAUCAAGGAGUGCCAAGACUCAAAGUGGGCUGGCCACCCUGAAAUAGAGCGCACGACCGCACUCGUCCAAGCCUCCUACUUUUGGCCACACAUGAGAGAUGACAUUGAGGCCUAUGUGCGGACAUGUCUCGUAUGCCAACAAGACAAGGCGGAUCGCCAACUUCCAGCGGGACUAUUGGAGCCUUUACCAACAGCAUCAAGACCAUGGGAGAGUGUCACCAUGGACAUUAUUUCGACCUUACCCAAGUCCGAAGGGUGCGGAAGCAUCAUGGUGGUAGUCGACCGCUAUAGAAAGUAUGCGACUUUCAUCGCCGCACCAACCGAUUGCAAAGCGGAUGAGCUUGCCCACCUAUUCGUCAAGCACAUCAUCAAGCUUUGGGGAGUUCCGAAGAGCAUCGUGAGUGACCGAGAUCCACGCUUCACCGGAUGCUUUUGGACGGAGCUCUUCAAGAUAUUGGGAACUGACCUCAAGUUCUCAACAAACUUCCAUCCGCAAACGGAUGGACAAACCGAGCGCAUCAACAGCCUACUCGAGAUGUAUCUUAGGCAUUAUGUAAGCGCUCACCAGCAAGAUUGGGCGAAGUUGCUGGACGUUGCCCAAUUCUCAUACAACCUACAACGGAGCGAGGCUACCAGCAAGAAUCCAUUCGAGAUCAUCAUGGGAUUUCAGCCGAUGACGCCCAACGCCAUAGCCUCAACCUAUGAAGGGAAAAGCCCAGCAGCCCACAAACUCGCUCGCGAAUGGCAUGAAGAAGCGAACAUCACGCGAGCAUAUCUCGACAAGGCCGCACGGAGAGUGAAAAAGUGGGCUGACUCGAGGAGACGCCACGUCGAAUACAAGGAAGGUGACCAAGUAAUGGUGAAUCUCCUACCCCAACAGUUCAAAACAUUGAGGAAAGUCCACAAAGGGUUAAUGAGGUGAUACGAAGGGCCUUUCGAAGUGGUUCGACGCGUGGGCAAGGUCUCCUACCAACUCCAACUUCCACCAAGACUCAAGAUCCACCCGAUCUUCCACGUAAGCUUGCUCAAGCCAUACAACGGAGAUGCGGGAGAUCCAAGCCGAGGUGUGUCUAGACAUGCCCCAACCGUCGUUGUCACCGCAUUUGACAAGGACGUGGAGUACAUUCUUGCGGAUCGAGUAAUCCGGAAACGGGGUAUACCGGCUUACAACGAGUACUUGGUGAAAUGGAAGAACCUCCCCAAGAGCGAAGCAACAUGGGAGCGCGAAGACGACCUAUGGCAAUUCGCGGAACAUGUGCAGCUUUACAAGCACAACAAUGCGACGAGGGCGCCACGACAUAGGUGGGGGAGGAUUGUCACGGGCCGCUCAAAACUCUACGAUCGGAGGCUAAUUUGCGCACACGGGCUCGCUUAACACUCAAGGUGGAUACACUUAGAAGUGGGGGUUAACUCAGAAAUGGGCCACCAAGACAACUAAACUAGCCGGGGUGCGCUUAGUAAAUAACUCACCAAGGCCCAAGGUCUAGACCUCUCCACAUAUUAUACUUUCACUAGAAUAUUCUAGGACUCACCACUUGGGUCCCCAAGCAUUUUGCCACUUGUAAUAGAAUUCUCUAGAAUUAAGCAUUCCAACCCCUAUAAAUAGGGGUAAGCACCCAUCAUUCUCACCACCACCGACACACACACACAACACACCUAGCACACUAGUUCACAAGCUCUCUUAUACAAACACCCUUGUAAUUAUUCAAAGUGUGUAAUACAAUUAUACUUGGCCAUCCUACUCUUGCUUCCCUCAACAUUUUCUCCAAGUAUGUGUACUUGGCUUGUUUAGGGAGUAACCAAGGCUUACUUGACGACUCACGUGCUAAGGUCGCUCAAGUGCAGCACGGGAUCUUGCUGCGCAAAAGUAUCACCCCGUGACACACCGCUAUUAAAAUUCAAACACUUGGCCUAGUGUGUGUCGCGUCACGUGCAUCUAAACUAGUUGGCUGCUUGAUUAAAAAAGUCUUAACUAAUCAGGCAUGGUCUGGCAAAAGAGCAACCCUGACAGAUCUAUGUUUUCAAAGUUGAGUGAGUGGAGAUGUUGAUGUAUUCAUAACAACUUAGUUUCCAGUCUCGAUUUGUUUACUUUCAACACUGAGAAACUAGGAGACGGGGGUUCGAACGGUAAAAUACCACCAUCAGAUACUUGCCAGAGCAGAAUGUGCUCACCUCGGCGUAAAAUGAUUCCUAAAAGGGGACGACUCCUCAAGAAGGUGGAUAGCUUGUCGCGUACAUAUGGUCGGCUAGGGAGCUCGCGAGGAGAGGCCAAAUUAGGUCAACCCAAAGGGUCAGAGGACGACCUCUGUGUUUCCUCGAAGAAUCCAGGCACGAAGCCAGCUGACCAUCAGUUGUGGAACCACUCCAUUAAGAGUUGUGCCCCAACUUGAGGCCUCUAAUUUCAGCUGAUUAUAAAACCUCCACAAAAUCAACGUGAAAGGGGGGCAACGGGAAAAGAGGACGAGUAAAAAAAAAAAAAACAACUCUUUCUUAGGGGAAAAAUUAAAGGGAUUUUUCUUUUUUUUCUCUAAUUAGGGAUUUCCUUGAUUUGGAACCUUAUUUUAUUUUAAGGCAACAGUAGUUAAGCCACAAAGGUGGUGGCAUAAGGUUUUCCCAUAAAGACCCGAAAACAGACUUAGAGGGUUUACGCCGGAAAAACUACCGGCGUCCCCUGACUGGUUGUUGUAAGCGUAGGUAUUCUUGAAGAAGACGCUCAAGCUCAUGGGUGUUUGCUCAAUAGUGAGGUAGUAGCACAGAACUGUCCCCCUAAUCACAAUAAAUUUAAGUGUUGAGUUGCGAUAUUCAAUAUUAUUCAUAACUGCUUUUGAAAGAGCCCACAGUAGAGAGGUUUGGAAGAAAAUAACUAAGGUUGAGUUGCGAGGAAUGAGGAUAAAGAAUAAAACGAGUGUAGUGUCAAAAUGGUUGAAUAAAAUAAAUUAAAAAAAUUUGAGAAAAAGACCUUGCCUACACCCUCAGCUUUUGUGCCCACGUUUUUUGUAAUUAUUUUGUACACAGAAAUGGUUUUCUUUUUUGAAACAUAGUGCAUCCUCCUGCACGAUAAUGUUAGAGCUACCAAUACGUUAGGAUUUGGAUGAAAAUUAAUUGAGUUUGAUGAACGGAAGCUGCAGCGGUAGAGAACGGUAUUAACUUUAUAUAUUAUUUGCCCAUUCUAUUUCUAAUAUUGAUAUUAAUCAUAAAAUUUAAUUUUUUUGAGCACAUAAACCAAGCAGAAUGAUUUAUAUAUCUAUUUAUAAUUAAAUUAAUUUAAUAAUAAAUUUGUAAGUUAUGAAGAAAAAUUAAGGUGGGGAUAAUAUCAUAACAUUCUUAAUAAUAUUAUUUAUUCUCAUUUCAUUUAAUAUUAUUUAGUUACAUGUUUAUUGUUGUAUUUAAUCUUUCAAAAAACUAAAAAAAUUUAAAUAAAAUAAAAUAAUCAGUAGUGAGCAUUAAAAAAUAAAUAUAAUUUUUAAUAUUAAUUAUUUUUAUUUUAUUUAAUAUUAUUUAUAGUAUUUAUUUUUGUUUUAUUUAAUGUUAUUUAGUUAUAGACUUAUUAUUAUAUUUAUUCUUUAAAAAAUUAAAUAAUAUUAAAUAAAAUAAAUAAUCAGUUGUGAGUCUUAAAAAAUAUAAUUUUUAAUUAAUACUAUUUAUUUUAUUCAAAAGGAUAAAUUUUAAUAUUAUUUAUUUUAUUAAAAAUAAAUAUUUUUUAAUAUUAUUUAUUUUAUUUUAUUUAAUGUUAUAUAGUCAUAGGCUUAUUAUUAUAUUUAUUCUUUCAUGAAACUAAAUAAUGCUGAUAAAAUGAAAUAAUCAGUAAUGAGUCUCAAAAAAUUAAUAUUAUUUUUAAUAAUAUUUAUUUUAUUUUAUUUUAUAUUAUUUAGUCAUAACUUAUUAUUAUAUUUAUUUUUUAAAAUUACAUAAUAUUAAAUAAAAUAGAAUAAGUAAUUGUGAUUCCUAAAAAAUAAAUAUUAUUUUUUAAUAUUAUUUAUUUUAUUUAAAAGAAUAAAUUUUUAGUAUUUUUAUUUUAUUAAAAAUAUUAUUUAAUAUUAUCCAGUCAUAGGCUUAUUCUUUUAGAAAGUUAAAUAAUAUUAAAUGAAAUAAAAUUGCAUUUUAGCAGAUCACCAGGCAAAGCACAUAAACUUAUAAAUAAAUUAUAAAUAAAAAAGUAAAUAAUAUUAAUAAAAUAAUAUUACAUUUUAAAAAGUCACCUGCCAAAACACAUAAUGUUAUAAAUAAACUAUAAAUAAAAAAGAAGAUAAGGGGUUAAAUGGGUACCUUGCAACUGUUGCAAGAUAGCUGGACCCUACAAAUUAACAGUCUCUUUCAGAUUUUGUGUUUACUUUCCACGGAGAUUUUUUAGCAUUAGGAAAGAGAACAAAAGGGCCUUUUAGGACCUAAACAAGGACUCUACUAUGUUACAACUAUAAUACCAUAUCACAAUAUUUGUCUUUAUCUCAUGACUACCAUUGGAUAAAGCAAGUGAUCAAACGCAUAAGAGGUGGCCACGUUUGUCUUAAAACAUACCGGAAAAGUCAGUUGAGAAAAGGUAAAUUCACUUGUAGGCUUGCAACGAAACACGGGGUUUUUAAUUAAAGAUGCCCUAAAAAUGGGGAAUUUAGUUAAAUAUACCCCAUGGUUGAAAAUUAUCUACAUAUGUCUUUUUAUGUGGUACAUUAUCUAAAAUACCCCUAAAGAAAAAUAUAAAACACACACAACUCACCUUCAAUGCUCUUUACUUCUUACUUUUUUUAACUCCACAUUCUCAAAAUCACUCAUGUACAGCCAAUACAUUGAGAUUUUAGUUUGAACUGAGUGCAUUAUUCAUCCCAUGAAUAAGGUAUUUGAUCCUUUAUUUUUAUUUUGUGUUAUUUACUCAUUUUAUUGGCACUAUAUUAUAUUUAGGUUUUGGUUGGUUUGUAAUAAACAAUAAAGUAACUCACAUUUUCAUUACAUUUGCAUCAUAUGACUAUUGUUUGAUGGGUUUUAUAACUGCGUUCGUUAAAACUUGAAUUUGUUGCCAAAAUUUUGUUCUGCACCCGACAUACAUGAUUGUUGUCGUGUACGUAUGAAUUUACACGAUUCUAGUCGUGUACAUAUAAAUUUACACAAUUGUAGUCGUGAAAAUGUGAAAAAUAUUUUAAUUAUUAUAACACCCUACCAUUCUAUUGGUGCAAAAUAUAUAUUUUUUCACUAGAUUUGUCCUCUGACUAUUACUAGACUAUAGUUGUGUGUUUUAAUAAGUUACACGAUUACUAUCGUGUACAUAUGAACUUACAUACUACAGUUGUGUAUAUAUGUAAAAUGUUUCAACUGUUAUGAGACCCUAACAUUCUAUUAGUGCAAGAAAAAUAUUUUUUUGAGAAGAAAUAUGUCCUCCAACUAUUUACUAGGUUGUAGUCAUCUAUUUUUGCAAUUUACACGACUUUUGUCGUGUAUGUAUGAAUUUACACGACAGAAAUCGGGUAAAUGUCGUGUAAAUUUAAAAAAUAUAAUAGUUGUUAUGACACCUAGGAUUCUAUUAGUGUAAAGAAUACAUUUUUUUCUAAAUAUAUCCUCUAACUAUGUACUGGACUAUAAUUGUAUAUUUUAGCAAGUUACACAACUGUAGCAAUUACACAAUGGCAGUUGUGUAAAUGGACAAACGGUUCCACACUUCGUUUUAUACCUUGUUUGAAUUUUUUUUUUUUUUUUUUGUAUUUGUUGUAUAAUUAUGUGUUAUAUUAUGACAGGAAAGAAUAUCUCGAGUUAUUUUCAUUGAUAUUUCUAAAUUUGACAUUGAAAUGAAGUUCAAGCUUAAAACAUUCGAUUCAAUCCCUCCCGUUUCAAUUAUGACAAAUAAUGAUGUAGAUUGUUUUCAUGACGAAGCAAAAAAACUAUAUUUGCUUGGGUAUUUUAGCUAUGAUAAUUGAGUAGCAACUUGUAUUCCCUUAAAACUUAUUAUGAUCCUCACAUGUAUUGAACCGAUGUUAUUUGAUGUAAAAGAAAAAAAAAUUCUUUUUUGAUAUAUUGAAGUUUAAUAUAUUAAACCUUAUGUUAAUUGUGUUAUCACUUUGUUGUAAUUUUUGUUCUCUAUUCACUUACUCGAAUAUAGUCGUAUAUUUAUAAAGUUACCCGACUAUCGUCUGUAUAUAUAAAUUUACUAGACUACAGUCGUUUAUUCAUAAAGCCUGACUACAGCUGUAUAUUUAUGAAGAUACUUGAUUGUAUUCUUGUAUUUAUGACAAUGCAUUCUAUUAGUGCAAAAAAUAUAUUUGUCAUUAAAUAUGUCUUCUAAUUAUUAUUGUACUAUAGUUAUAUAUUUUAAUAAGUUACACGGCUACUGUCGUGUACGUAAAAAUUUACAUACUACAAUUGUGCAUAUAUAUAAAAUGUUCCAGUUGACUAUCUAUUGGGCUGUAGUCGUGUAUUUUUACAACUUACACAACUUUUGUCGUGUAUAUGUGAAUUUACACUAUAGCAGACGUGCAAGUGUGAUAAAUUUAUACUUUUUUGUUUCGCAGGUGGAUAAAUAUGUUUGCGUGGCUUAUGUUGAUUUCAAAGGGAGGUGACCAGGGAUUUAUAAUACAUGGGUCGAGUGUUUGGGCUGAGCAUAUUAAUAACUAUGAUGAUUAUGUAGCAAGGUGACUAGGGGUUUAUAAUACAUGGGUUGAGUGUUUAGGCUGAGCAUAUUAAUAACUACGAUGAUUAUGUAGCAACUUCUAUUCUAUUAAUAACACGACUAUUAAUAACUAUGAUGAUUAUGUAGCAAUUUCUAUUCUAUUAAAACUUAUUUAUGAUUCGAACAUGUAUUGAACAUAUGUUGUUUGAUGUACAACAACUUUUAUUGUUUGUUGAAUUGAAGUUUGAUAUAUUAAAGCUUAUGUUGAUUGUGUUAUCAUUAUAAUAACUAUUUUAAGUGGUUUUUAUUCGACAAUAGUCGUGUAUUUGUAAAGUUAUCCGACUAUUGUCUUGUACAUAUAAUUGUACCUUACUAAAACUUAUUAAGAGACGAAUAAUUGGUAUUUCAGUGAUGGAUGAUGUACGUAUAUUGUUUUAAAGAUAUUCGACUACAGUCGUGCAUCUAUGAAAUCCUGACUGUAGUCGUGUAUCUAUGCAAAUACCCAACUGAAGUCAUGUAUGUAUGAAAAUAUUCUACUAUAGUCGUGUAUUUAUGAAAAUACUCAACUAUAGUCAUAUAUUUAUGAAAAUACCGACUGUAAUCGUGUAUUUAGGCUAAGCAUUCCUUGAAUUAUAUGAUCAUCCUGUUAUAUCACAUAAAUUGUACAAAACCAUCUUGUUGUCUUUGAAUAUUACACUUAACAAAAAACAAUUUAACACUACUAGUUGGAAAUACCUGACUGUAAUCUUGUGUCUAUGAAAAUACCCGACUAUACUGUAUUCAUGUAUUUUAGCCACUCAUUCCUUCAAUACACAUGAACACCCUGUUAUAUAACAGACAUUGUACAAAACUAUCUUCUUUCUCAAUAAUAUAUUUAACAAAAAAAAAGAAUACUAAUGUAAAAUCAUCUUUAAUGAUAUCAAAUGUCAAUAACAUCCCCAUUGCAACUAUUACAUCUUUUGAUAACUAAUUCAAAAAAUGGUAAAAUCACAACAAUGAAGUUUUUAAGAGUAUGACACUACGUAGUUGGUUUCGACAACCUGUGUCUAAAUAAUUUGACAGCCAAUGCUUUACGAAAUUGUGUAACAUCAUCUUGUUGACAAUAUAUGUUGACGUCAAGGCCAUGAGCUAGGACCUCCAAGUACUACAACAAAAAUGCUUCACAAUCACCACUAAUAAAAUUCAUAUACAUCAAUAAUAAAAUCAUCAUUCUUAUUGAAAAAAAAAACAAUAUAUAUGAUGUACUCAAUUGCAUACCCUGAUUUUAUUGUGAGAUAUUACGUACUCACAAGGAUGAUCUUCAUUUAUUUCUUCCACUGCAUCUAGUGAUAAUUGAUUAGAAAUCUUUGCUUUGAAGUAUUCAAAUUCCUUAAUUUUUAGUUCCAUUUGCAUAAACACAAAAUAUUUUAAUUAUAAUAUAAAACGACUGAAAAGUUGCAUAAUAAUAUAUUUUAGACCAAUCAAAAAAAUUACACUACACAUCAGUCGAGUAAAGCAUUAUUACACAACUACAGGCAAAUAAAACAUUCAUUACAGGACAACAGCCGAGUAAAGUAUUCAUUACAUGAUUACAGCUAAGUAAAGCAUUCAUUGCAUGACUACAACAAGCAUCAAAUAUGUUUUGACUUUUAUAUCUCCUUGAAUUUAAAUCCUUUCAUGAUAAAACAUAAUGUUUACAACAUAAAACUAAAUAAAAGCUAAAUAUAUUUUGUGAUUAUAUAAUAAGUAAAAGAUUCAACAUAUGUAUAAUUAUUUCAAGAAAAAGAAUCUCUAUAACAUCUGCUUCAUUGCACAGUACAAAGAAAAUGCAACUUUUACCUUAGAAAAUAAAUAAUGCCUUUAAUGCAUUGAAUUUAAUAAUACAGAGAGUAUAUUUAAUUAUAUGUUUAGUGAAUGUUGAAUCAUUUUGCCUAUUGUAAUGUAAUGUGAAUUCAUUAUUAUGCAAAUCUUGUGUGUUCUUGCAAGUUCCUAUGCAAUGUUAUCACAGGCCAUCAGCCAUCCUUGGACCUGCUUCUAAUGAAUUAGCUGUUCCAGACACAGUUAAGUCUUCAGAACUCAACUAAAGGGCAGUUGCAGAGAGACAAUAACUCAACAGAUGGAUGUACAAGAAGCAAAGCUUGCACAUGUAGAUUAAUUAAUAAUAUAAAAGAAAAGGACAGACAAUUGCUCUCAUUGGAACUCCCCAAAAGCUUUUGUGAUAGCUCCACACUCCAUCCCACCUUUUCAAAUUUUAGAUACAAAUUAAAUAGAUCAUUAAUAAAACUAAUAAUGGCACAUAAAUAGAACAGCUUGAAUUAAAUUGAAAGACAUGUUUCAAUCAAGAAGUCUAUUAUAUUCAGAAUCAGGUUCACAAACACGACAUUUACCAAAACAAUUGAUCAUUUAUCCUAAAGGUUUAAUCAAAUAAGUCACUGAAUCACAAAGUAAAUAGAGAUAAGCAAUCAAAUAAUUAUUUAAUACAUGAUUUCAGAAUAUUCAGUUCGCAGUAGCAAGAUUUAUAUGAUCAGAACACAUAUCAAAUUUUAACCAAAUAAGCAUCAAAUAAAACUACUCAACCAAGAAAUCAAAGUAAUUUGGCAACAAUUCUUAUUUCAACAGAGAAUUUACAGAAUGUCCCAAGCCAUAUGAAUACACAUGUGCUUAACUAUAAAGGUAUUAAAGUAGAUGCAUGAUAGAAUUUUAGCAAUUGGAAAAAGCAAAAAAAAAAAAAAGCAAAUUGCUAAAGCGUCACAACAAUAAAUAAUCACAUAAGUCACAACUGACUUCCUAAUGAAAACAACUACCACAUAAACACCAGAGCACACUGUGAAAUGAGUUUUGGAAAAAAAAAAAAAAAAGAUAACAAUAAGUAUACCUCGUUAAUGGCAAGCAUUUGACCAUUGCUUUCCUUGACCAUUUACAGCUUUCUAAGAAAGUACUUAAAAACCAAACAAACAUGAAAAACCAACAAAUAUUUCACGAAGCUCAACCAAUCUCACUCCAAUCAUUCAAUGAAGAAUAUUGAAUCCAUAGAACACGAACAAAAUCACUCACCAGAACUUGGACUUGGCUUGGAUCUCAUUUGUGGCUCACAACUUCAUCCUGUAAAUCUUAGGAUGCUCAUCGGACUCAUUUGUGAGAGUUCUCCCAACAACCUGCUACUGGUGAAACUGCACAACAGCCUCACCGAACGAGAGUUUAUUGUUUUUUUUUCAUGUUUCGGUCGGAUUCAAUUUGUAUGAAUUGGGGGAAAUUGGGCGUUGUGGAUGUUGUUCGUGAAUGAUGAAUUGAGCGCUACGUUCGUGGGCCCGAUGUCAUGAAUGAUUUUGGGAAAUAAGGUUUUUAAUUAAGGUAAUUUAGUACUGGUACAUAAAAAAAAAGUAUAUACGGGAAAAUUUGAAGUACGGGGGUGUAUCAGGAUAAAUAACGUAUUUUAAGAAUAUAGCAGGGACAAAUCCCUGGCGAAACACAGUUUUUGUCUUACCUCUCUCAAAAUGCACGGUCUGUACGCAUCACCACCUCUCUCAAGACUCACGAUGACUGUACUCAUCGACACCUCGAAGUCUCUAACGGAGCUUCUCCGUCCCGGCCGUCACGUCCAACACCAAAAGAUCAAGAUUCACCGACGAAGUCAUUUCUCACUUUGCAUUUGGGUAUAAUGGGUUUCAAUUUUGAACAAUAAAAGGAAAUUUUGUGAAGGAGAGAGGGGGAGGGGAAUUCUCAAAAGUUCAUCAGCCAUGAAAGGUUUGAUAUUCUUUUCUUAAAUCUUAAAGUAUUUUGGAUUUGUCUCAUUGAAAGGUUUAUUUUAUUUUAAUUUUUUCUGGAUCAUUGAAGUUGCUAUUCUUGGUAUUCUAAAGAUGGGUUGUCAAGCAUUGCAAGAAUAUUUACCUGUUAUGCCAUGUUUGUCAAUUUCAAUGAAAUCUGAGAAAAUCCAUUUCCCUGGUCCGUUCAAGGAGCCUUGAGAUUUGUGAGUCAUUGUGUAGUUGGUUUACAAAAUAGUUUGUUGUUGAAAAUGCUUUGUUUGUGACCGGUGAAAUGGUGCUGAAGAUAAGUUGAUUUGAGCACUGGGGUAAUCAUCCCCACUGCAAUCCUUUUUUUUAAUUUUUUUUUUAUGUAUACAUAUAUUGUAUGUAUAUAUAGAAAGGAAGAAAUAUAAAGUUUCAUACAGUGUUACUUAUAUUUUCUGGCUCAUACAUCGUUUACGUGCCCUCUUUUUCCUUUCAACCAGAAAAUAUCCACAGCGGCUGCAUAUUACACAUGGUUCUUGUGCUACAAACAAUAUGUUAGUUUGAUCAUGGAAGUAUAAAUUGAAAAAGUGGCAUAAUGUUUUUGUUUUAACCUUUAAUUACCACUUUUUAGUGAGGUAUUUAUUUUGCUUCCUUGUUCAUUUUUUCUAUGGGAUUUCAUGUUUGAUCUAGUUUGACAUGCAUUAUACAAUUAUCAAUUUUACCAUGGUUAGAGUUUUAUAAAUUUCUUGAAAUUUUUCGUAUUAGGAUCGGUUUAGAAGCAUUAAUGUGUGAAACUUAGAAAAUUUAUUUAUGCAAUGCUCUAUGUUCUCUCUUUAUAAUUUGUGAAGAAAUAGAAAAAAAGAGGAAGUCAUGUAUUUAUUCUCUGAAAAAGAAAACAACCCGAUCCCCACUCCGACCUGUCCCCAUCGCCAGCAAUAUGGACCUAUAAAGUUCAUCCGACUACAUUGAUUGAAUUGUUAUUUAACCCCUUGAUUGACAUGUUUGACUAUCUGGGUAUUUAUAUUGUUGUAGUUAUUUUUUUCUUCUAAUUUGUGCAUUUCUCAUUUAAUAGAAUGCAAGAAUGAUGAUUUUUUUUCAGGGGCUUGAUAGUGAGCAUCAACAAAAUCAAGUUACGUAUUUGAAUCAAAGAUAUCGCAGCUAUUGGUUAGCUGGGAGCUGUUUUUAUCUGACCGACCUGUAAGCUCAUAAUCCAAAUCCAUUAUGAUUCAUUAUUUUUAUCUACGUGUGGAUUAAUGCAUUGGAGCAUCGGUUAGUUGCUGUAAAUUAGUUUAUGAAUUAUUUAUUGAUUGGUGGAUGUGGUUUUGAAUUAUCAACAUUAUUGUAAUUGAGUGAGUUGAUAUGCACUGUAAUUAAGAUCUCCAACUUCAUUGAUGCACGUUGGAGGAUUUGAUGUGUAGUGAUAGUUGGAUAUGUGCUCUUUAUGGACGUGCGUAUAUGGUUUAAAUUUUGACUUUUAUAUUUGCAUUUUUUAACUUAAGUAAUAACUGCUUGAUUUUGAUUUUCAUUUGUCUUUUUUUGUUAGCCGUGGCAUGUACCUGUCAUGCCAAGAUUAUUGAUGACUAUAGAGUUUUAAUUUAUAUUAUUACAUUAAGUAUUUAUUAAGUUGAAAUUGUUAAAACAUGUUUUUUUUUAUUUUGUGCACUCUUUAUAGGUUUGUGAAGCAUGGCAGAAUGUACAUCAAUGCUGAUGGUUCUUGAACCUAUAGCAAGUUUAGUGAUGGUUCCUAAAAAGCUACUGCAAGUUUUGUGUACAAGGCUUAUAAUUAUUUUGAUUUGUCUUGUAAAUUUAGAAUAAAUAUGUUUGAUAAUUACUUCUUUUGGUUAUUUAGAGGAUGUUAAAAUUUGAUCAUUUGCCCUGGUUAGAAAGUUGUAUAUUCAAAAAUAUUAAUUUUCCUGGAAAAAGAAAGGAGAACCAUGCCCAUAAGCUGUGUACAUGGUGUCUCAUUCAAUGAAAUUCUCUCCCUUUAUUUUGGUAAUUAUCAAAUUUAUGUAAUUAAUCAUAUCAUGUUGGACACUUUCUUAUCUCACUGCUUUCUCAAAUAUACAAAUAUCAUAUUAACACGUGAAUUCAUUAUACACUUCAAUCUACUGGUGCUUAACAAAAUUGAAAGCAAAUGAUAAUACUGCAUGUGAGGGCCAAAGCAAAAAACUCUAAUAUUGCCAGUGAAGCCUAACUCAUUCCACCCUACUAUUCCGUUAAAAUCAAAGGCACUAAGCAAGUACAUCAAUACGUAGACCACAUAAUCCAUAAAGUUGUCUACUAUCAUUGUGCAGCAUGUGGAGUGGAGACUUAAUCCUUUAUAAGUAUAACCCCUCAUUGUGCAGCAUGGGGAGUAGGGACUUAAUCCUUAAUAUAAACAUAGACCUCAAUAUGAGAAGUAAUUUUCAAUCUCUGCGUUAUCUUUGAUGCACCGGGUUAUGAUCUGCAACUACCUAAUCCAGCCAUAUGCUUCAAUGAACAGAAAAUGCAAAGUCAGCUACUGGCGGCGACCGUGCCCCAUUCGCAGCUGACCUAAGCAUGCUUUCUCCAUGUCUUGAUAGAUAGAAUGUGUUGCAACAUCAACAUGCUUUUGAUGGUUCAAAACGCUUGAACGAAUCCUAUCCUUCAAACAAUUGAAACUAUAGGUGAUAAGGUUGAUAACAAUGCGUGCCCUCUCAGUAUCCAAAUGAAACUUGAUCUAAGACACUAUAGUAGCUCCUCCAAUUAACUACACUACAUAUAUCUCGUCCAUCUUCAGCCCUGAAUGCUUAAGUUCACAAAGCUCUUCCAACUUUUGACAGGCAAUGCCGCCCUUAAAACAAACCCAGCCUAUACCCAUGUAAAUAUAUUUGGAUUUAUUAGCUGUAUGUCGCAAAACAAAUUUUGCACCAAAAUUGGUAAGUACAUUUUAUAUAUACUAGCACUCUAGCAGCAUGAAUCAAAAAGAAAGGGAAAAUAAGCCAAUAUAAUUUAUUAGUGUGUGUGUGUGUAAUAGUUUACCAAAUGAAAGCACCACUUGUAAAUUUGAAAAAAGGAAAAAAGGAAAAAGGAAUCUCAUGCAAGAAUUGGAAUCCAAAAUGUAAUGGCUCAGUCAGUCUUGAGUCAUUUUAUUGUAGGUGUCUUAUAAUGCCAUAUUAAAGAACAAAGCACUUGCAAGAGAAAAUGCAUCCCUCGCACAUCAAACUCUAUUUGUCAUGUUCUACAGUUCCUCACCCAUUUAAAGAACACAUAAAUUGAUAUAAUAAACUUAAAACGUACCUCAAAAUAGUAAAAUCUGCACUUAAACUCCACAUACCUGAAGUCCCUAUCAUCAUAGAGAGAUUUAACUGAUAUUGGUUCCAUUGUGUUCGCACAAAGAAUUGCUUUUGUACAUUUAACUUGCUUCUUCACUUCAGCUAUAGCCUUGGCAGACUUCCUCAAGUCUCCCUAUUACCAAUUUGUUUAUUGAACUCAUCUGCAAAGUAUUCAACCAACAGUAAUUCCAUAUUUUGACUGCCAAGUUCUGCAUCUCAUCUAAUAUCCUUAACCUGCAAAAUUGUCAAAUAUCAACUAGCAUCUAAAAGUGAUUAGAUAUGCAGAACAUAACAAGUGGCACAUAAAGAUUGUAUAGAGCACGGAUGAAGUGAAGAAAAAAUAAUGCUACGGGAAUAAUAACCACUCAACUCAUAUUGCAUGCUUAUAUCCCAAAAUUAUUUAGUCAAAGAGUACAAAUACUUACAAAUAGCUUAUGAAUCCAUCAUAAUGGCUAUCAAAUACUAUUGUUCUAACUAUGUUAUCAGAGGCUUCCAAUUCAUAUUAUUGCAGCUCUCUAAAUCGCUAGAUUUCCGCUUACGAGCCCCCGCUAGCGUCAUUCCUGUAAUGAAAUUACAAAAUCAUUUAUCGUUUCCAAUUCACCUUCUCUUAAUCUAAUAAAUAAACAUAGGUUCUUGCAAGCUAAUUACAAGUUUUAAAUCUUUUCAAAAAAAAAAUUACAAGUUUUAAGAAAGAAUUACCUACUGCGUCGGUUGAUUCGAUCCGCACAAGAAUAAAUCAAAGUGUCGCAAGAUUUAUUCUGAUUUGAUAUAUACCUUAACUUUCAGCAUGGUUAACUUUCAAUUGCACUUUGCCGCGAUGAUUAUAAUUUCGCCGUCGAUUGCCCGAAAGUGAAAGGCCAUAUUCAUGUUCUAAUCACUAGAAGUUUUUAAUUCCCACAAAAGUUGCAAUCCUCUAAUUCUAAUUUUACGUCUUAAUUGCUGUCUCGAGAUCAAUUUUCUGCAGAAAUCAGUGAAACUCUAAUCAAUUCUAAGAAAUUUCUGGAAUCUACGCUCACUGAAAUGCUAUAAGAUUAGUACUCAACCAGCUGCAACGGUUGCUAGUCACUGCAUCAAUUAUCCAAUAAUUAAUUUCAACCGUUAGAUUGAAUAAGCAAGCAUCCAACGACUUUGUUAAAUAAGGAUAAAAACUAUGGUAUGAUACUACAGUUGCAACAUAGAUAGAUCCCACAAACAAAUAAAUAUCAAUUUUCUUGAGAUUUCUUUUAAUAAAAGGAGGCAGAGGAGAAAAUCGGAAAAGGAUCUGGCGCGAAUUGUUGAUGAAGAAGAUGACGAAAGAUUUAUGAUUUGGGUAUUAACUAACUUCCUUAUAUAUAUAUGUAUGUCUAAUUUUUUAGUCCUAAUAUUGAUUGGCUAGUUAUUUCUGACAUUUUUGCCCACAUAACUAAUUCUUCUUGUAAGGAAAGAAAUCUAAUAAUAUUGUCAUCUUUAUCCUUAUUUAGUUAUGGAAUAAAAGAGUUCAAUUUUUCUCUAUAAUUUAUAAUUUAUUAUUAAAUUAAUUUAAUCACUAAGGGUAUAUAAAUUAUUUAACUUCAUUCAUAUUUUCAAAAUAUUUAAAUUUUAUAACUAACAUCAAAAUUAUAAGUAAAAUGAUCAAAUGACAUAUAAAGUUAAUAUCAUUAUAACUGUAGAAGCAUUUGAACCUAUUUUUAAAACAUGAGAGACAAUUUCGUUUAAUUUUUUCUAAAUAAUAACAGUCCUCAUUUUUCUGUUUUAACGAAUGUCUUUUGUGAAUGUGUGGUCUUCUGUAAAAUUGAAAUUGUAAUCCGUUAUCUAAAAAACGCAAUGAAAAUUUUAAAUAAGCUACUUAGAAAAUUUUAAAACGCAAUGAAAAUUUUUCAGAUUCUGGCGAAAUAGAAACUUUGUCCAAUUGCUUCUCAGAUUUGAAAAGAGCAGGCAACGAACAGCUACUUGUCCUCAUUAAUUCAUAGGAGCGACGUCGGUUUGAUACCUCCUAAAAUUAUUUCGAUUAUAAGGGGAAAAAAUACGGAAUUGAAAGUAUAUUAUAUUUGAGCUGUUUUCGGAAUGAUUUGAGUGCUCUCUAGAAGGAACUAGAGUGCUCUAGCGAUUGCACAGCUUUAUUUAUUUUAUUUUUUCUCUUUUCGCUUUUAAAUGUUAUAAAAUCUAUGCGGUGUGGGCCGUAUUUCCGCAAUUAAUUAUUUAAUCAAAUUGUAAAGUGAUCGUUAGAUCUAAUCCAAUGGCCAAAAAUACUCUCUUGUAUUAUAACUAUAAUUCAAGCUCAUAAUUUAAUAAUAAUAUUAUAUUAUCAACUCGUACAAAUUAAUAACUUUUGUAAAUUUUAACAAAUUUUAGAUUUUAGAUUAGAACACACAUAUAUGUACACACACAUAUAUAUUAAACAAUAAACACAGACAAAAAUUAAUGCUAUUUUAUACAACAUAAAUGGCCCAUGUUUCAAAUUAAAACAUUGGCAUUAAUUGCGUUUUGACAUUUGGCAAGGACAGACAAUGAACAACUUGUUUUCAAUAAGGGAGUCUCUAUGUUACAUUGAAUGUACCAUACACAACCACUAAGAACCACAUAAAUUGUGGGACCCACAUAAUUGUGUGGUUCUUAUUAGUUGUGUAUGGUACAUUCAAUGUAACAUAGCAAAAUCCUUUCAAUAAUUAACAAGAUGAAAGGAAAUCCAAACACAGGUUGAAUGACAUGUCUUACCUUUUUGUAAAUGCCGACUUUUCAAAGACCAAUUUUGUCAUAAAACAAGCAUAAAAAAAUAAAUCUAAUUGGUUAAAAUAAUUAUAAAUAAAUUAUUUAAAAAAUAAAAAGAAUUAAAUUUUAAAUGAAUUAUAAUUUGAAAUUUUUUAUUCUUUAUUUUGUAUUUAUUAAUUUAAUUAUAGAAUAAGUUCAUUUAAUGUUUAUAUUUUUUUAAUUUUAAUUAUACUUUAUAAUAAAUAUUGAAAAUUUAACAUCAAUGGGAGAACUUGUCAUAAUAAAAAAUAAUUUCCUUUAUCUUUAGAAUUUUAUAUCAAACCUAGGAAUGGUAGGAAAGCCCAUAUGGGCAAUGCGAACCAAGCUUUGUCCUACUCGAGAGUGAGGCGAGCCAGAUCCAGGCUUUAAUAGUACAUUUGAUAAGUUUGGGCAUGGGAAGCCCUAAUUUUAUUGAAAAAGUUUUAAAAUAUUAAUUAUAUUGAAUAAUUAUAUUUACUUAUUCACCUCUUACAUAUGUUAGGAAUUUUAAACCUUUAGCUUCAACUUUUCAAGCCUAAUUUUAUUAUAAUAAAAUUUUAAAAAUUAUAAAUUUAUCAAAAAAAUUAUAAAAUACAAACUCUUGGCUUUCUAUGCCCAGAUAAAAUAGUCCUUAGUCAUUACACUCCCCUCUCCUUCCAAUUCCUCUCCUUAAUUCUUCUUUCCUUUGCUUUUUAUUUUUCCUCUCAUUUAUUCAAACCAAACACUACCAUAAAAUAUUAACCCAAAAUUUGUUAGAAUUUUAGUAUAUCACCCAACAACCAUCUAUAAUUUUAGUAUGUUAGAUAGUGUAGAGGAAAAGAAAUUCCAUAUUAGACAAAAUUGAAAAAUAAAAAAUUAGUUGAAAAAUAUUCUCAAAUCUGCAUCGAUUUGUGUACAGUAGUGACCCCCUUCUCAAUUGCUUCCAACCAUUGAUUAGAGAAAUCCUUGAGUAGCAGCAAAGUGUUUACCCUUUUGGUGGAAUUUAUUAUUUAUACCCCAAAUUAGAAUCCUUGAUAUAAAAAGGAAAACUCUAAGUUACAUUUCAUGUAACUUACACUCACGAUAUAAAAAGGGAUUGUUCUUAUAAAAAGGAUUGUUAUUUCACAAAAGAAAAAAGGACCAAAAUAUACAAAAUGUAGAAAGAAAUUUCUCUCUUUAAUUUUGAGAGAAAUUUUUUUCUAUUGUUAGUUGUUUAUAGUAGUAAUAAAGACGCCCAUAUAUCAAGUGCAGAUUGAAUUUGAGUCAUAACUUGAAAAAUCGUUGGUGAUAGAUCAUGAUCUAGUAAGAUCAUCGAUGACAGAUAAUAAUCUAAUAAGAUUAGUGGUGAACGAUUGUGACUUCAAAGGCUAAAUUACUUAGUUAAAUUAUUUCUACGAGAAAGUAAAGGUAUGAUUUCUAGAUUAUGAUAAUUUCAUAUAAUGUAUGGGAACUUCAAUCUAAAUAUUUAUAAUAUAAAACUAUUUUUAACCAACAAUUCCUACAUAUAGUUUGAUGAAAACAUAUAUAGAGAUGAUAUAAUUAUUUCAAAGUAAGUUUAUUUUCAAAAAACUAUUAUCCAUUUACUAAGUUCACUAAGUUUCAUACUCAUUCUAUUUUUCUAUAUUCUUCAUCCCCCCAGCCCAAAACCUAAACAAGAGAUUCGCAGGCACAUGAGAGACCUUUUGAUAAGAGAUAUUUUGAGUUAUUCCCACUUGAUGGUCCUAGGAUUGACAUAUGUUAUUAUUAUGACAUUUUGGAUUGUAUAACUAUAUUUUGAUUAGAUGAUUAAGGAUGAUUAAUGUAUGUUGACAUUAGAAUGGUUGGGUGAUAUUUGGUGUUAUAGUUGAGGAGAUUGAUUGAUGAAUUUAGUUGAAUAAUGAACUAUUUCAGAAGUGUUUAUUUUAUACAUUUGCGGCUUUGGAAAACUUAUAAAUGUAGGGGAAACUUUGCCCCAUUUUUUCGGCAAAUUCAUAUUAAUAAGUUUAUUACUAGUCAAGUUAGAUGAUAAAUAGACAAAUUCACCUUUAAAAUUCGAGGGGGUCGUUUCAUCUAAUUCUUUUAUCUUUAUCUAGGAUUAUAGUGUCCAAAAAUUAAGUAAAUAAUUAUUAGUAUUAAUUUGAUUGGAUUAUUAUGGUUAUUGAUUUAUUUUCAUAUUUCAUUGUUAAAUUUUUUUAUUAUGUCAUUCACUAUAAGAAAAAUGAUAAUAGAUGACUGAAACUUUAUGAUAAAAAUCACUAUAUCAUAAGAGUAUGAUAGGGUUGUGAUAAAAUUAUUGUCUAUCAAAUGAUUAAUGAUGUACUUAUGAUAUAAUUUGUGUUUAUUGAGAAUUUAUGAUAGGAUAGUGAUAAAAAUAUAUUCUAUUGAUGUGUUCAUAAUUUAUCUAUUAUUUUAAUACUUCUUUAACUUAAUUUUAGGUUAAAUUAUAUCUUAUUAUAUUAAUUUUAUCUUAAUUUUUAUAUUUUUUUAUUUUAGGUACAAUAUGGGAUUAAAGAGGAAUAAAAUCGGAACAUUCAGGAGAAAAUCACCUUGAAGGAAUUAAAAAGGGAAAGAAAUAAAGAGAAUUAAUUGGAACAAGUCACAAAGGAUCUAAUUUAAUUAAUCAUUAAGCAUGCAUGCACGUGGGGCAGCAUUUGAAGAAUUAGUUUUCAAAGAAAAUAUGGCUUGCACGUGAACUUGGGCCUUUUGAUUUAGAAAUAUAAUGGCCUAAGAUUGUAAAGGUGGGGUCGGCAAUUUUAAUCCUUUUCAUUUAAGGAUUUAAGAAGCCACAACAUUAUAAAAGGGCAAAGCCAAGCGGAAGCAAAUGAGAAGAAAGGCAGCCGCACAAGAAGAAGAACAACCAAGAGAAAAUAAAGAGAAGAGCAGCAGCCGCAAGUUUGGAGCAAAACCGAGAGCAGCAGGAAUAAUUUGGAGCAGGAGGAAGACGCAUUAAUUCUUAAGUUUUUCUUUUCCUCUUCUCUAAUAUCUUGCUUGAAUGUUUCCAAUUAAAUUCAUGGAUUCUCUUUAUAUUCCCAUGAACUAAUUUAUUUUACUAGGGCUACGAUGUAGCCUAACUAUGAAGAUUUAAUUCCAUAAAUCUAUGUUAUUUUUAAUUAAUUAUUCCAUGAUUGAGUGUUCAUUAUUAUGCUUAAUGCUUUUAAAUUUCUGGCCAAUAUUUAAAUGAUUUGAGGAUACAUAAUGAGACCGAGAGGAGAUUUAAAUUGAACGAAAGACAGAGAUGUGCCAACGUGAUUCGUGCAGUUUUAUCUAAGAAUUUCCAUAGAACUUAAUGAAUCUUUGCAUAUUUAAAUUCACAUAGAGAUAUAGUGGGUUGAUAUGUGGAGAUAUUUUUUAUAUUACUCGAGAGAGGAUAUUGAAUAAAUUAGGGAAAUUCACUGUCAACAUGGGUAAUAAACUUUAAUAGCAUAGAUGGAGGAUUAAAUUGGAUUGGUUAUGGUGAAAUCGGAUGUCCUAGUGUUUUAAUCUCUUGGUGAUUUCUAUUACUGCAUGCGUCUUCAUUUAAUUUUUAAUUAUUUUAUUUUAUUUAACUUUAAUCUAAAUUCGCCUAAUCGAUUGUUCAAAUAAAGUAGGGUUAGGAUAAUUUCGGUAACUAAUAGGAUAUACAAUCUCUGUGGGACGAUACUCUACUCUUCAUUAUAUUACUUGUGCCGACUAGUACACUUGCUAAUUUACGCAACAAGUUUUUAGCGUCGUUGCCGGGGAUUGUUUGGAUUAGUAUCGAUACCAACUAACCUUAGUUUAAUUUGAAUUUUAUUUUUAUUGUUUUUAUUUGAAUUUUUAUUUUCUUGUUUAAUUUUAUGAGCGUUCAAGAAGUUUUGAUUUAUUGCCUUUUGAUCCAGAGAUUGAACGUAUGUGUAGAAGGCUUAAUAAAGAAAUGAGAGAAGCUUUACAGGAGCAAAAACUAAUCAUGGCUGACGAAACAUUACAUGGAAAUGAGGAUGCGAGACCCUUAAGAGAUUAUGUUGUGCCUACAGUUAAUGGUGCUCGCUCAAGCAUUGCACGUCCGGCCAUUCAAGCCAAUAAUUUUGAAAUUAAGCCAGCCAUAAUCCAGAUGAUUCAGACAUCAGUACAGUUUGCUGGGAUGCCAAAUGAUGAUCCAAAUGCUCAUAUUGCAAAUUUCUUAGAAAUUUGUGACACAUUUAAGCAAAAUGGUAUUUCAGACAAUGCUAUCAGGCUAAGGCUUUUUCCGUUCUCACUAAGGGAUAAAGCAAAAGAGUGGUUGAACUCACUCCAUGCUGGAACAAUCACUACUUGGGAUGGUUUAGCACAUAAGUUUUUAGCAAAGUACUUUCCUCCAGCAAAAACAGCCAAGUUGAGGAAUGACAUCACAACCUUUGCUCAGUUCGAGAUGGAAUCAUUAUAUGAAGCGUGGGAGAGAUACAAAGACCUACUAAGAAAAUGCCCACAUCAUGGUCUACCAGUUUGGCUUCAAGUCUAGACAUUUUACAAUGGUUUGGGAUCCAAUACCAGAACAAUAAUUGAUGCUGCAGCAGGAGGAACGUUAAUGGGAAAAACACCAGAAAUAGCUUAUGAAUUAUUGGAGGAGAUGGCAUCCAACAAUUACCAGUGGACUUCAGAGCGAUCAAUGCCAAGGAAAAUUGUAGGAGCCCAUAAUGUUGAUGUUGUCACUGCUUUAUCUGCACAGAUGAUUGCUUUAUCUAAUAAGCUGGAGCACCUAAAUAUCAGUGCUAUUCAAACUCAAGUGUGUGAAUUAUGCGGAGGGAACCAUACCAGUGUCAACUGCCAAGUUGGAAGUCCUUUUGCGUCGUCAUCUGCUAAACAAGCUCAUUAUGUGUCAAACUUCCAGAGGCAACAAAAUAACCUAUAUUCUAAUACCUACAAUCAUGGGUGGAGAAACCACCCGAAUUUGUCAUGGAACAACACUCAAAAUACAUUGAAGCCACCUCCAGGAUUCCAAUCACAAGAGAAGAAGUCAAAUUUGGAAGAUACUCUUGCCCAACUUACAACAAAUAUGUCUCAAUUCAUGACCAAAACAAAGACAACUUUUCAGAAUCAAGCUGCAUCAAUCCGGAACCUCGAGGUGUAAAUAGGUCAGAUUGCAAACUUGUUAUCCAGCAGACCACAAAGCUCUCUACCGAGCAACACAGAGACAAAUCCAAAGGAACAAGUGAAUGCAUUAUGCUUCGGAAUGGUAGACAACUUGAAGAUCCGCCAAAAGAAGUACAAGAAGUUGAAGAAGAUAACAUGGAGCAAACUAAGGACACCACUAGAACAUCUGAGACAGAAAGUGCAGAAAUUCCACAAUCACAACAAUCAGCACCAGUCAAAGCCUAUGUCCCUCCAAUCUAGUUUCCUCAGCGUCUUCGGAAAAACAAAUUAGAUAAGCAGUUCUCUAAAUUUCUUGAUGUCUUUAAAAAGUUGCAUAUUAACAUUCCUUUUGCAGAUGCAUUAGAACAAAUGUCGAGCUAUGCUAAAUUCAUGAAAGAAAUUUUAUCCAAUAAGAGGAAAUUAGAAGAGCAUGAAACCGUGUUGUUAACUGAAGAGUGAACUGCAAUUCUACAGAAUAAAUUGCCACCGAAGUUGAAAGAUCCAGGGAGUUUUUCUAUCCCAUGCACUAUUGGAAAUACUUAUUUUGAUAAAGCUUUGUGUGAUUUAGGUGCAAGUAUUAAUUUGAUGCCCCUCUCUGUUUUCAGGAAAUUAGGACUUGGUGAACCAAAGGCAACAACUGUUUCUCUUCAAUUGGCAGAUAGGUCUAUAAAGUAUCCUAGAGGAAUGAUUGAGGACGUACUUGUUAAGGUCGAAAAGUUUAUAUUUCCUAUAGAUUUUAUUGUUUUGGAUAUGAUUGAAGAUUGAGAGAUACAAAUUAUUUUAGGCCGACCAUUCUUGGCCACGGGAAGAACUCUUAUUGAUGUCCAAGAAGGAAAACUAAUCCUUAGGGUGCAAAAUGAGCAAGUCACUUUCAAUGUGUUCAAAGCAAUGAAAUACCCAUUAGAGAUUGACAUGUGCCUUCAAAUAGACACCAUCGAUAAGGAGAUAAUUGAGAGCUUUCGUGAUACAAUGCCGAAUUACACACUAGAAGGAUGUAUUGUUCACUCUGGGACUACUCAAUCUACAAAUACAAGUAUUCAGGAGUAUGCACGGUAUUUAGAAGCUUCACCAUUUUACUUGCUUUCGAAAAGGCCAGAAUUGGAAGAGCUUGGUAGAAGUCCUUCUAGACCAAAACCUUCAAUAGAAGAACAUCCAAAACAUGAGCUUAAGCAGUUGCCCUCUCAUUUAAGGUACGCUUAUUUAGAUGAUAACUCUAAGCUACCAGUUAUUAUUUCUUCUGCCUUGACAGAUCUUGAAGAGGAAAAGGUACUUCGAGUUUUGAGAGAUCACAAAGCUGCUCUAGGAUGAACUAUUGCCGACAUCAAAGGAAUAAGCCCUUCAAUUUGCAUGCACAAGAUUCUAAUGGAGGAGAGUUAUCAGCCGACAGUAAAGCCACAAAGGCGCCUAAAUCCGAACAUGCAAGAAGUGGUUAGGGCAGAGGUGCUUAAAUUAUUGGAUGCUGGGAUAAUUUAUCCAAUCUCUGAUAGCAAAUGGGUCAGUCCAGUGCAAGUGGUACUAAAGAAGGGAGGAAUGACGGUCGUGAAGAAUGACAACAAUGAACUUAUACCAAUAAGGACAGUCACAGGUUGACGGGUAUGCAUGGAUUACAGAAAACUUAAUGCUGCUACUAGAAAAGACCAUUUCCCACUACCUUUUAUUGAUCAAAUGUUGGAGAGACUUGCUGGCCAUGCCUACUAUUGCUUUUUAGAUGGAUAUUCAGGCUAUAAUCAAAUCCCUAUAGCACCAGAAGAUCAAGAGAAAAUCACUUUCACAUGUCCUUAUGGUACAUUUGCUUAUAGAAGAAUGUCAUUCAGCUUAUGCAAUGCACCAGCUACCUUUCAACGUUGCAUGAUGGCGAUAUUUUCUGAUAUGGUGGAGAGAUUCAUUGAGGUGUUUAUGGAUGAUUUCUCAGUUUUUGGAUCUUCAUUUAACCGUUGUCUAAACAAUUUAGAUCUAGUUUUACAGCGAUGUGAGGAGACAAACUUGGUUUUGAAUUGGGAAAAAUGUCACUUUAUGGUGCAAAAAGGCAUUGUACUAGGUCAUCGUAUUUCAGCUAAAGGAAUUGAAGUUGAUAGAGCGAAGAUCGAAGUCAUUGAGAAGUUGCCACCACCGACUUCCGUGAAAGCAGUAAGAAGUUUUCUAGGGCAUGCCGGAUUUUAUCGACGUUUUAUUAAAGAUUUUUCAAAGAUAACGAAACCCUUGUGCAACCUUUUACUCAAGGAUGUACCUUUCAAUUUUACCAAUGAGUGUUUGUAGGCUUUUAACACUUAAAAAGAUAAACUUAUUUCAGCUCCAGUUAUUAUGGCUCCAGAUUGGGAUCUGCCGUUCGAGGUGAUGUGUGAUGCGAGUGACUAUGCUAUUGGAGCAGUUUUGGGGCAGCGGUAUAACAACAUGUUGCAUGUUAUUUACUAUGCAAGUCGAACUCUGACAGACGCGCAAUUGAAUUAUGCUACCACUGAGAAAGAGUUUCUAGUCGUUGUGUUUGCACUUGAAAACUUCCGCUCAUAUUUGAUUUGCUCCAAGGUAAUAGUUUACACUGAUCAUUCAGCUCUCAAGUAUCUAUUCACAAAGGCAAAUGCAAAACCAAGACUGAUCCGUUGGGUGCUCUUACUACAAGAAUUUGAUUUAGAGAUUCGGGAUAAGAAGGGAUCUGAAAAUCUAGUGGCGGAUCACUUAUCUCGGUUAGAGCAAGGAGAGCGAGGGGAUAAUGUAAUGGUUUCAAUCACCGAAGAAUUUCCUGAUGAAAAGCUGCUGGCCUUGCAGACUUGCGACGCACCAUGGUAUGCAGAUUUCGUGAACUAUUUGGCGAGUGCCGUUGUUCCUUAUGAUUUAUCAUAUCAACAGAAGAAGAAAUUCUUUUCAGAUGUCAAGUAUUAUCUUUGGGAAGAUCCGUUCUUAUAUAAGUACUGUUCAGACCAAAUCAUUCGACGAUGUGUCCCAAAAGAAGAGAUGAGAAGCAUUCUACAACACUGUCAUUCUCGUGAAGUCGGUGGACAUUUUGGCGCAACCAAAAUUGCGGCAAAAGUGCUUCAAUAAGGUUUUUAUUGACCUAUCUUAUUUAAAGAUGCUUAUGUUUUUGUUGCUGCUUGUGACCGGUGUUAGAGAACUGGUAAUAUUUCAAGGAAGAAUGAAAUGCCACUAACUAAUAUUCUUGAAGUAGAAUUAUUUGAUGUCUGGGGAAUUAACUUCAUGGGGCCGUUUCCAUCUUCCUUCAAGAAUAAAUAUAUUCUGGUAGCUGUUGAUUAUGUUUCUAAGUGGGUUGAAGCUGUUGCUUUGCCUUCCAAUGAUGCUCGAGUUGUUGUGAGUUUUUUGAAGAAAAAUAUUUCACACGGUUUGGCACUCCCAGAGCAAUUAAAAGUGAUGGUGGCAAACAUUUUUGCAAUCGACAAUUUGAAGCCCUCUUGAACAAAUAUGGAGUCACACACAGAGUUGCCACCCCUUACCAUCCACAAACUAGCGGCCAAGUUGAAGUUUCAAAUCGAGAAUUAAAGAGAAUUUUGGAGAAAACAGUAAACGCUUCACGGAAGGAUUGGUCGAUAAAAUUAGACGAUGCACUCUGGGCGUAUCGAACAGCUUUCAAAACACCUAUUAGUAUGUCUCAUUAUCGUCUAGUAUUCGGAAAAGCAUGCCAUCUACCUGUUGAACUUGAGCAUAGGGCAUAUUGGGCGAUGAAGAUUUUGAACUUUGACAUGCAAGCAGCAGGAGAAAAGAGAUUGUUGCAACUUAAUGAACUGGAUGAAUUUCGCAAUGCAGCUUAUGAGAAUGCUCGAAUCUAUAAAGCCCACACUAAACAUUGGCAUGACAAGCAUAUACUCAGACGUGAAUUUCAAGUUGGCCAAAAUGUUUUAUUAUAUCAUUCUCGACUUCGAAUUUUCCCAGGCAAGUUGCGAUCCCGUUGGUCUGGUCCUUUUAUGAUAACACAAGUCUUUCUGUCUGGCAUGGUAGAAGUUUCACAUGAUACAAAGGGCACAUCCAAGGUUAAUGGUCAUCGAUUGAAGCCUUAUUUGGAUGAUGCAUUUGAUAAGCACAAGAUAGCUAUUGAGCUGUCUAGUCCUGAAUGACAACUAGAGACAGUCAGGCUAAUGACUAUAAAUUAAGCGCUUCUUGGGAGGCAACCCAAGCUUUCUAAACUUUAUUAUUGUCAUUUUUAUCUUGCCUUAUUUUUCUUUUCCUUUACUUAUUUUGUUUUGUUUUAGGAUUGUGCACAAGUUUGGGGGUCGAUGAACAUCAACUUUCCGCAUGCCUUUCAACGACUCAGCUACAACUUUAUAUCUUCAAGUGCAAAACCGGGGGAGUUUCUCUUUUCCUUUUCUUUUUCUUUACAUUAAGGACAAUGUUUAUUUUAAGUUUGGGGGUGGGAAUAUUUGUUUUCAUUUUUUUUUUUAAAAAAAAAGAGAUUUUAAUGCCUAUGAUGAGUUUAUGAUUGAAAAUGAAUAUGGUUUUUAGAAAGGGAUGAAUAUUGUCUUAGUUUAUACUUGAUUCUUUUGUUAGUUUCGUCUUGAUUGAGAUUCUUUAACUAUCUUGCGCACUUAUAUCGAUUCUUUCAGAAUUUUGACUUGAGAUUUGAGAUUGAUACAGUCUAAGUUGAGAAUUUUAGAUUGAGUAAAUGACUGUUUGCCUCGAUUCUACAGUACUUAAGUUUACCCAGGCACUAUAGUCAGAAAUAGCUACCUAAAACCCUUAAAAGUGAAGCUAUCCUUGAGUAAUUUUGGCCUAUGUACCACCAGUAUGUAGAGGAUAAUCUACCAUGAGAAGAAGGCUACCUUAAGGGAUAGAGUGAAAGCGCCUAACUAUGGACAAAGAAAUGAAAAGAAAAAAAGAAUAAAAAGAAGAAGCAUGUGCUUCAAGAAAAAUCAAAAGAAAAUGCUAAUUUAUGCCUGUGAAAAAAAAAAUGAUGAAAUCAAGAUGAUGAGGUUAGUUUGACCUACUCUGUUUAUUAUUCGAGACAAUGGCUGUUGAUGUUGAAGAUCUUGAGAAUGAGUUUUGAUUGAAUUGAUUCACACACAACACAGGAAUCCAAUAUGAGAUGAGGCUGACGAUUGAAUUAAAGUUAGAACUUUGCUAAUAUUUUUAAUUUUCCUUGAGCUAUAUACUUUAUACAAUCUUUGAGGCAUUUUUUAUGAUGUUUAUGGGUAUCAUCACUGGAAACCCUCACGAGACUAUAACUCGUCCAUUAGGGCCGCCUAGGGGUUUAAAGGCUUGUUGCAUACGCUAAAUGCAAUCGCGAUCACCUGCGAAAGUGGUUUAGUUAGAAUUUCAUUUUCGUAGUUUUUAUUUUAGUUUUUGCUCGAGGACUAGCAAAAUGUUAAGUUUAGGGCUAUUUGAUGUGUUCAUAAUUUAUCUAUUAUUUUAAUACUUCUUUAACUUAAUUUUAGGUUAAAUUAUAUCUUAUUAUAUUAAUUUUAUCUUAAUUUUUAUAUUUUUUUAUUUUAGGUACAAUAUGGGAUUAAAGAAGAAUAAAAUCGGAACAUUCAGGAGAAAAUCACCUUGAAGGAAUUAAAAAGGAAAGAAAUAAAGAGAAUUAAUUGGAACAAGUCACAAAGGAUCUAAUUUAAUUAAUCAUUAAGCAUGCAUGCACGUGGGGCAGCAUUUGAAGAAUUAGUUUUCAAAGAAAAUAUGGCUUGCACGUGAACUUGGGCCUUUUGAUUUAGAAAUAUAAUGGCCUAAGAUUGUAAAGCUGGGGUCGGCAAUUUUAAUCCUUUUCAUUUAAGGAUUUAAGAAGCCACAACAUUAUAAAAGGGCAAAGCCAAGCGGAAGCAAAUGAGAAGAAAGGCAGCCGCACAAGAAGAAGAACAGCCAAGAGAAAAUAAAGAGAAGAGCAGCAGCCGCAAGUUUGGAGCAAAACCGAGAGCAGCAGGAAUAAUUUGGAGCAGGAGGAAGACGCAUUAAUUCUUAAGUUUUUCUUUUCCUCUUCUCUAAUAUCUAGCUUGAAUAUUUCCAAUUAAAUUCAUGGAUUCUCUUUAUAUUCACAUGAACUAAUUUAUUUUACUAGGGCUAUGAUGUAGCCUAACUAUGAAGAUUUAAUUCCAUAAAUCUAUGUUAUUUUUAAUUAAUUAUUCCAUAAUUGAGUGUUCAUUAUUAUGCUUAAUGCUUUUAAAUUUCUGGCCAAUAUUUAAAUGAUUUGAGGAUACAUAAUGAGACCGAGAGGAGAUUUAAAUUGAACGAAAGACAGAGAUGUGCCAACGUGAUUCGUACAGUUUUAUCUAAGAAUUUCCAUAGAACUUAAUGAAUCUUUGCAUAUUUAAAUUCACAUAGAGAUAUAGUGGGUUGAUAUGUGGAGAUAUUUUUUAUAUUACUCGAGAGAGGAUAUUGAAUAAAUUAGGGAAAUUCACUGUCAACAUGGGUAAUAAACUUUAAUAGCAUAGAUGGAGGAUUAAAUUGGAUUGGUUAUGGUGAAAUCGGAUGUCCUAGUGUUUUAAUCUCUUGGUGAUUUCUAUUACUGCCUGCGUCUUCAUUUAAUUUUUAAUUAUUUUAUUUUAUUUAACUUUAAUCUAAAUUCGCCUAAUCGAUUAUUCAAAUAAAGUAGGGUUAGGAUAAUUUCGGUAACUAAUAGGAUAUACAAUCUAUGUGGGACGAUACUCUACUCUUCAUUAUAUUACUUGUGCCGACUAGUACACUUGCUAAUUUACGCAACAUCUAUAAAAAAUUUUGUGAUAGAAUUUUAACGUUGACUGUGUUUGACCAAAUUUUAAAUUAAUUUUUUAUUAAAAGAAAUAUAAAGUCAAAACGGGGCGUUUAGACUAAGACAUGAAAUUUUCUCAUGUCACCGAACUCACUUAGUCUGUUAGUUAGUCACUUAUUGCUCACCACAUAACGCAUGCCACUCAUCAACUAACACUGUCAAACAACACGCUUGCCAAACCCUAGAAAUCAAUUUCGCAUCUUUGCCAAGUUACGCUUCCAUAUCACCACAACUCCACAUCACUGUCGCUCAAAGCCAGGCCAAGCUGCCGCUGCUCUGAGGUAAAUUUUCCGUUCAUUUGACUUCCAUUGCUUUUUCAUAAUAGAAGAUCGAGUAAAUUCAUUUUCGUAUAUGUUGAUUUUUGUUUUGAGAUUGUGAUAGCGAUUUCCAUUUUGGUGGAUUUGAAUUUAGAUUCUCAGAGAAAUACGUGAGAUUGUAAAUCGAUUUUAAAUUGAUUAAGUUGUUAAGUCUUCUAAAUUUUGUCAAUUUUUGCCUUUUUCUGAUUUUUGGGCUGGAUUCAUGGUUAUUUCUCAAAUUAUCUCUACUGACAUGCUAAAGCUUAAGCUAUUAAAUGUUCAUGUACAUUCAAGUGCUUAUGUCUAUGCCGAAUGCAUCUUGAACGUAUGAACUUUGCAUUUUGAUGAUAUUAUUCAGCAGUUUUUUCUUUAUUGGGGCUAAUAUUGGUAUUUUCUAGACUGAAAAAAAAUUAGACGAAAUAAUAGUUUCUAACGAAGCCCACCAGGUGUUUGAUGGAAUGCAUUAAAGAAAAAGAAUUGCCUUAGUUUUUAUUUUGUGGCAUAUUCUGCUGAAUCUUUCAUUUUAAUUUUUAAUAGAUGUAGGUUGGAACCUACAUCUUUGAUAAAGUGACUACAUGAAAAGGUUUUUCAUUAACACUUUCAUUAGUGGAUUGUAAUUGUCAUUUUAUCUAUGCAACAUGUCCAAAGAUUAACUUUGUUAUUUGGCCCCAAAACUGCAAGGAAUUAGAAUACGGCAACCAACAUUUGUAAGGUAAUGUGAUGUCUCUGUUUAUACCUGGAGCUCAUAUUAUAAGUAAGCUCGUUGAUUUGUUUUAUGUCUUAUUAUUCUUGUACUCUAUAUUCGAUAUAUAUAGUUAUUGCAGGAACUUAUUAACUUGGAUUUGGCUUUGGAUUUUUAUAUGGAAUAAAUUUUUAUUUUUUACUCUUUGGCUUUCUGUUUUUAGUGCCUCUAUGAUUCUGUUAGUUUCUUCAAUGUGGGACAGUGUUUGUUUAAGAAAUGAGGUGUUGAAUGGUGAUGCUACUCUAUUGAUAAUCAAUGUGCAUGCAAUCCUAAUUCCCAACUUUUUGUCCUCUUUAUUUCUCUUCUUUACACACCUGUCUCUUUCUUUUGCACAUAUGUUUAACACUCUUUUCUAUUCAAUGAUACCCAAAAAUAAUUGAUAUUAUCUAACUAUUUGAAAUUUUAUCUCAAGAAUUGUAAUUAUACUAGAAAUUAAAAAUUGAGUAGCUUUUUUAAGCAAAGUUGUUGAUAGUGUUUGUUUUAGCCAAAAGAAUAAUCAGUGCUUUGGAAGAAAGAGGAAAAACAUUGUUUCUGUGGUUGAUAUUUUCUAGAGCAUAUUUACAAAAACUUGCUAAUAGUAACGACUUUCGCUGGAGUUGUUUUUGGGUUCUUUGCAGGAGUAUUACAAAGGUAUUCACUGAAAAAGCAUAUAAUAGACAAUUAAGUUGUUGUAAAGAGGUAUUCACUGAAUAAGAUACGAGACCCAGCAUUCUGUCUUGUUCCUGCAUCUCAGUUUUCAGACAAUUGUAAACUAUUUUCUGUAACUCCCUGGUCUUCAUUGUGCCUUUGGGUAACUCUUUUCUAAUUUGUGGCAUUAAAUAUUCUGGGUUCACUUAAUCAUUUAAAUUUAGUAGUUUAUGAGUUAUGUUAGGUGACAUAGAAAACAAGUGUGGUUUCUUAAGCUAUUUGGAAUAUUUUAAUUGUUACUGCUUCACUGUUAUUGUAAAGAUGUUUACCUUACUUCUUCAUUGGGUGCAUCAUAUUCAUGACCCCUUAUUCUCUUUUGAAACUGCAAAAUGAUUCAAGCUGCCAAAGUUUUUUAAGUAUUUUGAGAAUGAACUUGGAGCAACUGUAAUCUUUGGAUUAUUUGCAAUAUAUUGGGUCAUUCUACGAUUAAUAUUCUUCCCCUUUUAGGUCAUCAAAUGUACAAGGUUUGCCUGCAUGAUAAAUGAUUUGAUGCCACCUUAUUUGGUCAUCUAGCAGUUUAUUUGGCUUAUUUGCUUUUUUGAUUUGCAUUUUCCGACUAUGAUCUUUAGUUCUACUUGAACUUAUCAGAGAUACUUUCAUUUACUAAUUGUUCAAUACAAUGUUGCCGAUGCUCUUUGUGGUCCAGAUAUGCUGGUGGGUUCUCAUAUCCUCAAUGAUCUGGAGACAGCUGAAAAGUGGUCAACUUAGGGAAGAUAUAAGAUCUGGUAAGCAUUUUGAUGCUUCCAUUAUCAGUUUGAUUCAUUUAGUGUCAUCAAUUAUUCCCAGUAGUCUUUCUCCCUCUGUGGAAAUAAUCAUUGUUUUUGCUUUGAUAGUUUGCAGGAAACUUGAUCCCAUAUAAUAGUUUUGCUAGAACUUAAUUAGUUAUAUCCACAUGUGCCUAAGCCUUAGCCAUAUUUAAGUUCUUGUUUCAAAACCUAGAUAAAAUGAACUUAUAAUUGGAUAUUAAUUGUAAAUCAAACAAAAGGGUUAAGGAAUUAAUUAGUUAUAUUCACAUAUGCCUAAGCUUUGAAGGAAAGUUAGCUGCCUUUAUGGGUACCCUUUUGGUUCCACAUUUUAUUGCCGCAAAGAAUUAGUUGAAGUUACAUCAGAAACUUGAAAGUUUUACUUUAAUAGAUAAUUCUUUAUAAUAAUACUAUUGGCUAUAGUCAAUUGGUGUUGCACUUGCAGGUUGAGAGAAACUGCUGGACUUGGGAGUUUUGCUGGGUAUUUGUUGAGAAUAGGAAUUUAUCUAGUGGAAUUUCACUGAAAAUAUGGGAGAAGUCUUGCACUACAAGAUUUGACAGCUUCAUAGCUUGUAAAAUUUAAAGCAUUUGCUCGAGUUAACUUUUUUUUAUUACUUUGGAUGGGUUAAUUGUUGGAUACAGGUGUUUUUGGAUGGUGUUGUUAAUAUAAAGUGUUUUUAGACUUGAUAGAAUGUAUAAUUUAACUUUUGGUUUAUAUUGAAUUUGUGAUUAAAUUCAUAUGUAGGAAUGCAUAAAUUUAAAUAAAUUAAUUUAGAAUUUCUUUAAAUAUAAAUUUAGAUCCUGGGACAAAAAAAAUAGUCAUAAAUUAUGUCGCAAAUAAAAUAAUUAAUGAUAAAAAAUUUCAAUUAUUAAUUCCAUCACAAACAAAAUAGUUUACCCACUAAAAUUAAUUGAAUAAUAAUGUACGUGUAAAAGAUAAUUUUCCCACCAAAAUUUAAGAUAAAAUUUAAUUUUCGAGCCAAAAAAUUAAUUAAAAUAUUCAUUUUUUAAGAUGACUGGCAUAUGACUUCGAAACAUUAUCAUAAGUUAAUGACACAUUUUUUCUAUCAUAAAAGAGUGAUAGAUAUAUAGAUGAUAGAUAAAUUCACUGUCAUUCACCCUCCUUUAUGAUAUUCUUUUCAGUUAUUUAUUAUUAGUUUUCGUGUAGUGAUUAUUAUUGUUAUUGUUAUUUAUUACUACUACAAACAUUUAGUAUUAGUAUUAAUACUAUAUUGGCACUUGUAUUUAUUUAUAGUUGGGCCUAAUUUUUACAAAGCCCAUUUUAGUCAUUUUCAUCCAACCCAUUAACUAAUAGCAGGCAUAAAAUAGAGAUUGACGAUAAAAUAAGAGCUAACUUUUUCUUCCACCUUUGGUCGGCCAUGAAUGUUCAAGUUAGAGUAUAAACUUAGAGUUAUUGUGUUUUAUCUAUGUGAUUAAGGAUUGGAAAGUUUUGAUUCUUGAGCUUAUUUUAUGGGUUUUGGUCGGCCAUGAUGCUAAUUCAUUGUAUUUGAAUUUUUGUGAAUUAAUGAGCAAAGGCAUAUCGAAAAUUGGGCUCCUAAUUCCUUGUAUUUUAAUUUUUUUGUGAAUUAACGAGUAAAAGUUCUCAAUUUUAGAUUACAGAUUUCAGGACAUAAUAGUCUUGGGAAAAAAAAAUUAUUUGGAAUAAUUUUGAUUGAAUUUGGCUUUGAAACUUUUAUGGCCUAUAUAUUAAUACGUCUAUUUAAGCCCUACAAAUUUCAUAAUUUUUGUAUUAGUAAUUUAUUUUAUAAUAAUCGAAGAUUGAGGGCUGGUGAUUUAUGUUUCUGCACUCCACAUAAAACCUUUCCAUUUAUGAAGUAUACGAAAUAGUUUGAUGAGUAUAAUCGAUUAUUAUUACCUUUUUAUAUGAAUAUAAUAUUCACGGGUAAUAUUCAUAUUAAACUGCCUCGCGCAUUUGGAUAGAAUUGCCCUUUGGCAACAACGACAUUCCUCAUAGAAAACACACACAAUACCAAUAAAUCUAACAACAAACUCGUAAGAAUAAAAUUAAUUUUAUUUUCCUGUAAGAAUAAAAUUUAAUUAAAAAAUUCAAAGAAUUGCCAAUCGUUUUCUUAGAGUUUAAAAGUAAUAUUGACUGCUGAAUUUAUCCACAAUUUUUUAAAUCAUGCUUUUUUUGGGUUGGUUCAUAGACAAGGACAUUAUUGUAAUUUUAAAUCUCAUAAAUAAAAGAUCUAAAAUUCUAUGAAAAAAUAUACUCUUUUUUAUUAGCUUAUAUUUCUUAGAAAGUCACUAAUUAUAUAUAUAUAUAAAUAUUUUAAAAUUUUCUAAUGUUUCUCCUAAUUUACUCUGUUAUAAUUGUCAUGUUGAUACAAAAUCAGGAUAAUCAAACAAACAAACAUUAGUCAGCCCUAGUUAUCAAUAGAAGAAAUGAUAUUAAAUAAAAUUGUCAUUUUUAACAAAGAAUAAUAAUAUAUAUAUGAUAAAAAAGAAUAAUUAUAUUACUCUAACCGAUAUUUACGGGGAAAAAAAUCUCACAUGAUACAUAUUGCGGCGAAACCUUUGUUAUUUGUGUGUGAAUAUUUGGCGGCAACUAUUAAGGCAAAAGCAAAUCCAAUAUUCAGACAAAUAAAUAAUUAUUUAAAGUUAACAUUUACAAAUUCACGAGUUUUUUUUUUUUUUUUAUCAAAGGAUGUGUAGUAAUUACAAAUGAGAAGAACUUGGAAAAACAAUAUAUUUAAAUACAAAUAAACUUUAAUAAGUCUCUUUGACGCAAUGCAUUAUUUAAUUAUUUAAUUUGUUUUCAUCUACUUUGGUGCUCAAAUCAAUUGAGAGAUUCAUUCUGGAACCAACUUUUGGCCAUGGCUACUCGUCCUGCGAAAAUAGAACAAAUUGCAGAAACAUUACUGGACCGAAAUUGUUACAAAGCAUGAUCAGAGCUGUGAGGAUGAGCACACUUGAUUAUCUUCUAGCUGACGUGUAACAGUUAGUUAGCUGAGUCAGCAUUAUUGUUAACAAACUCAUUAAGCGUGUAUAGGCGUUAUAACAAACUCUAGUCAGCUUCUUUACAAUGUAUAAAUACCUACAGUUUUAAUUCUAAUAAAUUCCAGAUUGAUUCUUCUUCAUAUCUUUUCUUCAUUUUCUCGUUGAUUUUCUUACUUACCAAACACACGUUUACAUAAUCUUCCAGAAACCAUGCAGCAAAAUUGACAUGGAAGGAAUUUAAUAGAGAAAGAGAUUUGGGCAUUGAAAGUUACCUGAGAUGAGUUGCUGCAUUAUUUAUAUUCUAGAGCGCCACAAACUUGCAGUAAGGAUUGAGGACAUCUUUAGCAUUGGCUUGAUCCCACUCCAAUGAUUCCCAUAAUUCUUUCUUUAUCCUGAUAACUUCAAGCGCAGGGGGUGGAGAUGGUUGCCCAUUAUCAAGCAGAGGAAGCGAAAGAGAAAGCCGCUUCAAUUUGGGGCAGUCGUAUACUUCAAUUUCUUGGAGAGAAUUACAAACCAAUACCCCAUUAUUGCUGCAGAAGCUCUUAAAUUCUGGCAAGUUAGAAAAACACAACUUCUUCAAUCUAGGAAGUUUAGCAGUAUUAAUGAUGGUAUUUGUUGCUAAUUCUUUCUCAGUUUCUUCAUCCUCGACCGCUACUAUCUCCUCGAUUGAAUCGCAGCCUCCGACUUCGAGAACUUCCAAGUUUUGGAGGGCAGGCAAUAACCGAAGUGAGAACAAAACAUUGAACAUCUUCUGGGAGCACAAUACAUAUCGUAUUGUCCUUGUUCCCUUGGUAAAACAUCAUUUAAGCUUGCAACGUCGUCGACCCAAUACAUAUCUAAACAUUGAACAUCUUCUGGGAGCACAAUGGGUUCUUCUCUUUCACAGAUUUUGCAACCUUCUAAGAAUACUGAUUUAUCUACUUUGAGAUCAGUAAUCAGAAAUCUCCCCAUGCCAUAUGCCGACAGCAGAAGACAAUAAUUUUUCGAUCCUCGACCGUCUGUAGAUUUAACAUAUAUGUUGAAAUCUUUGAGUGUAGAAAAAUGGCCUUCAAAAGUGUCCAAUCUAUCGCUCAAUCUAGCUGCCUCUUCCAUUGUUUCUCGUAAAGCUUCAUUCCCAAAAGAUAAUUUCAAUUUGUAGAGAUUACGUAGUCUAGGUAAUAUACCAGUCGGGAACUUCUUCAGGGGCGGUGAAGAGAGAUAAAGAUGACUAAGGUUUUCCAACAUUUCCAUACCUUCUGGGACUUCUUCAAUCGAUGUUACUUCGAGGUCCAAGUACUGGAGAGCCAACAGCUUUGCCAAAGAAGGAACUCGCUCUAAGUUUUCACACCAUCGAAGCAACAACGAUCUUAGAUUCAUCAAGUCAGAGACGGAACUUGGCAAGACUUCAAUGUUGGUGCGAGAAAGAUUGAGAACCUUCAAACCAUGCAUGUGCACAAAGAAACAUUCAGGAAUCCUCUGUAAAUGUUCAUUGCAUUGUAGCAACAAAGUUGAAAGAAUGUCACAAUGUGGUGACAUAUUUGAAGGGAUCUCCUCGAAGUCAUUCUCCAUCAGUGAAACUCUCUCGAGAUUCGCUUUCCAUUCUUGUUCACCUGGAAAUUCCCGUAAACGUACUCUAGCUUUCACCAUGAAUAAAGGGCUCUCGCUUGUAAUGAGCAACGCCAUGUCUCUUAUAAGAUCAUGCAUCUUCACACAACUACCAUCUUCAGCGCUCUCCAAUAAGCAGCAAUUUACAAGCCUGUUCAAUAUAGUAUGCCCUCUAUUAUAUUUUACUUGCACAUCCUUCACUUCUUCGAUAAACUCUUCUGCAAUCCAGUGAUCUAUCAGCUCAUCCUUUGGGAUGGCAAAGUCUUCAGGAUACAGUGCACAAUACAAGAAGCACUGUUGGAGCUUUUCAUCUUUCAAGCGAUGGUAACUGAAUUCUAAUCGCCCAAACACUUUAGUAUCUACGUCAUUCAAACUUCUCAGCCGUCCACGCAAUUCAUUGAGCGCAUUUUGCCAUUCAUAAAUUUCUUCUUCGCCGCUCAUGGAAGCAGCUACAGUUACAAUUGCCAGCGGUAAACAACCACAUUCCUCAACAACUUCGUUUAUGAUUUCUUUAUUCAUAGCUGGAACUUGCAAAAUGCUGCUGCCAACUCCGUCUAUAAACAAAUUAAAUGCCUCCUGUUUAGAAAGCAAUUCAACUGCGACUUGUUUACACUUCAUAGAACGAUAGACCCUAUGUGAACGUGUGGUUAUCACCAAUUUGCAUCCGUUCUCUUCACUAGGCUCAGGGAUUCCUACUUCCUCGAGAGGGAAUGCUUCCCUCAUAUCAUCUAGUAUCAACACAAACUUCGCUUUAGCUUUCAACAUUUCUGACAGCCUCCCUGCACGUCUUACUUUAUCUUCAUUUUCUGGAAGACUUUGUUUCAAUGCAGUCGCAAUCUCAGUUUGCAGUUUAAUAAGAUCAAGUGGUUGAGACACGGUGACCCAAAUCACAACAUUGAACUUAUUAGUUUCUUUCUGGAGUCUGUUGUUAAUUUCUUUCAUGAUAGUUGUUUGUGACCUUAUCACCCAUCAAAUCCUCCCAAAUUCUUUCCACAACUUUCUUCGUCUUUUCGCCUGCUAAUGUUGCCGUGGUCAACGUCAAUCCUCUGGAUGGGGGUUCAUCAAUCACCAAACUAGGGAAAGAAAAACCCUUUUGAUAAUACUCUUUCACUUCUUGAAUCUUCUCCUCAGCAUGUUUUCCCAAACGCGCACGUGAGAAAUAUUUUCCUUUCUUCACUUCCUCCUCAAUACUAUGUGCUUCGUUGUUGAUCCUUUCUACAUUUUCCCACCAAUCAUUGACUUCAUUACUUGGUUGUUUGUUCCCCAGAUCACACUCUGCCUUCAGUGUUGCUUCUAUAUCUGCUUUCUUGCUAUUUAACUCCUGUAAUGCUCUUUCAAGAUUUCUCAUUAUUUCACUGAGCUUUCGGUGGCGGCGAACAUAUUGGCGUAUCGGCGGCCCCACACACUUAAAAAAUUCAAGGAUUGUUCCCAUAAAAUCCAUAGGUAGGUCCUACAAGUAUAUCACUAUAACAUUAGUGUAUAUGAUUUCUUCUGGAGCAAUUUCAUUUAUCAAAAUUGCAUCAAAUUUUGGGAUAAAAUGUUAAACCUACCGAAAUAAAGAUCAUAAUAUAAUUUCUUUGAACUAAUUUGUAAAGUUUUUAAAUUUUAUUUUUGUGGCUUUAGAUUAGCUUUAAAUUUUCCUUCAACUGCGAAACUAUACUUUUAGUCUUUUAUUUUAUUAGUCCGUCAGUUUGUUUUGAUUUUUUAUUUUUUGUCAAUUCUAAGUGGUUUUCAUUUUUUUUUUAUUUCGGUUCAAAUUUUUUAUUAAUUAAAAGGAACAAAUCGGUUCUUAAAUAGCUAAACCGACACAAACCCAUUACUGCAUAAUAAUAAUAAUAAUAAUCAAAAUCCGACCAUUAGAUGGCAUAAAUCAAUAAAUGAAAAUCUGCAUCUCAAUUUAAGAUGCCAGAGGAACUAUUAGACUCUAGUGAUAAAACAAUAUUGCAAUAUGAUUUAAAUGAAAAGAUAAGUUACUUGAAUCAACUGGUUGUUGUUCGUAGCUUCCUCGAAUGUUUGUUAAUGAGGAAGAAACCAACCUAUGACAAGCUUGAAGGUAAAACAAUAUCACUUUUGGAAUGAUAAUAUCCUUUUCACUUUGUGGAAAAAAUUAAAUGAUUGAGAAUCACAAUGAAACAUUCGCUAUAUUAUGAAAGCAGAUAAUGUAGCAAAUAAUAGGUGAAGCAAUUAAUCCAAUGAUGUAACAACAUGGUAAUGAAUCAAUAAAAGAAGAGAAUCUAUUUUGAGGUAAUCAAGCAACAAUAUUUGAUUACGUUAAAUUAAUUCUUUACUGUGGUUGAAAAAUAUAGAUUCCUCUUCUUAUAAAAGGUCUUCAUCUUCGUAAAAAAACCUAAAAACUAGAUAAUUACAUUUAUGUUUGAUAGCACUAUCUUAAUUUGUGCCACAGCAUUUGGAAUUGUAGAAAAUCAGUGUUUUGUAGUAUUCUAACGAUAGAUUAUACAAAACUAAGUUUACCCAAAAAAAAAAAAAAGAGGUUGGUGGGCUUGUGUUACAUUUCAUCACCGAUCCCCCACUACCACAAACAUCAUUUUAGAUAUUUAAAUAAUUUUUAAUGUUUAUUUAAUUAAAUUGGUUUCAUUAAGUUCAGUGAUGAGACUUGAUAUUUUUUUCUAUAUACAAUCCCAAGUCAUUCAAUCACACUAAGGGCAAAGAGUUCAUAGAAAGAAUAAUUUCUGGUCAGGACAAAAAGAAGUUCGUAUAAUGAAAAAUAAAUUCUAAAUCAUUUAUAACAUUAAUAAACACAAAAUGAAUAAAAAAGAAGAAGUGUUAUCAUGGAAAAAAAAUGAUUUAAAAAAAUGAUUGUCGAUAUGAAAUCAGUUAAAAAUAGAGUAGUUAAUUUAAAAUGAUUGUAUAAAUUUUGAGUUAUUAACCUCAAGCAAUCCAAUAAAAGAAUAGAGUUGUUUGGUAACAAAAAUUGUUACCUUUGUAGUAAAAAGUUUUAACCAUUUAUUAUCUAGAUUAAUAAAUAAAAUUUAUUAUCUCAAUUUAAGAUGUUUGAAGAACUAAUGGUAUCACAGAUAAAAUAAUUCAAUAGUGCAAUAUAAGUUUCAUGACGUGUUUCAUUCUUUUUUUUUUUUUUUUUGUGCAUUGUCUUAUUUCUUUUAAGGGGAAACGAACACACUUACUAUUUUUAAUCGGCUUAAAUAAACACCAAAGGCUAUAUAGCAACUAGAAUGCUUAAGAAUAUCCUUAUUCUCAUUUGCAAAACAAACGUAAAUAACAAUGAACAAUUCAAAAUAUAAAUUUAAGUUGUUGAUUCAAAAUUAUUAUAUAAAUUUUGAGUCAUAAGUCUCAUGUAAUUUAAUAAUCGAUAUAAUUGGCUGGUAACAAUAAAUACUACAUUUUAACUAAAAAUUUCAACCGUUGGAUUGCAUAAAUUAAUGAAUGAAAAUUUGCAUCUCAUUUUAAAUGUUUGAUGAACUAAUAGCAUUACAGAUGAAAUAAAUAUAAUCUAAAAGAAAGGAUAACUUACCUGAACAAAUUAGUGGUUGUAGCCUCAAAUAUGUUAAGAGGGAGAAACUAAUGAGCCUGAAGGAGAAAUAAGAUUACUUUUUGCUGAAUGAUAAUGAUCUUUGUACUUAUUGGAAAAUAAAAAAUGUGAAGGAUCAUAAUGAAAUGCUAGCUUGUAGAAGUAGAGAUUAAUGUAGCCAAUAACAAAUAAAGUAAAGUAUUAAAUGGCAAUUAAUCAAUAGAAGCAAAGAAUCUAUUUUUCAAAUAAUCAAGCAAAAAUACGUGACUACAUCAAAUUAAUUCUUUAUAAAGAAAAUGGUUUAAAAAUAUGAAUGUCGGAUAUUAUCUGAACUAAUUAUAAAAGAAACCGGCAGUCAAUAUCAUCUACAAGAGAAGAUAUCUAAUUACUCAUGUAAUGGAAAAAAAAAAAAAGCAAAGUAAGAAUUAAUCGUGACUGAUAACAAAUAGAAGAAUUAAUGUAGCCAAAACCAACAAUAAAUAUUUGAUAAAGCAAGGAAUCAAAUGGGUGUGCAACAUCUCAAGCCUGAGAAUGUAGCUGGCUUGAAGUAUUAACCAAGCAAGGAUAUACCAAUCACGUAAAUUGAUUAUGCAUUGAAGCAGAAAACCAUAGAUUCUUCUACUUUUUUUAGUUUUUUUAUUUUUGGUUUUCACAGGGUAUAGAUUCUUCUAUUUAUUAUCAUGUCUUCAUCUCUAUUACAAGCCCUAAUUAAUUAAAGUACAUAUUUUUAAAAACUUUUCUAUAUAAUUUUUAAGAAAAAAAUCAUCCACACUCUCAAGAUUGGUUUAAAUGAUCACAUAAAUUCUUAGGUUUCAUAAAUGGUCAUUAAGACGUUUUUUUGACAUUUAUAACCUUGAAUUAUAGUUUAAACUUUUAUGAUAAAUACAAAUAGAAUACUAAGAUAAAAUAAUAAAUAAAUAGCAGAUUAAUACAAAUAAAAUAUUAAAAUAAACAUAGCUAAUAAAACUAUAUAUAUAUAUAUAUAUAUAUAUGUCUUGCAAACUAUUUUUAAUAUUAAGAUAUUAUUAGUUUGUCAAAUAGAUUUUACCAAAACCUAAAUCCAGUAAUCCAAAAAAUAAUUUUAAACUUACGCUGAUAUAGACAUAACAUAAAAAAUGUAAUAUAAAAAAUAUUAUAAAUAAAAUACUUAAUACGAAUUUUGUAAUUUUUUUUAAUGUUAAAUAUAAUUAUUUUUUUAUUAUUAAUCUAUGAAAAAAAUUAUUAAUAUUAAAAAAUUGUUAAUUUAUAAAAUAUAUAAUAAUUGAAAUAUUAAAUAUUAUAUUUGCAUUUGUUAUAGAAUUUUAUUCAAAGUCAAUCAAAUUUAAUGUUGUCAUAAUUUUAUUUAGUAUUGAAUAAUUAUUUAUAUAUAUGAUCAUUUAAGCAAAACUUAACGGUGUGAGUGGUUUUUUCUUUCCCUCUAAUUUCUAAUGUCCUAAUGAUACGUUAUACUCUUCUUAGCUUAGGUAUCAAUAUUCAGAAAUAAAUUGGACACAACCGUUAUCUUUUAUGGCAAAAAGUGUAAGAGAAAUUCUUUUUUUGGACAAAGACCUCCCUUGAGGUUUGGACUAAUAACAAACGAGCUAUUUGUGUGCUAUAUACUGCUAGAAGAACCCAAUAUUACGUGAAUACCCCUAUCAGAUAAAGUUACCAAAAUGACCUCAAUUGGAAAGUUUCUAAACAAUUGUCGCGCAGUCGAUGCAGUGACACCUCACCACAACUGUGGACUGUGAUGUCAAAACUGUCCUAUUUUAUUGAGCACUUUCUUAAGGAAAAAAACCAAAAAGCCAAAAAAGUGUUCACCAGCUCCACAGCCGACAAUAGAUUGGCCUUGGUUUGGUGACGUUGUUAUGUUGGAUAUUUUACUUGAGAUAUGAUUGAUAAAAAAAAAAAAAUUAUUUAAGAUAUGAUUGUUGGAUAUUUUAUGAGUUAAAAGAAAUCAGUAGAAAGGAGAGUGGUUAAUAUGAAUAUAAUCUUUGAGUCAUUGAUCUCCUCCAAUCUAAUAAAAGAUAGAGUUGUUUGGUAGCGAAUUAGUUAUUAAGGGGCCUAAUUUGAAGAAUGAAAAAUAUUUAUCUCAAUUUAAGAUGUUAAAAAAGCUAAUAGUAUUACAAAUAAAAUAAUUCGGUAGUGCAAUAUAAUCUAAAAGAAAGAUAAGUUAAUUAUCCGGGCAAAUUAGUUAUUGUAGCCUCCUCAAAUGUUUGUUAAAGGGAAAAAAAAAACUAAUCCUGAAGGCAGAACAAGAAUAUUACGUUUUGCUUAAUGAUAAUAAUCUUGGUGACUUUCUGAAAAGAAAGAGAAGGAUUAAGAAUCGUAUCGAAAUAUUAGCUUAUGGAAGUACAGAGUAGUUUAGCCAAUAAUAAAUGAAGCAAUUGUUAGCUUAUGGAGAGAAUCUGUUUUCAAAUAAUUAAGCCAAAAUAUGUGACUACAUUAGAUUAAUUCAUUAUGAAGAAAAAAAUGUUUUCAUAACAAAAUGACUUAACAUGUCGGAUAUUAUCUGAGAAUAUAAAAGAAACUAGUAGUACAAUAAUAUCUUCUAUUCAAAUUUUUAAUUACCUCAACAAAUGGGUUGUUGCAGCUUGUUUCUUCAGAAGUUUUUUAAGGUAGACAAAACCAAGAAGCAUUCAAGGGAAAACAAAUAAUGGAGGUUCUUUAAUUUGCAGGAUGAAAAUAGUCUUUAUGAAUAAUAGAAACAAAACCAAAGUAAGAACUGAUCAUGAUUGAAAUGCCUGCUAUGUAUACACAUAUAACUUAAACAACAGAUUUAAUGUAGCCAAAAACCGACAAUAUUUGAUGAAGCAAGGAAUCAAAUGGGUGUGCAACGUAGCAAGCAAGAUAAUGAAUCAAGGAAUAAAGGGAAGUAUAUAGCUAGUUUGAAGUACUAAAUCAAGGAUUAAAGGAAUAUAGCUAGUUUGAAGUAUUAAUUAGGCAAGAAUAUACAAACAAUAGGUAAAGAAAAAUAAUAAAUAACAAAUUUUAAGUUACUUAUUGAGGUAGGAAUAUAGAUUCUUCUGCUUUUCAUGAUAUCAUCUCUAUACAAAAUUAUUUCUUCAUAAGGGUAUUGGUACCUUCUCGCCUUAAAAUAAAAUUGGACAUAAAUGUAAAAAUUUAGAAAAUUUUAUUAUUGAGUAGUACAUUUUCAAAGAAAAAUAAAAAUUAACCUACCGUUAAUAAGUUGCAUGACACAUCAGUUUAUAAACAAAUAUCUUGACAUUAUUUAUAAGACAAAAUUAGUAGUCUCCCUAUGUGGAAAAUACCAAAAUUAAGAAUAUUUUUAUUUUUUUCCUUUAAAAGAAAAAGUAAAGCAUAUUUAAUAAAUAGUGCUCAUUUCAAGUGGUGAAUUUAUAUUGAUGUUAAUUCAGUUGAUGUAUGAAUUAUGCAUAUCAACUUUAUAAGUGUAUGUAUGAGUACUCAUUCACUAAUUUUUUGUUAUUAUUUUAUUUUUAGAAUUAAUUUGGUAAAUUAAUAUUUUUUUUCUUUUUCAUUACUAUCCCUAAAAAUGUUGCAAGGACAUUACAGUAAAAGCUAAAAAAAGUUUGGAUUGGAGUAUACAUAAUUAAACCAAAGAUGUUUUAAAGUAUUCUUCAAAAUAUAAAAACUAAAGGAACAUUUUAAAAUAUAAGAAUUAAACAAAAAUUUACUUCUAUUAAAAUUAUUAUAUUACUGUAUUAACUGUGUGAUGUGGUUGCUAUUUCAUCGCCAACAACGUUCAAGGUUGGAGAAUAAUAGAGAUCAUCACUGUUGUGAUCAUCGACAAAGUUGAAGAUCUACAUCAAGUAGAGGAUCUAUUCAAAAAACUUCAAAAGAACUAAAUUACACAUGAAUUGAAUAAUUUAAUGUUUUAUUUUCUUUAAUCACAUGCACUGCCGAAAAAAGUUACACAUUUGGAGGUAGAAAUAGGUAGGGCCAAUGGUUUUAGUAAUUAAGUCUCCUUUAAUAAAUUAUUCUCAUUUUUUGCGGUGAGACCUUUUGAUUUUCUAUUUGUUGCGACUUCUCCUCUAGUUGACAUCUCAUUUUUGAAAAUUUUAGAGAAUAUUACACGUAUUAUACCUAUUUAAUACAUGUAUGGUCUGUGUGCACUAAUUAAAUAUAACUACAAAUUACAUGAUGAUUUUUAAGGUGCACAAAUAUCAUAAAAUAAUUAAUUCGGUGUAAUAUUUUUAAUGUAUUCUAAAAAGUAGAACCUUUUCUCUUUCUCUUAAUUUGCUGCUUCAGUUGCAAUCUAUUAUCUUUCUUCUUUAUUAUUAUUAUAACUCACGAACUUUAAAGUUUCAACUCAAAACCUUAGCUUUAAAAUUUGUCCAAUAUACAAAUGUGAGGAUGUCUUUAUUCUUUUUCUUUUAUUUUACAAUUUGCUUGCUCGACUUAGUAAAUGUAAUUACUUAGUAAAUUUAAUUUUAUCAUUUUAAAUGACCAUUUAUUUUAAAUAUAUUAUGUAUUCGAAAAUAUAUUAUAUGAUAUAUUAGUAAAUUUAUAUUACUUGUAUUACAUCUGCCUAAAUGCUCGCAAAAACCCACAGAUAAUUAUGCUUGUGUCAUUACCUUUCCAGAUGGGUACAUGGACAGAAAUAUUUAUGUACUUUGUGUUUACAUAUUGAAUACAAGUAAAUAGAUGUUUUCAGUCAAUUUCAAUUAUUACUUUAUCUCUUUUUGCCAGAAACACUUGCUGACAUAAUUGCCCUUUGCUGUGCUUCUAAAGUUGAUAUUCUGUCAAUUUUUUUUGUAAUCAUUUUUCUCAGACCAUGUUUUGAAUAUAUGUGACAGGUCCAUGUUGAAUUGAGGAAAUGGCUUAAAGACAAUGUCAACGCUGAAGUUGCAGCAUCAACUCGAAUCAUCUAUAGAGGUAUCAUUUCACUACUUUAUUAGCUAUUAAUUGUGACCACUAUUUAAAAUUAAUUUUGUGCAUGUUGUAAUCGUUAUUAAUAUAUAUAUGGAGCCGGGCAUGGGCUUAUUGAAGCUAAUGGCUGGUCUUUUUAGAACAUUUUCUUGUUCAGGCAAAGUAAUAAAUAGCACCGUACAACUAAACAUACAAUAUUAUUACUCCAACCUGUUUAUUGAACUUACUUUGGCCUUUUCUAUUUGAUAUCAAGGAGAUAUAUUCUCAUGUAUAUGCUUCUGAGAUAAGCAUUCUUUUGCUCUGUUACGUGCUUAAUAUUUUUUCUUUUGCAAUAAUAAUUUUAGUUCGAUUGGUUCUUAAACAGUUCCAAAUAUUUAGAAAAAUGAAAGUUGCGUAAGGAUAUAAUAUACAAUGCAAACUAUUGAAAAUGGAUCCAAGAACAGAAUUCUCUGCCACAGAUAUUUUAUUCAGCUUAAUUAAUUAGAGGAGUAAUGAUAAUGUUGUGAACCAGGCCUGCUUUUGUAUUCCUCGUUUAUAGGUACUAACAGAUUCAUCGAUAUUAUCAAGUUUCCACUCAUCAACAUUUUAUAAUUAGAUGUCGUUCAUGGUUUAUCCUAUAGGUUCAUUUUGUAGUAUACUACUCGGUUUAAUGCUGAAGCUGUGAAAAACUUUUUGUACACUCUCAACAAUGGCAAGAUACCGAAAAAGAAAUUUAAUUGUAGGUUGUUGUCCACUGAACGACUGACAAGUGUUUGUUAUUAUUUAGGCAUUUCUUCCAUUUUUAUUUUUGGGGUUGUAACAACAGAAUGAGAUAUAUUUUCACAGCUACUUUCAAAAUAUUUAAUGACAACUGCAUCAUCCAAAAAGAACCAGUGAUUUUGAAUUAAAUUUUUAUGGAGCUCUGUUGUUUGGCUGUAUUAAAGCUUGAUGACCUUCGGAGAUAUCUAAUAUAUAUCUCCAGAAUAGGGAACAUAUUUAUCUGUUGUGCUUCUCUAUAUGUGGUUUGGGGUGGCAGGGGAAAUGGGGAGAAUAUGGUACUGCAUUCUAUUGUCUCUUUGAUAUACUUUUCUUUUAAAUAAUUAAUUCAUAUUAAUGCUUGGUGUACUUAUUUGUGCUAUUUUCUUGUCGGUUCUUGCUUUUGGAAUUUCCUUUUGCAUUUGAAGGAAGGAGGAAGUUCGUUGUAUUAUGGGCGAGUUUGGUUAUGGCUACUUUUUAGGUUGUGUAUGUUAGGAAAUUGGUGGGUGAAGCAGACACGCAGCUAAAGUAAAAUUGGGAGAAAAAAUAAAGAACAAGCACAAUAGAGGACACCAGAAAUUACGUGGUUCGGCUUUUAGCCUACGUCCACGGGCGAAGACAGAAGGAAAUAUUUUACUAGUGAAAAGGAGUUACAAGUAUUGUAGUAUUUUAGCUCACUUCCCAAAACCCCAAUACACCCAAACUCUCUAACUCACUAGACACUCAAGAGUUUAUUAAACUCUUAAAACUCUCAACACUCAAGAAAGCAAUGCUUCUCUCUCGAUGGAAUUGGAUACAAAAUGAAAUGAGGAGCUCUGCCUUUUAUAGCCAAAAAAUGGCUAUUAAAUUAUUAUUUUUACCACCGUCUUCAUUCUUCUAUUUUCUUCUUUCUUCUUUUUCUUCAUUCCAAAUUUGCUGCUGCCAAAUUCUUCAACAUUUUCUUUGGCCGUCUGUCAAAGCCAACUUUGCUUAUUCAAGGGUUCUAGAUGCAGUAGCUUCUAGAUGCAGCCAAAUUUGACAUUCUCCCACUUGGAGAUUAGAUUGAGAAUCAAUCAAUCUCCACACCAUCCUUUCUGCUUCGCCAUAAUCAUGUUGCCUACGUUGCUGCUAGGCCACAAGAGGAUCUACUCCAGAUAAACUUGUCAGCAUUUAUUGGCUUGGUCAAAACAUCUGCUAGGUUCUCUUUCGUAUGGAUUUUCUGCAAAUCCACACUUCCAUCUUCCACUACUUCUCGAACGAAGUGAUACUGAACUCCUAUGUGCUUUGUCCUGGAAUGAAAGGCUGGAUUCCUUGCAAUGUGCAAGGCACUCUGACUGUCACAAAAUACAGAAAUUUUCUGUUGUUUGUGCCCGAGCUCCUCCAAUAAUCUUUGUAUCCAAAUAGCUUCCUUGCAAGCUUGUGUAGCUGCCAUGUAUUCUGCUUCUGUUGUAGAUAAUGCCACAACGGUCUGCAGUUUCGAAACCCAGCUUACAGCUGCUCCCGCAAGUGCAAACACAUAACCAUUAGUGGAUUUCUUUUUAUCAAGGUCUCCUGCAAAAUCUGAAUCCACAUAGCCCCUGACAGUAAACUCUGAUCCUCCAUAACAUAAUGCAACAUCUGAGGUUCCUCUGAUGUAUCUCAGAAUCCUCUUCACAGCUAUCCAAUGUUCUCCACCAGGAUUCGCCAUGUAUCGACUGACUGCUCCCACUGCUUGUGCAAUGUCUGGUCUAGUACAUAUCAUAGCGAACAUCAAACUUCCCACUGCUGAUGCAUACGGUACUCGAGACAUCUCCUUCCUCUCUGCUUCAUUACUAGGACACAUACUUGAGGAUAAUUUGAAAUUAACAGGAAGUGGGGUAGAAAUUGACUUACAAUCUUGCAUGUUGAAGCGUCGCAAGAUUUUCUUCAAGUAAUUCUUCUGCGAAAGCCAAAUCUUCCUGUUAUUUCUGUCUCGGUGAAUUUGCAUCCCUAGAAUCUUGUUUGCUGGUCCCAAGUCCUUCAUUUCAAACUCCCUAGCCAACUGUGCCUUCAAUUAUUGGAUUCGAUCUUUGUUGGGACCUGCUACCAACAUGUCAUCCACAUACAACAGCAAAAUGAUGAAAUCAUUAUCUUCAAAUCUCUUGUAAUAUGCACAAUGGUCUGAACUGAGUCUGUUGUAUCCAAGGCUCAUAAUGAAGGAAUCAAAUCUCUUAUACCAACACCUCAGCGCCUGUUUGAGACCGUAUAGAGAUUUGUUCAACCUGCAAACCAAGUUCUCUUUUCCUGUUUCUGCAAAACCUUCUGGUUGGAGAAUAUAUAUUUCUUCUUCAAGUUCUCCAUGAAGAAAUGCAGUUUUCACAUCUAACUGCUCUAGAUGUAAGUCAAAUGUAGCACACAUUGCCAAGACUACUCUAACUGUUGUGAGUCGAACUACCGGAGAAAAUAUCUCGUUGAAGUCAAUACCUUCUUUCUAAGCAUAUCCUUUCACCACCAGUCUCGCAUGAUACCGCUCCACUUAGUCAUUUCCAUCACAUUUGAUCUUAUAGACCCAUUUGUUUCCAAUGGCUUUUCUUCCACGUGGUAGUGGUACAAGUUCCCAUGUCUUGUACUUGUGUAGAGCUUCAAUUUCUUCCUGCAUUGCUGUCAUCCACAAAGCAACAUCUGAGCUUUCUAAAGCUUCAUGGAAAGUUGAUGGCUCUCCAUCCUCUGUUAGAAGACAGUACGCAACAUUGAUCUCUGUGACAUACUCCGAGUGCCACGCCGGCGGUCGUCUCUCACGAGUUGACCGAUGAACUUCUGGAGCCUCAGACUCGACUGGUUCUUGUUCUUCGUGCUCUGGUGUUGCUUCAGAAGAAUCUGAAUCUUCUGGAUUAUUUUCGACAUAUACCGGCACAAUCUCUGACUUUUCUUUUACAGUGCCAUCACCUCCAUCUUUCCUUUGCAGUUGAUCUUCUAUAAAGAUAACAUCUCUGCUGAUGACGAUCUUGUGGGCAGUGGGGUCCCACAGACGAUACCCCUUUACUCCAUCAGCAUACCCUAAGAAGAUACAUCUUCUAGAUUUUGCAUCCAGCUUUGUUCUUUCUUGGGCAUUGUACAUCACGUACACAGGACAUCCAAAUGCAUGUAGGUAGGAAUAAUCAGCUGGCUUUCCAGUCCACAUCUCCAUCGCCGUCUUCAACCCAAUCGCUGUAGAUGGUGAUCGAUUUACUAUAUAACAGGCAGUUUUGGCUGCUUCUGCCCAGAAUGAAUUGGGUAGACCAGCAGUCCUCAACAUAGCUCUUAUUCUUUCUGUAAGAGUUCUGUUCAUCCGCUCUGCCACUCCGUUUUGUUGAGGAGUGUAUGCCACCGUGAACUGCCUCUAAAUACCUUCUUGCUUACAGAAAGCAAGAAACUCGCCGUCUGUAUACUCUCCACCAUUAUCCGUCCUUAAGCACUUGAUCUUUUUACUAGAUUCAAGUUCCACCCGCGCUUUGUAUUCUUUAAACACUGGAAAUACAUCUGACUUUUUCUUAAUUGGAUACACCCAACAUCUUCUGGAAUAAUCAUCAAUGAAAGUCACCAUGUACUUUGCACCUCCCAUGGAUAUAUCCGGUGAUUCCCAAACAUCAGAAUGAAUCAAGUCUAGAAUGCAUUUACUUCUAGCAAUAGAUCUACUGAAUUUUAAUCUAUGCUGCUUACUUGUAACACAAUGCUCACAAAAUGGUAAACUUACCGAUUUGAGCUCCGAAAGCAAUUUUCUCUCAAAGAGAAUCUUCAAACCUUGUUCUGACAUGUGGUCAAGUUUGAGAUGCCACAUCAUCGUUGACUUUUCUCCAUUUGACGCGACACACGCAUCAGCCUCCUGUAGUGUUUCUCCUUUAAGCAUGAAUAAAUUAGCACUGAUCUUUUCUGCCUUCAUCAAUACAAGCGCUCCUUUAACGAUCUUCAUUAUUCCAUUCUCCACAUGAGUUUUGUACCCAUGACUAUCCAUUUGUCCCAAAGACAAUAGAUUUUUCUUCAGGCCGUUGACAUGUCGUACCUCCCCAAUUGUGUGAAUUGUACCAUCAAACAUUUUUAUUUUGAUAGUACCAAUACCAGCGAUCUCCAAGGCAUGAUCGUUACCCAUAUAUACAGAUCCUCCUGAGAUAGGUUCAUAUGUGUGGAACCAUUCUCUCCUAGAGGUCAUGUGCCAGGUAGCUCCUGAGUCUAUAAGCCAGACAUCAGAAAGUCGUUUUCUGCCUUCUGAAACAGUUGUUGCCCCACUGUAGAGAAUUUCGCCAUCAUCCGAGGUACUUGCUACACACCCCUGAGCAUUUGAUGACUCAGGUUCUUUGCCCUAUCUUCUCUUCUGGUUACUCCAACACUCUUUCUUGACGUGCCCUUUCUUGCCACAGUUGUAGCAUUUAACAUUCUUCUUACUUCUGGAUUUUGAUCUACCAUUAUUGUGACUCCCACUGGGGCCACGUUCUGUUGAUCUCCCUCUCGUCACCGAUAGCGCCUCCGCUUGCUGCGAACUUGCUUGUCUGUUUUCUUUAUUUUUCCGCCUGCUCUCCUCAUUUAAUACGGAGGCUGCAAUAUCGUCGAAAACUAGACUGUCCGCUGGAUUGUUGUUCGUCAGGUUGAUGAUGAGUUGAUAAUACGAAUCUGGUAGACUUUGAAGUAGAAGCUCUGCACGUUCAUUUUCCUCUAUAUUAUGACCCAACGUUGUGAGUUGUGAAAAUAGAGUCUUCAAGGUGUUGAUGUGGUCGGUCACCAUUGUAGAUUCCGCCAUUCGAAGAGUAUAAAGUUUCCUCUUCAAGAAAAUUUUGUUGUGUAGUGACUUGGCCUCGUACAAUUUUGUGAGAGUAUCCCAAAUUUCCUUCGCUGUGUUUUUCUCUGCCACACUGGAUAAUACUCCGUCUACAAGUGCCAAGUGUAGAUCAGAAAUGGCGUUGCCAUCUAUCUCGUUCCACUUGUCAUCAGUUAUCUCCAUGGGCCUUUCUCUAAUUGCUGCCAAGCAAUUAUUUUUCCUCAAUACAGCUUUCAUCUUCAUUUUCCACAACGAAAAAUUAUUUCCGUUAAAUUUCUCAAUUUCAUACUUUGCCGCCAUUUUUGUUGAUAAAUAUUGCACACAAGCAAGUAUACCACCUUGAAUAGUUGUGAGUAUGUGUGAGAAUGCACACCAGGAAAGUUCCCAGGAAAGAUUGGAGGGGUCACAAUGGUCCCACUUAAAACCCAGACUCCUUAAGCUCUUAUCGCCUUUGUGACAGAACUUUCCUAGACAUGUACAAAACCACACAGUUGCUUUACUCACACCACUAUUCCCUGCUUUGCACCGCCAAAUUCUUGGAUCGCUCACACCGUUUCACGUGAAUAGUACCGUAUACGUGAAUAGUACCGUAUACGUGAACAGUACCGUAUACGUGAAUGAAACCGUAUAGUACCGUAUACAGUGCCGUAUACGUGAAUAGUACCCCUUACGUGAACAGUUCCCGACUCUAAAAAUACAACCAAUAGCUCUGUACCACUGUUAGGAAAUUGGUGGGUGAAGCAGACACGCAGCUAAAGUAAAAUUGGGAGAAAAAAUAAAGAACAAGCACAAUAGAGGACACCAGAAAUUACGUGGUUCGGCUUUUAGCCUACGUCCACGGGCAAAGACAGAAGGAAAUAUUUUACUAGUGAAAAGGAGUUACAAGUAUUGUAGUAUUUUAGCUCACUUCCCAAAACCCCAAUACACCCAAACUCUCUAACUCACUAGACACUCAAGAGUUUAUUAAACUCUUAAAACUCUCAACACUCAAGAAAGCAAUGCUUCUCUCUCGAUGGAAUUGGAUACAAAAUGAAAUGAGGAGCUCUGCCUUUUAUAGCCAAAAAAUGGCUAUUAAAUUAUUAUUUUUACCACCGUCUUCAUUCUUCUAUUUUCUUCUUUCUUCUUUUUCUUCAUUCCAAAUUUGCUGCUGCCAAAUUCUUCAACAUUUUCUUUGGCCGUCUGUCAAAGCCAACUUUUGCUUAUUCAAGGGUUCUAGAUGCAGUAGCUUCUAGAUGCAGCCAAAUUUGACAGUGUAGGAGAGAAACAAAAGAAUAUUUGAGGAAAACACGUGAGGAUAUUUUUGUAUAUUUAGGAGAAAGUCAGGAUCUGGGCAUCUCAUUGGGCUUCCAUUCCAUUUUUUCAAAGUUUAAUGAGUCUCCUUUUAAUUCUUAGCAACUGGCAAGAAAUGGCAGCAGCCUGAGAAGGAGAGUUUUAGCCUUUUCAUAGAUUUUGUGGAGACUUUCAUGUUUAUACUCUUGGCUAUAGUUUGUGCGCUGUCAUAUUAGUAAUAGAGGUUUAGAACAUUUGUGCAUGAUUUUCACAGGAUAUGUGGUAGAUAGAAAUAACCAGAAUGUUUUGCAUGCCUAACUCCCAUAGAUGAUCUUGCUUACCUAUUCCUAUAGGAAUGUUCUGUCUGAAAAAUAGGUAUUGAGACAAUCAUUAGUUCAUAUCAUCUUUAUUGUCAUGGUGAUAUGUACUAUGCUUGAAAUUUAUAUUAAAAGAUACCUUUUUUAUUUACUCCAUAUUUUAUUGUAGCAAGGAAUUAAUUUAAGUGGCAUAAAAAACAUGGAGUUUUACUUUAAUAGAUAACUCUUUAUAUUAUAGGGUUGGCUAUAUUCAUUAAUGUUGCACAUGCAGAUUGAGUUUGAAUUUGUAAUGAUUUUGUUGCAUCUAAAACUUACGAGUUUUACUGUAGUAGUUAAUUCUUUUUAACGAUAGUGCUGGGUAUAUUCAAUUGGUGUUCUACUGGAAUUUUACUGAGAAUAUGGGAGGAGUUCUACAUUACAAGAUUUGACGGCUUGUUAGCUUGUAAAAUUUGAAACGUUUGCUAGAAUUAGCUUCUUAAUCACUUUGGAUGUGUUAACUAUUGCAUACAAGUGUUUUCGUAUGAUGUUAUUAAUACAAAGUGUUUUUGGACUUGAUAAAAUGUAUAAUUUAAUUUUUGGUUCAUAUUGCAUUUAUGAUUGAAUUUCAUAUACAAGAACGCAUAAAUUUAAAUGAAAUAUUUCAUAAUUUCUUUCAAUAUAAAUUUAGAUCCUAUGACAGAAAAUAUUAAUUAUAAAUUAAGUCACAAAAAAAAUAAUUUAUGACAGAAAACAUCAAUCAUAAAUUCCGUCAUAAACUAAGUACUCUACCCACUAAAAUUAUCCAUAUGAUAAUUUACACGUGAAAAUCAAUUUUCAUGUCAAAUUUCAAAAUUGAAAAAAAAAAAUUUCCCGCCAAAAAUUAAUUAAUAUAUUCAUUUUUUUUAUGACAGACAUAUGACAUCUAAACAUUAUCAUAAGUUAAUGACAUAUUUUUUUUCUAUCAUAAAAGAGUGACAGGUACAUAAAUGAUGGAUAAUUUCAUUGUCAUCCACCCUGCUUUAUGAUAGUUUUUUUCUGUCAUAUCUUGCCAGUUUUCUUGUAGUGUAUUACCCUUCUUAAUAACCUCGGAUCCCUUGACAAUUUUCAUCCAACUAGAUUCAAUCUUAACACUACAUCCUAUUUGAUUAAGCAUUUCCAGCGAAAUUAAAUUCCUUUUCCGAUCAGGCACAUACCUAACCUGUCUAAGUUCCCUAAUGAUACCAUCAUAUAGUUUGAGAUUAACAUUGCCAAUUCCUCAGAUCUGACACACAUUAUUAUUGCCCAUCAUCACUUUACCACCAUUAAAAUCAUGAAAUUCAGUAAAGUAAUUUUUAUGGGGAGACAUGUGAAAGGUAUAACCUAAGUCUAGAACUCAUUUACCAUUUUCUUUGUUGUAUGUGGCAAUACAUUUUCUAGCAUAUUUAUAUCCUCCAUCUUCUGCAACAAUUGUAUCUCCAUUUUUAUCAUUUUUCUUAAGCUUCCUUUUUGGGUAAUCCUUCUUAAAAAUGCCCCUCUUUAUGACAUAAGAAACACUUUAAGUUCUUAGGCUUUUCCUUGCUUCUUUUUCUUCCUUCUGGCUUUGCUUUUGCUAUUAAACCUUCACUAGAGCCAUUUCCAAGGCUUUCUUGCAUACCUUAAAAUUCCUUAGUGCUAAAAGUUGACUUUACCUCAUCCAGAGACAAUGCCUGCCUGCCAUACACUAAAGCAUCAACAAAAUGUUCAUAAGACUUGGGCAGAGAGCUUAUUGAAAACAAUGCUCUAUCCUCAUCAUUCAAUGAUGCACCUAUAGUUUCUAGAGUGCCACACACUUUGUUAAACUCAUCAAGAUGAUCAUCAAGGGAUAACCUUCAAUCAUUUUCAAUAUGAACAUUCUCUUUUUGAUGUAUAAUCGGUUAGCAAGAGAUUUUGUUCAUGUAUAUGCUCUCUAAUUUGGCCCAUAGGUCAACAACUUAUCAGUUCUUUGGCCACUUUCCUUAUCACUGAGUCUGCAAAGCUCAAGAUUAUUGUUUCCCUUGCCUUCCUAUCAAAUUCAGCAGCCUGUUCAGGGGUCUUUGAAAAGGGAACUUCCUUCUCUUCCUUCUUGAUGACUGGUUGAAUAGCAUCUCCAAGGUCUUGUGUAAGUAAUGCCUCCAUUUUCACUUUCCACAUAUUAAAGUCAUUUUUACCAUUAAACUUCUCAAAAUUGAUCUUUGGAUUAGCUAUAUUUGGAUCUUGACUCUAUAAUCCUAGCUCUGAUACCACUUGUAGUGCUCAGAUAACCCAAAAUACAGAGCUAUCCAAGCACUACCCAAGAUUGAGGUCAAGAACAACCAAAUUGCAUAUGAUGAUCAGAUCAAUCUUUGAUACCUUUAAUUUUAAACAAGAAACUUCAAUCAAGGUUUCUAGGAAUCAAAGAAGUAAGAAACGCAACAAACACAGCAAACAACACACAGAAGAAAGAAACUCAAUUACGUGGUUCAGUUGUGCUGUAAACACAACCUACUUCCACGGGAGAAGCCACCAUAAUGAGUAUUAUUAUUGAUUUUCAUCCAAAUUCCAACAUAUGGUUAGCUCUAACAUUAUUGUGCAGGAUGCACUAUGUUUCAAAAAAGAAAACCAUUUCUGUGUACAAAAUAAUUACAAAAAACGUGGGCACAUAAGCUGAAGGCGUGGGCAUUGCAAGAAUAUUGACCUUUUAUGCCAUGUUUGUCAAUUUCAAUGAAAUCUGAGAAAACCCAUUUCCCUGGUCUGUUCAAGGAGCCUUGAGAUUUGUGAGUCAUUGUGUAGUUAGUUUACAAAAUGGUUUGUUGUUGAAAAUGCUUUGGUUGUGACUGGUGAAAUGGUGCUGAAGAUAAGUUGAUUUGAGCACUGGGGUAAUCAUCCCCACUGUAAUCCUUUUUUUAAUUUUUUUUUAAUGUAUGCAUAUAUUGUAUGUGUAUAUAAAAAGGAAGAAACAUAAAGUUUCAUAUACAGUGUUACUUGUUUUUUAUGGCCUCUUUUUCCUUUCAACCAGAAAAUAUCCACAGCGGCUGCAUAUUGCACAUAGUUCUUUAGCUACAAACAAUAUGUUAGUUUGAUCAAGGAAGUAUAAAUUGAAAAAGUGGCAUAAUAUUUUUGUUUUAACCUUUAAUUACCACUUUUUAGUGAGGUAUUUAUUUUGCUUCCUUGUUCAUUUUUUCUAAGGGAUUUCAUGUUUGAUAUAGUUUGACAUACAUUAUACAGUUAUCAAUUUUACCAUGAUUAGAGUUUUAUAAAUUUCUUGAAAUGUUUCGUAUUAGGAUCGGUUUAGAAGCGUUAAUUUGCGAAACUUAGAAAAUUUAUUUAUACAAUGCUCUAUGUUCUCUCUUUAUAAUUUGUGAAGAAAUCGAAGAAAAAACAAAAGAGGGAAGUCAUGUAUCUAUUCUCUGAAAAAGAAAACAACAUGAUCCCCACUCCGACCUGUCCCCAUCGCCUGCAGUAUGGACCUAUAAAGUUCAUCCGACUACAUUGAUUGAAUUGUUAUUUAACCCCUUGAUUGACAUGUUUGACUAUCUGGGUAUUUAUAUUUUUGUAGUUAUUUUUUUCUCUAAUUUGUGCAUUUCUUAUUUAAUAGAAUGCAAGAAUGAUGAUUUUUUUUUUCAGGGGCUUGAUAGUGAGCAUCAACAAAAUCAAGUUACGUAGUUGAAUCAAAGAUAUCGCAGCUAUUGGUUAGCUGGGAGCUGUUUUUAUCUGACCGACUUGUAAGCUCAUAAUCCAAAUCCAUUAUGAUUCAUUGUUCUUAUCUAUAUGUGGAUUAAUGCAUUGGAACAUCAGUUAGUUGCUGUAAAUUAGUUUAUGAAUUAUUUAUUGAUUGGUGGAAGUGGUUUUGAAUUAUCAACAUUAUUGUAAUUGAGUGAGUCGAAUAUGCACUGCAAUUAAGAUCUCCAGCUUCAUUGAUGCACGUUGGAGGAUUUGAUGAGUAGACCCAAUGAUAAUAGAUAUUUUGAGUUAUUCGCAGGCACACGAGUAGACCCAAUGAUAAUAGAUAUUUUGAGUUAUUCCCACUUGAUGGUGCUAGGAUUCACAUAUGUUAUUAUUAAGACAUUUUGGAUUGUAAAACUAUAUUUUGAUUAGAUGAUUAAGGAUGAUUAAUGUAUGUUGACAUUAGAAUGGUUGGGUGAUAUUUGGUGUUAUAGUUGAGGAGAUUGAUUGAUGAAUUUGGUUGAAUAAUGAACUAUUUCAAAAGUGUUUAUUUUAUACAUUUGCAGGUUUGGAAAAGUCAUAAAUGUAAGGGAAACUUUGCCCCAUUUUUUUGGCAAAUUCAUAUUAAUAAGUUUAUUACUAGUCAAGUUGGAUGAUAAAUAGACAUACUCACCUUUAGAAUUUGGAGUAGGUCAUUUCAUCUAAUUCUUUAAUCUUUAUCUAGGAUUGUAGUGUCCAAAAAUUAAGUAAACAAUUAUUAGUAUUAAUUUGAAUGCAUUAUUAUGGUUAUUGAUUUAUUUUCAUAUUUUAUUGUUAAUUUUUUUUAUUAUGUCAUUCACUAUAAGAAAAAUGACAAUAGAUGACUGACACUUUAUGAUAGAAAUCGUUAUAUCAUAAAAAUAUAACAGGGUUGUGAUAAAAUUAUUGUCUAUCAAAUGAUUAAUGAUGUAUUUGUGAUAUAAUUUGUGUUUAUCACGAAUUUAUGAUAGGAUAGUGAUAAAAAUAUGAUAGAAUUUUAACAUUGACCGUGUUUGACCAAUUUUUAAAUUAAUAUUUUAUUAAAAGAAAAAUAAAAUCAAAACGGGUCAUUUAGACAUAAAAGUUUCUCAUGUCACCGAACUCACUUAGUCACUUAUUGCUCACCAGUCACCACAUAACGCAUGCCACUCAUCAACUAACACUGUGAAACAACACGCUUGCCAAACCCUAGAAAUCAAUCCCGCAUCUUCGCCGCUGUUCAAAUAGUGUUCUUGCUGUCGUUAGAAAAGUGUUCAGAGCCAGGCCAAUGUGGGACAGUGUUUGUUUAAGAAAUGAGGUGCUCAAUGGUGAUGCUACUCUAUUGAUAAUCAAUGUGCAUGCAAUCCUAAUUCCCAACUUUUUGUCCUCUUUAUUUCUCUUCUUUAAACACAUGUCUCUUCCUUUUGCACAUAUGUUUAACACUCUUUUCUAUUCAAUGAUACCCAAAAAUAAUUGAUAUUAUCUAAGUAUUUGAAAUUUUAUCUCAAGAAUUAUAAUUGUACUAGAAAUUAAAAAUUGAGUAGCUUUUUUAAGCAAAGUUGUUGACAGUGUUUGUUUUAGCCAAAAGAAUAAUCAGUGCUUUGGAAGAAAGAGGAAAAACAUUGUUUCUGUGGUUUAUAUUUUCUAGAGCGUAUUUACAAAAACUUGCUAAUGGUAACGACAUUCGCUGGAGUUGUUUUUGGGUUCUUUGUAGGAGUAUUACAAAGGUAUUUACUGAAAAAGCAUAUAAUAGACAGUUUAGCUGUUGUAAAAGGGUAUUCACUGAAUACGAUAAGAGACCCAGCUUUCUGUCUUGUUCUUGGAUCUCAGUUUUCAGACAAUUGUAAACUAUUUUCUGUAACUCCCUGGUCUUCAUUGUGCCUUUGGGUAACUCUUUUCUAAUUUGUGGCAUUAAAUAUUCUGGGUUCACUUAAUCAUUUAAAUUUAGUAGUUUAUGAGUUAUGUUAGGUGACAUAGAAAACAAGUGUGGUUUCUUAAGCUAUUUGGAAUAUUUUAAUUGUUACUGCUUCACUGUUAUUGUAAAGAUGUUGACCUUAAUUCUUCAUUGGGUGCAUCAUAUUCAUGACCCCUUAUUCUCUUUUGAAACUGCAAAAUGAUUCAAGCUGCCAAAGUUUUUUAAGUAUUUUGAGAAUGAACUUGGAGCAACUGUGAUCUUUGGAUUAUUUGCAAUAUCUUGGGUCAUUCUACGAUUAAUAUUCUUCCUCUUUUGGGUCAUCAAAUGUACAAGUUUUUCCUGCAUGAUAAAUGAUUUGAUGCCACCUUAUUUGGUCGUCUAGCAGUUUCUUUGGCUUAUUUGCUUUUUUGAUUUGCAUUUUCCAACUAUGAUCUUUAGUUCUACUUGAACUUAUCAGAGAUACUUUCAUUUACUACUUAUUCAAUACAAUGUUGCUGAUGCUCUUUGUGGUCCAGAUAUGCUGGUGGGUUCUCACAUCCUCAAUGAUCUGGAGACAGCUGAAAAGUGGUCAACUUAGGGAAGAUAUAAGAUCUGGUAGGCAUUUUGAUGCUUCCAUUAUCAGUUUGAUUCAUUUAGUGUCAUCAAUUAUUCCCAGUAGUCUUUCUCCCUCUGUGGAAAUAAUCAUUGUUUUUGCUUUGAUAGUUUGCAGGAAACUUGAUCCCAUAUAAUAGUUUUGCUAGAACUUAAUUAGUUAUAUUCACGUGUGCCUAAGCCUUAGCCAUAUUUUAGUUCUUGUUUCAAAACCUAGAUAAAAUGAACUUAUAAUUGGAUAUUAAUUGUAAAUCAAACAAAAGGGUAAAGGAAUUAAUUAGUUAUAUUCACACAUGCCUAAGCUUUGAAGGAAAGUUAGCUGCCUUUAUGGGUACCCUUUUGGUUCCACAUUUUAUUGCCACAAAGAAUUAAUUAACGUUACAUCAAAAACUUGAAAGUUUUACUUUAAUAGAUAAUUCUUUAUAAUGAAUAUGGGAGUUUUGCUGGGUAUUUGUUGAGAAUAGGAAUUUAUCUACUGGAAUUUCACUGAGAAUAUGGGAGAAGUCUUGCACUAGAAGAUUUGACGGCUUCAUAACUUGUAAAAUUUAAAGCAUUUGCUUGAGUUAACUUUUUUUUAUUACUUUGGAUGUGUUAAUUGUUGGAUACAAGUGUUUUUGGAUGGUGUUGUUAAUAUAAAGUGUUUUUAGACUUGAUAGAAUGUAUAAUUUAACUUUUGGUUUAUAUUGAAUUUGUGAUUAAAUUCAUAUGCAGGAAUGCAUAAAUUUAAAUAAAAUAAUUUAGAAUUUCUUUUAAUAUAAAUUUAGAUCCUGUGACAAAAAAAAUCAGUCAUAAAUUAUGUCGCAAACAAAAUAAUUAAUGAUAAAAAUUUCAAUUAUUAAUUCCAUCACAAACAAAAUAGUUUAACCACUAAAAUUAAUUGGAUAAUAAUGUACGUGUAAAAGAUAAUUUUUCUGCCAAAAUUUAAGAUAAAAUUUAAUUUUCACGCCAAAAAAUUAAUUAAAAUAUUCAUUUUUUAGGAUGACUGACAUAUGACUUUGAAACAUUAUUAUAAGUUAAUGACAUUUUUUUUCUAUCAUAAAAGAGUGACAGAUAAAUAGAUAAUAGAUAAAUUCACUGUCAUCCACCCCCUUUAUGAUAGUUUUUUUCAGUUAUCUAUUGCUAGUUUUCUUGUAGUGAUUAUUAUUGUUAUUGUUAUUUAUUACUACUACAAACAUAGAGUAUUAGUAUUGAUACUAUAUUGGCGCUUGUAUUUAUUUGUAGUUGGGCCUAAUUUUUGCGAAGCCCAUUUUAGUCAUUUUCAUCCAACCCAUUAACUAAUAGCAGGCAUAAAAUAGAGAUUGACGAUAAAAUAAGAGCUAACUUUUUCUUCCACCUUUGGUCGGCCAUGAAUGUUCAAGUUAGAGUAUAAACUUAAAAGUUAUUGAGUUUUAUCUAUGUGAUUAAGGAUUGGAAAGUUUUGAUUCUUGAGCUUAUUGUAUGAGUUUUAUGCGUACUAUGUAUUGGGGGAUUGUUGAUUAAAUGAAAAUCAAGAGGAUUAAGGGGAUGUGCUGAAUUUUUUGUAACAGUCACCCAUUCUGAAAAUGAUGUAAAUCUAUUUUUUUGAGUUAUAAAUUUUUUUUUAUAUCUAUCGAAACUAGACAUCUUGAGGGUUACAUAAAAUUUUGUUUCAACUAAAAAUAAUUUCUAUUCCAUUUUUUAAUGAAUUUUUGAAUUAGGACUUGUGGUUCUAGAAAAUGACAUUUCUAUAGUGCUGUAAGAUGGAAAAAAAUGUUUAAAUUGAUCAAACCGUCUCAAAAAAUUAUGAAACUUCUCAAAUUUACUCUUUUGAUGUCUAUUACAUCAUAUCCAAGAUUGGGAUGCUAAUUCAUUGUAUUUGAACUUUUGUGAAUUAAUGAGUAAAGGCAUAUCCAAAAUUGGGCUCCUAAUUCCUUGUAUUUUAAUUUUCUGUGAAUUAACAAGUAAAAGUCCUCAAUUUUAGAUUCUAGAUUUCACGACAUAAUAGUCUUGGAAAAAAAAUUAUUUGGAAUAAUUUUGAUAUAUAUUUAAAAAUAAGUUUUAUUUUAAAAUUUUCUAAUAUUUCUCCUAAUUUGCUCUGUUAUAAUUGUCAUGUUGAUACAAAAUUAGGAUAAUCAAACAAACAAACAAUAGUUACCCCUAGUUAUCAAUAGAAGAAAUGAUACUAAAUAAAAUUGUCAUUUUCAACAAAGAAAAAUAAUAAAUAUAUGAUAAAAAAAAGAAUAAUUAUAUCACUCUAAUCGAUAUUUACGUGGAAAAAAAAACUCACAGGAUACAUAUUGCGGUGAAACCUUUGUUAUUUGUGUGUGAAUAUUUGGCGGCAACUAUUAAGGCAAAAGUAAAUCCAAUAUUAAGACAAAUAAAUAAUUAUUUAAAGGAUGUGUAUUAAUUACAAAUGAGAAGAACUUGGAAAAACAAUAUAUUUAAAUACAAAUCAACUUUAAUAAGUCCCUGUGACGCAAUGCAUUAUUUAAUUAUUUAAUUUGUUUUCAUCUACUUUGGUGCUCAAAUCAAUUGAGAGAUUCAUUCUGGAACCAACUUUUGGCCAUGGCUACUCAUCCUGCAAAAAUAGAACAAAUUGCAGAAACAUUACUGGACCGAAACUGUUACAGAGCAUGAUCAGAGCUGUGAGGAUGAGCACACUUGAUUAUCUUCUAGCUAACGUGUAACAGUUAGUUAGCUAAGUCAGCAUUAUUGUUAACAAACUCAUUAAGCGUGUAUAGGCGUUAUAACAAACUCUAGAUUGAUUCUUCUUCAUAUCUUUUCUUCAUUUUCUCGUUGAUUUUCUUACUUACCAAACACACAUUUACAUAAUCUUCCAGAAACCAUGCAGCAAAAUUGACAUGGAAGGAAUUUAAUAGAGAAAGAGAUAUGGGCAUUGAAAGUCACCUGAGAUGUGUUGCUGCAUUAUUUAUAUUCUAGCGCUCCACAAACUUACAGUAAGGAUUGAGGACAUCUUUAGCAUUGGCUUGAUCCCAGUCCAAUGAUUCCCAUAAUUCUUUCUUUAUCUCAAUAACUUUAAGCGCAGCGGGUGGAGAUGGUUGCCCAUUAUCAAGCAGAGGAAGCAAAAGAGAAAGCCGCUUCAAUUUGGGACAGCGGCGUACUUCAAUUUCUUGGAGAGAAUUACAAACCAAUACCCCAUUAUUGCUGCAGAAGCUCUUAAAUUCUGGCAAGUCCUUAAGAUGCAACUUCUUCAAUCUAGGAAGUGUAACAGUAUUAAUGAUGGUAUUUGUUGCUAAUUCUUUCUUAGUUUCUUCAUCCUCGACCGCUACUAUCUCCUCGAUUGAAUCGCACCUAGAGACUUCUAGACAUUCCAAGUUUUGGAGGGCAGGCAAUAACCGAAGUGAGAACAAAUUCUUUAAAUUACCAAUGUUAACUAAUCCUUGUUCCCUUGGUAAAACAUCAUUUAAGCUUGCAACGUCGUCGACCGCAAACAUUUCUAAAUAUUGAACAUCUUCUAGGAGCACAAUGUGUUCUCUUUCACAGAUUUUGCAAGCGAAAAGGCAUACUGAUUUAUCUACUUCGAAAUCAGCCAUCAUAAAAGGCGGCACGUGAUAUGCCGACAGCACAAGACAAUAAUUUUUUGAUCCUCGACCACCUAUAGAUUUAACAUAUAUGUUGAAAUCUUUGAGUGUAGAAAAAUGGCCUUCAAAAGUGUCCAAUCCAUCGCUCAAUCUAGCUGCCUCUUCCACUGUUUCUCGUAAAGCUUCAUUGCCAAAAGAUAAUUUCAAUUUGUAGAGAUUACGUAGUCUAGGUAAUAUACCAGUCGGGAACUUCUUCAGCGGCAGUGAACAGAGAUAAAGAUGACUAAGGUUCUCCAACAUUUCCAUACCUUCUGGGACUUCUUCUAUCCCUGUUCCUUUGAGGUCCAAGUACUGGAGAGCCAACAGCUUUGCCAAAGAAGGAACUCGCUUUAAUCUUUCACACAUUCCAAGCAACAAUGAUCUGAGAUUCGUCAAGUCAGAGACGGAACUUGGCAAGACUUCAAUGUUGGUGUGAGAAAGAUUCAGAACCUUCAACCCAUGCAUGUGCACAAAGAAACAUUCAGGAAUCCUUUGCAAAUAUUCAUUGCGUUGUAGCAACAAAGUUGAAAGAAUUUCACAAUGUGGGGACAUAUUUGAAGGGACUUCCUCGAUGUCAUUCCUCAUCAGCGAAACUCUAUCGAGAUUCUCUUCCCAUUCUUGUUCACCUGGAAAUUUCAGCAAACGUCUGCCAGCUUUCACCAUGAAUAAAGGGCUCUCAUUUGUAAUGCGUAACGCCAUGUCUCUUAUAAGAUCAUGCAUCUUCACACAACUACCAUCUUCGACGCUUUCCAAUAAGCAGCAAUUUACAAGCCUGUUCAAUAUAGUAUGCCCUCUAUCAUAUUUUGCUUGGACAUCCUUCACUUCUUCGAUAAACCCUUCUGCAAUCCAAUAAUCUACCAGCUCAUCCUUUGGGAUGGCAAAAUCUUCAGGAUACAGUGCACAAUACAAGAAGCAUUGUUGGAGCUUUUCAUCUUUCAAGCGAUGGUAACUGAAUUCUAAUCGCCCAAACACUUUAGUAUCUACGUCAUUCAAACUUCUCAGCCGUCCACGCAAUUCAUUGAGCGCAUUUUGCCAUUCAUAAAUUUCUUCUUCGCCGCUCAUGGAAGCAGCUACAGUUACAAUUGCCAGCGGUAAACAACCACAUUCCUCAACAACUUCGUUCAUGAUUUCUUUAUUCAAAGCUGGAACUUGCAAAAUGUUGCUGCCAACUCCGUCUAUGAACAAAUUAAAUGCCUCCUGUUUAGAAAGCAAUUCAAUUGCGACUUGUUUACACUUCAUCGAACGACAUACCCUAUGUGAACGUGUAGUUAUCACCAAUUUGCAUCCAUUCUCUUCACUAGGAAAUUCUUGUUUACACUUCUUCGAGACGAAAUUCUUUCCACAUAUCAUCCAGUAUCAACACAAACUUCUCUUUAGCUUUCAACAUUCCUAACAACUCCCCCGCACGUCUUACUUUAUCUUCAUUUUCUAGAAGACUUUGUUUCAAUGCAGUCGCAAUCUCAGUUUGCAGUUUGCAGUUUACUUUAUCUUCAUCCUGUUGUUAAUUUCUUUCAUGAUAGUUGUUUUGCCAAUACCGCCCAUACCCCAAACUCCUAUCUUUGUGACCUUAUCACCCAUCAAAUCGUCCCAAAUUCUUUCCACAACUUUCUUUGUCUUUUCGCCUACUAAUGUUGCCGUGGUCAACGUCAAUCCUCUGGAUGGGGGUGCAUCAAUCACCAAACUAGGGAAAGAACGACCCUUUUGAUGAUACUCUUUCACUUCUUGAAUCUUCUCCUCAGCAUGUUUUCCCAAACGCGCACGUGAGAAAUAUUUUCCUUUCUCCACUUCCUCCUCAAUACUAUGCGCUUCGUUGUUGAUCCUUUCUACGUUUUCCAACCAAUCAUUGACUUCAUUACUUGGUUGUUUGUUCCCCAGAUCACACUCUGCCUUCAAUGUUGCUUCUAUAUCUGCUUUCUUGCUAUUUAACUCCUGUAAUACUCUUUCAAGAUUUCUCAUUAUUUCACUGAGCUUUCGGUGGCGGCGAACAUAUUGGCAUAUCGACGGCCCCACACACUCAAAAAAUUGAAGGAUUGUUCCCAUAAAAUCCAUAGGCAGGUCCUACAAGUAUAUCACUAUAACAUUAGUGUAUAUGAUUUCUUCUGGAGCAAUUUCAUUUAUCAAAAUUGCAUAAAAUUUUGGGAUAAAAUGUUAAACCUAAAGGAAUUAAAAUAAUAAUAUAAUUUCUUUGAACUAAUUUGGAAGAUUUACAAAAUAUGCUGAGCCAAAUCCGUGAAAGACAUGAUCUGAACACAUAUUUUGAGUUACGGAUCCCCAGGCAAUCCAAUAAGAAUUUGGUAAUAAUUAAUAAUAUUUUUUGACUAAAAAUUUCAACUUACAUAGAUCAAUUGAUGAAUGAAAAUAUGUUUCUCAAUUUGACAUGACCAAUCAGCAUAUCAGAUAAAAUAAAUCAAUGGUGCAAUAAAAUCUAAAAGAAAAUAUAGCUUACCUGAAUAAACCGGCUUGCUGUAGCUUCUUCAAAUGUUUGUCAAGGGGAAGAAAGCAUCAAGGCUGAAGAAGCCAAAACAAUACGACCUUUUGCUGAAUGACACUACUCUUCGUGAUUUGUCGGGAAAAAAAAAAAAGAAGGGUCAAGAAUCACAAUGAAUGCUAGCUAGUAGCUACAUAAAUAUUAUGUUAGUUAAUUUUUUUUUUUCAUAAUUUAUAAUAUAUUAUUAAAUUAAUUUAAUCAUUGAGGGUAUAUAAAUCAUUUGGCUUAAUUAUUAUUUUUAAAAUUUUUAAAUUUUAUAAUCUACAUCAAGAGUAAAAGUAAAAAUAAAAAAUUAACAUUGUUAUAACUAUAGAAGCAUUUAAACAUAAUUUCAAAUAUAAGAGAGAUUUCGCUUAAUUUUUCUAAACAAUAAGAGCAGUCCUCAUUUUUCAUUUUUUUUCCUUUUUAACGAGUGUCUUUAAGAUAAGCGAUGAAAGUUUGAAAAAAAAAAAAAUCAGUCAACGAACAGCUACUUGUCUUCAAUAAUUCAUAAGAUGAAAGGGAUGGUUAUUGUCUUAGCUGGCCUGGCCACCACGCGUUGUUUUUAGUCAAAAAGUCUUUCGCAAUGCAAUUAAAUUUCCAAAUAAAUGCAAUGACGAUAUUUUCAUUUCAGGUGCGACGUCGGUUCGAUACAUCCGAUUUGAUCAAAAUUUGGAAUCGAAAGUACAUUGGAGAGCUGUUUUCGGAAUGAUUUGCGUAAUCUCGAAGGAACUAGCUAGAGUGCUCUUGCACAGCUUUAAUAUAUAUUUUUUUAAUUUUUAAAUAUUACAAAAUCUCUACCGUAUGGGGCCAUAGGUCGAAACUAAUUAUUUAACUAAAAUAUAAACUAUCCAACUCUCUCAUAUUAUAAAUAUAAUCCAAAAUUCUAAAUUAAAAAUCUACUCAUAUAUAUAUAUAUAUAUAUAUAUAUAUAUAUAUAUAUAUAUAUAUAUAUAUAUAUAUAUAUAUAUAAUUCUCUGGUGACAAUAUCAUUACAAUAUAAAAAAUUAUAAAUUUUAUACAUUAGAGGUUAUGAUUUUUUCUCUAUUAAUAUAGUGAGAUCUGUCUUUUUCUCUAUUAGUUACAUCCUUAUUUUGUUCCUCACUUUAUCACUAAAAAAUAAAAAAUACAGAUUUAAACACAAUAACAAAAAAUAGUUUCUAAUGUAUUGAAAUCUAUGCAUUUUUAUAUACCUUAAAGAAAAAGCAUAUAUAUAUAUAUAUAUAUAACAACAAACACAUACAAAAAUUAAAGUGCUUUAUACACUAUACAUGGCCCCAAUUCCAAAUUAAAAUAUUGACAUUAGUUGCGUUUUGACAUUUGGUAAGGACAGGCAAUGAAUAACUUGUCUUCAAUAAUUAAGAAGAUGAAAAGGAAUCCAAACGCACAAUGAAUGACAUGUUUCACUCUUAGGCCGUGUUUGGUUUGAAGAUAGGGGAGGAGAGGAAAAACGUGAAAUGGAGGGAAAGGGAGAAGAAAUGAGUGGAGGAAAGUAGUGAAAUUUAAUUUCAUUAUUUGGUUUGAUAUAAAAUUUGAUAAGAAAAGAAAUUACAAUUUUUUUUAAGACAAAUUUAUCUUUUAUCUUAAAUAUUAUACUAUUUAGAUUAGUAAUGAAAUGUAAUUUUUUUUUAUAUAUAAUGGCAGUCCGGCGAAGUUCCGGCAAUUUUCCGACAACAUCCAACGGUGGUCCGAUGACUUUCCGGCGACGCCGUCAGAUGUCCAGUGACAAUUAAUUUGUAUUUUUAUAUUUUCAUAUUAAAUAAAAUAAAUAAGUUUAUUUAUUUUGUUAAGUAUCUUAAAUUAUUUAUUAAAUUUAAUUAAUAUAUAAUUAUUUAUAAUAUUAAAUUAAAAAAAUAAAAUUAUUAAUAAUAAUUAUUAAUGGCAUUAAAUAAGUUAAAAGGUUGAAAGGUAAUUUUGAAAACUUUAGUUUAUAACAUAAAAAGAAUUUAAAUUAUACACUGCAGUGUAGCUUCUUCAAAUGUUUGUCAAGGGGAAGAAAGCAUCAAGGCUGAAUCCAAAAGAAUAUAACCUUUUGCGGAAUGGCAAUACUCUUCGUCAUUUGUUGAGUGAAAAAAAAUAGAGUGCUGAUGUUUGCCCCGGGUCAAACCCCGAAAAUGCGUCAAACGACGCCGUUUUGGCUCAUAAUUUUUUUUUGUUUUCAAGUGCUGUUGAACGACGACGUUUCUGCUUUAAUUUUUUAUUUAUUCUGAUUUGCUUGCAACGAAGUCAUUUUGGUCUGCAAAUGGCAGCCUUCUUCUUCCUCUGUCUUUAACCCAGCUGAACCAUUUCUUCUUCAUUUUCUUCGUUCUCUUAACGGCACUAUUUCUGCUUGAAUUUUUUUAUUGACAAAUUAAACCAUUUGCGGAAGAUGAAAUACAGAAAUAAUCAGGAAGUAAUUGAUAUUGUAAUGAUGGUACAUAGCAACAGCCAACAGCCAACAAACUGCAUCAAAAGCUCAGAACACUUGAAACUGACAAUCAGAACUCGCAUUAAAACAAAGAUCUUUAACACUUCGAAGCUACAAAACAUUAGAUUUUGAAACUUAAAUUCAUAAACGCUUUUCAUUAUUUGCCGCCACCACCACCAUUUCCACUGCCGGAACCGGUUCCUACACCUUUGCCCGAACCACCUCCCACACCAAUGCUUAUCCCAAUUCCAAUACCAACUCCUCCUCCAUGGCCACCACGGCUGCCGAGACCUCCACCAGAACCACCGCCUACACCGCCCGCAGCACCAAAGCCACCGUCGUGACCUGACCCAGCACCAAAGCCACCGUCCCCAGCACCAAAGCCACCGCCAUGACCUGACCCACCUCCUAUCCCACCACCACCACCUCCCCCAGCUCCUCCUCCUCCUCAAAUGCCUCCACCGGCACCAAAUCCCCCACCAUGACCUGACCCUCCACCUAGACCUCCACCACCACCCCCGCCUCCACCUCCUCCUCUAGCUCCACCACCAAGACUACCACCGACACCUCCUCCAGCUCCAAAUUCUAGUACGGUGAAAUGAAGAGGAAGAGAAAGCAUAUGUGGUCUGCCGUUCUGGGCUUCAGGCAUUGCUUUUGCCUUAAGCGUGAGAAUUUGGCCUUUUGAAAAAUGGCGUCGUUUUACCGAGAAAAACAAAAACAAAAAUAAUAGAUGAAACGGCGUCGUUUUAGAUCUCUUUCGGGUUUGACCCGAGACAAACAUCAUUUUCCAAAAAAAUAUAUAGAGAGAGAACAAAGAAGGGUCAAAAAUCAUAAUGAGUGCAAGCUAUUUAUGCAACAAUGGAAACAGAGAAUGUAAUCAAUAAUAGAUGCAUUUUAUCACAUUACAAUCAUAUAUGCAUAUGAUAACGGACAAAGAAAGCGGGCAAUCCCACCAAAAUUUAUUCUCAAAAGCAACGAAAAAAAUACACGUGUAAUAAUGAGAAUCGAAGAGAAACAAUCUCAACAAAUUAUUCCAAAAGCAACCGGUAAAUUUAAAAAGAUAAUAAAAAGAGAGAUUUGGAAGAAAAAUACCUGCAGUUGAGUUGAGAGAAUAGAGAAUAGUUGGAGCCUAAAGGUAAGUUAGAGACAUAAAUAAAAGAGUUAAAUGAACAUUAGCGUUAAAAUGAUUGAAUAAGAUAAACUAAAAAAAAUGUGAAAAAGCGACAUUACCCGCCCCUCUUAACUUAUGUGACCGCCUUAUCCAAAAAAAAAAAAUUAUUAUAAUAGAAAAUAAUUGAGUUUGAUGAACCGAACCGAACCGAAGCUGCGGUGGAAGACUCUUUGUUGUACUGGGCAUUAAUUAACUUUCGUACUGCAUUGGUUAUUAACUUUCAACUUGAUAUUAUGUUAGUUAAUUUUUUUUUCAUAAUUUAUAAUUUAUUAUUAAAUAAAUUUAAUCAUUAAGGGUAUAUAAAUCAUUUGAACUUAAUUUCAAAUAUAAGAGAGAUUUCGUUUAAUUUUUCGAAACAAUAAGAACAGUCCUCAUUUUUCUUUUUUAACGAGUGUCUUUUGUGAACGUGCGGUCUUUUGAAAAAUUGAAAUUGUAAUCCGUAAUUUGAGAUAAGCAAUGAAAGUUUGAACAAAUAUAUAUAUAUAUAUAUAUAUAUAUAUAUAUAUAUAUAUAUAUAUAUAUAUAACAGAGAAAUGAUUGCAAUUUUUUUAGAUUGUGGCCCCAAUUUGAAAUAGAAAUAUUGUCUAAUUGCUUGCCGGAUUUGAAAAGUGCAGGCAGCGAACGGCUACUUGUGUUCAAUAAUUCAUAAGAUGAAAGGGAUGAUUAAUCUCUUAGCCGGCCUGCCAAUGAGAGGAAAGUCAUCUUGCAAAAAAUUAAAAUAUUGAAUUCCUCUAAUUGGAAUUGGAGCCAUAUAUGGUUUAUAAAAUGGGUCAGGCUACAGUGCAACUGUAGUACCGUGCCACAGUUGCACCAGCCGUUGGAUCCACUCAAAUGAGUGGAGUCCACUUAAAUAAGUGAGAAUCCAACGAUUGGGUGCAACUGUGGCACGGUACCACAGUUGCACCACAUUUUUAUCCUUAUAAAAUAGCAUUGAUUAUAUAAAAAACAAAAAACACAACAAAAAUUAAUGCUAAUUUAUACAUUAGUUGCGUCUUAAUUUGACAUUUGGUAAUGACAGGCAAUGAACAACUUGUCUUCAAUAAUUAACAAGAUGAAAGGGAAUCCAAACGCACGAUGAACGAUAUGUUGCUCAGCCAUUAUAUGAAUGACCGACUUUUUCUCUGCAGUUAAAUUUUCAAGUGGCCACUAGUCCCCUACUAACUUAUAAAAAAUCUGAAGAAUUAUGAGUUUUUUAAUGAGAUCUUUUUAUUUUUUAAUUUUUUGGGCUACUCGUGAUAUUAUGUUUUAAGCUUAAGCUUCUUCAAAUGCAAAAUUGCGGACAACACAACCUAAGACUUUAAAUUUUUCCGGACUGCGCUUACAGUUAUACCCUUGCAAACAGAAAUUUAAAAGGAGAAAAUUUUUCAUGGUCAUUAAUCCCAGGAAAAUGAUGUUUGCUCCGGGUCAAACCCCGAAGCGACUAAAACGGCGUCGUUUUAGCACUUUUAUUUUUUGUCCUGCUUUGCUGCAAAACGAUAUCGUUUUGGCUUGUAUAAAGUUAAAAAAACAGAACCUUGCUUCUUCCUUCCUCUUCGUUCUCUUAACCCAGCUGCGUCUUCCUCUUCAUUGCUGCGGAAACCUUAAUCACGCAAACAUCAGCGGCUUCAACUUGGACGAGUUUCCACAUUGUCCCUGGAAGAUUGAUUUUCGGCAUCGUCCCUGACAAAAGUGAUUGGAGUGACCAAUGAUCAAAUCCCAAAAGUUUCGCAUUCAAAUGAUGCUAUCAUCUCCCUAUCAAGUAAUCAAUAAAUUACUUAAACUUUGCUAAUAAUGGCCAUUAAUUUCCUCAAAUUCAAUAUUUAACAAACCAGAAAUCAUCUAAUUAACUUGUAUAUUUACAGAGUAAGAGAAGAUAGAAGAUCAAACUCUGUGCAACAGCAAUAUUCUCUUGAAGCAAAUUUCUCAAGAUUCUUUGCUGACAAUUGUAAUAAUUGACACAAACCAUCCUUUGGGAAGGAAAAAAAGAAAAUGGGUGGCAUCGUGGAGCCCCAAAAAAAAAAAAUGCCUACCAGUUUUCCAGGGAAAGUGGGCCAGACUCCAGGGCUUGGUAAAUGGUAAUGAUGCAGAGGCUGCGGCAAGACGAUCUGCAGUUGGGUUGUGGUUGCGCAGUUGAGUUGCUGGUGAAACGUGGCUAUCUCGUGAAAUGAGGAGAACAAAGAAGAAGAAGUUGCUGGUGAAACGAUGCUUUUGCGAUUUACCCUGGUGAAACGUCGUCGUUCAUAGCGAAUGAAAACAAAAACAAAAAAAUUAAUAGACAAAACGGCAUUGUUCCAGUCAGUUUCGGGAUUUGACCCGAGGCAAAUAUCAGCGCUGUUAAUCCCAACUCUCUCUACCCGUGACCUUAAUAUUUCGUUUUGACAUUUUCUCUCUGCGCAUGCAAAUCUCAACUCUCUGUUUCCGUUAGAUUCUAAUAAAAUCGAUAAUAAAUUGUUGAUAGUAUCCAUCUCAAGCUUAACUAAACUUCAAGGACCAAUUCUGUCAUAGGACAAGCAUUAACAAAAUAAAUCUAAUUGGGUAAAAUAAUUAUAAAUUAAUUAUUUAAAGAAUAAAAAGGAAUUAAAUUUAUUUAUAGUGAAGUAUAAUUUGAAAUUUUUUAUUUUUUAUUGUCUAGUUAUUAAUUUAAUUGCAGAUUAAAUUCAUUUAAAAUUUAUAUUUUGAAUUAUAUUUUGUAAUAAAUAUUGAAAGUUUAACACUAAAGGGAGAAUUUAUCCUAAUAAAAAAAAAAUUCCAUUGUCUCUAAAAUUCUAUACCAAACCUAUGGCUGUCAAGAAAGCCCAUAUCAACAUCGACUUGGCUUAGGCUUAGGCAAUGCGAACCAAGCUCUAUAAGAGCUUCGGAGUGAGGUAGGCUAGACUUGAACCUCACUUGAUAAGGCUUAGUCUGGAAGAUCUAUAGUUUAUGAAAAAAAAAUCUAAAAUAUAUAUUAUACAUUGAAUAAUUAUAUUUAGUUAGCCACCUAUUACAUACAUUUGGAGGUUUAAGCCAUUAGCUCCAACUUUACUAUACUAAUUUUAUUAAAAUUUAUAAAUUUUUCAAAAAAUAAAAAAUAAAAAAAUUAUAAGAUACAAAUUUGGCUUUUUAAGCUCGGAUAAAGCAGUCCCUAAUCAUUACACUCCCCUCGCCUCCCAAUUCCUCUCCACAAUUCUUCUUUUCUUUACUCUUUUUUCUUCUCAUUUUUUGAAACCAAACACUACGGUCCGAAAUUUGGUAAAAUUUUAGUGUAACACCCAACACUCAACAACCAUAAUUAGUACGAUAGGUAGUGUAGAUGAAAUAAAUUCAAUAUCAGAGAAAAUUGAAAAAUAAAAAAACUAAUAAAAAUAAAUUCUCAUUUCUGCAUGGAUUUGUGCACGGUAGCGAUCGACCACCUUCUCAAUUGCUUCCAGCUUUUUCAUUAGAAAGAUCCUCGAGCAGCAUCCGAGUGUUCACUCCUUUGGUGGAAUAUAUUAUUAAUACGCCAAAUAAAAAUCCAUGGGACAAAAUUUUGGUUAUAGAUAGACAAAACCAAGAAGCUUUCAAGGCAAAACAAAUAAUUAAAGUUCUUUAAUUUGCAAGAUGAAAAUUGUCAUUAUGAAUAACGGAAACGAAACCAAAAUAAGAACUAAUCAUGGUUGAAAUGCUUGAUACACAAACACACAAACGCGCACGCACACAGGACAAAAGAAGUGGAGAAUUGAAUCAUUAAUGUAGCCAAACCUACAAUAUUUGAUGAAGCAAGGAGUCAAAUGGGUAUGCAAGCAAGAUAAUGAAUCAAGAAAAUUAAGGAAAAAAUGUAGCUAGUUGAAGUAUUAAUUGAGCAAGAUUAAUAUACCUAUAUGUAUGUUAAAAAAACAAAUUAUAGUUAAUUACUUAUUGAGGUCGAAAAGUAUAAAUUCUUCUAUCAUGAUUUAUUUUCUAUACAAAAUCACCUUUUUCCUCUUUACUUUUCUGUUCAUUUUCAAAUUAUUUUUUAGUGAUAUAAAACCCACUCCUUAUCGAGUGGUGAGUACCUCUUCGUCUUAUUUUUUUAGGAUGAGAGUUUAAGUCUUCUUGUGUGCAUUGUGGAUGUUAAUUUAGAUAUUCAUAAUAAGAUAUAAAUUAAAUAUUUUUAAAAUUGGGGAUUCAAGUCUUCUCUUGUGGUAUCAUCGUACAAAUAAGAAAUAAAUUGGACAGUAGCACAAAAACGUCAAAAUAAUUCUUUUGUUGCAAGGAUAAUAAAGACUUCUAUUGGGCUUUGGACUAAUAAGAAACGACCUUAUCAUGUUAUGUCCAGCCAAAAAGGCCCAUUUUUUUAUUGUGACAUUAUACGCUGGUUCGAGACGUACUUGCAAGAAUACACCUAGAGUGAUCUGAAGUUACAAAAAUCUCCUCAAUCGGACAAUGAGAAACACUUUAAAAAAUUAACACUCACAGUCGCACACGCCUUCCUUGAGAUUUGAGAAUGGGAAUGCCAAAAGCGUACUUUUCGUUAUAGAGCACUUCCUUAAAUUAAAAAAAAAAGUUUCAAGAUAAGUGGACGCCGGCGCCGUCGCUAACAGCAGUGCCGUCACCCUUUAAUCAAAUAAUCAAAGCAUGUAAACAGAAGCAAGUUCUACCGUUUAAAAAUAAUUAGUUGCUGUUUAAUUUCCGCUGCUUGGAAACAGAAUUGUAUUUGACUUUUGACUUGGCUAAUUGGCUUUUACUCUCUAUCCUGGAUGCUAUGGAAAUGGUGACGCGGCUGGUAGUGUUGUAUUGGAUUUCACUAUUUAACUUACAAUAGAAGGACAGUCACAAUUACCAUUUGCAAAUGCAAAUUUUGAUUUCUAUGUAAAAUGUAACCAAUUUUUAUGAAUAGAUAGACAAAAAAUUUGUAAUUUUUUGCAUUGUGUCUCUAAUACGAUAAAAAAAAGGAAAAUAAAAAUGAAAAUACAAUAUGUUUUAAACCGAAUAUGGUAAGUUAACACAUACAGUGACAACUACAAGGAAGGCAAAUUCAAAAUUGAAGAAAUCAAUAUAAAAGAUAUUUUUCUUAAUUGAAUAUGAAAGAGAGCUUAAACAGUCAUAAACAAUACAAAUCAGUUUUGUGAAGGUAACUUUGGAAAUUUAUCAGGCUUUUAAGGAAUGAAUUACACACAUGGGAAAUAUUUUUCGAAAGGUCGAGAUAAAAGCAUUGCAUUAGUAAAAGUACGAUACUACUAGCCGCAUCUUAAAAGAUUGCUAAAGGCCAUGUAUAGAAUAUAGGUUUACACACUCCUCCCAAUUCCUAAGGCUCUUUGGGAAGAUUUGUCUCCGAAUUUCAUCUUGGGAAUUCCACAAAUUCAACAAGGAACAAAUUCUAUCUUCGUGAUUGUUGAUUGAUUUCUAAAAUGGUAUAUUUUAUUCCAUGCAAGAACACUUUAGACGCAAGAAAUAUUGCCCAACUAUUAUUUUGAGAGGUUGUUCAAUUAGAUGGGUUAUCUAAGACUAUUGUCUCUGAUCGAGAUAGUAAAUUCCUAAGCUACUUUUGUAGGACCUUAUAGAGGAGACUAGAUACUUCCUUAUAGUAUAGUAGUAUUUGUUACCCACAGAUAGAUGGGCAAACUGAAGUUAUUAAUCACACAUUAAAUAAUAUUUUACGAACCUUGAUUCAAGAAAAUCUCUUCCAAUGGGACUAAGUUUUACCUCGAGCCCAGUUCACAUAUAAUAAUGUGCCCAAUCAAUCAAAUGGGAAGCUACCUUUUGAGAUUGUCUACAUUAGACCUCCUUUACAUACCUUAGAUUUUGUUCCUUUGCCUAAACUACCUUGAAUAAGCAUCAUUGCUAAUCAUAUGGUAGACAAAGUAAUCAAUGGUCAUGAGGAAGUCAAGAAUAAAUUAGAAGAAUCCACAACUAAGUACAAGGUAGAUGCAGAUAAGCAUAGGCGCUUCAAAUCCUUUGCUAUAGUAGAUCAAGUAAUGGUUAAUCUACAAAAGGACAAAUUUUCUUUUGGGGAAUACAACAAGCUCAAGCGAAAGAAGAUUGGACCAUUUCUCAUCCUUCAAAAAAUCAAUGACAAUGCUUGAGUCGUGGACCUACGGGUCAACUACAAUAUUUCCAAAACUUUCAACAUUCAAGACUUGUUCGAGUAUCAUGGUCAUUCACCAUUGCCAUAUGAUUGAAUCAACUCGGGGACAUGUUCUUCUAAGGAGAAGAGACUGAUGUAGGACCACUCUAGUCAUAGUAGGAGUAUAAAUUUAAUUUCCAUUUUUUUCCUAGUUUGAUUAGGAUUUAUUUUCUUAUUUAAGUCAUAAUUCUUUUCUUAUAAGGAGCCAUAAUUUUAUUAGGAAUAAGAUAGUCCAAUUUAGUAUAAAAUGGCUUGUUAUCCUUGUUUCUUGACAUGAUCUUUUCAUUAAUGAUAUUCAGUAUUUCUUAAUUGAAAUAUUUUCUUCUUUGUGAGAACUCUCCUUCUUGAGCUUUCAAGGACGUAUACUAGAACAUAAUCGAGUAUUCCUUCAGCACGACAUCACUUUGCCACAAUGUAUAAUACAUAAUUUUCAACUUCUACUUUGGUGCUCAAUUGAGAGAUUUAUUCUGGAGCCAGCUUUGGGCCUUUGGCAAUCGGUUUUGUUACUUAUCUUGCAAACAUAUGGUAGAACAAGCUGCAAAAUAUUACUAAACCGUCAUCCAAAUAUAAAUAGAUAUCUUCAGCCUAAGUGGAGAAGAACAAGGCUGUUCAGGUGUUAUUUUUUGUCUUAACAACUUGAGAACAACAGAAUUAGCAAACUAGUCAAAGGACACUAAAAUUGGUUGAUUAUAAGCAAAAUUUAUCAUUCUUCCAUUUAGUUGUGUUUAUGUAGAAUAGUUGAUGAACAAUAGAAUUCACUGAUAUGUUGAAAACAGCCCCAACAACAUCAUCAUGUUUUUUUCUCUCAACCUUUUUAUUUAAUUUCAAAUUAUUCUUUAGAAAAUGAAAACCAAUACUUCAUCAAAUUGCAGAUACAUCAUUGCCUUAAAAAUAAACUAGAUAUAUAAUGUAUAUUCAAAAGUAUAAUCCUUUUAUAGUGCAGGUGCCCUCAUUUUCUUCAUGCGGAUAUGCUGUUAAGGCAUAUAAUUUAAUAUAGUUAAUUUUUAAUACUAUUAAACUAUACAACUUUAUAAUGUGUUGAAAAUAAACUCUAUUAAGUUACACUGCUUAACAAUGUGUCUGCAAUAAAAAAUUAAGGGCACCCGCACUUGAGAAUAAAUACCUUAUCGGGUUAAAGUAAUUAUAUUAAUUUAUGUCAAAGUAACCUUAUUGACGGAAUAUAACCAAAAAAAAAAAAACAUAGUCCCAUUUAAAAAAAUGAAUAUAGAUUUAAUUGACCAACUUUCUAAAUUUCUUCUUAAUUUGAAUUUUAAAAAAUAAUUUACAUUUGUUGUAAUAAUUUUCUGCAAAUAGGGUGGAUUUAUAAAAUUUGUGUGAUGGAAAUAUCACCAUUCAAAUAUAAAAAAAUUUAUUUUGUUGGGAGAGUAACAAUGUCCUCCCUUUGGGUUUGGAGGAAUAUUAACAAACCAAGUUAUUGCGUACAUACAAAAUGAAGGACCCAUUAUUUAUUGUGUAAUAUAUGUUGCUUCUAAACGUGGUUACUGUAUACUCAUACAACGAGCUGAAAUUACCAAAGUAUCCUCAUUAAAGACUUACGCCUUUUUAUUUUUUUAGUCAUUACAAUAUCUCUGGGUUAAAAUGUGUCCUUUUCCUAUUGAGUAGUAAGUUCUCAAAGAAAAAUAUAAUUACUUCUCACCCUUCAAACAAAUAAUAAAAUAGAUAGACAAGUUUAUCCUUUUUAAAUUAUCAGUUGCUCUUAUAAUAUUUUCCACCGCUUGAGAACAAAAAUGAUGACGUGGCUUGCAGUGCAGUAACGGUUCUCUCCAUUUAUCUUGAUGGCUCAAAAAGUCUUACUAACAAAGACAAAAACAAUUACCAUUAUCAAAUAAAUUACACACCUGAAAUGGGAAAAAAAUGCUAAAAUAAUUUAUACAAUUUGAUAAAAUAAUAUCCAGUAUUUUCAUGUUUCUAAUGUUUCUACUAUUUGCUCUGUUAUAAUUGUCUAUGUUAUCUAAUGAAAAUACAAGGUAAAGAUGGCCAAAUAGGCAACAAUAGUUAUCAAAAGAAAUGUUAUUAAUUAAAAAUGUUAAAUUUUUUCGGAAAAACAAAAUUAUAUUUCUCUAGAUCUAGUGAUAUUUAGAAUAGAAAAAUCUCUAACAAAACAUAUGAUGCGGUGAAACCUUUGAUGUGUAUAAAUCAGCAACAAUUACUAGGAUAAUAGAAGAAAUCCACUAUAAAAGAGAAAGCUAAACAACCAUGAGCCAUAAACAAGAUAAAUCAGUUUUAUCUAAAGAUAAUAUUUGGAGAUCUCUGAGGCUUUGAGCAAAUAAAUUAAUUACACAUGAAAAGAAGUUAAUAAUCUACAAACAAAUCAACUUCAAUAAGUCACGUUGACACAAUUGAUAAAAUUGAUAACAUACAUCUGCUUUGGUCCUCAAUGGAAGGAUUUAUUCUUGAACCAGCUUUGGCAGUUGGAAUGGCCACUUAUAUUAUCCUGCAAAACAGAACAAGUUGCAAAACAUUAGUGGACCAAAACCAUGCAGCAAAAACAAUCAAAUUGACAUGGAAAUUUCGUAGAGAAGGAGAUAUGGGCAUUGAAAAUAACCAGAGAUGAGUUGCUGCAUUAUAUAUUGGGUACCAUAUAUUCUAGCUCUGCUCGAACUUACAGGAAGGAUUUAGGACCAAAGCAGAUGAUUCCCACAAUUCUUUCAUUAUCUUAAUAACUUCAAGGGGAGGGGGUUAUCUGAAUUUCUUGGAGAGAAAGACAAAUCAAUACUGCAUUAUCACUGCAAACGCUCUUAAGUUCUGGCAAGAAACUAAGCCACAACUUCUUCAAUCUUGGAAGUGUAAUAGUGAUUGCACUUGUUCCUAAUUCUUUCUGAAUUUCUUCAUCAUUGACUUCUACUAUCUCCUCGAUUCUCUUACAGCUUUGGACUACGAGAAGUUCCAAGUUUUGGAGGGCAGGCAAUAGCUGAAGUGAGAACAACUUCUGUAAAUUAGGACAAUAGGAAAACCAAAGAGCUUUAAGAUGUGAAAACCAGGCAGCGUUAACUAGUCCUUGUUCCUUUGACAAAACAUCAUUUAAGCUUGUAACAUCUUCGAUAUCGCGCAUAAUUAGUCCUUGAACAUCUUUUGGGAGCACAAUGGCAACACCUUCUCUUUCACCGAUUUUGCACCCAUAGAAGCACACUGAUUUAUUUGCUUCGCUUGUGCGAAGGAAGCUAUAAAAUCUAGUAUUCGCGACAGAACCAUUGUAAACUGUCGACACCUGAAAAUGAAAAUUUUUUUACCUUUGACCAUCUGAAGAUUUAACAUAUGUGUUGAAAUCAUCGAGUUUAGAAAAAUAGCCAACGAAAGUAUCCAAUCUAUCACUCGAUCUGGCUGCCUAUUGCACUGUUUCUCGUGAAGUUUCCGAUCCCCAAUUUGAUUUUAAACUAUAGAGAUUACAUAGUUUAGGUAAUAUACCAGUUGGAAACUUGAUAUUAGUGCCAACAGCUUAGCCUUAGUGUAUUCAAGGUCCAAACACUGAAGUGCCAACAGCUUCGCCAAAGAAGGAACACGCUCCAAUCUUCUACAAUAUUGAAGCAACAACGAUCUGAGAUUCCGCAAGUCAGAGACGGAAUUUGGUAAGACUUCAAUGUCGGUGUAAGAAAGAUUAAGAAUCUUCAACCCAUGCAUGUGUGCAAAGAAACAUUCAGGAAUCCUCUGUAAAUUUUUAUUUCUUUGUAGCAACAAAGUUGAAAGAAUUUCACAAUGUGGGGACAUAUUUGAAGGGAUUUCCAGCAAGUCAUUUUUCACCAAGGAAACUUUCUCAAGAUCCUGUCUCCAUUCUUGUUCACCUGGAAAUCUCUGUAGAUGUACGCCAGCUUGCACCAUGAACAAAGAACUGUUACUAGUAAUGCGUAAUGCCAUGGCUCUUAUAAGAUCAUGCAUAUUCACACAGCGUCCUUUUUUAGCGCUCUCCAAUAAGCAGCAAUAUACAAGUCUGUUUAAUAUAGCAUACCCUCUAUCAUAUUUAUCUUGGACAUUGUUCACUUCCUCGAUUAAUCCUUCUGCAAUCCAGUAACCUAUCAGCUCAUCCUUCGAGAUUGGGAAGUCUUCAGGAUACAAUGCACAAUACAAGAAGCAAUGCUGGACCUAUUGAAACUUUGCACAAGUCCACGCAAUUCAUUGAGUGCAUUUCUCCAUUCAUGAAUUUCAUAUACGCCUCUCAUGCAACCAGCUACAGUGACAAUUGCGAGUGGUAAGCCAGCACAUUCCUCAACAACAGAGUUUAUGAUUUCUUUACUCAAAGUUGGAACAUGCAAAAUGUUUCUUCCAACUUUGUCUAAGAACAAGUUCAAUGCCUCUUCUUUAGAGAGAGGUUGCACUUUGACUUCUUCGCAUCCCAUAGAACGACAGACCCCAACUGAACGUGUAGUUAUCAUCAAUUUGCAUUCGUUCUGUUUAUUAGGCUCAGGGAUCCCUACUUCUUCAAGAGGAAAUGCUUCCCACAUAUCAUCUAGUAUCAAUACAAACUUCUUUUUAGCUUUCAACUUUCCUAAUAACCUCCCUGCACGUCUUACUUUAUCUUCAUCUUCUGUAAGACUCAAUUUCAAAGCUGUUGCAAUUUCAGUUUGCAGUUUGAAAAGAUCAAGUGGUUGAGACACUGUGACCCAAAUCACAUCAUUGAACUCAUUGGUCUCUUCUUGUAGUCUGUUGUUGAUAUGUCUCAUAAUAGCUGUUUUGCCAAUACCACCCAUACCCCAAACUCCUAUCUUUGUGACCUUAUCACCCAUCAAAUCCUCCCAAAUUUUUUUCACAAUUUUCUUUGUGUUUUCGCCUACUAGUGUUGUUGUUGGCAAUAUCAAUCCACUAGCUGGAGGUGCAUCAAUCACCAAACUAGUGAAAGAACAGCCCUUUUGAUGAUAAUCUUUCAUUUCUUGAAUCUUUGCCUCAACAUCUUUUCCCAAACGUGCACGUGAGAAAUAUUUUCUUUUCUUCACUUCCUUCUCAAUACUUUGUGCUUCGCUAUUGAUCCUCUGUAUAUUUUGCAACCAAUUUUUAACUUCAGUCCUUGGUUUUUUUCCUUGAUCACCCUCUGCCUUUAGUGUUGCUUCUAUAUCUUCUUUCUGACUAUUUAACUCUUGUAAUACUCUUUCAAGAUUUUUCAUAUUCUCAUCGAGCUUUCUAUGAUCCUGAACAUAUUUGCAUACAGGAGGACAUACACGCUUGAAUAUUUCAAGGAUUGGUCCUAUAAACUCCAUUGGCAGGUCCUAGUAAGAUAUUCAUAUAGCGUUAGUAUAUAAGGUCUCUUCCAAUGCACGAUGAUUAAAAUUGCAUCAAAUAUUGACAUCAAAUGUUAGAAUUACUGAUAAUAAAGAUAUUAUCAUUCCAUUUGACAUAUUUAUCAAUUUUUAAAUUUUCACUUAUGUGACAACAUACUGAACCAUUUUGGGUAGACCUAGUACAAGGCCCAUUUUGGGCGUAGCUUGAAUUUUUUUUUCUUUUAUUAUUUUUUUUUAAAUUUUAAAAUUUCAAUGCAUUUUAGCAUAUUUUUUCAUUGCUAUUAACCAAAACUCAAAUCGAACCAAUUGGUUCUUAAAUUUCUAAACCAAAAUAAACCAACCACUACAAAAGAAAAAACUCAAACCAUACCAACCAUUUUGGCUCAUGCCGUGUAUGUGCAACUUUGCCCAACCUUUGAAGAACAAGAGAAGAGGUUUGACAUAAGAACAAAUAAUCAGUAAUUAAUUUUAUUUUAUAUACCUUUCAGCGAUAAACAUCAAUUCUUUGAUCUAAUUUUUUUUAGGACUCUCAAAGGAAAGAAAAAAAAAAAGAGCAUGAUAAAUUUUAUUUGCCAACAUUUAAUUUUCUUACAUUAGUUUUCAUGCAUGUUUCUCAUAUCUUUUUUUUCUUUCUGUGUCUUCUCUUAUUUUCUUUCAAGGAACUAAAAAUAUAUCUAUUUUUAUUUGAAUCAGCUUAAAUAAAUACUAAGACUACAUAAAAACUUGAUAACUUAAUAAUGCUUUCAUUUUCCAUGCACAGACGACAUAUAUAAGAAACAACGAACACCUCAAAAUAUAAACUUAAUUUAUUAAUUAAAAGUCAUCCGCCUCUCGUAAUCCGAUAAUAGACAGAGUUGGUAGACAACAAUACAUAUUUUUUGACUAAAAAUUUAAACACUAGAUUGGUGGAUCGAUAAAUGAAAACUUGCAUUUUAAUUUAAGAUCCCUGAAGAACUAAUAGCACUUCACAUAAAAUAAACAAAUAGUACAAUACAAUCCAAAAGAAAAGAUAACUUACCCAACUAAACUGGUUGCUGUCGCUUUUUCAAAUAUUUGUCAAGGGAUAGAAAGCAAUAAACCUAAAGGCAAAAAAAUAUAAACUUAUUUGCUGAAUGGCAUUACUCUUUGUUAUUUGUUGGGGGGAAAAAAAUGGGGUCAAGAAUCAGAAGGACUUAACCACAUAUGCAACAAUGGAAGUAGAGAAUGUAAUCAAUUAUAGAGGCAGCAAAGGUUCAUCAAAUGGUGUGGCAGCAGGAUAAUUAGAUCUUUAAAAGGAGAGAAUCUAUUUUGAAGUAAUUAAGCAACAAAACGAGAGUAUAUUAAAUUAAUUAUUCAUAGUGGCUGAAAAAUUUAUAUACAUUCCUCUUCUAAUACCAUGUCUUCAUCUUUGUACAAAGGCAUAAAAUAAAUAUCCUCCGAGUUAUUUUAAAGCUGAAAAGGGAAUAUUUGGAUAAUUAAUUACAUUUAACUUUCACAAUUUGACAAGAAAAUAAGUUACAGUUACUCUACGAUUCAACUAUAAAUUUUAGUAAAAGAGAAUUUCUGAUACCUUGAACAGCCAUUUGGUUUAUUUAAGUACAUCACAUACAACUAUAGUAAUUCAUGCAACUCUAUUAAAUUGUAAAAAAAAUAAAUUUUAGAUUAUCCCCUCAUGAAUUAAUUAUCUUCAAAUCACACCCUUACUUUUAAAAACCUCAAGUUAUCCCCAUUUUUAUUUAAAAGAUAGGGGAGGGUUGUGUUGAUGAAAUUUUUUUUUUUUUGUCUUCUUAAUAAAAGUGAGGGUAAAUUAAGGUUUUAAAUAAUAAUUAGGAUAUUUUGAAGAUAAUUAAAUUAUGAGGGGAAAAUCUGAAAUUAACCCUUGAAAAAUAAUAUGAUACAAACAAAAUCCAAGUUACCGAAGAGGACAAAUAGAUUUAAAAAAGCCUUUGUUAAAAUUUAUAACCAUUUCCCCAACAGCUCUAUAUAUAUAUAUAAUUUAUUUCUGUUAAUUUAAAUUAGUUUCGUUUACUUUAGUGAUGAAAAUAACUUUUACAUACAAACCCUAUAAUCAAUUUAGUAAAUGCCUAAUUACGUCAAAAAAGAAAAUUAAAAAUAAAUUUUUAGGGAAAAAAAACUCAGUUGCAACUCUUUACAAACACAAGUGGCUCAAAAUGAAAUGUUAUCAUAAGUAAAAGAUUAAAAAAAAUGAAUGUACGAUAUUAUCUGAGCUAAAAGAAACCAAUGGUGCAAUAUCAUCUUGAAGACAAGAUAUCUUAAUUACCUCAACCAACCGGCUGCUGCAGCUUGCUUCUUCAAAUAUUUGUUAAGAUAGACAAAACCAAUGUCAGAAUUAAUCAUGAUUGAAACCAAAAAAAAAAAAAAAAAAAAAAAGUUAUACUCGAGAAUUUAGCCAAAGCCAACAAUAGUUGAUGAAGCAAGGAAUCAAAUGGGGGCUUGCAAGCAUGAUAAUUAAUCAAGGAAAAUGAAGGAAUGUAGCUAUAUUGAAGUGUUAAUUAAGCAAGAUUAUAAAUAUAAUUAAGUAUAUAAUUAAAAUGAUUUAUGUUUAGUAAUGGUCUUUAGAUUUGAGGCAUCACAGAUGUCUUGUAAAUAGACAUCUCUUAUAUGUGAUAAUGAUUGAUUCCUAAUCAAGAAAGAGAUAAAAAAUGACUUCUAGAUGAAUUUUCUUUUAUAAAAAAAAAUAAUAAUGGGUUUUAAGAAAGAAUUACCUACCGCGUUGAUUGAUUCGAUCCGCACAAGAAAAGAUCAAAGUGACGCAAGAUUUAUUCUGAUUUGAUAUAUACCUUAACUUUCAGCACCGCUAACUUUCGAUUGCACUUUGCCGCGAUGAUUAUAAUUUUGCUGUCAAUUGCCCGAAAGUGAAAGGCCAUAUUCAUGUUCUAAUCACCAGAAGUUUUUAAUUCCCACAAAAAUUGCAAUCCUCUAAUUCUAAUUUUACGUCUUAAUUGCUGUCUCGAGAUCAAUUUUUUGCAGAAAUCAGCGAAACUCUAAUCAGUUCUAAGAAAUUUCUAGAAUCUACGCUCACUGAAAUGCUAUUAGAUUAAUACUCAACGGGUUGCAACGGUUGCUAGUCGCUGCAUCAAUUAUCCAAUAAUUAAUUUCAGCCGUUAGAUUGAACAAGAAAGUAUCCAACGACUUUGUUAAAUAAGGACAAAAACUGUGGUCUGAAACUACUGUUGCAACAUAGAUGGAUCCCACGAACAAAUAAAUAUCAAUUUUCUUAACUUUCAUUAUGUGAUUUCUUUUAAUAAAAGAAGGUGGCAGAGGUUUUAAUAAAAGAAGGUGGCAGAGGAGAAAAAGGGAAAAGCAUCUGGCGCGAAUUGUUGAUGAAGAAGAUGAUGAAAGAUUUAAGAGCGAAAACCUUUAUGAUUUGGGUAUUAACUAACUUCCUUAUUGUAUUGGCUAUUAAUUUCCUCUCUGACAUUAUGUCAGUCAAUUUUUCUCUAUAAUUUAUAAUUUAUUGUUAAAUUAAUUUAAUCAUUAAGGAUAUAUAAAUUAUUUAACUUGAUUUAUAUUUUCAAAAUAUUUAAAGUUUAUAACUAACACCAAAAUUAUAAAUAAAAUGAUAAAACGACAUAUAAAGUUAAUAUCAUUAUAACUGUAGAAGUAUUUGAACUUAUUUUUAAAACAUGAGAGACAAUUUCGUUUAAUUUUUUCUAAACAAUAAGAACAGUCCUUAUUUUUCUUUUUUAACGAAUGUCUUUUGUGAACGUGUGAUCUUUUGUAAAAUUGAAAUUGUAAUCCGUAAUCUAAAAUACGCAAUGAAUAUUUUAAAUAUAUAUAUAAGUAUCUCCAACAACGUUGGACCCUUCUUCUCAUUGGCACUUGCAAUUAAAUGAAAUGAUUGAUAUUUUUAUUAUCUAAAAUGGAGCGACGUCGGUUUGAUAACUCCUAAAAUUAUUUUGAUUAUAAGGGGAAAAAAUACGGAAUUGAAAGUAUAUUAUAUUUGAGCUGUUUUCGGAAUGAUUUGAGUGCUCUCUGGAAGGAACUAGAGUGCUCUAGCGAUUGCACAGCUUUAUUUAUUUUAUUUAUUUUCUCUUUUCGCUUUUAAAUGUUAAAAAAUCUAUGCGGUGUGGGCCAUAUGUCCGCAAUUAAUUAUUUAAUCAAAAUGUAAACUGAUCGUCAGAUCGAAUCCAAUGGCCAAAAAUACUCUCUUGUAUUAUAACUAUAAUUCAAGAUCAUAAUUUAAUAAUAAUAUUUACUAUCAACUCAUAUAAAUUUUUUUUUUUUAAUUUUAACAAAUUUUAGAUUUUAGAUUAGAACACACACAUAUAUACGCACACAUAUAUAUUAAACAAUAAACACAGACAAAAAUUAAUGCUAUUUUAUACAACAUAAAUGGCCCCAGUUCUAAAUUAAAAUAUUGACAUUAGUUGCGUUUUGACAUUUGGCAAGGACAGACAAUGAAUAACUUAUUUUCAAUAAUUAACAAGAUGAAAUGGAAUUCAAACACAGGUUGAAUGACAUGUCUUACCUUUUUGUAAAUGACGACUUUUCUCUGAUUGGCACUUGCAGUAGUUAAAUUUCAAAGGGCCGAUAGCCUCUACUAAGUAUUAAUUUGUCAAAAUCUGAAGAAUCAUGACUUCUUUUUAUUUUUUAAUGAGAUCUUCUUAUUUUUAAUUUUUACUUUCAAGUUUUUAUAUAGGGUUAUCCAUGAUAUUAUAUUUUAAGCUGAAACUUCUUUGAAUGCUAAAUUAUGGACAACACAACUGAAUAGAUAUUUUGAUAUUUGUUUAAACUUUAAAUUUUUUCAGACGGGGUGUCACUGAUGUUAUUUGAUGAAAAUACAGUCAGAUCACACUUAUAAUUAUACCAUUGAAAACUGAAAGCGAAGGGAAAAUUUUUUUGUGACUAAAUUACAGAUCCUCAGUCUCAUUAGUUUUUCACUAUCGUCAAGCAAGCUCUUAUUAGCUUGCAAAGGGUAUUAAACCCUUCAUCAACACUUUUUCAAAGACCAAUUUUGUCAUAAAACAAGCAUAAAAAAAUAAAUCUAAUUGGUUAAAAUAAUUAUAAAUAAAUUAUUUAAAAAAUAAAAAGAAUUAAAUUUUAAAUGAAUUAUAAUUUGAAAUUUUUUAUUCUUUAUUUUGUAUUUAUUAAUUUAAUUAUAGAAUAAGUUCAUUUAAUGUUUAUAUUUUUAAAUUUUAAUUAUAUUUUAUAAUAAUUAUUGAAAAUUUAACAUCAAUGGGAGAACUUGUCCUAAUAAAAAAUAAUUUCCUUUAUCGUUAGAAUUUUAUAUCAAACCUAGGAAUGGUAGGAAAGCCCAUAUGGGCAAUGCGAACCAAGCUUUGUCCUACUCGAGAGUGAGGCGAGCCAGAUCCAGGCUUCAGUAGUACAUUUGAUAAGCUUGGGCAUGGGAAGCCCUAAUUUUAUUGAAAAAGUUUUAAAAUAUUAAUUAUAUUGAAUAAUUAUAUUUACUUAUCCACCUCUUACAUAUGUUAGGAAUUUUAAACCUUUAGCUUCAACUUUUCAAGCCUAAUUUUAUUAUAAUAAAAUUUUAAAAAUUAUAAAUUUAUCAAAAAAAUUAAAAAAACUGAAAAAAAUUAUAAAAUACAAACUCUUGGCUUUCUAUGCCCAGAUAAAAUAGUCCUUAGUCAUUACACUCCCCUCUCCUUCCAAUUCCUCUCCUUAAUUCUUCUUUCCUUUCCUUUUUAUUUUUCCUCUCAUUUAUUCAAACCAAACACUACCAUAAAAUAUUAACCCAAAAUUUGUUAGAAUUUUAGUAUAUCACCCAACAACCAUCUAUAAUUUUAGUAUGUUAGAUAGUGUAGAGGAAAAGAAAUUCCAUAUUAGACAAAAUUGAAAAAUAAAAAAUUAGUUAAAAAAUAUUCUCAAAUCUGCAUCGAUUUGUGCACAGUAGUGACCCCCUUCUCAAUUGCUUCCAACCAUUGAUUAAAGAGAUCCUUGAGUAGCAGCAAAGUAUUUACCCUUUUGGUGGAAUUUAUUAUUUAUACCCCAAAUUAGAAUCCUUGAUAUAAAAAGGAAAACUCUUAAGUUACAUUUCAUGUAACUUACACUCACGAUAUAAAAAGGAAUUGUUCUUUCACAAAAGAAAAAUGGGCCAAAAUAUACAAAAUGUAGAAAGAAAUUUCUCUCUUUAAUUUUGAGAGAAAAUUUUUUCUAUUGUUAGUUGUUUAUAGUAGUAAUAAAGACGCUCAUAUAUCAAGUGCAGAUUGAAUUUGAGUCAUAACUUGAAAAAUCGUUGGUGAUAGAUCAUGAUCUAGUAAGAUCAUCGAUGACAGAUCGUAACCUAAUAAGAUUAGUGGUGAAUGAUUGUGACUUCAAAGGCUAAAUUACUUAGUUAAAUUACUUCUACGAGAAAGUAAAGGUAUGAUUUAUAGAUUAUGAUAAUUUCAUAUAAUGUAUGGGAACUUCAAUCUAAAUAUUUAUAUUAUAAAACUAUUUUUAACCAACGGUUCCUACAUAUAGUUUGAUGAAAUCAUAUAUAGAGAUGAUAUAAUUAUUUCAAAGUAAGUUUAUUUUCAAAAAACUAUUAUCCAUUUACUAAGUUCACUAAGUUUCAUACUCAUUCUAUUUUUCUAUAUUCUUCAUCCCCCCCCAGCCCAAAACCUAAACAAGAGAUUCGCAUGCACACGAGUAGACCCAGUGAUAAGAGAUAUUUUGACUUAUUCCCACUUGAUGGUCCUAGGAUUGACAUAUGUUAUUAUUAUGACAUUUUGGAUUGGAUAACUAUAUUUUGAUUAGAUGAUUAAGGAUGAUUAAUGUAUGUUGACAUUAGAAUGGUUGGGUGAUAUUUGGUGUUAUAGUUGAGGAGAUUGAUUGAUGAAUUUGGUUGAAUAAUGAACUAUUUCAGAAGUGUUUAUUUUAUACAUUUGCGGCUUUGGAAAAGUUAUAAAUGUAGGGGAAACUUUGCCCCAUUUUUUUGGCAAAUUCAUAUUAAUAAGUUUAUUACUAGUCAAGUUAGAUGAUAAAUAGACAAAUUCACCUUUAGAAUUCGAGCGGGUCGUUUCAUCUAAUUCUUUUAUCUUUAUCUAGGAUUGUAGUGUCCAAAAAUUAAGUAAAUAAUUAUUAGUAUUAAUUUGAUUGGAUUAUUAUGGUUAUUGAUUUAUUUUCAUAUUUCAUUGUUAAAUUUUUUUAUUAUGUCAUUCACUAUAAGAAAAAUGAUAAUAGAUGACUUGACACUUUAUGAUAAAAAUCGCUAUAUCAUAAGAGUAUGACAGGGUUGUGAUAAAAUUAUUGUCUAUCAAAUGAUUAAUGAUGUACUUGUGAUAUAAUUUGUGUUUAUUGAGAAUUUAUGAUAGGAUAGUGAUAAAAAUAUACUCUAUCAAAAACUUUGUGAUAGAAUUUUAACAUUGACCGUGUUUGACCAAAUUUUAAAUUAAUAUUUUAUUAAAAGAAAAAUAAAAUCAAAACGGGGCGUUUAGACCAAGACAUAAAUUUUCUCAUGUCACCGAACUCACUUAGUCUGUUAGUUAGUCACUUAUUGCUCACCACAUAACGCAUACCACUCAUCAACCAACUAGGGAUGGCAAUUUUUCCCGUUGGGACGGGAUCCUGCGGGAUCCCGUCCCGUUUAGGAUGGGAUUGGGACAUAUUUUUUCAUCCCAAAUUAAAAUGGGAUAGGAUAAGGAUAAAAAUAAAUCCCGCUUUUAUUUAUGGGACGGGAGGAGGACCAAUUAUAAAAUCCCGUCAUGUCCUGUAUAUCCCGUUAAUAUUAUAAUUUAAAAUAAAAAGUGAAAAAGUCACAAAUAAAAUUAAUAAUUUAUAGCAAUAAUUACCCUUCAAAACUCAACCAAUUUCCUAAAUUAACACUACACCCUAAGUGUUGACCGCCCAACGCCCCUUGCCCUCACCACAAAAAUUUUUACUCCGCCACAAAAGUUCCCAAGCAGCCACCCACGACUUGCCCACUUCGCCUUUGCUAGCAAUUCAUGCACAAAAUUCUCGCUUUUCGGCCUCCACACCGUAAGUUAACAUUCAUAAUUUGGCUUUUUUUGUUUUUAUUGUUCACAGUUUUGUGCUCUUUUCAUAUAAUUGAUAUUUGUUAAAUAUUAUUAUAUUAUAUACGGCAAUCUAGUUGAAGUUGUUAUAUUAUAAUGAUUAUUAUAUUUGUUUAAGUAGUAUUGAGUUUUAAAAUAAAGGUUCUUGUGGUCCCAUAUUAUUAUUACUUUUGUUUUAUAUGGUUUGAUGAUUGUAAAAGGUUAAUUUAUAUUUAAUUCAUUUAUUUGAGUUAUGGAUUGUUGUUUUCUUUUUGGUUUAAAGGACGGCUUCCCCUCCAGUAAUGGACAAUGAAAGUUUAGAUAAUGAUGAUGUGCAUGUUGUUGAAGAAAACGCCAAAGACAAUGAUUUAACAUCAAGAUUAAGAUCAGUGGUCUGGAAACAUUUUGAAAGAAAGAUAAAAAAUGGAAAAAUAAGAGCCUUUUGUAAGCACUGCAAUAAAGAUUUGGGACUUUGAAUUUUUUGUUUCUUUAUUUGCUAUAUAUUGAUUUAUGACGAUCCUUAAAAGAAAAAUUAAAAUUUAUUUAUUUACAUUUGAGACUAUUCGGGAUAUUGAGAUGGGACGGGAUAUUUAAUGAAACAGGAUUGAGAUAAAUUUUUAUUCCAAAAAAAAUAAAUGAACGAGAAUAAAAUUUUUUUUAAUCCCAAUUCAAUAUACGGAACAAGACUGAGAUUGACAAAUCCCGUCCCAUCCCAUCCCAUCCCAUCCCAUUGCCAACCCUACAACCAACACUGUGAAAUAAACUACGAUGACGAUGCACGCGCAAAACUAGGCCACAAGUCUCACCAAGUUACGCUUCCCUGUCACCACAACUCCACAUCACUGUCGCUCAAAGCCAGGCCAAGCCGCCGCUGCUCUGAGGUAAAUUUUCCGUUCAUAGGACUUGCAUUGCUUUUCAUAAUAGAAGAUCGAGUAAAUUCAUUUUCGUAUAUGUUGAUUUUUGUUUUGAGAUUGUGAUAGCGAUUUCCAUUUUGGUGGAUUUGAAUUUAGAUUCUCAGAGAAAUACGUGAUAUUGUAAAUAGAUUUUAAAUUGAUUAAGUUGUUAGGUCUUCUAAAUUUUGUCAAUUUUUUCCUUUUUUUCUGAUUUUUGGGCUGGAUUCAUGGUUGUUUCUCAAAUUAUCUCUACUGACAUGCUAAAGCUUAAGCUAUUAAAUGUUCAUGUGCAUUCAAGUGCUUAUGUCUAUGCCGAAUGCAUCUUGAACGUAUGAACUUUGCAUUUUGAUGAUAUUAUUCAGCAGUCUUUUCUUUUUUGGGGCUAAUUUGGUAUUUUCUGGACUGAAAAAAAAUUAGACGAAAUAAUUUCUAACGAAGCCCACUAGGUGUUUGAUGGAAUGCAUUAAAGAAAAAGAAUUGCCUUAGUUUUUAUUUUGUGGCAUAUUCUGUUGAAUCUUUCAUUUUAAUUUUUAAGUUUUGUAGGUUGAACCUACAUCUUUGAUAAAGUGACUACAUGAAAAGGUUUUUAAUUAACACUUUCAUAAGUGGAUUGUAAUUGUCAUGUUAUCUAUGCAACAUGUCCAGAGAUUAACGUUGUUAUUUGGCCCCAAAACUGCAAGGAAUUAGAGUACGGCAACCAACAUUUGUAAGGUAAUGUAAUGUCUCUGUUUAUACCUGGAGCUCAUAUUAUAAGUAAGCUCGUUGAUUUGUUUUGUGUCUUAUUAUUCUUGUAUUCUAUAUUCGAUAUAUGUAGUUAUUGCAGGAACUUAUUAACUUGAUUUGGCUUUGGAUUUUUAUAUGGAAUAAAUUUUUAUUUUUUACUCUUUGGCUGUCUGUUUUUAGUGCCUCUAUGAUUCUGUUAGUUUCUUCAAUGUGCAUGCAAUCCUAAUUCCCAACUUUUUGUCCUCUUUAUUUCACGUCUUUAAACACCUGUCUCUUCCUUUUGCACAUAUGUUUAACACUCUUUUCUAUUCAAUGAUACCCAAAAAUAAUUGAUAUUAUCCAAGUAUUUGAAAUUUAUCUCAAGAAUUAUAAUUGUACUAGAAAUUAAAAAUUGAGUAGCUUUUUUAAGCAAAGUUGUUGAUAGUGUUUGUUUUAGCCAAAAGAAUAAUCAGUGCUUUGGAAGAAAGAGGAAAAACAUUGUUACUGUGGUUGAUAUUUUCUAGAGCGUAUUUACAAAAACUUGCUAAUAGUUACGACAUUCGCUGGAGUUGUUUUUGGGUUCUUUGCAGGAGUAUUACAAAGGUAUUCACUGAAAAAGCAUAUAAUAGUCAAUUAAGCUGUUGUAAAGAGGUAUUCACUGAAUAAGAUACGAGACCCAGCAUUCUGUCUUGUUCCUGCAUCUCAGUUUUCAGACAAUUGUAAACUAUUUUCUGUAACUCCCUGGUCUUCAUUGUAUCUUUGGGUAACUCUUUUCUAAUUUGUGGCAUUAAAUAUUCUGGGUUCACUUAAUCAUUUAAAUUUAGUAGUUUAUGAGUUAUGUUAGGUGACAUAGAAAACAAGUGUGGUUUCUUAAGCUAUUUGUAAUAUUUUAAUUGUUACUGCUUCACUGUUAUUGUAAAGAUGUUUACCUUAAUUCUUCAUUGGGUGCAUCAUAUUCAUGACCCCUUAUUCUCUUUUGAAACUGCAAAAUGAUUCAAGCUGCCAAAGUUUUUUAAGUAUUUUGAGAAUGAACUUGGAGCAACUGUGAUUUUUGGAUUAUUUGCAAUAUCUUGGGUCAUUCUUCGAUUAAUAUUCUUCCUCUUUUGGGUCAUCAAAUGUACAAGGUUUGCCUGCAUGAUAAAUGAUUUGAUGCCACCUUAUUUGGUCGUCUAGCAGUUUCUUUGGCUUAUUUGCUUUUUUGAUUUGCAUUUUCCAACUAUGAUCUUUAGUUCUACUUGAACUUAUCAGAGAUACUUUCAUUUACUACUUAUUCAAUACAAUGUUGCUGAUGCUCUUUGUGGUCCAGAUAUGCUGGUGGGUUCUCACAUCCUCAAUGAUCUGGAGACAGCUGAAAAGUGGUCAACUUAGGGAAGAUAUAAGAUCUGGUAGGCAUUUUGAUGCUUCCAUUAUCAGUUUGAUUCAUUUAGUGUCAUCAAUUAUUCCCAGUAGUCUUUCUCCCUCUGUGGAAAUAAUCAUUGUUUUUGCUUUGAUAGUUUGCAGGAAACUUGAUCCCAUAUAAUAGUUUUGCUAGUACUUAAUUAGUUAUAUUCUCAUGUGCCUAUGCCUUAGCCAUAUUUAAGUUCUUGUUUCAAAACCUAGAUAAAAUGAACUUAUAAUUGGAUAUUAAUUGUAAAUCAAACAAAAGGGUAAGGGAAUUAAUUAGUUAUAUUCACAUUUGCCUAAGCUUUGAAGGAAAGUUAGCUGCCUUUAUGGGUACCCUUUUGGUUCCACAUUUUAUUGCCGCAAAGAAUUAAUUUAAGUUACAUCAGAAACUUGAAAGUUUUACUUUAAUAGAUAAUUCUUUAUAAUGAUACUAUUGGCUAUAGUCAAUUGGUGUUGCACCUGCAGGUUGAGAGAAACUGCUGGACUUAGGAGUUUUGCUGGGUAUUUGUUGAGAAUAGGAAUUUAUCUACUGGAAUUUCACUGAGAAUAUGGGAGAAGUUUUGCACUACAAGAUUUGAAGGUUUCAUAGCUUGUAAAAUUUAAAGCAUUUGCUCGAGUUAAUUUUUUUUUAUUACUUUGGAUGUGUUAAUUGUUGGAUACAAGUGUUUUUGGAUGAUGUUAUUAAUAUAAAGUGUUUUUAGACUUGAUAGAAUGUAUAAUUUAAUUUUUGGUUUAUAUUGAAUUUGUGAUUAAAUUCAUAUGGAGGAAUGUAUAAAUUUAAAUAAAAUAAUUUAUAAUUUCUUUUAAUAUAAAUUUAGAUCCUGGGACAAAAAAAAUCAGUCAUAAAUUAUGUCGCAAACAAAAUAAUUAAUGAUAAAAAAUUUCAAUUAUUAAUUCUAUCACAAACAAAAUAGUUUACCCACUAAAAUUAAUUGGAUAAUAAUGUAUAUAGAUUAUUAUUACCUUUUUAUAUGAAUAUAAUAUUCAUAAUAAAGUGCUCUUAAAAGAGCCCACGGGUCGUAAUGCGAACACAAAGGUGAUCAUCAACAAUUUUGCGAAUCAAAUCAAAUUCUAGUUCAAGAUUGUCACUCCAUGCCUCGCGCAUUUGGAUAGAAUUGCCCUUUGGCAACAACGACAUUCUUCAUAGAAAACAGACACAAUACCAAUAAAUCUAACAACAAACUAGCCUCUCAAGCCAAGAUGGUGAGAGAGAAAAAUGAGAAUUGGGUUUUUUUUUUUUUUUUGAAUAAAAAGGAAGAUGACAAGAGAAUUUGGAGAUAUGAUAUUUCUUUUUUUUUUUAAUUUUAUUUUCCUGUAAGAAUAAAAUUUAAUUAAAACAUUCAAAGAAUUGCCAAUCGUUUUCUUAGAGUUUAAAAGUAAUAUUGACUGCUGAAUUUAUCCACAAUUUUUAAAAUUAUACUUUUUUUUGGUUGGUUCAUAGACAAGGACAUUAUUGUAAUUUUAAAUCUCUUAAAUAAAAGAUCUAAAAUUCUAUGAAAAAAUAUACUCUUUUUUAUUAGCUUAUAUUUCUUAGAAAGUCGCUCCCAAAUUAUAUGUAUAUAUAUAUUUAAAAAAAAAUUAUUUUAAAAUUUUCUAAUGUUUCUCCUAAUUUACUCUGUUAUAAUUGUCAUGUUGAUACAAAAUCAGGAUAAUCAAACAAACAAACAUUAGGCAGCCCUAGUUAUCAAUAAAAGAAAUGAUAUUAAAUAAAAUUGUCAUUUUCAACAAAGAAUAAUAAUAUAUAUAUGAUAAAAAAGAAUAAUUAUAUCACUCUAACCGAUAUUUACAAGGAAAAAAAUCUCACAGGAUACAUAUUGCAGUGAAACCUUUGUUAUUUGUGUGUGAAUAUUUGGCGACAACUAUUAAGGCAAAAACAAAUCCAAUAUUAAGACAAAUAAAUAAUUAUUUAAAGUUAACAUUUACAAAUUCACGAGUUUAUUUAUUUAUUUUUAUUUUUAUUUUUAUCAAAGGAUGUGUAUUAAUUACAAAUGAGAAGAACUUGGAAAAACAAUAUAUUUAAAUACAAAUCAACUUUAAUAAGUCUCUUUGACGCAAUGCAUUAUUUAAUUAUUUAAUUUGUUUUCAUCUACUUUGGUGCUCAAAUCAAUUGAGAGAUUCAUUCUGGAACCAACUUUUGGCCAUGGCUACUCGUCCUGCAAAAAUAGAACAAAUUGCAGAAACAUUACUGGACCGAAACUGUUAUAGAGCAUGAUCAGAGCGGUGAGGAUGAGAACACUUGAUUAUCUUCUAGCUGACGUGUAACAAUUAGUUAGCUGAGUCAGCAUUAUUGUAAACAAACUCAAUCAGCGUGUAUAGGCGUUGUAACAAACUCUAGUCAGCUUCUUUACAAUGUAUAAAUACCAAGCUUAAAACAUUUUUGUAUAAUACAAUUUUAAUUCUAAUAAAUUCCAGAUUCUUCUUCAUAUCUUUUCUUCAUUUUCUCGUUGAUUUUCUUACUUACCAAACACACAUUUAUAUAAUCUUCUAGAAACCAUGCAGCAAAAUUGACAUGGAAGGAAUUUAAUAGAGAAAGAGAUAUGGGCAUUGAAAGUUACCUGAGAUGAGUUGCUGCAUUAUUUAUAUUCUAGAACCCCCAAACUUACAGUAAGGAUUGAGGACAUCUUUAGCAUUGGCUUUUUUUUUUUUUGAGAAGAUCUUUAGCAUUGGCUUGAUCCCACUCCAAUGAUUCCCACAAUUCUUUCUCUAUUUCAAUAACUUCAAGCGCAGGGGGUGGAGAUGGUUGCCCAUUAUCAAGCAGAGGAAGCGAAAGAGAAAGCCGCUUCAAUUUGGGGCAGCCGCCUACACGGAUUUCUUGGAGAGAAUUACAAACCAAUACCCCAUUAUUGCUGCAGAAGCUCUUAAAUUCUCGCAAGUAAGAAAAACACAACUCCUUCAAUCUAGGAAGUGUAAUGAUGGUAUUUGUUGCUAAUUCUUUCUCAGUUUCUUCAUCCUCGACCGCUACUAUCUCCUCGAUUGAAUCGCAACUAUAGACUUUGAGAACUUCCAAGUUUUGGAGGGCAGGCAAUAACCGAAGUGAGAACAAAUUCUUUAAAUUAGGACAACGACCAAAUGAAAGAACUUUAAGAUCAUGUGAAAACUUGCCAAUGUUAACUAAUCCUUGUUCCCUUGGUAAAACAUCAUUUAAGCUUGCAACGUCGCUGACCGCAAACAUUUCUAAACGUUGAACAUCUUCUGGGAGCACAAUGUGUUCUUCUCUUUCACAGAUUUUGCAACAGAGUAAGCAUACUGAUUUAUCUUCUUUGAGAUCAGUAGUCAGUAAUCCCCCCCCGCCAGAUGCCGACAGCCAAAGAAUAUAAUUUUUCGAUCCUCGACCAUCUGUAGAUUUAACAUAUAUGUUGAAAUCUUUGAGUGUAGAAAAAUGGCCUUCAAAAGAUUCCAAUCUAUCGCUCAAUCUAGCUGCCUCUUCCACUGUUUCUCGUAAAGCUUCCCUCUCAAAAGAUAAUUUCAAUUUGCAGAGAUUACGUUGUCUAGGUAAUAUACCAGCCGAGAACUUCUUCAGCAGCGGCGAAUAGAGAUAAAGAUAAAUAAGGUUUUCCAACAUUUCCAUACCUUCUGGGACUUCUUCCAUCCGUGUUUCUUCGAGGUCCAAGUACUGGAGAGCCAACAGCUUUGCCACAGAAGGAACUCGCUCUAAUCUUCUACACCAUCCAAGCAACAACGAUCUUAGAUUCGUCAAGUCAGAGACGGAACUUGGCAAAACUUCAAUGUUGGUGCGAGAAAGAUUGAGAACCUUCAAACCAUGCAUGUGCACAAAGAAACAUUCAGGAAUCCUCUGUAAUAAUAAAUUGCGUUGUAGCAACAAAGUUGAAAGAAUGUCACAAUGUGGGGACAUAUAUGAAGGGAUUUCCUUGAUGUUAUUAUUCAUCAGUGAGACUCUCUCGAGAUUCGCUUUCCAUUCUUGUUCACUGGGAAAUUCUUGCAAACGUAGGCCAACUUUCACCAUGAAUAAAGGACUCUUGCUUGUAAUGCGUAACGCCAUGUCUCUUAUAAGAUCAUGCAUCUUCACACAACCUCCAUCUUCGACGCUUUCCAAUAAGCAGCAAUUUACAAGCCUGUUCAAUAUAGUAUGCCCUCUAUCAUAUUUUGCUUGGACAUCCUUCACUUCUUCGAUAAACCCUUCUGCAAUCCAAUGAUCUAUCAGCUCAUCCUUUGGAAUGGCAAAGUCUUCAGGAUACAAUGCACAAUACAAGAAGCACUGUUGGAGCUUUUCAUCUUUCAAGCGAUGGUAACUGAAUUCUAAUCGCCCAAACACUUUAGUAUCUACGUCAUUCAAACUUCUCAGCCGUCCACGCAAUUCAUUGAGCGCAUUUUGCCAUUCAUAAAUUUCUUCUUCGCCGCUCAUGGAAGCAGCUACAGUUACAAUUGCCAGCGGUAAACAACCACAUUCCUCAACAACUUCGUUUAUGAUUUCUUUAUUCAAAGUUGGAACUUGCAAAAUGCUACUACCAACUCCGUCUAUGAACAAAUUAAAUGCCUCCUCUUUAGAAAGCAAUUCAACUUGGACUUGUUUACACUUCAUAGAACGACAGACCCUAUAUAAACGUGUAGUUAUCACCAAUUUGCAUCUGUUCUCUUCACUAGGCUCAGGGAUUCCUACUUCCUCGAGAGGAAAUGCUUCCCACAUAUCAUCUAGUAUCAACACAAACUUCGCUUUAGCUUUCAACAUUCCUAGCAGCCUCCCUGCACGUCUUACUUUAUCUUCAUUUUCUGGAAGACUUUCUUUCAAUGCAGUCGCAAUCUCAGUUUGCAGUUUAAAAAGAUCAAGUGGUUGAGACACAGUGACCCAAAUCACAUCAUUGAACUUAUUGGGCUUUUCCUGGAGUUUGUUGUUGAUAUGACUCAUAAUAGUGGUUUUACCAAUACCGCCCAUACCCCAAACUCCUAUCUUUGACACCUUAUCACCCAUCAAAUCCUCCCAAAUUUCCUCCACAAUCUUCCCUGUCCUUUCCCCACUAAAUUGCUUGUUGUUGACAACGUCAUUCCGCUGGUUGAAGGGGCAUCACUCACAUAACUAGUAAAAGCACAACCCUUUUGAGUAUUCUCUUUCACUUCUUCAAUCUUCUUCUCAACAUCUUUUCCCAGACACGCACGUGAGAAGCAAUUUCCUUUCUCCACCUCCUGUUUAAAACUCUCUGCUUUCGUAUUGAUCCUUUGUACGUUUUUCAGCCAAUCACUGACUUCAUUACUUGGUUUUUUUCCUUGCUCACGCUCCGCCCUCGACAGUGUCGCUUCUAUAUCUUUUUUCUUGUUUUCUAACUCCCGUAAUACUCUGUCAAGUUCUUCCAUAUUUUCAUCGAGCUUUCUGUAAUAAUCAAAAUAUUCGCAUAUGGGAGAACAUACACACUUGAAUAUUUCACUGAUUGGUCCGAUAAGAUCCAUUGGCUGGUCCUAGAAGAUAAUUAAUCAGUAUAGCAUUAGCAUAAGGUUUCUGCCAAAUGCAAUAUUUGUUCAAAAUUGCAUCAAAUUUUUACAUUAAACUACUAAUAAUAAAGAUAAAUAAUUUCAUCUGACUUAUUUAUUAACUUAAAAAAGUUUUACUUAUGUGGAACAAAUAUGCUUACAUAAGAUUUACAAAAUAUGCUGAGCCAAAUCCGUGAAAGAUAUGAUCUCAACACAUAUUUUGAGUAAUAAUUAAUAAUAUGUUUCUCAAUUUGACAUGACCAAAGAACCAACAGCAUAUCAGAUAAAAUAAAUCAAUGGUGCAAUAUAAUCUAAAAGAAAAUAUAGCUUAAUUACCUGAAUAAACCGGCUUGCUGUAGCUUCUUCAAAUGUUUGUCAAGGGUGCUGAAUGACACUACUCUUCGUGAUUUGUCGGAAAAAAAAAAAAAAAAAAGAGGAAAAAAGAAGGGUCAAGAAUCAUAAUGAAUGCUAGCUAGUAGCUACAUAAAUAUUAUGUUAGUUAAUUUUUUUUUUAUAAUUUAUAAUUUAUUAUUAAAUUAAUUUAAUCAUUGAGGGUAUAUAAAUUAUUUGGCUUAAUUAUUAUUUUUAAAAUUUUUAGAUUUUAUAAUCUACAUCAAGACUAGAAGUAAAAUAAAAAAUUAACGCAGUUAUAACUAUAGAAGCAUUUAAACUUAAUUUCAAAUAUAAGAGAGAUUUCGCUUAAUUUUUCUAAACAAUAAGAGCAGUCCUCAUUUUUCAUUUUUUCCUUUUUAACGAGUGUCUUUAAGAUAAGCGAUGAAAGUUUGAAAAAAAACGACAGCUACUUGUCUUCAAUAAUUCAUAAGAUGAAAGGGAUGGUUAUUGUCUUAGCUGGCCUGGCCACCACGCGUUGUUUUUAGUCAAAAAGUCUUUUACAACGGGUGUUUGGUACCCUAUUUUAUCAUUUAGUGAUUUAAUCAUUAAAUCUAACUAAAAAGUUGCAUAACGGUACAGAUGGGUUUUCAUGGUUAUUAACAUUGUCAUUCUUGAUGUUUGCUGAAAAAUUAAAAAAGGUAAAAUGUUCUAAAUGUUGACAUAUAUGUCCAUAUUAUUUCAAAUUUUUGUACAAUUAAAUCUAUUAACCUAAUUUGACUAUUAGCAUGAGUAUAGUGUAUGGACAAUAAUGUAAUCUCAUGUAAAAAUUUUAAAAUGCACGAAAAAUUAACAUGCCUUAAUAAUUUUUUUAACAUAAUAUCUAUUUAAUACACAAUAAUUAUUUGAAUAUGUCAAUUAAAAAAGAAUACAUGAUAAAAAUAUAUUAAUUUGUUAACAAUAAUAAUAUAUGAUCGUAACGAACAUGUAUAUGCCUAAAUUAAUUUUUCCAAUAAUAUUAUUAAUGAACAAGUUGCGUAAUUCCUAAGGUAUAUUUAAUUAAAUAUUUUUUAUUUUGAUAUUAUUAUCUUCUUGUGUACGAUAACUAAAUUUCAUUUUUAUUCUUUCUUUAUUUCUAAUUAGCAGUUUAGCACCCAUGAACUCUAUCCUCUAUUUUGUUUCAUUCUUUUCAUAAACUCUAACCUAAUAAAAUUGUUUUAAUUAAAACCAUCAUAUUUUAGAAGCAGAUUUUUUUAUCGACAAAAAUCCAACUAUUGAUUCUUUGGUCUAUGCAUUAGUGUGAUUUAAAAGAAUUAUUAAUUUUUCAUACAUGCCAUUGAAUAAAGAUGUAUAGCUCUUAAAUUUUUAUUUUUUAUAAACUUACCCUUCUCUAAAGUUAUUUGGUCUAUAAACUUUUUCUUGGGAAUUUUUUUUUGAAUUUAUAUAAAUGACUAUUUUUAUGUUAAAUAAAAGAUAACACAAGUAGAAAAUAAAUGAUUAUAAAUUAUAGAUGAUUAUUCUUUGUCCUUAAUAGUAAUUUAAUGAAUGGUUAUUUUAUAAUAUUUUUAUGAUUUAAUUAUAGUAUGAGAUUAUUUGAACCCACUAAAUUACUUUCUACAUCUAAUUGCUCAAAAAACCCGUAGCCUAAAUUAAAAUUAGACAAUGUACACCUCAUAAUAAUCAAAAUAACCCCAAUUUAAUUUUUUUUAAUAAUAAAUUAUUCACCUCUGUUUUCUUAAUCAAAAUUGAUCUUUUAUAGACUAAAUAAGUUUACAAAGUGUGGACUAUAAAAAUGAACAAAAAAGUACUUUAAACUCCUAAAAAAUCAACUCUUAAUUUGAUAGCAAUAAACAUUGAUUUAUCUCUUUAUUAUUAUUAUUAUUUUCACUUGUAAUGGAAAAAGAAUUCUCUGCAAUUUUGUUAUCAAUUGCAAACUUACAACUCUCAAAUGUGAAUUGGUGCUAAAUAUUAAAUAAAGAUGCUCAUAUCUUGUUUUUAUGUUUUUUUUUUGUGCUAUUUGCCUUUGGUUUUACGGUUAAUUCAUGAUCAUUAUGCAAUUCUUCAUAUAUAUAAACUUCUAGUGUUUAUGCAUUUUUUAAAUAUUCCUCUACUAAAGGAUUCCAUAAAAGCCCAAUUCAUGUCUCGUGAAAUUAAUGCUAAAACUUGCUUAAAUUAGAGGUCUCCAACAACAAAGGCGGAUGGUAAUUCAAUUUGAUUCCUUUGUUCCAUUAAUUUUUACACUUUUUUUCUUUUUUUCUUUUUGAAUGAAUAUUAUUUGUUUACAAUGAAAUUACGUUUAGCUUAAAAUAAAUUUUGAAUUUAAAUUAGGAUAAGAUCAAAGAAAAGUAUAAUUAGUUAAGUAUAUGUUUUGUCCUUAAUAGUAAAUUAUUUCAUAGGCAUUUUGAUAAUUGAAAACUUUAAUUAAAAAAUAGGUGCAAAAAGUAUUUUAAAGUCAAAUAGCCUAAUUUUAAUUAAAAGGAGCUACUGCGUGUAUUUUUAUUAUUUAAAUAUCCAAAAUGCUUAAUUUAUUUUUUGUAAGGGUAAAAUUUUGUUAAUUGCCAACUCAACAGUAUAAGUAUUAAAAAUUGAAAGGAAUAGGACUUGAGUGUCAAAAUUUAGAAAUACUACUUAGUUUCUUUUUUUUUUAAUUAACAAAACAAGGGGUUGCUUAUCCUACUGGUAACGUAAUUUUGCCCAGUUUGAUAAUUAAAAAGAAAGUGAAAAUGAACUAUAUAAUCCAUGAAUUUGAUAAAAAGAAAGAAAAUAAAAAAGAGUUGUACAAUAUAUUUUAGUACUAAGCUCUCAAAUUUUGUUUGGGUCAGAUGAGCUCUAUUCAAAAUGUAGCUUUUUCAGUUUAUUAUAAAUAAAUCUCAUUUCUCAUAUCUCACGGUCGAAAAAUAAUAUUAAAUGAAAAAAAUCGGACUGAUUAUGGAGAAAAUGUGAAGAAGAAUGGAAAAAUAAAAUUAUCGCUAUACUUAUAACUAAAUUGUAAAUAAAAAAGAAUGUAAGGGAUUCAAUCAAAAAAAGAUAAAAGAGGGGUACGGGGGUAUUGUAGCUGCGUCCCUGUUAACUUUCUAAUUAAAUUAUGUUAGUUAAUUUUUUUUUCAUAAUUGAUAAUUUAUUAUUAAAUUAAUUUAAUCAUUGAGGGUAUAUAAAUCAUUUGGCUUAAUUAUUAUUUUUAAAAUUUUUAGAUUUUAUAAUCUACAUCAAGACUAGAGGUAAAAUAAAAAAUUAACAUAUAAAAUUAACACUGUUAUAACUAUAGAAGCAUUUAAACUUAAUUUCAAAUAUAAGAGAGAUUUCGCUUAAUUUUUCUAAACAAUAAGAGCAGUCCUCAUUUUUCAUUUUUUCCUUUUUAACGAGUGUCUUUAAGAUAAGCGAUGAAAGUUUGAAAAAAAAAAAAAAUCAGUCAACGAACAGCUACUUGUCUUCAAUAAUUCAUAAGAUGAAAGGGAUGGUUAUUGUCUUAGCUGGCCUGGCCACCACGCGUUGUUUUUAGUCAAAAAGUCUUUCGCAUUGCAAUUAAAUUUCCAAAUAAAUGCAAUGACGAUAUUUUCAUUUCAGGUGCGACGUCGGUUUGAUGCCUCCGAUUUGAUCAUAAGGGAAAAAAAUAUGGAAUCGAAAGUACAUUGCGAUUGCGCAGCUUUAAUUUUUUUUUUAAAAUUUUAAAUAUUACAAAAUCUCUACCGUAUGGGUCCAUAUGUCGAAAUUAAUUACUUAACUAAAAUAUAAAGUAUCCGACUCUCUCAUAUUAUAAAUAUAAUCCAAAAUUCUAAAUUAAAAAUCUACCCAUAUAUAUAUAUAAUUCUCUGGUGACAAUAUCAUUACCAUAUAAAAAAUUAUAAAUUUUAUUACAUUAGAGUAGUUUUUAAUGUAUUGAAAUCUAUGCAUUUUUAAUUUUUUAUAUACCUUAAAGAAAAAGCAUAUAUAUAUAUAUAUAUAUAUAUAAAAUAUAUAUAUAAAUAACAACAAAUACAUACAAAAAUUAAUGCUAUGUUAUACGCUUUACAUGGCCCCAGUUUCAAAUUAAAAUAUUGACAUUAGUUGCGUUCUGACAUUUGGUAAGGACAAACAAUGAAUAACUUGUCUUCAAUAAUUAAGAAGAUGAAAGGGAAUCCAAACGCACAAUGAAUGACAUGUUUCACUCUUAGAUUAUGUUUGGUUUGAAAAAAAAGGAGAGGAAAAUAUUGAAAUAGAGGGAAAGGAAGAAGAAAUAAGUGGAGGAAAAUAGUGAAAUUAAAUUUUAGUGGAGGAGAAUAGUGAAAUUAAAUUUUAUUAUUUGUUUUGAUAUAAAAUUUGAUAAGGAAAUAAAUUACAAUUUUUUUUAGACAAAUUUAGCUUUUAUCUUAAAUAUUAAACUAUUUAUAUUAGUAAUGAAAUGUAAUUUUUUUUUUAUAUAAUGGCAGUCCGGCGAAGUUCUGUUGACAAUUAAUUUGUAUUUUUAUAUUUUCAUAUUAAAUAAAUAAAUGAGUUUAUUUAUUUUGUUAAGUAUCUUAAAUCAUUUAUUAAAUUUAAUUAAUAUAUAAUUAUUUAUAAUAUUAAAUUAAAAAUAAUAAUUAUUAAUGGCAUUCAAUAAGUUAAAAAGUUGAAGGGUAAUUUUGAAAACUUUAGUUUCUAAUAUAAAAGAAAUUUAAAUGCUUCACUACACUACAUUAUGAUGGAUAUUCAAUUUUAAUAAAAAUUAAAUUCUUAUAUAUUUUGUCUAAUCAAACAAUGAAAAUAAAAAUAAAAUUUAAAUUACUUUUCUCUCCUCUAUUCUAUACUUCCAACCAAACAUCACAUUAGGCCUUAGCUGGCCUCCUACAUCACCAGUAAGGCUAAAAGUCUUUUUUCGAAUGACGACACAUACAAAUCCCAACUCUCUUUUCCUGUUAGAUCCCAAUAAAAUAGAUAAUCAAUUGUUGAUAGUAUCCAUCUCAAGCUUAACUAAACUUCAAGGACCAAUUCUGUCAUAGAACAAUCAUUAAAAAAAUAAAUAUAAUUGGGUUAAAAUAAUUAUAAAUAAAUUAUUUUAAAGAAUAAAAAAGAAUUAAAUUUAUUUAUAUGAAGUACAAUUUAAAAAUUUUAUUUUUUACUGUGUAGUUAUUAAUUUAAUUGGAGAUUAAAUUCAUUUAAAAUUUAUAUUUGAAUUAUAUUUUAUAACAAAUAUUGAAAGUUCAACACCAAAGGGAGAAAUUAUCCCAAUAAAAAAAAAAAAUUCCUUUGUCUCUAAAAUUCUAUAUCAAACCUAUGGCUGGCGAGAAAGUCCAUAUCAACAUGAACUUGACUUGGGCCUAGGCAAUGCGAACCAGGCUCUACAAUAGCCUGAGAGUGAGGUGGACUAAACUCGAACUUCACUCGAUAAGCCUCAGUCUGAUAAGCCUACAAUUUUAUGAAAAAAUUUAAAAUAUAUAGUAUACAUUGAAUAAUUAUAUAUAGUUAGCCACCUAUUACAUAUAUUUGGAGGUUUAAGCCAUUAGCUCCAACUUUACUAUCCUAAUUUUAGUACAAUUUAUAAUUUUUUCAAAAUAAAAAAUAAAAAAUUAUAAAAUACAAAAUUGGCUUUUUAAGCUCGGAUAAAACAGUCCCUAAUCAUUACACUCUCCUAAGUAUUCUCAUGUGCAUUGUGGAUGUUAAUUUAGAUAUUCAUAAUAAGAUAUAAAUUAGAUAUUUUUAAGAUUGGGGAUUCAAGUCUUCUCUUGUGGUAUCAUCAUACAUAAUAAGAAAUAAAUUGGACAAUAGCACAAAAAUGUAAAAGUAUUUCUUUUGUUGGGAGAAUACUAAAGACUUCUGUUGGGCUUUGGACUAAUAAGAAACAAGCUAUUAUGUUAUGUCCAGCCAAAAAAGCCCAUUUUUUAUGGUGACAUUAAUAUGCUGGUUCGACACGUAUUGGAAGACUACACCUAGAGUGAUCUGAAGUUACAAAAAUCUCCUCAAUCGGACAAUAAGAAACACUUUAAAAAAAUAACACUCACAGUCGCGCGCGCCUUCCCUGAGAACGGAAACGCCAGAAGUGUGCUUUUUUGUUAUAGAGCACUUCCUUAAUUAAAAACUAAAAAAAGUUCUUUAAUUUUUCUUCCUUAAUUAAUAAAAACUAAAAAAAGUUCAAGAUAAGUGGACGGAGGCGCGCGAAUGCAUCUUGAACGUAUGAACUUUGCAUUUUGAUGAUAUUAUUCAGCAGUUUUUUUCUUUUUUGGGGCUAAUAUUGGUAUUUUCUGGACUGAAAAAAAGUUAGACGAAAUAAUAGUUUCUAACGAAGCCCACUAGGUGUUUGAUGGAAUGCAUUAAAGAAAAAGAAUUGCCUUAGUUUUUAUUUUGUAGCAUAUUCUGUUGAAUCUUUCAUUUUAAUUUUUAAUUUUUGUAGGUUGAACCUACAUCUUUGAUAAAGUGACUACAUGAAAAGGUUUUUCAUUAACACUUUCAUUAGUGGAUUGUAAUUGUCAUGUUAUCUAUGCAACAUGUCCAGAGAUUAACUUUGUUAUUUGGCCCCAAAACUGCAAGGAAUUAGAAUACGGCAACCAACAUUUGUAUGGUAAUGUAAUGUCUCUGUUUAUACCUGGAGCUCAUAUUAUAAGUAAGCUAGUUGAUUUGUUUUGUGUCUUAUUAUUCUUGUAUUCUAUAUUCGAUAUAUGUAGUUAUUGCAGGAACUUAUUAACUUGGAUUUGGCUUUGGAUUUUUAUAUGGAAUAAAUUUUUAUUUUUUACUCUUUGGCUUUCUGUUUUUAGUGCCUCUAUGAUUCUGUUAGUUUCUUCAAUGCGGGACAGUGUUUGUUUAAGAAAUGAGGUGCUCAAUGGUGAUGCUACUCUAUUGAUAAUCAAUGUGCAUGCAAUCCUAAUUCCCAACUUUUUGUCCUCUUUAUUUCACUUCUUUAAACACCUGUCUCUUCCUUUUGCACAUAUGUUUAACACUCUUUUCUAUUCAAUGAUACCAAAAAAUAAUUGAUAUUAUCUAAGUAUUUGAAAUUUUAUCUCAAGAAUUAUAAUUGUACUAGAAAUUAAAAAUUGAGUAGCUUUUUUAAGCAAAGUUGUUGAUAGUGUUUGUUUUAGCCAAAAGAAUAAUCAGUGCUUUGGAAGAAAGAGGAAAAACAUUGUUUCUGUGGUUGAUAUUUUCUAGAGCGUAUUUACAAAAACUUGCUAAUGGUAACGACAUUCGCUGGAGUUGUUUUUGGGUUCUUUGUAGGAGUAUUACAAAGGUAUUCACUAAAAAGCAUAUAAUGGACAGUUAAGCUGUUGUAAAAAGGUAUUCACUGAAUAAGAUACGAGACCCAGCUUUCUGUCUUGUUCCUGCAUCUCAGUUUUCAGACAAUUGUAAACUAUUUUCUAUAACUCCCUGGUCUUCAUUGUGCCUUUGGGUAACUCUUUUCUAAUUUGUGGCAUUAAAUAUUCUGGGUUCACUUAAUCAUUUAAAUUUAGUAGUUUAUGAGUUAUGUUAGGUGACAUAGAAAACAAGUGUGGUUUCUUAAGCUAUUUGGAAUAUUUUAUUUGUUACUGCUUCACUGUUAUUGUGAAGAUGUUUACCUUAAUUCUUCAUUGGGUGCAUCAUAUUCAUGACCCCUUCUCUUUUGAAACUGCAAAAUGAUUCAAGCUGCCAAAGUUUUUUAAGUAUUUUGAGAAUGAACUUGGAGCAACUGUGAUCUUUGGAUUAUUUGCAAUAUCUUGGGUCAUUCUACGAUUAAUAUUCUUCCUCUUUUGGGUCAUCAAAUGUACAAGGUUUGCCUGCAUGAUAAAUGAUUUGAUGCCACCUAAUUUGGUCGUCUAGCAGUUUCUUUGGCUUAUUUGCUUUUUUUAUUUGCAUUUUCCAACUAUGAUCUUUAGUUCUACUUGAACUUAUCAGAGAUACUUUCAUUUACUAGUUGUUCAAUACAAUGUUGCCGAUGCUCUUUGUGGUCCACAUAUGCUGGUGGGUUCUCAUAUCCUCAAUGAUCUUGAGACAGCUGAAAAGUGGUCAACUUAGGGA